UUGCUCAACCGCCAAAGAUCUUAUGAGGAGCAGCUCGCUCAAUUUAGGCAAGCACAGGCUCAAGAUCCCUCGCCGGUUUUAAGUCUCAAUGUUGAGCCUUAUCCGGUCGAUAGAGAUGAGGAGGAGGAUUGUAACACCCAAGGCUGACGAGGGCGGGGAGUGGUCGCCGGUGCACAAGGCACGACAAUGAGCGGCUCCUGACAGCUUCUAGAGGAACCGAAUCACACCGGAAUGAGAGGGUUCCCAAGGCCGUACAGGUGUGGGACUGCAUGGUUGAAGGAAUGCUUAAAAGAAUUGUUUGGUACUACCUAUAUCAACAAGAUGCAUCUUCUUUUCGGUAGCUCAUUCCAUAAGAACACCACAGUUAAGCGUGCUUGACUUGGAGCAAUUUUGGGAUGGGUGACCUACUGGGAAGUUUCCCGGUAAGCGUGCGAGUGAGGACAAAACACGUUGAAAAGACUCGUGUUGGUUUGUGGGGUCAGUCGGCAAUCCUGAAAGCAGUCUGGGAUGUUACAAAUGGUAUCAGAUCCGACCUCUCCCAGUACGGUGUGGUUCGGGGACGAACCAAGCGGAAGCUGGUGGGCAUGUAACACCCAAGGCUGACGAGGGCGGGGAGUGGUCGCCGGUGCACAAGGCAGGACAAUGAGCGGCUCCUGACAGCUUCUAGAGGAACCGAAUCACACCAGAAUGAGAGGGUUCCCAAGGCCGUACAAGUAUGGGACUACAUGGUUGAAGGAAUGCUUAAAAGAAUUGUUUGGUACUACCUAUAUCAACAAGAUGCAUCUUCUUUUCGGUAGCUCAUUCCAUAAGAACUUCACAGUUAAGCGUGCUUGACUUGGAGCAAUUUUGGGAUUGGUGACCUACCGGGAAGUUUUCCGAUAAGCGUGCGAGUGAGGAAAAAACACGCUGAAAAUACUCGUGUUGGUUUAUGGCGUCAGUCGGCAAUCCUGAAAGCAGUCUGGAAUGUUACAAGGAUGGUGUGGAUGAUGAUGAUGAUUGAAGGUGGUGUGUCCUUUAUGAUAAAAUUUUGGGUCUGUGAUGUUUGGGGAAGUUUCUUACACUUCCCAAUACAAUUUCUACGUAUUUGAUACUUAUGGCGUGUAGUAUUUGGUACAAUUUUGAUUUCAAUGCAGCUAGACAAUAUUUUAUGUGUGAUGUUGUUUUAUUUUUCAUUGUUAACUACAUUUAAAUUGUUUGUUAAAAUUAUUUUAAUUUCCAUUAAUUGUUAAAACAAUUUUUAUAAAAAGAAAUAAAAAACAAUUUAAAAACGUUUAAUUAAUUAAUUAAUUUUCGAAAAAUAAAAUUUAAAUUCUUUUUUACAAUUAUUUUAAUUAUUAAAUUUUAAUAUUUUGAUUUUUUUUAACAAAUAAAAAACGUUUUAAAAAGAAAAAUCGUACACAAUUUGCCAGGGGUUAACCCCUCGCACAGUCCCUGGCAUAUGAUCCUGACACAAUCUGCAAAAGUCUGGUCAAAUCUGCAAAAGUCCGUGUUGACCAGAAUGCGUCAGAAAAGCCUGCAAUCAUGCAAAUACACUUUGCUAGGGGUUGAGCCAGGGCCUAUGCCAGGAGCUAAAGCCCUGGCAGAGUCAUUUGCGAUGAGCAGAUUUGCUGGUGAUUCUGCUCCUGGCAAACGUCCAUUUGUCAAAGCUUUUGGCAUUUUGCCAGGGGCUUGCAACAUUUCUUGUAGUGAAAUCACAUUCGUUAUGGAGGCUAAAAGCUAGUAAGGCCACAUUUGUGUACAACUAUCAAAGAUGAUGGUCGGACUCCUUGUUAUGUUUGGAUAUCGACUGACCUAUGUUCUUGUAACUACAUUGUAUGACUGUUUGUUUAGGGGCGACCAUUAAGUACAUCUUGUACUAAGGUGGUCACCGCCUUUGUUAAUAUAUUUCAUUUUUAUGUCUUAAAAAAAAAAAACAAGCCUACACUUCGAUACUAUAGGCCAAAAUGACUUAAUUAUAUAUUAAUUAUAUGGAGCCCAGAAAUACCAAAAAUCAUUGUCUUAAUAUGAGAAAUAAAAUAGUAGUCUGUUUAAUUAUUAAUUAUCUAUUGUCGAUUAGCUCUAAUGUCAUUGAAGAAUGGUUUAAAACUUCAACUCCAAGUUGGGUGAAUAAUAUAUAGAACACGAAAUUUUCAACUUGAUUUAGACUCUGCUUUUGAUUGACAAAGGAUACAAUCAUACAAUAUGUCUAUGCUGCAUAUAGUAGUUGGUGAUGUCCAACAUUUUGUGACAAGAUGAUAGAAAAGGAAUAUGGUAUUUUCCUUCCUCUUUCAUACAAAACUAGUUACAAACCCGUGCUUCGCACGGGUUUAAUAACGUAUUCGAUAAAAAAAAUUCUUCGAAAGAAGAGAUGUUAAAACGACGGAAUAUUGUGAUUCAUCAUAAAAUAUGUAUGAGCUGAUUAAGAGAGCAUAUAAUCAGUUUAUGAGAAUACAAAUUGACAUAAUAUUUAGGAUGAAAACAAUUGGAACCAAUAAAGAAACCAAUGAUGUGUGAAUUUACAUAUUAUCCAAAAUUAUAAAAAAAGAGUGUCCUUGUUAUAGAGUUACCAAAAAGGGAUUGAUACCCAUAUUUACAUCAAAUGAAAUCAAGCAAAGAAGUAGCAUCGGUGAGUGAAUAUAAUCUAGUCUAGAAUUAGAGUUAAGGUGAUCUGUUGAAAGUACGGAUCAUGAACACCAAAUCUUUAUUUGUGAACGAUUUGAACGUGCAUAUUUUUAGGUGGUUUCUCUAGAUCAAAAAUUAACUUAUCACCUACCUCUAACAUCUGUUCUCGGCAAAUUUGAACCAUUGGCCGCCUAAGUAUUUUUUAUAACUGGCUCUCUUUGCCGUUAUCAAGCGACACUUAUACCUUUUUUGAGCUUGUUUGUCGAUGUGAUUGUUUUCCGUCUUCCUUUUAGAAAUGUCAUUGAUAUCUCAUUUGAAAAGUGCUAGGUACAAAACAAAUUGCAGUGUUAAUUAGAAGUUAUAUAUAUGUACAUUUCUAAAACAUUUACCAAAGCCAUUAUAAAGAUUUGAUGUAGGAAAAGAGCAUGUUUUAUUUUGUUCAAGAGAUUAGGAAAACAACAUUAUAAUUAACAUGACACUAAUUGGAACCAAUGAAGGAACCAACAAUAUGCAGAUUAACGUUACAUAAUAGUUAGGUUUAUAAAAGAGAUUGCAAGUUUCAUAGACUAACUAAAAAUGAUGAGGUGACACUAACCACACCUAGAGCUGUCAAAAAUAGGUCGGGCUCAUGGACCGGUCUAUUGGCCCAUGUUUUUGGGCCGGACCGGACCUAAAAAACUAACCAAAAAAUGCACUCGGGGUUUUUCGGCCCAAGCUCAUUUGGGCCAUACAAAAUUUGGGCCGGGCUUUGGGCCGGCCCGUUAGCCCAUAUUUCAUUUUAUUUUUUUAAAACAAUAUCAACUAAUUUAAAAUUUAUUAACAAAAAAAUAUUUAAAUAAAUAAAUUUAAUAAAUAUGGAUGAAUUUAGCUUACAGUUUUAAAAUUUUAAAGUUUAUAAAUUAUAAAUUUGAUUUAAUUGAAAGAAUAAUCUAAAGUUUAAUUAUUAUUCAAUGUUAAUAUAAAAAUUAUUUAUAUGUUUUUGUCCAUCCAAUCAUAUUUUAGCAAAAAAAUAAUGGUGAGUAACUAAUACAUAAGAAAAUACAUAAAAAAAAAAGUGAAUAAAAUUUAAAAAUAAAACAUAAACGGGCCAGGCCGGGCUGGCCCAUGGCCCACCCGGGCCGGGCCGGGCCGAGCUCUAGAACUCACGGCCCAAUCAUAAACGGGUCAGGCGGGGCUGACCCAUUUCUAUAGUCGGGCCUCUCGGGCCCGGGCUGGGCUGGGUCGGCCCAUUUGACAUCUCUAACCACACCCCAUCAAUAGAAAAUUACUAAAAUACCCCUCCUAGGAGCAACUCUCAUAAUACAAUCCAAACUGGUUAGGAUUGAAUUUAGUUGUUUUCCAAAUAGUGAUGCAAUAUGUUUCCUAACACAAAAUAUGCACAUGAAAUAAAAAAAUAUUGCAAUAUGUAUUUUUAAUUUGUGCGUAAAAAAACUCAAAGCAUGUUUGUGCAUAAAAAAAGCAGAUAUUGACUAAGUUUAUAAAUUCAGCAAUUGGCCUAACCUGAGACAGUUUGGAAAAAUCGUUGUACGAAGUACGUUGAGAAGAAGUCGAACUCUGACUUAAGUUCUAACUGAAGCUUUGACUCUGAGCUUGAGAAGUGUUAAGGUCACGACAACAAUUCAAGAAACAUGGUCAAAAAACAAUCAAAUCGGAUUGUGAAAUAAUAAGUUACUCUAACACUGUAUUGUGAAAUCAUAAUGCAAACUUACUAAGUCUUAAACUUCUUAACAACCGGAUGAUGUAGGUUGAUGAGCAGCCUCGAACCUGACCAAUUGUUACAUAUAUUUGGGUUGACAUUGACUACAAAAUGGAAGCAAAGAACUCAAGGUAAAUAGAUGGUAAAUGAUAAAGCUACGUAGUAUUUUUCCCAUAGUGUUACAUCAACUAUAUUGCCACUACAUAAGGAAAGACAUUUUUCGGGUCAUUAUCAAACUUAUACAAAAUUCUAUCAUCUGAUGCUGACAAAAUAGAAAAUAAUACAUUUUCUAUUUUGCAAUGUUUAGUUUUUUUGAAUAAGAAAAAGAUAUGCAUAAUUUUUUACGAUAUAAAGGUGCAAUAUAUAUAUAUAUAUAUAUAUAUAUAUAUAUAUAUAUAUAUAUAAGAUAAGCAUAAUUUUUUUAGAAAUCUAUACCUUUUUUGAAGAAAAGACAUCUACAAUUGUACUUUUAAUUAAAAUCAAAAUUUUAUAAAAAUUAUACGCAUUAACGUAACAAAAAAACAGACACACGUAAAGUAUUACUCUAAAAGCUAAUAUGUGUGUCUGUAUAUUUGCAAGGUUGAAGAAAGAAAAUAAAAAUAUUUUGUAUCAUUAAAUGAUAGCGUGAAUAAAAAUAUUUGUGAGGUUGUUAGAAUUAAACGAUAUUUAAAUUAAAUAUAUAAAUGAUAAAAAGAUAAUAAAAUUUCUUUGAAAAAAAGGUAAUAAAAUUAAAUGAAACCUCCUUUAAAAAAUUAAAUGGAACGGCUAAAAAAAUUAAAUGGAAGAAAAAAACAUAUUGAAAUAUAAUAUUAGAAAAUAAAAGAAAAGGUUCCCAACGUGAAUUGAAGAGAGAUGCCUGUGAAAUAAAUUGUCGGGAAGUAGUUUUUUGAAGUAGCAUUCAACAACGUUUGGCCAAAGUCAUUCCAUUCAAUUUUAUGCAUUAAAAAAAGUACAUUUUUUAGUAAGUACUUAAUUGAUAUUGUACUUGGCCUAACUUCUCCUUAAAAAUGUAGAGAAGUUGAAGAAAAAAAAACCGGGUCAAACGGUAUCAUAAUCUCCCACAACGGUAGUGUAAAAGCAACUGAAUUUGCGAGAAAAAAAUUAAAAAAUAGUUAAAAAAAAUCAAAAUUGAAAAAUAGUUAAAAGUUAUUAAAAAUUAUAAAAUUAUAAAAUUUAUUAAAAAUAUAAAAUAAUUAAAAAAAAAUGGUGAAGGGCAAAAUGGAAAAUGCACCCUAAAAAUGAUGAGUUAAUAUAAAAAUUAUAAAAUUUAUUAAAAAUAUAAAAAUUAUAAAAUAAUUAAAAAAAAUGGUGAAGGGCAAAAUGGGAAAUGCACCCUAAAAAUGAUGAGGUGGCAUUAACCACACCCCAUCAAUUGGAAAUUACUAAAAUGCCCCUCCUAGGGGCAAAAUGGUAAAAUCCUAGAAACUUAAUUUUAUAAUAUAGUAAGUAGAUUAUGCAUACAAGAUUAAAAGUUGGUUCACAAAAUAAUGACAUAAGUCGGUGACAACUCAUUAUUAAACGCAUGCGUAAUAGAUGUUUACAUUGACGGUAUAUAUAAAUUAACCAUUUAAUUUUAAUAUUGCCCAAAAAAAAGUUGAUAUUUGUAUUUUUGUUGUGUUUGUGUUUGCUUUCUUUAUCCCUCAACACACAAAAAUUGUGCAUUGUCAUGAGAAUUAUACCUUUUUUUUUUUUUUUUUAUCAAGUAUCCUAGUGGAAUAAUUCACCUUUUGAAGGUAAAUAAAUGAAGUAUCCGAUAUUCGAACUCCGAUGUCUAUAUAUUACAAUGCAUUAUUCCUAUCAACUAAACUAUGCUCACGAGAACGAUAUUUAGUUUAUUUAGAAAUCAUUUUUCUCAUGUAAAAUUUAUUUCAUAAAGGUUAAAUUCCAGCAACAACAAAAAUCGUACAUAGCACACAAAAUCACAUAUCACAAUAUCCAUAUUAAUGUUUAUUGGCAGUUUCUACAUUUACGAUUUUAGUUUGCAAUUUUUCUUGACUAAUUGGACAUAGCAGAAACGACAUUUUAACAACUUCAUUGUAUUUCCUUAAAAAAAAAAAAAAAAAAAAACAACUUCAUUGUAUUAUCUUUUUGUUGCAAUUUGGUACUAUAGUCUAUAAGUUGAACAUGUGCUCAAGUGUUGACUAUAAGCUUGUAAAUAGAAAAAUACUUAAUUGGUUUUUUAAGGGGAUUUUUGGAGGGUGUGUGUCAUGUUGUUUGAGCCUUUUCCUUUUGAUUCGUUUGUUGUUUAAACUUCGUAUGCCAUAUCUUUCGUCUUAUAUAUCGUGUGCUGGUUUUCGGUAGGCCGGUUCAUUUGGCUUCGAGAUCGGGAGUCGAGGUCUAGCUGCAAUCUUUGUUUGACUUGAUUUGGGUUUUCUCUGGUGUACCGGGGGCAAGGAGUGCCCUGCUAAUUUGGUACUAAAGUCUGGUGGGCCGAUCACUUUUGAUUCGAGAUCGGGAGUCAGUUCUUUGACACAAGUUGGUUUUUGGGCUUUGUUUUGUGCUCUUUCGGUGGACCGGAGGUCGCGAGGUUUGUGAUAGUUGUUUGAUCCUUCGGUUAGAUGCUCUUCGUAAUGUGGCUCAGCUUGGGUGUUGGGGUUUGAGAGUUUUAUUUUGAGGGUGUUCUUUGUGGGUGAGUAGUGACGAUGGACGGUGGUGGAUACCGUGUUUACAUGCUUGUUUUUUUUUUUUAGUUUGUUUUAGGUGGUGAUGUGUUUUUGUGGGUUUAUCUUCAGGGGUGUUUUUAGAUGGUUAUGGUGUACCGUCUAUAUGCGGCACCAUUUGUAUCUCGUCUCGUCCAUGCCUUGCGUCUUGCGGAGAUGGCGUUUAAUAAUAUUUGUCGAUUAAAAAAAGGGGAAUUUUGGCACUAAAUUAGUGUCCUAAAAAAAGUCCUUUUGAAAAACAUAAGAUCAGAAAAAAGUGAUAUCUAAUUAAAGUGGUCCUAUUUUUCCGCAUUAAAAAAUCAUGUAUUUUUGCAUUCUUUAUUUGUUUUUUUUUUUUUUGAGAGGUUGCAUUCUUUAUUUGUUCAUGAGUCAAAAAGAUGAUUCUUCUUCAUUUAUUAUUUUCUUCAAAAUUUCAUUACGAUACUAAUUUAAAUUUCACCUUUCAUUUCUUUUUUUUCCUAUUAGUUUUUUUAUACAUAUAUAUAUUUUCUAUCUGAGAAAAUUUCUGUUUGAAGCUUAAGUCAUAAAAGAAAGGGGGUAGGAUGAGUCAAGGACCCUCCAUUAUAUAACGUGUUUAUAUCCAUGAAAAGUAUCCAUUCAUAUAUGGUUUGUAUAUUAAUUUUUUAUUUAUUUAUAUAAAUACUAAAAAAUAGACUGAAGUCGGUCUCUCAAUUAUGAUGAGUCAAAUAUUUUUUUUUUGUUAAGUAAUUUAGUGACCAGAAUUACUUAAAAAUAUAUAAGUGGAGUGUACAAAAUUUAAAUUUCAACUUCUGCAUAUAUUAUGCAAUGUCCCUAAGUUAAGCUCAGGCGAAAAUGAUAAGUUUAGUUUAAUAGAGAGAUUUGAGAGAACAAAUAAUUUUCAAGCAAAAAUAGUUGCAAAAAGAAGAAGCAAAUUUAGAGUAUAAUCCAUAGUCAAAAGUGAAACAUAAGAGCUCAUGUGUCCCAUUCCACAUUGUGACUUCCACAAACACACAAACAAGGACACAUACAUAUAAAUGGCAAUUAAACUAGGAUUCGUUGGAUUUUCAAUCAUAACGAGUUUAGGUAAAAAAAUCCGCAAUGAGAAUAAGUCCUCACACGGCACAUUACCCAAAUAAAACUAAGAGAAGUGAUAUUUGAACAACCAUUUUUAAAUAAUUUUUGUGACAAUUUUCUCUCUCAUACUCACAUUCUACUUUUAUUCUCUUUCUUUCUUUUUCUCUCUCUAUUGUUAUUGUCCAAUGAAAAGAGAGGAAUAAAGGUUGUCUCUAAAUUUGUUUUAUUAUGGUUGUCCAAAUAUCACUCCUCUAAAACUAAACAUGUAUGGAGCAUAUAUAAUAAACUAAAGCAAUUAACAAGACAAGAUCUUUUAAUAACUUUUAUUCAUUCAUAUUUUUGGAUAAAUUGUAUGUGUGCUAUAAAAUUUCUAGCUACUUUGAGGAUGGAUAUUAUAAUACAAUACUCAAACUCUACUCAUUUUCAUCCCUACUAAAAACUAAGAAAUCAAACCUAGUUGUUGACGAGCAACAUCACAGUUUGUGUCAGAGAAUCCAAUUCUAGAAUUAGCCAAAUCAUACUCCAUCCAAACAUUCCGUUGAUGAUGAUGUCCAAUAAUAAAUGCCUCAAUCCCCAACAAAUCAGAGUUCCCAAAAGUGAAACAAUAAAUCCAACUAUUACUCUUUGCUACAUUACUCACUUUAUAUAACAAUCUCUCUCCGGUCACCCUCAACUCCGCCCCAUCAAACAUCAAUGUCACAACCGGUAAAACUGGAAGAGUCGACCCGAUUGGAACCCUAAAACACAAAUCCAUAACACCUUGGAAAACAAACUUCGGGUCACCUAAAGGUGUUAGUAUAUUUUUGGUUUGGAUUGCGAAUUCGUUCUUUAAAGCAGUGUAAACCGGUUGGCGUAGAAAUGUGAAUUGGGUAGCCGAAUCCACCAUGGUUUGACCCGCUCCAGUGUGAUCGGGUAAAAAGGCGGAUUUUUGGAAGAGGCAACAAUUUCUCUGAAACCCUAAUCCCCUCGAGUUGAACCGUGUAAGCGAACCGAUUGAAAUAAGGUAAUGGCGUUGUCUUUUUAACAAGAGGGGUGUAAUGAAGAGGACCUAAUCGUGGGGGAUUGGCGAUGUUCUCAAGGACUAACACACCGGUGGAGUCCUUGUUGGAGAUGCAAUAAGAGAAUUUUGGAAGCCGCAUUUGGUUGGAGAAUGAGAGCGACCCAAGAUCCAUGCCCAUUAACCCGGUUGUCUUGGAGUCUUCAUCACCAGAGCUAGUACCAGUAUCCAUACAUCCGAAUACCAUUCCACGUUGAGCGGGGCCUCCAACGAAGAAAGUCUCGGUGGCAAGGUUGCCCCCAUAGAUGAGGAAUCGGCAUAGGAGACGAUAAUGUGGCAAAGUUUGUUUGCAUCACAUGAAACAGGAUUGAUUAGAUCUCGAGUUUGAGUCGUGCAGAUAGGGGAGGUGCAUGGAGUGGGGGUGUAUGAAGAAGAAACAAGUGGGUUGAAAAUGAAGUUUAGGUUAGGGAGUUUUUUGCAAUGAAGCCAUGAGAGUUCACUCCCUGUGUCGAGGACCAUGGUAACUCUCUGUGGAGGAGAUCCAACAGUCAAUGAAACCGUUAACGUUACAUUGUGUUGGAAAGGGAGCUUACGUGGUGAAAGUGAUGUUUGGGGAAGUGUUUUUACUUUGAGAAAUGAUAUUUGUACAACCACUUUGUGACAACUUUUUGACAACUUUCUCUCUCAUACUCACAUUAUUCUCUUAUUCUCUCUCUUCCUUUUUCUCUCUCCAUUGUUUUUGACCAAUGAAAAGAGAGAAAAACGAAGUUGUCACAAAAAUUAUAUCAAAUGGUUGUUCAAAUAUCACGUGUUUCAAUUUUAAAGGCAAAGUGAUGAAGUUUUGUGUUUUUGGUGAGGAGACACAUGAAGCAGCACGUGUUUCAAUUUGAAAGAAAAUAAAGAAGAGGAGAAGGAGAGGAAUAGUAAGACAAGAAUAAGCCAUGAUUGAGAAAUAGAGGAAAAGUUUACUUGAUAUCCUUGAGAAAUAUUCCCUCCGUCCCAAAUUGUAUGACGUUUUGGGCAUAUCACACAUAUUAAGAAAUGUAAUUAAUAUUGUGUGGGAAAGAUAUAUUAUGAGUUGUUUUACAAAACGAUCCUUAAUAAAUGUUAUGGAAAAGAUAAAUGAAAAAAUUGAAAUGAGAAAGAGUAAUAAAUAGUUAGAGAUAUAAUAGGAAAAGUAACAUUAAUGUUUCAUUGGUAUUGUAAAGUGACAUACAAUUUGGGACAGAGGGAGUAUUGCUUGAGAAACUAUUCCAUUUAUAAGCAGAUGAGAAAAUAGUAAUUCCAUAUCAAAAUUAUUAAAUGCACAUAAAGGCUAAACGAUUACGAUAUACUCCGUUCGUUUCAAAAUAAAUGUAGUUUAAGGUUUUUACACACAUAUUAAGAAAUACAUUGAUUAAAAAAAAGAUGUUAUUUUAACAAAUUAUCCUAAUCAACUACUCCCUCCGUCACAAAUUGUACGACGUUUUGGGCAUUUCACACAUAUUAAGAAAUAUAAUUAAUAUUGUGUGGGAAAGAGAUAUUAUGAGUUAUUUUACAAAAUUAUCCUUAAUAAAUGAUAUGAGAAACAUAAAUGAAAGAAUUGAAAAAAGAAAGAGUAAUAAAUAGUUAAGGAUAUAAUAGGAAAAGUAAUAUUAAUGUUUCAUUGGUAUUUUAAAGUGACAUACAAUUUGGGACAAAUAUUUUUUCUAAAGUGACAUACAAUUUGGGACGGAGGGAGUAUUGGUUUGUUUCUCAUUAAAUAAAAAAUGAUAUUUUGAAAGUAGUGUAUAUAGUAUUAACUAUUAACUGAAGGAUACAAUUGAAAAGAAAAAUUGUUAUUGCAUUGAAAAUUAAAAUUAAAAAUGACAUUCGUUUUUAAACAAACAGAGAGAGUAAUAUAUUACAAUGUAUCCCCUUCAAAAAAAAUAUUAUAUUGUAUCAUAUAUAUUUUUCGCGCGUACAAUACCUUCUUAUUAUUUUUUUAAAGGAGACAAUACCUCCUAUAUAUUUGUCAAAAAUAUAUCUCUUACAUCAUCCAUAAUAGAGACAUCUAUUUUUGGAUACAUAAAUAAGUCUCACAUAUACAUAUCAGCAUUUAUUAAUAAUUUUUUAAAAGUGGUACAUAAUAAAAACUUAAUCUCUCCAACCCAGCAACUCACACAGAUAUCUUAAACAAGGUCUAUUAAUCAUCUAUCAAUAAUUUUAUAUCAUUACAUUUUAAUAUUUUAAUAUUAAAAAAUGUGAGUUGUACUUAAGAUUAAAGGUCUUCGUUGAAACCUUGUGCGUCAUAGGUACCAAAUCUUAAAAUUUGAGACACCCCAUUGAGAUGGUUUUAGAGCAUCCACAAUAGAGAAAUUCAUUUUUGAGCAUUUAAAUGGAUCACACGUGCACACAUCACUCAUUUAUAAUAGGUAGUACCUAAUAUAUAUUAUAUGACUCACAAAUCAUUGGGAUGGUCUUAGAGCAUCCACAAUAGAGAAAUUUAUUUUUAAGUAUUUAAAUGGGUUAUACAUGUAUGCAUCCCUUAUUUAUAAUAGGUAGCCCCUAAUAAACACUUAAUCCUUUCAACCCAACACCUCACACAAAUUUCUUAAACAUAACUCAUUAAUCAUCUAUUAAUAAUUAUGUAUUAUUAUAUUUUGUUUUUUUUAAUAUUAAAAAUAUGUGGGACCCGCAAAUAAACGAGAUACUUAUUUGUGAUCUCCAAGCUCAUUAGGUACUUUUUUUUUUACAAUGGUGAUACCUAAUAGUUACCAAAUAUAUGGAGUAAGACCUUACCAUCAUAGAUGGUGUUAUAUAUUUGUAAAAAAAAUACCUCUUAUAUUGUUAAAUAUUUGCUAAAAAAAAAAAUUCCCGUAGAAAAAUUAAGAUAUAUAAGAACUAAGGGUUCAUUUGUUACAGAUUAAAAUAAAAGUGAUUUUGACAUAAAAUAAUUUAGAGAUUAUUUUUAGAGAUUUUAUGAAAAAAUCAGAAUCUAUUUUGCGUUUGUUUAGUGUAAUAAAAAUCUUUUUUUUUUUUAAAUAAUUUAGAUUGUUUGGAUACAACUAUAUAAAAGGGAUAUUUUGUUACAAAAUCAAUUCAAUCUUUUAAGCCUUAUUUUCUCUCUCCUCUAAAAAAAAAAACUAUUUUUUGAGAAGCUGCUCUUAGAGUAUAAUUAUCAGUGCAAAAGCACCGUGGUAUAACUGAGCCAAAUGAAAAUGUGUGAGAAAGCAAUUGAUAUUUGGCAUGCAAGCAAGUAGCAAAGCUUAACAAAGUGGUAAUGCAGUACCACCCAUUUUUAACUGACAAAAGAUUACUUUUGAUUAUUUUUAUCAAUUGAUAGGUGAGAUUAUAAUUUAAAGUAUAGAUAUUUAGAAAAUGUAGUUUUGUGGUUUAAAUAAUUGAGAAGUGUAAAGUAAUAUAAUAUAUAUUAUGUGGAUCCUAUUUAUACCAUCCAUUUGGAUGGCAUGGAUGUGGUUGCUCUGAACAUCUUCUCAUUUGAAGCUGUUUUUAAUUUUUUUUUAGAUUCUGAUAUUUUUUUUUUUUUUGAAGAGAAGAUUAUGAUUUUUUUUAAAAGUCGCAACAAACAUAAUAAAAGUGAUUAUUUUAUUAAAAAAAGUGAUAUUUUUUCCUAAAAAAACUAUAACAAACGGACUCUAAAUCAUAUCAAUGAAAAAAUUUCAUUAAGAAAAAAAUAAAAUAAAAGUAAAGGUCUCUAGCUCGUGGGUUGGAUGGAAGAACAUGUUAUCUUGAAUAUCCAAAUAAUCAUUAAGUGUCUAACUCUUUAGAUUUUUAUUAUUAUUUUAUUAUUUUAAGGUAAAGUUUUGGAGGUGCGAAAUAUAUAAAGAAAUGGAAAAAUUUCACGUUUUUUAAAAGAACAAUUUUUUAAAAAAUAAUAUUUUAAUAAUUAUUUUUAAUAUAUUUUUAAUUUUAAUAAUAUUAUAACAACAUAGAUAAUAAUACAACGGCUAAUCAUCAUAAACUCAACCAAAUUGAGAGUCAAAUCAUACUCAACGAUUACACCAUCACACAUUGAUGUGAUCAUUUGAUCCAUAUCAUGAGACUUUAUUAUUCAUGUCAUAUCAACAAUUACAUGUCACACAUCUUCACAAUUCUUUUAUUUUACGAUUCAAAUAUAUGGUCUGAUAUAUUCUUCUUCAAAAAAAAAAAAAAUUUGAUCUAGUAUAGUUUCUCACGAACUUUGUAAUCCAGACACACUCACUUUGCAGAAAUUCAUAUUUAACUAUAAAGAAACCUCAAAUUUUUAUUACCAAAAUAAGAAUCAGACAAUAUUAAAAUAAAAAACAAUCUUCAAAGUUAACAAGCAAAGUAAAUGUUACGAUAAGUAAUGGUAGUAGCACUCUCUUUUGAACACUCUCUUUAAUACUCACUCUUUUAUCGGUCUAAAUCAUUGUGAGUCUAUAAUUUGAAAAUUGAACUCACACAAAAUAGUGGGACAUACAUUGAUUUCACCCAAUAAAAGAAUGAGUGUUAAAGAAAGUAUUAAAAAGUGAGCGUUGCGAGUCUUCCUCAUGUUACGAUAACGAAUCUAGUUAUGAGUUUUCUAGGAAUUAUAUACAACAAAACUACCAAAAACUAAUAAAAAAACUUGAAAUCUAUGAUCGUAAAUUGAGUAAAUAGUCAAUUGCUCCCCUGAAAUUGUAAUUUUCGUCAAAAAACCCCUUGAAUUUUGCAAAACGUCAAAAACCCCCCUUGAAAUUGUCAAGCGUCUGUCAAUUACCCUCCUCUGUUAAUUUCCUCUAUCCAACAUGCUGAUGUGGCCGUUAACUGCCAUGUGGCACUGCCACAUGGUCAGAAAAGUCAUGCCAUGUCAUAGGGUGUAAUUGACUAUAUAUUUUUUUCUUUUUGAAAAAAAUCUGAUUUUUUUUUUCUUUUCAUAAUUAACAUUUGUACCACCCACCUACCUUGCAAAUGCCCCCCUGAAAUUUUUUAUAGGCAAAUAUCCUCUCCAAAUGUAAAACUUAUAUGCAAAUUACACCUUGAAUCAUAAAACUUUGAUGGUAAAGUAAAACUUAUUCUUAAUCUAUAAUUUCCUAUAUCUCUAAUAACAAUAAAAAAAGAAAAAAAAAAUCACAUCUUUAAAAUAAAACAAAGCGGGAGAGGUUAUUGGUGCAUGAUGGAUGGUUGUGUGUAGGCUCAGGUACAAUUGUUUUUUGGCCAAGAGCUUGGGAAUAUUUCUAACUAUGCUCCUUCAGGGAUUCCCACGGAACACACCACCAGUUCUCUAUCUGUUAAGGCCUAAGGGUGUUGCUCGAAAUGGUUCUCCCCCUGGAGAGAUGAUGACAAAUUAUGGCCAUUACACUUUUGCUGUUGGAGAAAAUUUAACUUCCCGCUGUAAUUACACUUUACCAUAAUUACCAAAUUUACCUUCAUAUAUUAUAUAUAUAUGUCUUGGUCAGAUCAUUGUUAAUUGUUUUUUCUGUAGGAUAUGCAAUUAUUUGCUCUCAAAACACAACAUUUUGAUGCAUAUGCAUCUUUGUUCCCAUGUUAGUUUUAAGUUGGUAAAUGCAGACUUAAGUUUAUGUAUUUAAAUACAUUAACUAGGAUGUAUGAAUAUCAUCAUUGAUGACCAUUUUUAUUUUAAACUUUUGUUCUAGAUUUGUUUUCAACAUCAUGUAAUCAAUGCAUAAUUUUUAUGGUGUGAUUGAAAUUGUGAUUUUUAUAAUUGUUUUAUUUUAAAGAUGUGAAUUUUUUUCUUUUUUAUUGUUAUUAGAGAUAUAGUAAAUUAUAGAUUAAGAAUAAGUUUUACUUAACCAUUAAAGUUUUAUGAUUCAAGGUGUAAUUUGCAUAUAAGUUUUACAUUUAGAGAGGAUGUUUGCAUAUAAGUUAUAAAUUUGAGGGGAUAUUUGCUACAUAAAUUUUAAAUUUGAGGGUGGUAUUUGCACAUAAAUGUUUAAUUUCAGGGGGUAUUUGCAUGUUCAGUGGGUGGCACAAAUGUUAAUUAUGAAAAGAAAAAAAAAAUCAGUUUUUUUUUCAAAAAAAAAAAAUAUAUAGUCAAUUACCCCCCUAUGACGUGGCAUGAUUUUUCUGACCAUGUGGCAGUGCCACAUGGCAGUUAACGGCCACAUCAACAUGUUGGAUGGAGGAAAUUAACGGAGGGGGGUAAUUGACAGACGCUUGAUAAUUUUAAGGGAAUUUUUGACGUUUUGCAAAAUUCAAAGAGUUUUUUAACGAAAGUUACAAUUUCAAGGGGUAAUUAAUUAUUUACUCAUCCUAAAUUAGAAACAAUGUUGACUUACAUGUAUUCUACGACUAGCAAAUGCAUAAAUCUUGUAUGAUCGUAAAAGUGUUAAUUUUAGGCAAGUUAUCACUAUCAUUUUCCUUCAACAAAAAAAAUCAUUAUCACUAGUUAUGUGAACUUUGCAUAUGUCAUGAUUAUGCUAUCCAAUUUUAUAUGUGUACCAUUUUAUUUUGAAUUGAUGAGAUAAAAAAAAUGAAAGAAAAAUUGCAGUCAAUAAAACUAUACAAUUUGUGAGAUACAAAAAGAAAUAAAUGUUCAUUUCAUUAACUAUCACGAAUGUAUUGUUAUUCUUUCUCCUAAACCAUACACAAAGAUCUCAAAGGCUUUCAUGAGAUAGAAAGAUUUGUUUAAUUUCAUAUAACAACUAAUUACACCAUUAUUAAAGAUGACAAUACAAAUCUUAUAGUCCUUGCCAAUAUUUUUCAUAUCACAUUGCAUCUUCCAUUCAUAUUCUCAUUAUCUUCCAUUGUCUGUCCCAAAUUAAAAAUCAAUAAGCAAUGAAGAAAUUGUGUAUCCUUCUUGGUUGGAAUUAUCUUACCAUGGUCUAUUUCCACCAUUUGCAUCCAUAGACCAAGUCCUACGUGAACGUAGAGAAGGAUUCUCAUUGGUAUGAGAUGCACUAUUAUUUCUCAUGGUCAUAGGUUGAGGAAACUCUCUAGUAGUAAAAGGAGAAUGUUGAUUCCUAACUCCACCUCCUCUCAAACAUCCAAACAAAUUGCUCAACAUUCUACGAAAUGCACCCCCUCUACUUCUUCCUAUCCCUCCUCUAGAUGAUGUCAAUGACCAUGAAAUCCUUCUUGGUUCUCCAACAUUGUUAAAUGCACCAUCCACUUCUGUGUAAACAAUAGGAUGCUCCAUUCUAUUCUCACCCCCACCUCCGUCACCAGAAAAUCUUCCAACGGCAAACCCUCCACCCGGUAACCUCCAAAUUGUCAACCCAACAUUCUCGUCUUCAUUCGAAUUGGAAAUUUCAUUGUUAAUUUGUGGUGAUUCACAAGGCAAUUCAUGUCGACAAACGGGACAAGAAUUUUGAAUUGCAAGCCAUGGAAGUAUGCAUUCAUUAUGGUAUAUGUGUUUGCAUGGCAUUUCCCUAGCUGAAAUUCCAAGUUCAAAAGGCUCUUUACAAACGGCACAAUGUGAUUCUACAUUCAUAUGACUCUCGUUGAUUUCAAUCGUCGGUAACAAUUCCACCGCGGAUUUUAAUGCCGGUAAAUGUUGUUGAUUAUGUCCCUCGUUUCCACUACGAUUAGCUUCAACAUGAGAAAGUUGUUCCAUCACCCUUUCAAAUCCAGACCCUAGAAUAAGCUCUGACAUCCUUGGAGGUAAUGCUCUAAGACCAGAACCGGCACCAUCUUCGUAGAAAAGCUCAAACUCGUUAUUCUCUUCACGCUCACGGCUCGUCCCCUCAGAGGAACCACCACCACCACGAAUCAUGAUAAUCGGGUUAAACGGAGAAAUGUCUCCACCGUUAACAUUGUUUCUACGGUGGCGUCGAAAAGUAUUUUGAUUAUAAUUAUUAUUGCGAUGGCCUAUCAUGUACAUAGCCGCCGCCAUAGGGAACCUCAUUCGACGGCCACCAACAGUAUUGGCGGAAUGUGUUGAUUGUUCGACAUCUUCCAGAAAGCCGCUGUCACAAUCGGGACAUAUUGGCAUCCCUAGCCUCCAUACCCUAACAAAUUUGUUGCACCUAUAACACCAAUGUGAAGACAUCUACCUAUAGAUUUGAAUUGAUGCUUUUUUAAUCCUUAUAUAGAAAUAAGAAAAAUUCCAUGCAACCCCACAAUUGAAAGUUUGAUUAGAGAAAAAGAAAAGAAACAAAAAAUGAGAUUCAAAAUCUUAAGGCUUCAAAUUUCAAUAUUGUUGCAAUGUGAGAUUAGAAAAACUAUGAACUGUAUAAUUUCUGUGUUUGAGACAAGAGAGAGAAGGGUUUCAUAGUACAUCUUAGGGAAGAGAAAAUGGCAGGUUCAUGUUCAUGGUAUUGCGUGGAAGAUGAUAACAACAUAACAAAUAUUCUUUCCAUAACAUGUCACAAAAUUUGUUUUUUUACGACACAUGGAAAGUUUAUGGUCUAGUUAAUAAAACGGCACAUGUUUGUAAGAAAAACAACGUUAAAAAACCAAACAUGGAUGAACAAAAUAGUUUCUAUUUUGAAGCCUAAUUAAGGAAUCGUUGCAAUCAUCACAAGUGAAGUUGGCAUGGAACUCUGUUCUUUCUAUUUUUGGGUUUGUCUGAUAUUAGUAUAACAACUUUUUUUUACACAAGGGCUAAUUAACCUAGCCAGCUGGAAUAGAGAGAAAACAAAUAAGCAAGAAAACUAAUUUGGUUGAUUAUUUUAAAAAAUUCAUUUAUUUUAUUAGUGCAUACAAUUUUAUACAAUUGAGAAAAGUUUUUAUUUUAUUGACCAAAAUAUUGCUACACCGGUAACUCCUCAAUAUUCCGUCAAAAAACAAAAUCCUCGGUAUGACGCACUCAAUUGUGAAAUUGAUUUAUAUUUCAAACAAAAUGAAUUUUUGUUAGGCAAAAUAAAAGAUUUCAAACUAUGAAAUCUUACACUUAGCUAAAUCUCAUAUAAAAAAUAUUUAUUUUUUAAGGUUAAUUGUUCAAAUUGACCAUGUAAUAUUAGCGCUGUCAGAAAAAUCAUCCUAUAAAAUAAAAAACUCAUUAUAACUCUGUAAUUUAAGAUUAUUUAUAUUUUUGACCUGUAAUAUACGUAAAGUGCUAAAAAGUGACCUACAAGUUGAUUAACGUCUUCUUUCAAGUUCCCGCGAAUCUCUCAUCGGCAGUUACGAUUCCCACUAAUCCGUCUUUUGAAUAUCAUUUCUAUGUAAUUUUAUAGUUGUCUUUGCAAUCAAUCUGGUCAAAAUUCGAUUUCUAUGUCGAUACUUUUGUUGUUUUUUUUCCUCUGAAAUUUUGUUGCUUUAAAAAUUCAUAAUUAAUCAGUUCCUUUUUUUUUGUUUCAAGUAGUCUAGUGGCUUGAGCUCACACAAUUUAAUUGUGGAGAAGUUGAGUAUCCGGGGUUCGAACCCGGCCCCUGCAUAUAAAAUGCAAUAUCUUUACCAACUGAGCUAAACUCCCGAGAAUUAAUCAGUUCCUUGUUAGAAAAAUCUAUUUUUUUUUUGUGCAAAGUCGUAUUUUAUCGCCAUUAACAUGUCUACAAAUAAUCAUGAAAAAAUCCAACCUCUAUAUCACUUUUUUUGACUGUACUUAUAUUAGAGUAUGAUGAAUAUUUUAGUAGUAGUAAAAAUUAAGUGAAUAUGAUGAAUGUCUUGUAAGACUCAACAAAAUUUAAAGAUUUACUAAAAAUUAAAACUAAUGUUUGCUUCCCAUUCAACGUUUGUUUAACGUCAUUUAACUCAACGUCUUGACCAUUGUUAGGGUGGCUUCUAUGAAGGAAAGAACACAUAUCGUUAUUUCUUUUCCUCUUGUUUGGUAAGAACUCCACGAAUUUGCCAUAGAGAAGCCAAUUUUGCUCGUUCCCCUCAGUAAGAUGUUGUAAUUUAUGCUCUCCCUUCUUAUAGAACAAUGAUAUUCUUGUUGCAAUCAGAUACGGUGACAUUCUCCUUCUCUUUAUCCCUUGAGAUUAUCAUCCCGGAUCUUUCCUCUUUUAUGGAAGCUUCUUUUGUAGAACCGACCUGCAACUUUCGUGAGCAUCACAACUUCAUUUCCUUUUAGUUUCCUUUGUGUUGAGGGAAGUUCUUUUCAUAAAUAUUGAUGAAAGGAAGGGUGAUUUGAAUAUUUCAUCUGAGUUUCAAGAUUUCAUCUUGUUAUCGAUCCUUCUUUUGAUUAAUGUGACCAAACCAUUUCUUUUUAUUAUUUUUUUUAAUUUGGGUUUAUGUCCAAAUAUUUUUUUCUUAAGACUCUUCCUGAAAUAAAACUUGCUCAAUUUUAUAUACUUUAUAAGUGAAGGCCCAUCUAGUGAUAAACCUAAGAGAAAAAACACAUUCAAAAGACCCUUAUGUUUGCACUUGAAUACUAAGCAUCAUAGUAGAUUGUAAAUUAUUUUUUUUACAAAGAAUGUUAUAUUCUAACUGAAUUGGUGAAAUUAAUUAGAGUUUCAUAAUGAAUCAAACAAAUUUUUUUGAGGGUAUAAUGAAUCAAACAAUUGUAUAUUAUAAGAAACCCGGAAAAAAUUAAAGAAACAGAAAUAAUCUAUCUAUAUGGUAAUAUGAACUUCAAAUACACAAAAAAGCAAGCACACUUGCACCCUUACAUACAUACAAACAAAAUUAAACAAUUAAUAAAUCUUAUUCUAUUUUGUAUGAUCAUUACUAUGGUAAACAAGGCUUAAAUGUGCUCACCACCUUCUUUACUCGAUCAACCAAUGAAGUACAAGACACAAUGCCAUCAUUCCCAGCCAAAACCCUAUAUUUAUCUUUCCGAGUAAAGUUAGUGCACUCAAACCCUAGAGUUGCAGCCAAUAUCCUCUGAACAUAAUUGGCCACAUCGUGUGGACUCUUCCCGGACGAACACGUCGCUUCAACCGGCAACUGGUUCAAGAAUGUAACCUCAUAAACUGGUCUUGGGUUCAUGAAGAAGAAAACCGGGUCCAAACCUUUCCAACCCCUUGCAGUGGUUGCAUGGAAGAACCCUACUCUAUAGUUCAUGGCGACCGGUACUAUCCGGUCAGUUAGCUCGGCAAAUAGAGCACUAAAUCGUAAAAGGAAAGGCUCGCGACAUGUUGUUCCUUCUGGACAGACAACUAAAUCUCCUUUGGAUAACUCAUAUUUUAUUCUCUCAGCGUCCACAUUUCGCAUCCUGGUUAGUCUCACGGUAGGAAUGGGGGAGAGGAUUUCCGAUAACCGAGAAAUAGAGUAUGUUACCGCGGGGGUUUUACGUUGAAGGACGGAAGAGAGGACAACAGGGUCCAUUAGAGUGCGGUGAGUACACACGAAAAGGACACCGGGACCGCCUGCGGUGGGAGGGAAAGGUGGAUUUCCCUUCACAAUAACUUUGCCACCAAAUAACCUUGACAUGUGAGGAAUGGCCCAAAAAGGUAAAAUGGCUCCCAAGGUUAACCUGAUUAUGGCUAGUAAAAUACCUAUUGGGAUCCAAAGGAUGAUUAGUAGGGAGGUGAACGGUGUUGGUCGUUUCACCAAUCGGCCGUCGUGGAAGAUCACCGGAUGAGGUCGGAGAAGUUGGCUAUCAUUGUGCUUUUGGCUUGUCCUAAAUGGUGGUUGCAUUUGUUCCUGCACACAUACAACAUAUGUCAUUUAAAUUUAUCUUUGCUUACCCAAUAUUUAUAUUAAAUUAAUUAAAAUUAUUCUCCAUUUUGCAAAAAAUAAAUAAAAAACUACAAUUACGAGUGUUAUCAACACAUUUGUUAUACUGCUAAAAAGGCUGAAUAAGUCACUAAAUUCAGUUAGAAAAUAUAUAAAAUUUGUUGCAAUUUCGUUGCUAAGAAUUAGAAACGGAAAAUUAAAGAUACACGAUUUUAAUAUUUAAGGCUUAAAUGCUUGGUUGAAACUAGAUUUUAACCCUCUUUAUUUUAAAAUUUGGAAUUUUAACCCUUCUAUUUUCUAUUUUUCAGGAUUUUGACCCUCAACAUCUUGAAAAAUAUAUUCUAGCAAGGCCAAAAUCAUGAAAAGUAUAAAACAUAGGGGUUAAAACAAAUUGAAUUUUAAAAUAGGGGGUUAUAGUCCAAUUUCAUUCAAAAUAGGGGGUCAAGUGUAACUUCUAAAAAAUAAAACUUGCAUAUAAGCCAAUAUUUAAUUAAAAAGCAAUAAGAGAAUACCAUAAAAAGGGAACAAAGCCCCAAAAACACAAUUUUCAUAUUACAAAAGUAAAUAGACUCACAAAAAAAAGACAGCUUGAAUUUCCAAAUGAAAUUUUAAACCAAAAAUAUAUAUAUUAUUAGUUGAUUACUAUUUUAAGAAAAAAAAAAUUCUAAUUACACCCAAGUUUUAUCUAGUUACAUCCAAAGACACGUUUUAAACAUAAUAAAAGGACCUCUUAAAAAAAUAAAAAAUAAAACAUAAUAAUAGGACUAAUAUGUCUUUGUUUUCACCUUUCGUGUGGAUGUGGGUGUUUUGAAAAAUUAAAUUUAGUUACAAGGAUAUAUAUUAGUUAUUUGGUUAUGUUUGAAAUAUGUCUUGGCUGUAACUCUAGAAAAAUUCAUAUUUUAAACACCAAAUCAAACUUUUGCAUUCAUAGCAAUUUCUAACUUUGGUUAAAUAAUUUAUAGUUACCUUGCAAAGUUUGGAGAAAGAAUGAUUGCUUGAUGUAGUAGUACUAAACCUUAACAUACCCAAAUUUGGAACUUGGUUAUUGAAAAGUUUAGCAACUCUUUCAGAAACGGAAGUAAUUGAUUCACUUUGAACAAAUCCUGUAGCUAAACCAAACCUAUUGAAAACCAAUUCACUUCCAAUUACUUCAUCUGCACGUAAAUGUUCCUCAACAAACCUCUUCACCAUAACUCCUGGCAUUUUUGUUACCACAACGCUUUUCGCGUAAGAGCUAAAAAUCUUCCAAGCUUCCAUGUCAAGAUCAUCCAUGAAGAAUUUUGGUAAAACAGCUCUUGAAACUGAUUCAAUCUCAGAUUUAUGAAUUCCAGCUACGGCUACAAAGAUCAUUAGCUUGAGACUUAUGUCCUCCAUGCCGAACAUGUCUAGGAACCGAAUCACGGGCCAUAGGAUUAACAGAAGAACGAAGCGAAUCAAACCUGAGGCCUCAAAUGCUACUAACAUGAAGUAGGAGAAUACAUCUGAGUUUUUUAGAAGUGUGCCUUCUAAUUCAGAGACAACAGAAUCCAUUAGAUGAACAAUAUUGUGUUUUUUUUUUUGUGUUUGUGAAAAAUAAGAAAUGAUGUUUUGUUAUGAUUUUAUGUGUUGUGAAUUGUUUUUAUAGUUUCACAAUGUUUUAUUAUAUAAGAUAAGAUUAAGGAAAUGAGAGGGUUGAUUUAUUUGACUUGUCUUUUUUGCUUAGGACUAUAAGGCAGUUUAUCAGUUUUUCAACCACCCUUGUGUUUCUUUUUUCUGUCUCUCUCUAAAUACGUUUUUUUGGUGGGUAUAAUAGAGAAGAAAAUAGAGGUUUAUAAGCAACGUUUAUUGGCAAACACUGAUUACUUAACACCAACGAUAAAAAAAAAAAAAAAGUAUGGUAGAUAGGUACUUUUAGACACCUAAAAUUGGUGCUUGUAAUUUUUGUAUUUAUUUAGGUUACUUACCAUUAGUUUUAGUGUAGUGUACGUAUCAAUUGCAAUAGUAUGGUUUUGUAUAUUAAUAUUAAUAUAAGAAAAGCCAAAGUAUAAGGUGAGUUGGUGUGUUCAAUAAGUUCUAUUAAUAUGAGUUCUAUUUUAAAAUUAUAUUUUAUAAAAUAUAUGUGUGUGAUUUAUAAAAUAAAAUAAAAAAUAUUAUCCAACUUAUAUUAUUCCUCGAAAAUUACUUUUUUUUUUACAAUGAAACAUUUUUAUUGACACAAGUAAAAUACGUAAAUGCCUCCAGCGGCAGUUAACAACCGCUCAAUGAUAUGCCGGCAGUUAACAGCCGCUGACACUCAGCGGUAGUUAACUGUCGUUCACACUUACAAUUAUUUAACUGCCGCUGGUGCCAGCGGUUGUUAACUGAUGGCGCUUUACCCAACGGUUGUUAACUGUCGCUGGGGACAUUUUAUUAUUUUACUUGUGUCAAUAUGAAGUUUUCAUUGUCAGAAAAGCAAUUUUUCUUAUUCCUGACCUGUUCCACCAAUUUCAAACUCAACUCCUACACAGAUGGGUUCACAUAUGGACCUCAUUGUUUUCUUUAAAUUACCAUAUCAUUCUUUCUUUUUCUUUUUAAAAAAUACUAACAAAUAUUCUUAAGACAUUAUUUAAACAUUUUAAAAUAGUAAUUUCUAUAUAAAAAUUGUGUAAUGGUGACUAUUACAUAUGUUACGUUUAUAAUUUCAAAACAAAAUUUUCUUUUUAUGGACUCUAAACAAUGGUUUUAGAGCACAUGAACUCGUCCAAAUUUAUUUUAUGGGACCUAUUGAAGUCGCAUCAUCUUAAAAUAAUUAACUUGUUUUUUGCUCCAAUGGUGCAUCCUUAAAAAACUCAUAUAUUUGGUCUCACAAUUUUGGGUAGCAUUUGGGUGACAUUGGGGUGCCAAUGUGAUGUGACAUUGGUCAACCACAAUGUCACAAGUGUACAAAAUGAUAAAAAAAUCACGGCUUUUGUCUCUCUCAUUUACAAGAAAUUUUAUCAUUUUGUACACUUGUGACAUUGUGAUAGGCCAACAUCACAUGACAUUACCUCACAUAUCAAUAUUUUAUUUAUAUUUUAAUUUAUAACAACUAAACAAAUGUUUUAUCUAGACUUGGCCCCCACAAAAUAACGUUACUUGAUGAAGUAACAAUAUGACCACUUUAGUAUACUCGAGUGGAAGGACCUAUAAAAAAUUGAAAUGUUCAAAAAUACAAGACCCUUCAUUAGAGUUGUUUUUAGAACACUUGUUAGCAUGACUUUUUUUUAUAUUAAAACUCAGUAUUUUACUAAAAAUGGUUGGGUGGGUGGGGGGGGGGACUACUUUUUUUAUCAUUAGAGUUGUUUUUAGAACACUUGUUAGCAUGACUUUUUUUUAUAUUAAAACUCAGUAUUUUACUAAAAAUGGUUGGGUGGGUGGGGGGGGGGACUACUUUUUUUACCAUUAUAAUGGUGCGAAAAAGGGUGUUGUUUUAUGUGACUUCAUCUUUCAUAAAGUUAGUAUAAAAGCUUGCCUUGAGAGAGAAAAACAAAGAAGAAGCAAGCCUUGAGAAAAUAAGAGAAAAUGAAAGCAAAUGUACGAGAAGAAGCAAGCCUUGAGAAAAUGAAAGCAAGACUCGAGUGCACAUUUGAGACUUUUUGAAGAAAAAAUAAAUGAAUGAGGCACAAAUGAAGAGACUAUUUGAAGGGUUAUGUGGUGUUCUAGAAUUUGAACUCUUUACGUCUAUGCUUGGUUUAUUUAAAAAAUGAUAAAUAUAUGCUGAAAUGCAUUUCUUCUGCUAUUUUGAUGGAUCUUUGCUUGUAAACUUCAAAUUAGAAAAUGUAUGUGUUGAUGCUUAUGGGAUUCAUAGAAAAUCCGAUAUGCAUGUUGCAGACAUAACUUUGUUUGUUAAUUUGAAAAGAUACUUCAUUAUUAAGCAAAAUGUUAGCAACUUCUAAGUUUGGAAUUAGUUCAAAAAGAAUAGUUGCACAAUUGAUUGUUAGAUUCACUAAGGUACCUAUUGUCUUAUUAUAUGCAAAUGUUGACCCGGUUAAUACUUAUACAGAAAUUCAAAUAAAAAUAUUUAGACGCACGAUCAAAAUUAAAAAAAUAAUAAUAAUAAAAUAAAAAUUAAAAGAUAUCGAUUGAUGUUACUAAACUAUUUUUAUUUAAUUUUAUUCAUUUCAUAUGAGAGUGUCCAAAUAAUAUUGAUUUGGGGUGUGCUCGAAAAAGUCUUGCUCUUGGAUCGUAUUGAUACCACUUUCUAUUUGAGCUCGGUAGUGUUUUUUUUAGUUUCAUCCUUGACUUGCUUCUUUUCUUCAUAUAGGUUGCCUGCCUUCAUACUAAAUUUGGUUUCUAUUUGGAGAUUGUAUCUUGCUCAUUUCCCUUUUAAGGUGGUUGUGGACCUUGUGAUGGUCUUCUUCUCCUCUUGAGAUGAUCUUCGAUUGGUCAAGUUAUUUGAAUGGUUAACUUUGUAGAUUUCCCAACAUUGGCUUCAAUUUUAACUAUAUAUGAAGGGUCAACUAAAGUCAAAGUAGAUAGGAAUUUAUGUUGCUGCUCAGAUUGGCCUAAGAAAAUGAAGCAAGUUUGGUGUCACCUACAAAAGGUUGGAUAUAUGAGAAAGUAAAUCCCAAUCCCUAUAGGUUAGUAACUAAUUUACAAGCACGGUUGUUCAACAUCUUAGGUGACCCUAAAUUAUAAUUUAUAAGUUGCUGUGUCAUGUAUUCAAUAUAUAUGUAUAAAUAUAAGUCACUAGCAUCCUGGAAAGAGGAAAUGUUAACUCACAUUCUAUGUAACUAAAUUGUCGUAAGUGGAACAUUUUUUAUCUCCAAAUUUGGUAAGGUUGGUAGGAAUUUGAAAUUCAAGGACUAUUUUAUAGCUAUUUUGAGAAGUAAAAUAUAUUGUUAUGUUUAUUCCUUUUUGGUGCCAACAAGUAACCAGAACAAAGCAAAAAAUAUAGCUAUUUUAUAGCCGCAAUUCUUUACUCUAGAAGUCUAAAAUUAAGCAUUGGUAAGGAUGAAACCGUCAAUUGCCAUAUUGGGCUGCACAUUUGUUAGUCUAAUAUUAGAAUUUUGCACUUCUUCCAUCAAAAAUUGCUUGCUUUCAACUGAACUUUCGAAAAUACUCAUACCUAACUUAAGUUAUGUUGCGUGAGUUAACUCACACUAGUUAUAAAUGUUGCGUGAGUUAACUCACGUAACUUGCGUGACUUAAGUCAUGCAGGUGUAUUUUCGAAAGUUUGGUUGGGAGGGAGCAAUUUUUAAUGAGAGAACAGAAGAAUUCCUAAUAUUAUUUCCGAGCCCAACUGAUUUUGAUCCUUUUGGGAUUUGCACCUUAAUAUUUAGAAAAUUACACUUCUCACUUAAGAAAUUGCUCAUUUAAAAAGUGAUUGAAUCGAUCUUAAAAGUGUCACACGGCAGUUAAUUGUUGCUAAAAAUGUCGAGCAACAGUUAACUUCCACUAGUAUAGUGAAUGAACAAUUUCAUAUGUGAGAAGAGUAAUUUUCUAAUUUUUAGUACAUCUUCUUUUAAUUUAAAAAAUAAAAAUAAAAAUAAAAACUAAAGCAUAUACUUUUUAACCUUUAUAUUCAAUGGCAACAAAUAUAUACUUUUUUUAUCUGCUCACACACAUUACUGUAUUUUGACAUUGAGUGUCUUUUGCGGGUACGAGAGAGAACCAUAAAUUAAAAUUUGACAAAGAUUAAGAUGCUAAGACCUAACAAAGACUUGUUCAUUGCCGUUAAAGUGACAAUUUUAUGGUUGAUAUUUUUUUACCGUAAAAGUUGCUUCUGAUGACUUCUUUAAGGAAGGAAGAUAUAUAAUAAAAAAUACAUAUAUAGUAGGAGUAUUUUUCAUCAUUUCACAUAUGGAUUCAAUAACAAAAGAAGGGAUAUGAUUAACAAUUCUGAAACACAAAAUACAUUGACCAUGUUUUGUUAAUUUGCAUGCACGUGAGCCUCACUUAAAUUAUACAUCAACCAAUUCCAAUCUUCUCUAUUGUGCUGGGUCGUGAAUAUAUUGAUUGCAUGUGAUUUCACGUAAGGUACCAAGGUCACAGUGAACGAUCUAAAUUGCCAAAGACAAAUUCGUAGUGGUUGUUUUCCUCCAUUGUUGCAUAUUCAAGAGCAUUGGAGGGGUUCCAUUAUCUUUUAAUUCGAUUACAUAACAUAGCAACAAGAUGACAAAAUCGACUGUGAAAGAAAAUAGUACAUACCAUAAGAAAAAACAAUGUUUCGAUAAAUGCUAGGUUAAAAGCUACAUUGUUUUUAUGAGACCCAGGUCAAAUAUUUUGCCAAGGACUGAAAUAACUAUUCUCUCUUUUUCUCACAUAUGUUUUUGUUCAUUUCCAUCAAAUAGCUGAGCAUGAGUUAACUCACGUAAGACGGAAAUGACCAAAAACAGAUGGAAGAAGAGCAAUUCUCUUAAAUUCCUUGUGUUGUCUGGUUGAAAGUGAUACCCAACUACAAUAUUGCAUAGUGUUGGAUUAACAAAUAAAUGUUGACAUCAAAGUAAUAAACCCCACACAAUGUAAUGUACAACAAGUUAGGUCUUUUUACUCCUAAGCCAGCAAACCCUAAAAGCAAUUCUUACUCGUACUAUUGUCUAACAAAACCAAUAAAUGGAAGUUAAUACAUCAUGUGCUUCAUGUUCAUGCCUCCAAAUGUCUACCAUAGGCCAUUCAACUCAUGUGAAAAAUAUCUCUGUGAGCUUAACUCAAUUGGUAGAGAUAUCGCAUUUUAUAUGCAGGAGUCGGGGUUCGAACCCCGGACACUCCACUUUACAAUAAAUUUUUUAUUUUAGAUCUCUUAAUAUGUUGGAUCGGUCCUGUCUCCAUAUAUAAAUAUUAAUUUAUAUUCAGAUCCAAAAUUUUAUCAUUAUUAGACUAUAUGUAAAUUGCAAAUUUCAUAAAGUUUGUGGUUAUCUAUAACAUUGUAUAUAUUUUUUUUAUUUUAAAAAAAGUCAAUUUCCACAAAGUGGGAUGGAUGAUGACUGAUGAGUCACAACGUGGGAAAUGGCUUUUACCUUGGAUCAGAAGUUGUCCUAAUGUCCUAUAUAAAGUAGAACAGCCAAAUAGAACAUAGAAUUGCAAUUAACAUAAUUACUAUAUGUGAAAAGUAAAAUAAUGUAUCCCCCCUAUUUUAUGUUAAACUUAAAUCCUAUCCAGAAGACAGAGUAAAACCAUGUGCGAUCUGUCUCAAGUUUUAUUUACUUGACUCUAUACAUUAAUUGUAUGUUUGUUCUUUAUUUGAAGUAACAGAUAUUCAUGUGGAAUAAAUCAUGAUAUUCAAAUGGAAUUGGCACAUUCGAUAAGAUGUUUUAGAUGUCCUUUAAAUUAGGGAGUUACCAUGUGAGUAUGUGAUUAGUUAGAUUUUUUUUUUUUCUGUAAAUAAUAACUGUAAAACUCACUCACGCUAACUGUUGAAAAAUAUAAAAUUACAAACCAAACAAUUAGACUCUAGUGAUUAAUGAGAUCAACAGAAGACAAAUUGUUUAAAAUAAUUAAGUUUGGUCGCUAGAACAAUUCUUAAUCAUAUUUUAUGUACUUCUCGACUGAACUAUAUAUUACCAAAAAAAAAAUCUCCUAAAAACCGGGUUAACAAUAUAUACACACACAUAACAUGGUUGCAGACUUGCAGGUCUGAAUUUACAUUUUAACGUAUCAAAUAUUCAUGCUACAUGCUUGUGAAAAAGAAAGAAAAAAAUAAAAAUAUUCAUGCUACAUUUUUUUUAGAUGUACUUAGUCUAAAGUAUUUGGUGUGUGAUAAUCGUUUACAAAUAUGUAGGGCCCACAUUCAUUAACCAUUACUUCCUCCGUUUUAAAAUAUAAGCAAAAUUCAUUUUUUAGGUUCAUUCAUUUAAUGAUGUAUGUGAUUCAUACAUAUAUUAUUAAAUGAAUGAACCUAAAAAGUAAAUUUUACUUAUAUUUUAAAACGAAAGGAGUACAUAUUUAGGAGCCCUCCUUUCAAAUUAUAUGUACUCACGUGCAGCCUACCCAAAAAUCGUGAAAGAUUUAGUGAGAUACUUCUUCAUUCCUUUUCAAUGUUGAUUUUUUUAUAGAAAAAUAUUCCUAUUUAUCAAUCAUUUUCGAAUUUUAGGAUUACAUUUAAUUAAUUUUUUGUCAAUUAAUUCACUUUACCUGUAUAGAUUUUGCAAUGAAAAAAAAUAUCAAUCAUUUUAUGCUUAUGUUAAUGGAGGGAAGAGACAGAGGAAUGAAUCUGCCAAUAAAAGAUAAACGAAAAUGAUUUAUUAACAUCAUUUUAUUAAUAAUGUUAUGAAUAUUUUAAUACAUACACACACCAAUUGAAUAAUAAUUUUAAUAAAUAUAAAAAAUCUUUAAACUAUAAAAACAAAAUAUGAAAUAAUAUUGGUGGUAUUUCAGCAAAUAAAUAAAGUUUGUCAAUAUACCUCGUGAGUAUAGGCUGUAUAGUUCUCCCCAUGAAACUUUACCGUAGAUUAAUGUUUUUUUUUUAAAAAAGCAAAUAUAAUUAAACAAACAGAUCCAUGUUCAAGACGAUCAGAAAUCGGUAAAACUGAUACUAUAAACAAUAGGCGUCACCAAAAUACAGGCUCCUUCACGAAAAAUAACCACAGUAAAAAUGAUAUUCAAACACUCAUCAUCACUACUCACCUCAUUAAAAAACACCCUUUAAAAUAAAACUCUCAGUUUUGAACACUAAAACCGAGCCACCUCCGCAAAGCUCUCAUCCGAAAGAUCAUUCAGUUUCCACCGGCACUUAAUGUAGAUUAAUGUGAUAUCAAAAUUAUAAUAAGUCUCCAAUAAGAAAAGAAAAUUAAUUUGUUUGUUUGAGAAGAACAGAAAAAAGUUGGCAGGUGAUAUUAUAUUCUAUGCAUUAAAUUAACAGAAAUGAUAUUUGUACAAUCAUUUUAUGACAAUUUUUUAACAACCUUCUCUCUCAUACUCACAUUAUAUUCUAUUGUUCCUCUUCUUUUUUCUCUCUCCAUUGUUUUUGACCAAUAAAAAAAAAGAUAAAAAAAUAUCACAAGAGUUGUCUUAAAUGGAUGUUCAAAUAUCAUUAUAAUUUAAAUAUCAGUAUUGAAAUUCAACAAUGAAACUCCAGAAUCUGAUACUCGACUUUUAUUUAUAUUUUAUCGUACCAUUAAAAAAUUAGCAACAAUGUUAUCCACUGCAGAAUCUAGUGUAGACAUGAAACAGAAGCCGACACGACACAUUGCACGAGUACCAUCUCACAGAGAUAUACAUUAGUUUAAAAUCUGUUCAUUUCACUGAACAAGCAAAUACAUUAGUUUAUGAUUCAAUUAUUCAAUUGUGGUCGAACUAGUGUGACUUAUUUCUUUUAGCAUGAGCUAAUCUCGGUUAGAUAAUGGAAUGGGAUUUCUUGACGUAAAUGCGUCCUGCAGUAAUAAAUUUCAAUCGUUCGAUUAAAAUAAAUGGUCGAGAUUGUUUUAUUAUAUAUAAUUGAGUUGAAAUUUUAGCCGUCUGAUCUCAAAUAAAUAGAUGAUAUUUAUUAUAGCGUGUGAAACAACGAUUAAACUUUAAAGUAGAAAAAUCAUAUCUUUGGGUAAUAUACUCCCCCUUCCUUUAUUUUUUUCAUGGCCGUUUUCAACAAUUUAAAGACCUUGUUUUAAUUAAAAAAUGACCAUCUAAAAAAAAAGUUAAAAACUAAAAAAAAAAAAAAUUAUUUAUACUAUAAGCAUAAAUAAUAUCAAAAAGAAUGGUUUUCAAUUAACAAAAUUUAAGAAGUUUGUUUUUUACGACGGAUCACUUUUUUCGGUGAGGUCUACGUUACCCUCUCUUGUUUAGAGGGUAAUUACUCUCUCAUGAUAUCAACCAAUCAAAAUGUAAUAUACAUAAGUAACAUUAAAUAUCAAAUAAAUGAGUAGAUUUUUUCUAAAAAUAAAAAGAGUUAAUCUUAAUUUUAUUUUUUUAAGGAGAGUUAAUCUUAAUCAUAAGGUAACUUUUAAUACUUUUAAUUUUUUUUUUGCGAUGAAACUAAAUCUCUUUCUCCACAGGGUUUUGAUUUUUGUGUUUAAAAGAAGAUUUGAGGUGAAUAUAACAUUAAUUCAUGAUAUUUGUGUAGAAUUUUUUUUGAUUCAAUAAAGAUGAUAAAAAUUCAAAGGAAGAAGAUGAAGAUGAUGAACAUCUUCAUCAUAUUUCUGGAUUUUUUCAUUUUUAACAAAAAUAUAUUUUAAAAAAUAAAAUUAUGUAUUUUUUUUUUAAAAAAAGUAUGAGAAAAAGGAUGUAUAUGUGCUUUUAUAAGAGAUAAAAGACCUAAACGGAAAAAAAUAAAGAUAAAGGACCAAAGUGUUACAAAUAAAAAUUAAAAGUAUUAAAAGUAACCUUAUGAUUAUAACUGAUUUUUUUUUUUUUAGAAAAAAUUGACUCAUUUAUAACAUUUAAUGUUGUCAAUGUAUAUUACAUUUUGAUUGGUUGAUAUCAUAAGAGGGUAAAUAUCCUCUAAACAAGAGAGGUAAUUUAGAAAAAAAAAAAAAAAAAGAAAAAAAAAAAACCCUUUUUUUUUUGUAUUUUAUGUAUUUAUCUUUUAAUUCAUUAAUUUAUGUUCCUUUUGAAUAAAUUAGAUUAGUCCAUUUAAGUUGGCAUCAAGGAGAAUCAAACCUGAGACAUUGAAGAGAAGCAUAAUUUAAUGUUUUAAGCCAACACCAACGGACCAACCCAAGUGGGUCACAGGAUAGCUCUAUAGGAGUCACUUGGACAUGUUGAGGUCCUACUAAUGCUAUGAUCGGCCGACUUUGUUGAGCAAUGUUUGCUUGAUAUUGGUUCUCUUGCAUACCUUUUGGAGUAUUGUGAUUGAAUUGUCACCGGAAUUGGCUCACACAGCCUCCAAAUAUUUGGCUUGUUGAAACUUGUUUGAACCAUAGGUUUCAUAGUGUCAACAAGUUGUUUGGAGACUUGAUACAUAUGUCAUGUAUCUCCAUGUCAAUAUGUUUAAUUAAUUAUAGGCAUUGUCAUUACUAGUAGAGUCUUGGGUUCUUCAACUUGUUGUACCUCAGAAACUCUAUAAAGAGCCAUGAAACUCCUUCUGGUUGAGAAGGUUCAUUUGAUCAAGAAUGUCUUGACAUUCUGGUUGCCGAAGACGAUGGUUGUUUCAUAUUUCAAAACCUUUUCUAUUCCUUAAGUUCAUACGCCAAAUGUAAUUUGGAUCUGACAGACUAGAUUGUUCAAUGGUAAAGUUCGAAUUGUCUCACAUGACGUGUCAAAUUUGUUGAUGGAAGCUGAAAUUAGUGAGGUCGGGUGAAUUUCCUCAAUUGUGAUUCUCUUGCUUUUGAAGAUUAACAUUGUGGGAGGAACUAUGUCCCCCAAUUGUGGGUUCCCUAACUACUUUAGUAGAGUGAUUGGUAAAAUUGUGUUUGGACUCCCUUAUUUAAUGCAAUUAACAUUGAGGGAGGAACUAUGUCCCCGAUUAUGGUUCCCUUAUUACGUUAGUCGAACGAUUGGUAAAAUUGUUAUGGAUUUUUUGAGCUGCACUAAGAAGUGCAUAAAAAACAUAAGAUAGUAAAAAUAUUGCCUAUUAGUCAAACAUUGUGGCUUACAGUACGUAGCCCUUAUUUGACUAAAUUUCAAUGGUGCUGCAUGAUAUCUUCUUAAGUACUGGGAUUCUUGGGCCCAUGUUUGACUUAUACUUCCUCUCCUUGACAUGAUUCGUUAACAAGCUCCUUUUGUGCGCAACUCUACUAGAGAUUGUAUCAUUCCCCUCGUUCCUCAAAAGGGUUGACAAUGUUGAGAGUGGAUAUCAUGGAUACAACAUCAUUGCCUGGUGCCACAAUGUCUUUGACUCUUUUUUGAGUCUUAGACGUCCAACGUGAUGAAUUAGUGAUCUUGAGAAAUAAUCAGCUCGCUCGCUUGUCUGCUCUAGCAUCGCAUAUCCUUCACUCAGGUCAAGGGCUUCCUCACAUAAUUGGCUAAUCGCAUAUUUUCCAAAUUCAGCUAACAAGAUAAUUAUUUUUAGGUGUUAACAAUAAUAACAAUAAAAUUAAGCACAACUGAAGACCGUUGUUGAUGAGAUAAUAAUACUACAAAAACAACAGUCAAAUCACACAAACAGACAUGGGUAUCUUUUUGAAAAAAGACAUGAGACCAUAUAUACAGGGGCGGACCUGAACUAGGCCCAGUGUGGCAAGUGCCACACCAGCCCAGCCAGACCCAAUAAUAUUUUGUUUUAUUUGGACACUGCUUUUUGUUCAGAUUUUGAACGUUACUUUAGCAGAGUAACCUUUAGCAGAGUAACACAAUAAAGGACCCACCAAGAAUGUUUUGUUUGUUUGUAUCUUUGGAGUACACUCUUUAUUUAUAAGCUAGCUCAUCUCUCAAUGUCUUAAAAGUGGCCGAUGUGGGACUAAAUUUCUUCAUGCUUUAACCUUAUUGUUGAGUAUUUCUUUUUGGUAAUGUGCAGGCAAUCCUUUCUUAUUCUUUAAACUUCCAAUUUGUUUUUUUUGUAUGUGCAAACAAUUUGUUUUAGGUUGUUUCUCUUUUUCCUUCUUUUUUUUUUUUUAUAAACUCUCUAUUUUGGUUACUAUAUUUAAAUUGAAAUUGAUUUUAGCUUUUAGAUUUUGGCUACAAAAAAAUUAUUUAAUUAUUUGACAAAAAAACUAUGCCCCAACAAUAUUGCGAGUCCAGAUCCGCCCCUGUGUCAAAUGUGUAAUUGACAUACAUUGAUACAAGACUGCAAAAAUAUGGUAUAAGUGUUUAAGUUACAUCACAAUUUUGUGCACUAUAUUGUAAACUGUAGGCUUAAAUAGGUCUUUCGUUCCUGCAAAUAUAGGUCAUUUGAAUUUUCGUCACUGAAGUUACUAAUCCUUCCAUUUGGCAUUGCAAAUAUUAAUCAUUUGAAAAAUGGUCAUAAUUACAUCUGAUUAGUAACUUCAUGGACGGAAAAUUCAAAUGACCUAUAUUUGCAAGGACGAAAGACUUAUUUAAGCCAACCACCUCGCCCAAUCAUCACUUGCCACAUGGGCACCACGUCACUAAUGACAUCCCACCUCAGCGAAAAAACUUGUUGGAUAUUUGUAUAUUGGCUUCACUUUUGCCUAAAACAAAUAUUCAUGUGAGAUGUUGAACACGAUGUGCCAACAUCCUGGCAUGGUUCAGUUGACCUGCACCCUUCCUUGUUUUACGCACGCGCUAUUUUAUUUAAGGAAUCCACGCCUUUAUUCUUGUUGGUCAAGCUGCGUGUUUUUAGCACAGGAUCAGAUCGAUUUGUGAUUUCUUAUGACAUUCUGUCAUUACUCUUUUAGUAGACAUUUUUCAUGUAAUUUUUGGGGUUAUUUAUUGUAAUUCAUUGAGUUGCAAGCUACAGAAGAACAAGAAAUUGAAGUUUGAAGAAGUCAGAAUCGGCCACCGAUUUUUGCUGCUGAUUUUCUCCCUUUUGAUUCGACAAAAAUCGGCCGCCGAUUUUGCCAGACUGGGCACACGUUUUAACGCAUUCGGCCACCGAAUUUUGGACUCGGUGGCCGAUUUUGACAGGCUUAUAAAUAGAAAAGUCUGUUUUCAAAGGGAGGGUUCACGAUUUUAGAGAGAAAAGGCAUAUUUGGAGCGGAGGCUUUGAAGAUUUGGUGGGAGACCAUCACAACUCAUAGUCAAUUAUCCAAUACAUAUAUGAAUCCUUGAUUUUAUGUGAGUUAUCUUGUACUGUAGUUAUGAGUAACUAAUCUCUUUAUGGUUCAGCUUGAGAUGAAUCUGAUGUAAUCCUAUGGGAACCCUAAUUUGUUGAACUCCUUUGAAUAUCAUUGAAAGUCUAGUUUUAAUUCAUAUUACUUUAUGUUUUAUGCUUUUUGUAUGUUUAUCAUUGACUACUAACCCUAGCUUUAUGAAUAUGCAAACUGAUCUUAGAGAUUAAAUGACCACUAACCCUGGCUUUUGACUCUGAUCUAGGUAAUAAGUUUAACUUAAGUAAUCAAGCUAGAGAUAGAUCAUUAUUAGGUUAUGAGAUAGGGAUUAACGUUCUUUUAAAACCUCCAACGGUUUUGAAUUCACUUAAGAGAUUAAGGGGUUGUCACAUGCGAGGAGAAUUCUAGGUCAAGAGAUUGGGUAGAAUUACUUUGUUAAUCUGUCGUUAAACUAGAUAAUCAUUGCUUGAAUUAGGAGUGCAAAUUACCAUAGGAGAACUUCAGAGGAUUUGAAGGUCUUAACCAUACUUCUCUCUAAUAUUCUGAAAACCAACUUUUAUUGUUUUAUUUACGUUUAUGUUACACAACAACUCAACUGCCUAGGGCAAUCAAUAUAAAUUUAUACAUCCUUUUUGAUAAAGAAAUUGCCGAGUAGAAAUUAACAACGGUCCUUGUGGAUACGAACUUUAUUACUACUUCGAUAGCUUUUGGUACACUUGCCAAAUAUCUAUCAAGUUUUUGGCGCCGCUGCCGGGGACUGUUGAAUUAUUUCAACUUGGUAAUUUCGUUAUUAUUUAGGAUUUUUGUCAUUUACAUAAUUGUUUAUAUAUAUAAAAAGGGAGCCCCUAAUAUGGACCUCUUUCUUUAAGGUUCACCCAUGGUCCUAGGUAAAUGACCUACAAUAGUGGGUAGAUACAUUUCCUUUCCGGUUUACAUGGGUGCAUACAAAAUCACCUUUUCAUUUUCUAUCCUCUAUUUCACUUUGUACACCCUCCUCCUUCCAUGUGAAUGUGAAUUUUCACCAAAAUUAGACCCGUGAAACCACUAUCUUUCAUCUUUCUAAGCAUAACAGUAGAAACAACCUCGACACAGAGAAAGUAACAAGAGGCAUAAGAUGAAGAAGAAUCACUAUGAAGUUCACAGAUCUCCAAUCUUCAAAAUGGUUCCCUUGGUUUCUCAACUUCACUCAUUUAUCUCUUCACUCAUUUUGGACUGCAAGUUAAAUUGUGAAUUUGAAGUUAAACAUUUUUUUUUUGACAAAUUGAAGUUAAACUAUUCUGUGAAUGAUGAAAUAAAAGCUGCGUUAACCAAAAGUGAGUUAGCGAUGAUUCAUUGAUCUCUGAUUACAAAGCUCUAGCCAUGGUAAAUAUUCAUAUGCCAGGAGUAGGGUGUACAAUAUGAAAUGGGGGUUAGAAAAUUAACAAGUGAUUUUGCACCCGAAAAGUAAGUGUCUACUCACUAUUACAGGUCAUUUAGCAAGGACUAUGAGUGAACCUUAAAGAAAGAGGUCCAUAUUAGGGGCUCCCAUAUAGAAAAUUUGAAAAAAAAAUUAUGAUUUCAUCCCUUCAUGUUUAUCUCAUUGAACUUUGCUACUAAAAAGUUUAUCCAAGUUUUGCAGCUAUGAUAGACAGGUUAGUAGACAGAUUACGCCUAUGACACAGAAGAGAUUAUUACGUUGCAGUAUGAAAAAUAUUUGCUAUCUGUGAAGAUGAAACAUUGCGACGAUAAGAUCUCAAGAUUAAAUACGAGAUGUGAUCUUUAUGAGGCAAAUCAAACAAAUAGUGAUUGUGAAGGGAAGAAAGAGGUGAUCAACAUCGAUUACAAUACUCAACUUCAAAUUAUUUUAGAUAAUUUCUUGAUGUCAAAUCAAGUUUCAUUUGAAAAAUUUGAAGUUCAAUGUGGUAAUCUUGUUGAGAAAGCAUAUGAGUCUCAACAAAAGUUGGUUGAGAUGGAGACUGAGUGUAAGGCUAUUGUGGUGGACGACAAUCCACAAGUGAUAAGUGUUGGUCUCUACCUGAAGUCUCAGCAAAUGGGGUCUGAAGAACUCACUCAUGUGCAAAUGAAUAUAUAUCCUUCUUUAAGGUGGGAGAACUUAAAUUCCAAAGGUUCAAUAGUGAGUGCAUGGGAGUAUCUGAUUCUUUAUGCCUAGUUCAUGGAAUUCCUGCCAAACAAGAGGAAGAAGAAGGUGAUAUAUUCUUUCUAUCAUUUUUGCCACCCUAACAGUGGUUGAAGCGUCAAGCUCAAUGACGUAAAAGAAAGCGCUUGAUGGGAGGCAACUCAUCCUUUUCCCUGCUUUGCUAUUUGUUUAUGUUAUUCCAUUUGUUAUAAACUUUUGUAUGGAGUCAACUUGAGAAGUGUCUGGUUUAUGAACUUAUUAUUCCCUUAUUUUGGAAUGCAUCUGAAUUUGUUUAUUAUUAAUGAAUUGACUUUUCUUGAAAUUUUCCAGUUCAGCGAAAAUACACAGUCAGCUGGCCUAGGGGGUAUUCCAAAACAAAAAAAUUUUUACAAGGACGAAAUCUGACAAAAAAUUUUUACAAAGGGGAAAACCAAAAGUGACUUAUAUUACAGGGGGUAAAUACCUUUUAACCCAUGAUUUUAUAUUGCAUAUGUCAAAUACACUACAACACCGAAUUUUAAGAAUAUGAUGAUGUUAAAAUAAUAUGAGAUGAAAAUGUAAUAGUUUACAAUAACUAUUUUUUAGCGAUUGUCUUAAUGCAUGCUACUUCAGUUGUUUCACCCAUCAAUUAUAAAUUGCAUUGAUUUAUGUAUCAAGAAUUUACAUUUUCUAUACAUUGAAGAACCAGAAAUUGGUAGAAUGUAAACACAUUUGAUAAUAAGAAACAAGAGGGUGGGGGGAUACUUGUUGGAGAUCACAUUUAUCUUCUAUUUGCAGUUUGACAAAUAUUUCUAUUUAUAAUUUGACAAACAUGCAUAUAACAACUUGUUUAUGUUUUAGUAAAAGCUUAAUUUUCUUUAAGCUGAAAAAACAUGUUGAAUGAUCAACUUGGUAUUACCGUGGGGGUGUUGUGACUGCCUCGUUUGAUUUUGUAUUUGAUGAAAGAUAUUGCAUGAAUACAAAAUACUGUUUGUCAAGUUCUACAACAACAAUAUCAUAAUACAUACGUGGGACAAAUUCAUACACAUCGAAUACAUUCUAUACAUGUAUCAUAGAUCUAUACAAAAUGUAAUAUUGUAACUAUAGUAAUGUUUGAACAUUAAAAUGAAAUUAUCGAAAAAAAGGUUUGACAACUAACAAGAUAUGGGGUUUUGAGUUGGAUGUUCGAGAAAAAGUUGUGACUCCUUUUUAAUUGCUUAGUCUUAACAAGCCUUCUCCCUCUACCCAAGUCAGGAAUGACAGGGUAGUUAAUGCAAUACAUUUGACGCAUUUUAUUGGCAAAUAUCACGAUUCUUCCAGUUUCGACGCCUACAAUUGAAAGAUUUUAUUCGACAGUGAAAAUUGUCAAUAUUAAUUUGAAAGAAAAAAAUGGAAAUGAGUUAUUAACAUAUAACACAACAACUUACAAUGGAAGAAAUAUUGCAACAAGCAAGUUCUGAUGUUGAAGGAGUAUUACGAAGAAAAUCUCGAGUUUGAUCCAUGCUGCUAUCAAAAUUUAUAUUCCUUCAACAAAUUAAUUACUAAGAUUUGUCCAUGAUGCAGUAGAUCGUAAGAUUUUGAUUAUAAUUCUUUUAUCAAAUUUUAUAAUCUCAAAGGAUUAAUUUAUAAUUCUCUUGAGAAUUAUAAAUUAAUUUAUAACCACUAAUUCAACUUUAAUUAAUAAUACUUUUAUCUUUCCAUUUUUUUUUUAAAACAAAUAAGAUUUGCCUACGAAGAAAGCUAUUAUGUUAGCCAGUUGGUUUGUAAAAGGAUAAUAUAAAAAGAGUAAUGUCAAACAUUUAAUCAUUUUAAUAUAAAGGCUGAUGAUAAUAGUUUAAUUUUCAUGCACCGAUAAAUGUAAAAAGUCAAACAAUUUUAACUAUAAUCACUUUUAUUGAAUAAGAACCUAUCUUUAAAAGACCUUACACACACAUAGCUGUGAUUUAAUUGAGCAUCAAAUUCACAUGAUAUAUGUGACCCUGAGACACAUACUUACUUAGGGACAAACGUUAAUGUAGAAGGUUUGGACACACUCACACAAAUGCUUUUUUAAAAGAUAAAUUUUGUUGAUGUUGAAUGAUGUGAUUAAUUUAUUUAUCAAUUAAUUUUCUCCAUUGUUGUGUGUGCGCCCAAAUAAUUUUAUUUAUGUUUAUAUCUAUGUAAGGCUUUCUCGUGACUCUCAAUGUUCAAUAUCUCUCUAUCCAUUAUCUAAUAAAAUAAUAUAACAUGGAGUAAUAUCUAUUUUGAAUCUCCAACAAAGAUCUCAUAAAGACAGAGAAUGAAGAACCAAAGGAAAAUUCUCUAUCCAAAGUUGUAUAAUUUGCAUUACAUGCACAAAUAGUUCUACAAGGAUGUACUUCUUCUAAAUUAGACAAAACCAUGCAUUUUUAAAUUUUUCACACAUCAUCUAUUUUCAACUAAAGUACAAUAAAACAACGUUAGUUUUUCUCACUUAUACACACAUAAACAAACAAAACCGACCCAAAAAAGUGACACAACAAUAUCAUAUAUAUUCAAUCUUCAAAACAAUAGUAAUUAUAUCAAAGUUUAUUUACUAAAAUGGAACAUGCGUGGUUAAACAUUUUUAAUGUUAACUAUUGAAUAAAAUUUAAUUUGAUUUUGUUGUUAUUAGGUACCGUUUUCUUCUCUUCCACCCAAAACAUAAAACACUACUUAUGCUGAUAGGAUUGUCUCAAUUGAUAUAAAGUUGAAUCAUUGUAAAAUGUGAGAUCAAUUCCGCUCUUAGUUUAAGAACAAUUUUUAUUAAUUGUCUGAAAGUCAAUCUGUUAACAUUCGAGUUGAGUUUUGAAAUCUGCUCCGAUCCUCAUAGUGUCCAAAAUUCAACUUCUAUAUUUAUAUAUUUUUAUGUAAAAAAAUAAAACGCCACUUAUGAAGAAUGUGUUAAUACACAAGAUAAUAAAAACCCUAAUAUCCUUAGUGCAAUAACAAAUCCCUAAACACACACAAAUCAAUCUCAAACCUUUCACUACAAGAUCCAACGGUUGAAAAGUGUGGAACACUCGUGCUUAUCACUCACCACCAUCUUUCUUCACACUCAUUUCACUUCUCAGUACUGUUUCUGUUUCUCUCCUAACAUGAACCAAAACAUCAUCAUCGAUCUUCAACGUUGUUGUUCCUUUUCACUUUGAACAACAUUGAUCUUUGUUUCAAUUCCAACCCAUUAACAUAAUCAUAAAACCCAUCAAGAAAAACAUAAUUUUUUUCAUCUUCAAACGUUAAUUCUCAGCUGGGUUGUAAAAAAAUCCAACUUUAUUUCUUAAAGGUGUGAUUUUUAUCCUGUUCUUCGUUUAAAGAUUGAAUCUUUAUUGAAGUUUAACGUGUUUUUUUCAUCUGGGUUGUGUUUUUUUGUUGUGGUUGUAGGUGUUGAACUUGUUGAAGUGAAGUUUCUUUGAUUUUGUGUUUGUGUUUUUCUAAUGGUAAGUGAUAAUUACCAGAAGAUGAUGUCUGAUGUCGCUGUUCGAUCGAUGGUGAAAAACGGUGAUUUCGCUGAAGAUUUAGCUGUUUUAAGGCGGCAACAACAAGAGGUGAAUGAAAGAGACAGGGAAGUUGCAAGGUUGAGAAGUGGGUCGGCACCUCCUACUGUUGAAGGGUCUAUGACGGCGUUUGGUGGUUUAUACGGUGGUUCUCAGGUAAGUUAUGGCGGUGGAGGUGGUGGUGGAGGUGGGAGGGGUUUUGGCAGUGAAGAAGAGAUUCGUGCUGAUCCAUCUUAUGUGAAUUAUUAUUAUCAGAAUGCGAAUCUGAAUCCUAGGCUGCCUCCACCGUUGGUGUCGAAGGAGGAUUGGCGGUUUUCGCAGCGGAUGAAAGGUGGUUUGAAGGUUGGAGGGAUUGGAGAUCGGAGGAGGUUGAAUGGUGAAGGUGGUGAUGAGGGUGGAGAUGGUGAAAGGUCUGUUUUUUCUGGACAGGGUGGUGUGUUUAAUGGGAAGGAGGAUGGUGUUGAAUGGGGCGGCGAUGAUGGCUUGAUCGGCUUGCCAGCAUUGGGGCUUGGGAGUAGGCAGAGGAGCAUUGCUGAGAUAUUUCAGGUGAGGGUUUAGGCAAAUUUUUAACACGUUUGUAUUUGGAUAUUUUGUUUGUUUUUUUUGUUGUUAUAAGAUUAGCUGAACUUGUAAUUGAAAUUGUGUUAUUGUGUAUGUGUUUUUAAUUUCUUAGAUUGAGACCUUUUUAGCUAACCUUGUGAUUUGAGUAUGUUGUGUGUUUUUAAUUAUUUCAAAUAUAUGUUUGUUGUAUUCAAGAUUUUAUUUAAUUCACCUGGGUUGCUAUCCCUAAUAUAUCGGAGAUUUGCGCGGGAUGGUGUUUGUAGUUGCAGAUUUUAAUUCAAGGUUUUAAAUCACCCUCGUCGCGAAUCCCUGAAAUUGCGGAGAUUCGCGCGGUACGGUGGAUAUUUUUGAAAAACCCUUGUAGUAUUACUUAUGUUCUUUUUUGAAGAUUGAUGGUUUGACACUAGUUGACGUAAUGUUGGUAAUUGAUAUUCUUUCUGGAUUACUGUAAUAGGAUUUAUAGAUAAUGAAUUGAUUAAUGUAGUUUUCUGUUUUAUAUCUCUUAAAGGCAGCUGUUUACUUGUCUUGUUAAUGUAUGUGUUUAAGUUGACUUUGAAUUCAUUCUGAAUUUGCAGCAAUCUUUUUUGUUUGUUUCUGUUGUUGGAAUUUCAGUUUUGUUGACCGGUUUUUGUCUUUUAGUUAUAGCUAAGUUGAAUUUGGAGAUUCAUUUCUAUCUACUUGAAAUUUCUUGUCUGGAGUGUUACUUUGUAACUGAAAAAUGUUAUUAUAAUUUUAAUGAUCAUGAGCUAAAAGUUACGAGUUCCGAUAAAUUAUAUACUAAAAUAUUGUUUAUCGUGUUGUCGUUUUGUGUAAUUAUUGUUUCUAACAUUUUCUUUAUCAUGAUUUUCAUAGCAGGACGAAAUGAAUAGUGCUGCAUCUGCCUCCAAGCAUCCUCAUCAUCUGCCUGGCCGUAAUGUGUUCGAUGACAUUGCUGAAAAACCGGAAAACCAUUUUGCUUAUCUGCAUCAAGAUUUGGAAGAUUUGCAGUCUGGUGGAAAUCUUGAUGGUUUGGCAUCUCAGUCUUACGCUUCAGCUUUAGGAUCCUCCUUGUCAAGGAGCGGCACCCCUGACGCUCAAUUUGUACCAAGAGUUUCCAGCCCUUCUAUUCCACCCAUUGGCGAGGGUAGGUCCAACGCUGCAGACAAACGAAGUUUCAAUGGCCAAAACUCAUUUAAUGGCGUCUCGUCUAAUUUAAAUGAGCCUGCGGAUCUCGUAUCUGCUUUGGCUGGCAUGAAUCUGUCUCAAAAUGAUGCAAUAGAUGAUGAGAAACGUCCCCCGUCAGAUUACACUCAUAAUGCUAAGCAGUACCAAUACUUAAACAAGUCUGAUUCUCUACCUUAUCUGCGCCAUUCUGUGAACAAUCCCUAUUUGAAAGCGAGUAAAAGUAGCGCCAGUUUUGGAUUGGAUAUGAAUGAUUCUAUGUUGUACGCAACUGAACAGCUAGAAUCUCGUAAGGCUGGUGGAUAUUCUGAUAACUCGCAUUUCAAAGGAUCUACACCAACUUUUACUGGAAGAGGUGGUUCGCCUGCUCAUUAUCAGAACGUCGAUGAUACACAUAUCUCGCACGCCAACUAUAACAUGGCUGGGUUUGCUGUUAACCCUUCAUCACCACCGAUGAUGGGAAGCCCACACGGGAGUGCAAAUUUGCCUCAUUUCUUUGAACAUGCUGCUCCAUCGUCUCCGCUUGGAAUGAAUGCCAUGGACUCUAGAGGCUUGGCAAGAGGCGCAAAUUUAGGACCUUUGUUGGCUGCGUCAGAGUUACAGAAUGCAAGCAGGUUGGGAAAUCAUGCUGCAGGUAGCACUCAUCAGCUUCCCUUGAUUGAUCCUUUGUAUCUUCAAUAUCUGAGAUCAGGCGAAGUUGCUGCUGCACAGAGAAAUAAUUCAAUUACUGAUUUACUUGGCCUCCAAAAAGCUUAUAUAGAGUCAUUAAUUGCUCAGCAAAAAGCACAGUUUUCUGUCCCCUACUUAGGUAAAUCAGCUAGCAUGAACCAUAAUUCUUAUGGAAAUCCAUCAUAUGGUCAUGGCAUGUCGUAUCCAGGAAGUCCACUGGCUGGUUCUCCCUUCCCAAGCUCCAUGUAUGGGCCAGGUAGUCCUAUGAGCCAAAGUGAGCGGAAUAUGCGUUUGGCUGCUGGGAUGAGGAAUGUUGCCGGAGUUUUCACGGGAGCUUGGCAUUCUGACGCUGUUAGUAGUUUGGAUGAGAACUUUCCUUCUUCGUUGCUUGAUGAAUUCAAAAGCAAUAAAACCAAAUGUUUUGAACUUUCAGAAAUUGCUGGGCAUGUUGUUGAGUUCAGGUGCAUAAUGCUUGGUCAUAAUGUUAUAUUUUUCUUGACUUUGAACAUUUAUCUAACUCAUUUUUUUUAACAUAUUACUUAACAGUGCUGAUCAGUAUGGAAGCCGUUUUAUCCAACAGAAACUUGAGACAGCUUCAAUGGAAGAGAAAACAAUGGUUUUCAAUGAAAUUAUGCCAAAAGCACUUACUCUUAUGACUGAUGUCUUCGGUAAUUAUGUGGUUCAGAAGGUAAUUCUGUUCUUGACUUUGAACUUUAUAGUGUGUUACUGUUAUGCUUAAAUGGGUAUCAAAUUCACUAUAUAAGGAAAAAUAACUUCCAUACUUAUUCUAUGCAUUCCUAACUUACUCUGAAUCAUGUUCAGUUUUUUGAGCAUGGAACAGCGGAACAAAUAAGAGAACUGGCUGAUCAGCUUACUGGUCAUGUGCUGACCCUAAGUCUUCAAAUGUAUGGCUGCCGAGUUAUCCAAAAGGUUUGUCUGAUCAUCAAUUUAUCCACCUUAUGAUAUUUACCACCCUAUUAUUGUGCACCCUGUCGUUUUUAUGAUACCACCCUAUUAUUGUGCACCCUAUCGUUUUUAUGAUUUACAAUAUUCUAUAAUUGUAUUACACUUAAUGGUCUAAUUAGAGAGCUGAUACUGUCCUAAUUAGUGAGGCACAAGAGAAUAAAAUCAUAUUAAAACUGUACCCAAUCAACCCCUAGUUAAAGUAAUUACAAUAAAAAAGAAGAUUUCCGAGUUUUUACCUAAUUAGUCGCAUGCUCUUACCACCCCUGAACUUGUUCGAUCACAUACAAAAUCAGGAUACAGUGAGAUUGGAUUGAGAUCGCAAACAUCGUGAGAUCAUUCAAUCUUGUGAUCCCAAAAAAGAUGAUCGCUGGGUCGUGCUGCUCGACCUAGUUCCCCUAAACCUUGCCUCCUCCUCUUCAACGACUUCCGGCAAGCAUCUGUUAAUUCUGGCCUGCAAGUGAUGGUCUCCGACAAAUCUACUUGAUUGCUCUGCUUGCAGCAAUCACACUACGCAAAAGGGGCAAGAAAAUACGAGGUGGUUGGAAGGCCCGACGGCUUUCCACGAGUGAGCCGCAGCAGUAAGAAGACUCUGUUUAGUUUUUAAUGACUGGAUGGGGGGAAUUAGGGCAGGCACUGGUUUACAAUUGGACUAAUAUUUUGUUUUUGGGCCCAUGUCAAUCAUUAAAUUGGGCUCUUUGAUGGAAAACAACCUCUUUUUUGAAAUUUUUAUUUUAAUAAAAAGACAGGAUAAUAAUUUUUUUUUGAAGGAAAAAAGACAGGAUAAUAAUUGAAAAUAAAUAAAUAAUAUAUUAAAAUAAAUAUAUCAUAAAUGAAAAAAAGUAGAAUUAUUUAUGAUAAAUGUCUUAAUUUUUUGUGUUUUGAGCAAUUAUUUGUACUGUAAAUGUAAAUUGUAUUUUGCUGCCUUUGAUAUAUCGAUCAUUCCGUGAUCUUCCACGAAGUUUAGGUUCGCUGAUCCACGUUUUUAAGCGUAAUUAAUAUGAUAUGUCAUGUCACCCCAAUAUUCCGUGAAACUGUUGGUAGAAUCGUUCACAGAUUGCUCUCUUGUCAAAUGAUCUUGUCAAUGACAUCACUUUGAUGGGUUGGCAAGCUCCUGUUGAAAUAAUGAUAAGGUGCUGCCUUUUGUCUUAUUAGGUACAAUUUGUCAGGUAUUUUAAUUUAUUUUGAGAGGAAGCCAAUUCUUUUGUUUUAUUUUGUCCUCAUUCUCUUGGUGUCUAAUGUGUUUUCCAUUUUGUUUACAUGUAAUUGUUCAUUUUGUGUUUAUACUGACAUUUCGGCACAUUAUUAUGCUGCCGUGAUUUAUCUGUGCUGGUUUUAAAAUUUACAGUUACUAAUCUUUUUUUCUUUCUACAUUGUCCAGGCUAUUGAAGUAGUUAAUUUAGAUCAAAAGACUAAAAUGGUUACGGAGCUGGAUGGUCAUAUUAUGCGAUGCGUGCGUGAUCAGAAUGGAAACCAUGUCAUCCAGAAGUGUAUUGAAUGUGUACCUGAGGAUGAAAUCAAGUUUAUCGUUUCAACGUUUUAUGACCAAGUUGUGACGUUGUCAACUCAUCCAUAUGGUUGCCGUGUUAUACAGGUGACAAAUUCAUCCUUUUGAUUUUAUUUGUGUGAACACAUUUACUGAAUUGAAAAUAACUGGCCAGAGACUAUGAUUCUAAAUUAGUUGAGUUUUGAUAAGCAGAGAGUCUUGGAGUACUGCCAUGAUCCUAAAACUCAACAGAUUAUGAUGGAUGAGAUUUUGCAGUGUGUUUCCAUGCUAGCUCAAGAUCAAUAUGGGAACUAUGUUGUACAGGUUUGUUGCAUCUCAAUUGGUAUCGUAAAUCGUUUGAGUAUAUGAAACCCUGAAUUAAUUAUGAAAUUUCUUCAAGUAAAAACUAAAUGAUAGUAAUAGUUUGUUUUGUGCUUUUAAUUUUCCUUGGCGUUUGAUUGCUUAAAAUUUUUCAGCAUGUGCUGGAGCAUGGAAAGCCACAUGAACGUACCGCGAUAAUAAAGGAAUUCACUGGGCAGAUAGUGCAGAUGAGCCAGCAGAAGUUUGCUUCUAAUGUUAUAGAAAAGUGUCUCUCUUUUGGAACACCUACGGAGCGUCAAGUCCUUGUGAAUGAGAUGAUUGGUUCUACUGAUGACAAUGAGCCUCUACAGGUUUGUGCAUGAAAAUGAAUCCCUAUUACAUCAGCUCUUGUUUGUCGCGCCAUACUCCUUUUAGUCAUCUUUUCUUAUUAUAUCCUAAAAUUACAGCUUCAUAUAGUUUUAAUUUUUUUUUUCCUGUUCUUUGUCCAUGUUAUAAUUUGUUUUCUUUGCAUGAAAAUUGUUUUUUCCCUUUAUAGUUUUUUUUUAACGUAAAAUAGUUAUAAGAUGAUGGUUUCUUCAGCUUUUUUUAUCAUAGUUCAAUUUUAUUUCCAAACAAUGUUUUUUUAAACAACUUUUAGUCAUUAAAAUUUCAUAUUAAUGGUGCCAUUAAGAGUAAGCAUGGCUCUGCCAUUGAAGGUAUUUACAGCCUGGCUAUAUGCAAAAGUAUCAGCGCAGACAUAUUUACAUCCCUGAUUUUAUAGUUCUAUUGCUACCAUUUAUGUCUCAUGAUAUUUAUUGCUAUAGUCUAGAGUUUGUUGCAUAUGGUUCUUAAUAAUUGAAUUUGUUUUUUCAUGUUUGUAACUAAGGUAAGCCUUGCGUACAAUAUCAGUUAAUGCGCAGGAUGUGUGCCUUUAGAUAAAUCUUGUGUAAAUUUGGUACUGUUACUCUUGUCUUGUGUUACUUAGUGUCUUUACCAUGUUACCACUUUCUGAUUUUCUUAUAUUUUGAUCGUAUUUUUGUGGUGGUUUUAGGUUAUGAUGAAGGAUCAGUUUGCAAACUAUGUUGUACAGAAAGUUCUGGAAACCUGUGAUGACCAGCAACUUGAGCUGAUUCUUAAUAGAAUAAAGGUUCACCUGAAUGCCUUGAAGAAGUAUACCUAUGGGAAGCACAUUGUUGCUCGCGUGGAGAAAUUGGUUGCUGCUGGAGGUACUUUCAAUCUCAUCAUUUUUUCAUUCGGGCUCAUAAAUUAGUUUUACAAUUUUCUCGACAUUAGUUUUCUCGUGUAUUCUAGAAUAUUCACAUGUACUUAUUUUAGUUUUCUCUUAAAUAGUUGUAUGUUCUAUUAUUAAUUGAAUAUUAGACUUCCUUCCCUAGAGAUUCAUCUAUGGACUCCCUCGACAUUUUUGAUUUUUCACAAAACAUACAUGUUUGCAUAUCAAAAAAUUUAUUUGAAGAAAAAGUUUAUUUUCCAUUCAACAAUGAAAUCUAAUAAUUUGAAUGUAUCAACUUUACAGACUCUAAUUUGGUGAUAUCUCUAGUUAGCUUGGUACCUCAAGCAACCGUCGUGCUUAAAACUCGACAUCUAAAUCAUCUACAAAUCCUUUUGUGAUCGAGUUGAUAGCUUAAUCACUGUCAUAAUGAUUUUUUUUUUUCCUUUCUCUUUUCAUUACAUUCUGAAAGGAUCUGCAAGUAAUCUCCUAGGUGUUCUGAAGUCUAAGUUUCCGUUUGAUGCCCUGUUUGGAUUAAUUUAUUUGAGUUUAUCUACUCUCGUAAGCCCUCUUGAGACUGUUAGGGAGAGCCUAUGACAAAUCUUCUGACAUGUCCAUAAGCUGUUUUUAUCUAAUUUCCAAAAAUUCUCCAUGAUAGCCUAUGAAUUAUAGCUUACAUAAAAACAAUUCGACUUUAGUUUACCUUUUAUUCUAAAACUAAUUUAUACACAACUUCAGCAAUUAAUAUUAUAAAGGGCCUUGGUUGGACAAUUCAGCUUCAUGAAUCGACUUCGAUGUUUCACGACACAAUAGAAGCUAUUGACCUUUUUUCUUCAAUAUUCAUUUAAUUUGUUUCAUUAUGUAUAAUUUAUUGAACUAAUUAAAUAUUUUAUUUGAUGGUGUAUAUGCAGAGAGGAGGAUUAGUUUUCUGACACUAAACCAUGCUGCACCACAGAUGGUAUAGAAAGUUAUGUUAUGUACAGCUAACUGAGAGGAUAGUACAAGUGAAGUGGCCAAAUCCUUUUUCUUUUGUUUUCUUCAUAUGAUGAUAUCUCUAGUACUGAUAAUGGCACUGUCUAUAUUCAAAUAGACAGGUGAGUAAUAAAUGGUUAGUUGUAUGUACUUAAAACUGUACAUUUUGUUAGUUUUGAGGAUUAGAAUCAGAUUAGCUGAGGCUGAAACUUCAGGUUCAGUUAGUAAAUGUUUUCCAUAUAUGAUGUUUAUGAGCUAGUUUUAAUGUUGUACAGAGAAGUGUUUGACUGUACAAAUUUUACUAGGUAAUAUCAUAGGACAAAUCUCUUGUAUUCCGGAUGCAAACAUGUUUUUAUGAGCUAAACUUUUUUGACCUUUUUAAUCCUUCUUGUUCAUAUUCUUUGAUUUUUUUCAGGUUAUUUAUUUAUCAUUAGUAAUUAAUAAUUUUAUUAACAAUGGUCUGUUUUAUUUAUUUAAUUUUGGUGGAUUUUGAUUUUUUGAUGUUCAAAAGUUUCAUUCAAAGCUUUUUCUAAAGCAUUUUGAUUUAUAAACAUUUUUAAAAUUAUAUUUCAUUAAAUCAUAUAGUUUGAAUUAAAGUGGAGACAACAGAAUAUGAAAUUUUGUGGAUUGGAAGUAUAUGAAGCAUUUGUGGUUCCUUUCCUUAUUUCAUGUUUUGCAAGUUUUCUACACAAAGCGUUUUUAUGAGAGUAAAAGGACUGUUUGAUAUCUCUUUUCGAAAAUUAUUUUGAUGUUUUUGUUAUUUUUUUAGACGAACGGUUAUUCCUCUGGGAAAAAAAAAAACUUUGGUUACUUUGAUUUGGAAAAGUUUUUACAUAACUUUUUUCGAAGGUAAAAAUGCCAAGUAGAUAAUUCUCAUCUUAUAAGAAAGUUUUAAAAUUACCCUGGACUCAACAAAAUGAUUUGUAAGAAGUAAUAAAAUAAGAAGACAACCAAGAUGAUUUUCUACCAAAUAAAAGACCAUGUUAUUCAUUUAAUUUUUAUCAGUAAAAAGGACCAUGUUAAUAAUGAUAAUAGUUUGAAAAUAUUAUACAAACUGUUUUUUACAUGCCACUUGAUAAAUCUCAUUAAUAACUUUAUAAGAAAUGCUAACAAGUACCUUUGGAAUAUUGUUUAAGCAUAUAAAUUAAUAAAUAUUAAAUUGAAAUUUGUAUGAUUAUGAUUUUUGGGAGAUUGUUAUUUUAGUCUCUGAAUAGAAAAGGAGUCGUCACUUUAAUCUCAGAAUGCAGAUAAAUUGCAAAAUAGUCCCUGAAUGUAAGUUCUGUUAGUCAAUUUAGUCGAUAAAAGCAGACUUCGUUAGUCAAUUUAGUCCUUAAAUGUAGACUCUGUUGGUCAUUUUAGUCCCUGAAAUUGACCAACAAAGUCUACAUUCAGGGACUAAAGUGACUACUCCUUUCUCAUUCAAGGAUUAAAGUGACUAAUUUCCCUAUGAUUUUUAAUGCGUUUGACUUGUAUUUUCAUGACAAUUUUUUUUUUUUUUGUGGGUUCCUUAAACAAUACCAUUAGAGCACUUGUUAGCAAGGCCCUAACAUUAUCUAGCCAAGAGAAUUUUCUUUUAACUUUUUUUCCUCUCUUUCUUCUUUAUCGUCUUUUAAGAAAGAAAUUGUCAUACGAAAGUUGCAAAUAAACAUGAUACUACACCAACGAGGUGUAUACCAUUCGAAUUGUACUUGUGUGACAUAAUAUCAAAUGACAUUGGUCAAUUUAAAUGUGGCACAUGUUAAUACAAUUUUUUUAAACAUAAAAAUAUGGGAAAGAGAGAGGAAAAAAAAUAACAGUUGAAUUGACUUAUGUGUCAUAAUUAAAUUGAUCAAUAUUAAUGUCAUUUAUAUCUUAAUGGUACGCAAGCGGAGUCUAUACCAUCACAAUAAAAAUGAAUGCAACCAAGAGAUUCAAUAUUAGUCUAAAAAAAUACAAUACAAUCAUAGAAUACACAAUCACAAUUUCAAAUAUAGGUUAGCAAUCACAGAUUUUGAAGCCAAAGCCAAACAAGCCCUUUUACAUCCAACAACUUUCCCUUCCUUUUGCACAAGUCCAAAUGGACAAGAAACACUCAAAUCAUCUUCAUAACUAGCAACACCACAACCUACACCACCACUUACUAAACUAGUCACACAUAUACAAUGAUAUUUAUACUUGCAAAACAAGUAAACAGUUACUUGUUACACAAGUCAACUAGUUCCAACUAAACUUAGUUUACUAUCCACAAGCUGGAAACUGUCUUGUUCUCUGAGACCCUGAACUCUAUCAAUGGUGCACUCCUAAUCAGUUGCAUUUUCUUCAUCAUAAGUAGGAUUACUUAACAAAGUGUUCAUCAAUGCUUUAAUAGAGGUGUUUUUCAUUUGCCAAUCCCAUGAUUCAAAUUCAUUCAUGAUGUCAUCUUUGCGAACGAAAAUAUUUUCUAUGCUAUAUGAUAGGACACGACACAUUGUGAUAUCAACAUAUAAAAACAUAAAAAGCCUGCAACCAUUAAAUAGAUGAAAUAGACCAAAACAUUAGACAGACACGACACGACACAUACAUACUCUUUUUACUCGUAAACAAAAUGUUGAGCCACUUUUAAACUUGAUUUUGUUUGGAAUUUGAUCAAGAGAUUUACUGGCAUAAACACUGCAAUAUUGCAUAAUUAUUUUGAACAAUAUUUAUUAUAGAAACUUGUUUAAAAAAUAAAUUUAGCAAUACGAAUUUUAUUUAUAUUUCUAACAAUAGAUCAUCCCAAGUUUAACUGCUUUUUUAAUAGAAAUUGCCAAUUCAUCGUAAGCAAUUUCCCAAGCAGUAUUUAGUUCUUCGCUCCAGUUGUCCCCCGAUGCUUCCUUUAUUGUUUUUAACAAAGCUUCUUUAACCACCUACAAGACACCAAAAAAAUUAAUUUUGGUUUAGCGAUUUAAAACUUACAAAUGGGUGUAUUAACAUAAUUGAAAAAUACUUAUUGAAAACUAAUUUAUUUUCAGAUAAAAGUUAUUAAAUCAAAUAUUAUUUUACCAUACAUCCUUAAUAAUUAAGGGGACCAAUUCAAUUUUAUUUUUGAGGAGACAUUCAAAUAUAUACUUAAAUAUAUUUUAUUAUAUUAUCAUACCACAAAAUGAGGAUCAACAACUCCUCUUUGAAUGUGGAUAGCACCCACUUUAGUAUAUCCCAAAACUACUUCUCCAGUUGCUCGAAGUUGAACAGCCGCAUCACGCACCUAUAAUACAGAAAAUAUAAACAUCUUAAGACCGAUAGCCAUAGACUAUUCGUAAAAUAUACUAAUAGUGUUUGAUAUUAUUCUUUGGUGUUAAAGUAUAUUUGCAAUUCCAAAUAUUGUGAUUGUGCGAUUUUGGACACCGUUGAUUUAGAGCUACGUGUGACACUUAUGUUUUCCGUCUUUGUAAUUUAGUAUCAUAAACCAUUUUUUCUUCCUAAAUUUAAAUUAAUGUGACAUUGUUAAUUGAAAUGACACCAAAGUUUCAUAGCCAACGCAAAUUUUCUUUGAAAAAAAAAUAAAAAUCGUGAAUUUAAAAAGGAGUGAAAUUUUAAAGGAAAAUGUUAACUUUUGUCUUUAAAGUACAAGUUAAAAAGCUAAACAUAGAAGAAAUUUCUUGGAAUUUGUAAAUUUUAUCAUAUAGUUAUUUGGAUUUUUUUGUUUUGUUUGAAAUUUGGUAUCUAGUUCAAAAACUUAAUAAUAUGAAAUAUCAAUCUCAGCGUUUAGUAGUAGAGACCCAAUUGAAAGCAAAACCAUGUAUAAACUACCCCAACAUUUUUGGAUCAUAUUUAUCAAGGGAAAAUAAAUUAAAUUAAGAAUAUACAAAAUACAUGUAUUUGAAAAGAUUUUAUAGUUAUUAAUUUAAAGAGAACCAUAGACGCUGAAUGAAGAAUAAAAAAAAUUAGUUGAUGUUGGUUGCACUCACCAUUUGAAACACCUUUUCAGCAUGGGCUUGAAGUUGAGGACUAUCUUUUACCUCAGGCGUGUUCUUAAGAAAAGAGAACAUGCCCUUUGCUGCAGGUGCUUUCUCUAAUAUACUAAUUUAAUCAAAAUAACCAAACAUAUUCUUGUUAAUUAAUUUACACAAUCUUUUUAAACCGUAAGUAAGCAAAAAAGGAAAGUACAAACUAACUCAUGCAAUAUGAUACUUACAUAGUGUAGAACAAGACACUAUAGCCGGGAAGAUUUUGUUUAAAUGAUUCCCAUGAGCUAUUCACUAAAAACUCUUGCUUCUCAGUGAAUCCCAUUUUUCUCUUCUUCUUUUCUAAUUUUGUUGUUGUUUGUGUUGUCGAUAUUAUAAUUUUACAUUAAAUACUUGUUUAUAUAGACAACUUUGAGGUGGAAAGAAAUGAAGUAAAUUCAUGUGCUUGUUUUUUCAAAGAAUCUAUUGGCUUCUGGGGGUGACCAUUGAAAUUAUUAAGAGACAAGAAUCUUUUAAAAAAAUUAUUCAAACAAACUUUAAUUAAAUAGACGUAAUAAAUUUUUAAAAAUUAAAUUAAAAUAAAAUAAACUGAACAUUAAUAUAAAUAUUAUUCCAUGCAAUCAAUGUAAUCCUUAGUUUUUUUUAAUUACAACGUAAUCAUUGUUUAAUCUAAUAAAAAAAAUGCUAAUCACAAUAAUGUUGAAAAACGAGGUGAAAAAAAAAAGUAAAGUUGAAAAAAUAUAACCAAAGACUGUGUAGGUUUUUUAAAAUUUCCUACUUGUAUAAAAUGUAAAGAAUUCUACACCAUAAGAAAUACAUAAAAAUUUCAAACUCAACAAAAAUAUAUUGCAGUAAAACAAUAUAUAAGAUAAAUGUUCAAAUAUGUUUAUAGUCUCUAUAAAAUUAAGACUUUUUCUUGUAAAAAAAAAUACGACUUUUUAAUUUUAGUCUUACAUCCGUAAAAAAAAAUAAAAUUUAGUCUUACAUAAAGUUUGUCUAAUUUUAAUCCAAUGCAAGAGAAACGUAUGUAUUUUCAUAGCUAUGUUGAGGCACCCAUAUGCUAAAACAUAUUGUGCCAAUAAUCCUCCCUUGUAACAAAUUGACAAUUGGGAAAAUAGCAUAGAUAAAUUGGAAGUCUAUUUGUACUCUAAAGGAGGAUGAAGGGUUGGGGGUGAGGAGGGUGGGAGCUUUUAAUUUAUCUUUGAUGGAAAAGUGGUGUUGGAGGAUGUUGGUGGAGAAGGAGGGGUUGUGAUAUCGAGUUUUAAAAGCUCGUUACAAUGAGGAGGGGGGAGGUUGAAGGAUGAGGGUAGCCGUUGUUCGGUUUGGUGGCGGGAGAUGUGUGGUGUGCGUGAGGGCCUUGGGGAGGGUGUUGGAAGAUGGUUUGAAGAUAACUCUCGUCGGAUUGUGGGUGAUGGUAGAGAUGCUUUAUUCUGGCAUGACAUUUGGGUGGGAGAAAUUCCUCUCAAAUUUAAAUUCUCCCGCCUCUAUGAGUUGGCUGAGGAUAAAGAGUGUUCGGUGGCGGAGGCGAGAAGGGUUAUAGGGCCGGAUAGGGGUUGGGAGAGGGUGUGGCGCCGUCGGUUGUUGGCUUGGGAGGAGGAGAGUGUGAGGGAGUGCUAUGUUUUACUAUAUAACAUUGUUUUGCAGGAAAAUGUUCACGAUGCUUGGCGUUGGUUAUUAGAUCCUAUUCAGGGCUACUCUGUGAGGGGAGCAUAUCGCUUUCUCACUACCACUGGUGAACCUUUGGAUAGGACUCUGGAUGACGAUGUCUGGCAAAAACAUAUUCCUUCAAAGGUGUCUCUGUUUGUGUGGCGUCUUCUUCGCAACAGACUUCCCACAAAAGAUAAUUUGGUGCGGCGGCAUGUCCUUCAUCAUUCUGACACGGCUUGUAUCUCAGGCUGUGGGGAGUUGGAAACGGGAAAACAUCUUUUUUUAUAUUGUGACAUUUUUGGCUCUCUUUGGUCUCAUAUUUGGCUCUCUCUGUUCUCAUAUUUGGCGCUGGUUACAUAUUUGUUCAGUUAUGCCUCAUGAUAUCAGACAACAUUUCAUUCAUUUUACUACCUUGGAGGGUUUGCCUAGAUUUACUCAUUCUUUCUUGAAAAUUAUUUGGUGUGCCUCUGUUUGGAUGUUGUGGAAGGAAAUGAAUAACCGUGUCUUUCAACAUACGGAUUCUACUCCUUGGAUCCUUGCUGAAAAUGUUAAAUUGCACUCUUUCUUAUGACUGAAAUCGAAACAGGGGGCCUUUAGCUACAAUUAUCAUGAUUGGUGGAAACAUCCGCUUUUGUGCAUAGGUGUCCACUUGUAAUUUGUUGUUUUUUAGGUGGUGCUUUCUUGUUGUGGCCACCUUAAUUGUGUAAAUACUUUUGGGUGGUUUGCCUCUUGCACCUUGUGCGGGAUGAAUCAUUGUGGUUUAUAUAUCUCAUUUUAAUUUGUUAAAAAAAAUGAAGUUACACAAAUUUAAGAGAAGAAUUUAAGGUGGAAAACUUCAAAAUCAAAGAAUAACAUGUGAUUUUUUUUCAACACGUAAGGUGUACACUUCUUUCAAAUUGUUGCCGGUGAUUUUGAUAUUAUUGGAAAAAGGAGCAUCUAUACUAACCACCAUCAACAAAUAUAAUGCUUAAAUGUGGGGUCUUUGAGUCGAUUCAAUUACUCUCAGAAUCGUUUCAAGGUUUCUUAAAAGUUCUGGAAACAUUUGAAUAAAGGUUCAAGUGAAUGCCUUGAAGAAGUAUACCUAUGUAGGCUAUGUUGCACAAUUAAUUUUUUUUCUUUCUUUUCUUCUACCUCAUAACUUAAAUUUACAAUUGUCUCAAUAUCUGUUUUCUCAUGUAUUCUUGAGAUUCACAUGCACUUUAGUUUUUCUCUAAAAUAGUUGUAUGUUCUAUUAUUAAUUGAACAGUAGACUUCCCUCCCUGAAGAUUGAUACAUGGACUCACUUGAAGAGUAGUGAAUCGAUUCAAAUAUAAAAAUAAAUUGAUUCACAAAUGACACAAACUUUAAAUAUAUAUACUCCCUCAAUCCCAUGAUAUAAGCAAAAACACUCAUUUUCUUUGUCCUAAAAUAUAAGCAAAAAAGACAAACUUUUAUCCCAUUUAAUUUUGUUUUUUUAAAAAAAUCUCUUUUUCAAGAAAAACUUUUGUUUAUUCUCAUAAAAUUAAAUGCAAAUUAUAUUCAAUUUUCUCUCUCUUUUAUUUUUCCAUAAUCAAUAGCCAAUGAAAAUUGUUUUUACAUAUUCCUAUAAAACUUUUUUCAAAGAAAACACAAAAAACUAUACUUCAAAUUCUUAUGUUUUAGUUUUCUUAAUAAGUGUGUUUUUUUUUUCCUUAUAAUUUGAGACGGAGGGAGUAUACCACAAUAAAUAGAUCCAUACAUGACAGAAACUUGAACCAUGGUUUUUAGAGAGAUUUCUUAGGGUUAGAUGCAGGCCGAACCUUGGGUGUGCAAAGAGCUCAAUUGAACUGGGUCUUCCCAAGGUAUGAGUUUCAAAAAAAAUUUAUAGCCCAGUAGUAUUACUAAGUACUACCCCACUAAAAACAAAAUUCCUCAUCCUCUUUCUCUUUGAUACCACACGUUCCAUCGCCAUAACUCCAUCAGAAUUUUCUUUUCUGCCCCGAUUUGAUUUCCUUUUUCCCUUCUGUUGUCUUGUUUUAGGCCUAUUAGAAUUGAGUCCUCUUGCUUUUGGUGUUAGGUGAGUGUUUUUUUGGGAGGGUGGUUUGAGGUUCCUCAUGUAUACGGUAAUGAUUUUAAUCUUUAGGUGUAUCACAUAUAUACGGCACCUUGUAUUUAUCUUUUAAAAAAUUGAAAUAGAACAUUGUUCUUUUAAAAAAGAUACAUUUUUAUUUUAUUACAUGUCUUUUUUCACUUACAGAACCGAGCCUUCAGAUUCGUAGAACUGCGGAUGAUAAGAAUUUAAGGGAUGCUCUUAUACAUCAAUUCUACUAUCAUAGUUUUGGCAUCCAAUCAAAAUCAAAGUAACUCUAACUAGCCUUAGGAUUAUAAGCACUUACGUGUUUGGAGGAUUUCAGAGGGGAGAAUGUUAGAGAGAGAUAACUUUAUAUUUUGAUAUACAUUUGAUCUAUUCAAAAUAGUGAAAGAACAUGAUAAAUAAUUAUGUGAUACUUCUCUCCAAAAAAAAAAAAAUCAUAUGAUACUUAAAUCAUACUUCAUUCAUUUUUAAAAUAGUUUAUAUUAUUCUCAGUUAAAAAUGUAAAACCCUCCCCUACAAUACUCUCCAUCCAAACAUAUAUAUCCUUAAAAAAUAUAGACAGUCGAUGUGAGGUUGUUUUGAUAUAGUUUUUCUUCUAUUUUUAACAUUUUUUUAAUGAAUUAAAGCGGGAAAAGUCUAUUCUAAUGCUUAGAGAUUUACCAUAUUUUAUUCUAGCAAUCACGUUGUUCUUGCUAACGAACCAACAUAAGCUGUAACCAUUAAAUCGAUAUAGCAGACUAAUUUCCUAGACAGAAAACCAAUACUCUUUGACCAAGUUAAGCCACUUUUGAACUUGGGUUUUGUUAGGGUUUUGAGUAAGAGAUUCAAUAACAUAAACACUAACAAUAUUAUUUUUAGAGGAUUUUUUAACAACAUUUAUUAUAGAAACUUGUUUAACAAGUUGUUUUAAUUCAAAUUUUAUUUAUUAAAUAUAUUUAUGAUAAUAGAUCAUCCCAAGUUUAACUCAUUGUUUUCUUAAUUGAAGCUGCCAAUCCAUCAUAAGCAACUUUCCAAGCAGUACUUAGCUCCAUUUGUCUCCUGCUACUUCCUUUAUUGUUUUUAACAAAGCUUCUUUAACCACAUGAAAGACAUCAAACACAUCAAUUUUGGGUAAGUAAUAUAACUCUAAAGCAUGUCAACAAAAAUUAUAUCUUUUUGUUGAGCACUAAUUUAUUAUCACAUUAAACUAUUAAUAUCUUUUUAAAUAUUUGUUUUUACCUUUGCAUCCUUAUCAAUUAACGGGCACCAUGUCAAAUAAAAACCAUAAUAUAUUUUAUAUUUUAUUUAAAGAUAUAUUAUUCUUUUUUAAUCUUGAAAAAGUAAAGAAGAAAUUAUGUUAUUGAUUCCUCACGACAAACUAAAACACAAUAUUUUUGUUAAAUAGAUAUCCAUUGAGUAUAUAUUUUAAUAUUUAUAAAUAAUUAAAAUUCUAAUUAAUAAUGAGAAUUUUAUAUCCCUUUGAGUUCAUUUUAUUAUAUGAUAGUUUUUUUCGUUAUAAAAAUAUUGUGCAUAAUUCUCUUUAAUUAUUUAUUUCCAACAUUUAUAUCAUAAUAUAUACAAAAAUAACAGCAUGGAAUAUGAUUUUUUUAUCGUUGAAUUAGUGAUUAUGUGACUAUUAGGCAGUAAAUGAAUUAAGAUUGCAUUUACAAAAAUAUUUUAUUAUAUUAUCUUACCACAAAAUGAGGAUCAACAAACAACUCCCUUCUGGAUGUGAAUAGCACCCAAUGUAGCAUCUUCCAAAACUACUUCCCCGGUUGCUCGGAGUUGAACAAUAGAGUCACACACCUUUAAUUCAAAAAAUAUAUAUAUCUUGAGAUCGAUAGCCAUGUUAGGUGAAACUGUUAAAAAAUAUACUUAUAAUAUUUGAUAUUAUUCUUUGGUGUAAAUGUACUUUUGACAACCCAAAUAUUGCGUUUGUGGGAUUUUGGACUCAAUUUAUUUUGGGCGACUUGGAACACUUAAGUUUUUCUCCCUUUGUAAUUUAGUAGUAUCAAUGUUCUCCUAAUUUACGUUGAGACGUCAUCAUUUAUUUACAUGACACCAAAAUUUCAUAACUAGAGUAUUUUUUUAGGGAAUGUGGAAUCCUUGAUUAGGGUUUCAAACUUGUGAAUUUGACUUUUUAGUUUAUUUUUAAUUUUAAAAAAAAAUCACGAUGGUUAUGAAAAUUUGAAUUUGAAUUUUUCUCUUAGCAUAAAUAUGUAAAAAAAAUUGGUGGGAUGACUACCAAAUUACAAAUGGGUAAAACAUGAGGUGACAUAAUCUCAAAAGAGAAAUGAUAUUUGUACAACUAUUUUUUGACAACUUUUAGACAACUUUUUUUCUUAUACUCACAUUAGAUUCUUACUCUCUCUUUCUAUCUUUUUCUCUCUCCAUUGUUUUUGACCAAUGAUAAGAGAAAAAAAAAGAGAUUAUCAUAGAAGUUGUUAGCAAAUGGUUAUUCAAAUAUCAUUCCUCAAUCUCAAAAUAUGGCGGAAGUACUAAAAAUAUAAACUUGCGGUGCUUGGAAAACUAACAAUGUAUUUUAGUCUUAUUCUUAUCAAUAGAACAUGAUUAUAUAUCUAUAAAUGAUGUCAUUUCCUUUUUAGUUUAAAGUGAAUAAUCCACACUCUAAUAAAAGUAAGAAAAGACUUAUUAAAUAUAAGCUUUAUUGCACUUCGACUCUCACAAUUGUGAAAUUUUUGUCUUCUAUGUUUCAAUUGGUCUUCUUGGUCCAUUAAUUCUCUGAUAUAUUAAGCAAUGAGUAUUCUAAGUUGGUGCUAAAAUAUGUUAUAGUUUGACAAGAUAACACGACCGAAGAAAUAUUAUGGUAACAUUAUGUAACUAGUUUUUGGGCAUCUAGAGAAAGUUUUUUUUUUUUUUGAAGGAUACUAGAGAAAGAAAUUAUUAGCUAAGUUUUUGGCUACAUUAGCUUGUGAAGAAGAUGACUUAAGGCGGUGCCAACUUUGUUUGAUAAUAUAGGCUCCUUGAACUAAAAAUUACACGAUCAAAAGGAUUUGAUGUAGUAAUCAAAAUACAUGGAAGAUCUAAUUUAUUUUAUAUAUAUUCAACAACAAUAUUACAUGUAUUAUUUGUUAGGAUGAAGGUAUAAACGUAAGGAUAUAGGGUAUAAUUUUUGGAAUUGACUGGUUAUUGAUUUGGUUGGGAUUAACCAAAUAUUUUGCACGUCUGUAGACUCAAGUCACUUUCGAACUUGGGUUUUGUUAGGUAUUUGACUAAGAGAUUCACCAGCAUAAACACAAACAAUAUAACAUUAUAGUUCUCAACGAUGUUUAUUAUAGAAACUUGUUUAACAAGUUUUAGUAUUACAAAUUUUAUUUAUUAAAUUUAUUUAUAACAAUAGAUCAUCUCAAAUUUAACUCAUUGAUUUCUUAAUUGAAGCUGCCAAUCCAUCAUAAGCAACUUCCCAAGCAGUACUUAGUUCUUCGCUCCAGUUGCCCCCUGCUGCUUCCUUUAUCGUUUUCAACAAAGCUUCUUUUACCACCUACAAAGCACCAAAAACAUGGGUUAGUGAUUUAACUCUCAUAAAAUAGGUAUGUUAACAAGAGUGAAAAAUAUUUAUCGUAAAGUAAUUGAUUUUCAAAAUAAAACCAAGAAUAUGUUCUUAUUUUUUUUUAUCCUUGCAUCCAUAUUAUUUAACUAGACAAUAUUCAUAAAAAAAAUUAACAGGGCACAGUCAAAUAAAAGCAAUUUAGACUGCAUCCACAAAAAUAUUAUAUUAUGUUAUCAUACCACAAAAUGAGGAUCAACCACUCCUUUCUGGAUGUGGAUAGCACCCAAUGUAGCAUCUCCCAAAAUCACUUCUCCAGUUGCUCGGAGUUGAACAGCUGAGUCGCGCACCUUUAAUUCAAAAAGUAUAAAUAUCUUGAGAUUGAUAACCAUGUUAAGAAAAACUGAUACAAAAUAUUCUACUAGUAUUUGAUACUAUUCUUUGGCAUAAAUCCCCUCAGCCCUCUGGAAAUUUACUUUGAGGUAACAUAUUUUUUUUUAUGUGACACCAAAGAUUCAUAGGUAGCAUGAAUUUUAUUUAAUUUAUUUAAUAAAAAAAAUCAAAAAUCAAGCAUUUGAUAGGGAAUGGAAUCCCUGAUUAGAGUUUCAAACUUGUGAGUUGUGAAUUUUGAGUUUUUUAUAUUGUAUUCAAGAUACAUGAGUUUUCUAAUUUGAACUAUUUUUUUGAGAGAAUCUAAUUUGAACUAUUGGAAUAUGGGGAACCAACAUUUUAAAAUUGUGAUAGUUAGGACACUAAAGGUGAAAUGAAUCAUAUAUAUAUAUAUAUAUAUAUAUAUAUAUAUAUAUAUAACAUGUAUGAAAGAUAUAUAAUUACAAUAAUACACCAAAGUAACGUUACUUAAAUUAUAUACAAUGUCAUAUUCCUUAAAAACAAAUCUUAAAAACAAUUGUACUAGUAAAAUCUCUUUAUAUUAUUAUUUGGAUAUUAUUAAUAAAAAAUAAAUUAAACAAUAAAAUAUUUUAUUUUAAAAUAUUUUAUAAUUAUCAAUUUAAAUAGAGUCAUCGACAAUAAAUGAAAAAUGAUUAAAAGAAAUAAAAGAAAAUUAAUUGAUAUUGGAUCAUACUUACCAUUUCAAAAACUUUUGCAGCAUGAGCUUGAAGUUGAGGACUAUCUUGUACUCCAGUUGUAUCUUUAAGAAAAGAGAACAUGCCUUUUGCUGCAGGUGCUUUCUCUAAUAUACUAUUUUUAUCAAAACAACCAAGCAUAUUCUUGCUAAUUAAUUUACUUUAUCUCUUUUAUACUGACAAUCAACAAAAAUGGAAAACAUAAUCAAACAUUCAUGAGAAAUAAAACUUACAUAGUAUAGAACAAAACACUAUAGCCAGAGAGAUUUUGUUUGAAUGAUUCCCAUGAACUAUUCACUAAAGACUCUUGCUUCUCGGUGAAACCCAUAUUUCCCUUCUUCUUUUUUAAUUUUAAUUUUUUUUGUAUUUUUUGUGUUUGUAUUGUCGUUGUGAUAAUUUUACAUAUGACACUUGUUUAUAUAGAGAACUUGAAGGGUGAAACACAUGUAGUAUAUUAAUGUGCUUGUUUUUUUUUUAAAGAAUCUAUUGGCUUGUGGCGGUGACCAUUAAAAUUAUUAAGAGACAAGAAUCUUUCCAAAAACUUAAUAAUAUUUUUUAUUAAAUAAACUUUUCUUCUUCAUGAUUUAGGGUCAAUUUUGACCCAAAAAUCACCCAUUCGAAUUGUUUUUUCUUCUAUUUUAAUUGAAUAAGUGAUUUCACAUAUUUUCUGUUUUCUUUCGUUUGAUUUUGUGAUUUCGUCGUCUUUGAACGACUCUGUUUGUUUUGAUUUCCCGUCUUUGUGCGGUGUGUUUUUUAUUUCCUGUCUUAGUGCGGUGUUUAUUUGAUUCAGGUUGAGAUUAACUUUGAGCAAGUGCAGAUCCGAUCAAUGACAAUGACUUGUCGUCGUCAACGUUACAGAUCUGGAGACAUGAGUAUUCCAGAGACAUCAAUAUAGUCAUAUUAGUCAUAUUUGUAGGCAUAAGUACUUUGUCGUUUUAUGCUAUUAACUUGGAUAUUGUGACUUGUGAGUUUGUUCACAAAUUCAUCCUUUUUGUUUUUAGCGAAUUUGGAUUUGUAUUGUAUCGAUGUACUCUAUCAAUUUGAAUGAAUGAAUAUCGUUUAUUUUUGUAAAAAAAAAUUAUUAAAUAAAGUAACAACUUUUAAAUUUUUUAAAAUAAACUAAACAUUAAUAUAUAUAUAUAUUAUUCCAUUUAAACAAACGUUUUUUUUUUACAAGCCAUUUAAACAAACGUUAUUAUUAGUUAAUCGAAUUCAAAACAUUAACAAUAGUAACGUUAAAACAACUUGUAAAAAAAAAAAAGUAACGUUAAAACAAUAUUGCGUAAUUUUUAAAAUUUCUUUGAAAUAUAAAAAAGGGCUAAUUAUAUUUUUUUGUCCCUACAAAAUCACGAAUUUUCAAGUUUAUAAAAUUUUAAUAGUAAUUUUACAAGUAAAAACUCCACCAUACUCUCACCAUUUUCUUCCUAUAAUUUUUUUUUUUGGUACAAUCCUUCCUAUAUUUCUCCCUUGUAACAAAGUGUGGUUGUUUGAAAACAACAUAGGUAAAUUAAGGAGCCCAAAUUUAACACUAGAAUUUAAGUUGGAAAACUUUAAAAUAAUAGAAUAGAAUAACUAUUAAAAUGACCAUUAGCUAGUGAAACUUUAAUUAAUUAAAAAUUUCCCUUUUCCAUUUUUUAAAUUUAUAUUAUAUUUAUUAUUAGAAAAAAUCAGUCUCCGUUCGAUACAUUUUCUGGAUCCAUUCCAGUGUGGGUGUUCUUUCAUUCUAACCAACUCCAAAAAUAUCCACCUUAAUUGAAAAUGAUACAUAUUAUACUAAUUGUAUACACCAACAAUAUUAAUAGUUCAAAAGAACUAUCAUACUUCAUCGCAAAAAGUUUACUCCACUUAAAGCUAAACCACUUAAAUAAUAUCUAUAUGUUUGAUGGUGCAAACUCUCAACCAAACAUAAGCCAAGUCUUUCUUAGCUAGUACCUUUUUAAAACAUCAUCUUGUGAGUAAUGCCUUAACAUCUUGUUUUAUGAUAAAUACUUGCGGUCUAACCGUUUCUUUUGCGGAUUCAAUAGUUGUUGCGAUCAAAAGAGUGUUUUGUUUUUGUUUACCUAGCAAAUUGUAGGUUGUUUGCCGCUUCGUGCUUAUUCGUGCAUCAAGAGUGUCGUGCUAUAUAGCACCACUCUUUGUAUAAAGAAUAAGUCGGAGUUGGAUCUUACGAGUGUGAACUCCAUCUCAUUCUAGUUCAAUUUAUGUUUUGAAUUGAAUAAAAGAAACAAUUUGGUUAUGUGAAUUGUUUUAACAAUAUUCAAUUUAUUCUAGGUUCACACUUCAGUUUAUUUCUUAACUUUUUUUUUUCAACAGGCUUAUAUAUGGAAGGCUGGUGGGUGAGUGGUAUUGAAGAACACAUGAAGUUCUCAAAUGCAACUUAAUUAUUGGUAAUGGAAAAUGGCGACUUCAAUAUUUCACUAAUACCGUAAAAAAACUUGAUUUAGUAUUGAUUUUAUAAGUGGAAGUUUAUAUAGGUAUUUAGACUUGUUUUUAAAGGUGGUUUUUGAGUUAGAUUCUUCUCACUGUGCUUUUAUUUUUUUGCGAGGGUAUUCACUUGCAUAUUGAAUUUGAUUACAUUUUAAUAAAAUGAUUGUUCAUGAGUGAUCACUUGCAUAAUGAGUUUGAUAAUAACUUUAAUAAAAUGAUUAUUCAUACAAAAAUGGAACAUGCAACCAAUCCGAUCAACAUUGUGCACACAAUAAAUCCCAAAACUAUAGAGCACAACAAUCCAAUAUUUUAACAAGAUGAUAAAAUUACUCGAUUAUUAUCUCAAGUCUUAGCUUCUCCUCCUUUAACCUAAUUAAUAGGAUAAUGCUUAGAUUAUUCAAAUGUGUAUAAGCAUGUUCCAUCAUCACUUCUAGCAGUUGGGUCGAAGUUUUUGGCAUUUGGAUCCGUACAACCUUCAGGAAUAGGAAUAUUUACUUGUUGAGCUGCCUUACCUGCAUAGAAAAUCAAAUAAAAAAAAGGUUACAUUACACGUAUUAUUUUAUCCAAUAUAAUACAUACUUUUUGAGUUUAAAUAAUUUUUACUGUUCAUUUUAGUCCUUAUAAAAAUAUUCUGUUCAAAAUAAUCUAUAACAUUAUUUUUUUUCCCUUCCAUUUUGGUCUAUGAUUGAUUCUUUGAGAAUUGAAAUAUUUUGCAACUGGUCCUUAUAAAUUUGUUUUCAGUUCCUUGGUCCCUAGUCCCUAUAAUUUACCUUUCAUUAAAAAGAAGCAAAAGAUAUCCAGGACAUUUUUAAACAAUUUUUUUAUAAGGACUUGGAAAAAACACAGUAUAUUAUAUGGAAAAAAAAUUAAGUCUACUUCCCAAGUUCAAUUUUGAUGUGGUACAUAUUAUAAAGAGUUUGAUGUGGGAAAUGCGUUAUUAUAUAUAUUUUAAAAUCUUCUACUAUUUGAUCAAUGUUUAAUAUGUAUGCAUGUUUAGAUUGGGAAAAAAAUAUAUUUUUCAAUAAUUAUUUAAGAGUUUUGAUAGGUUCCGUACAAUUUUGUAAAAAAAAGAUGAGAAUCUAUCUAUAUUCAGGUAAAUAUAGCAUUGUAAGAUGUUCAAUAAAAGAAUCGACCGGUUGUGCCUGAUCGUACACAUUAAAGGACUUGGGGUUAUAAGUAUUUAUUAGCCGUUCAAUGCGUUAGGUCGAAGUCGAAUCACAAAUUGAGUCUAGACUUAGGUUGUAUAUUACUUUGCAUCUUUCUCCUUUUAAUUGUUUGUAAAACUUUACCAUUAUGAUUUACUUAUGCAUUUUUCCUAAGUAUUUCAAGAGGCUGUGUUUUUUUAUCUUCUUGUGGUCAAGUAGUUUAGUGGUUGGAGCUCACACAUUUUAAAUGUAGAGAAAUGAGGUGUCUAGGAUUCGAACCCUAACCCAUAUAUAUUUUAUGCAAUGUCUCUACUAAAUGAGCUAAGCUCAUGGGGACGCAAAUCGCGUUAUGUUUAAUCAAUACCUAUUCACACUUCAAAUGUUUUCACGUCCAUUAUUUCUUCUAUAAACAAAAGUUGUAUUCAUUAUGGUAACAAACACAACAUAGAUUAUAUGUUUUGACUAUAUCUCUAAAUCAUUUUGUUUUAUAAUAAAUGUAAUAAACUGGCUUAAAGCUAAGAGAUAAAAGAUCAAACCAUAGAAAGAUCCACUCUUGAUAGCAUCUUGAUUAGCAUCACCAAGAGCAGCCCCUUCCAAAUACUUGUCUGCCAAUUGAACUCUCUUCACAUUUUCUUGUUCUUGGACAAGCAUGUUACCAUACUCCAACAGUUUCUCCAAACUCAUCUUGGGUUGAUCAAAAGUUGGAGGUCCUUCUUUUGAGUUCACAAGCUUUUUCCCAAUGGUUUCAAUGCCAACACCAGCAAUCCACUUUCUCACUUCAUCAUCAUAUACUCUUGCCCUAAGUGCACCAAAGAAAUCUGUAAAAAAUAAGAGAGUUGAGCCAACAGUCGAUUUGUCGGGUCCAAAUUUUGAAUCAAAUACAUAAUUUUUUAUGACCGAACUUUCUCUUAUUUAUAAGAUCGAAUGAAGUAAUUAAAAAAGUUUCAACAUUCUAGAAGAGAACUUACCAAUGGAUUGACCAGGGAAAGUGUCAACAAUCUUAACAACAUCUUCCUCAGGAACAUUAUCAUGUCUAAAAAUCCCUUUACAAACACCAAUACGAUCUUCUCUUGUAGGUGCCCAAUAGAAUUUCUCCAUACGACCGUCACGAAUAAGAGGAGCAUACAAUGUUGAAAAAUCAUUACCAGUAACAAUGAUAGGCACACGUGCAUUCUCUUCUUUGUUAUACAUACCAGGAAGUUGAACAUUUGUUGGGUUAUCAGCAAUGUUCAUAAGUGUUGCAUUUACCAUUUGAUUGUUCACUGUGUACUGUGUUGUUCCACCCAUACGACCGGCUCCUGCAUCAAGAUCGUUUAUGAAGAGACAACACAUUUUCCCUUUUCUUAUUAUGUCUGAUGCUUCUCUGUAUCUUUGUCGAAUUAGUUUUGCUGGUUCUCCCGCAUUUCCACUUUCUAGCUCUCCAGCACUCAUCAUGAUAGGGCUGGAAUUAUAAAAUCAUAUGGAUUAUAUAAGUUAGUGCCAAAAAAUGUAUUAAUACAUCACCAUCAUCAGAUGGAACACAUGUUUUGUGUCCGACAUUUGCCGGUGUCUUAACACUCACACAUUUGGAUUGGUUGCAGUGUGAUUGCACAGGCAUAUCAGCUGUCAAUAAAGAUAGAACAGUCCAGAUUUUGGUUUUUUUAGAUCUAAAAUACUUAGCUUGUAAUCUAGACUGUCUGAUCUUGAUUGGACAACCUAUUUACAAUCCGGAUCUGACAUAUGUGGUUGCCUUUAAUUACGUCUAUUUUUUCAAAAUUAUUAUUAGUAGUUAUGUGUCAGCUUGUGUCUGGUGCGUGUGUCUGUGUUCAUGCUUCAUAGAUAACAUCACACAUCAAUAGUUUAAUGCAUAUGAACAAAUGUUUUAAAUCAGUCGCACUGCAAUUGCGAAAUAUUGUGGUCGAAUAGAAUUGAUGUAACUGUAAUUGCGAUUUUCAUACGGUUGUUGAGAGAUAAAAAAUCUUGACGUUGCAACUAUAACCGCGGUUACAAAACCGUUUUACAGAACCUUGAUUUGAAGCUAUGAUUUUUUCUUGGUUGAACAUAAGCUCUAGUUAGUUGUGCCAACAAUUAAUUGUUCCAAAAAAGAGUUUCGAUUUCGGAAAUGGAAGUAACUUACUUGAUGCCCAUCUUGGCAAAGACAAGCUCAGCUUGGAAAGAUUUUCCUUGACCUUUACCUCCCCAGAUACCAAGAAUGAGAGGAACCUGAAGAAAUCAUGAAAAUAUUUGAAUAAAUCUCUAUUUUAUUCGAGUCUUGGUUGCAAUAUCGUCACCAAUUGCAUGGUUUUAAAUUGCAGUUUAAACUACAAUUGUGUCCUCAAUAUAAAGAAUUUUGAUGUCUCUAAACAUCAUCGGCUAAAUUUUGCCGCAAUAUAAAGGUUCACAACAUAUAAUACUAAUAAUAAUAAUAUAUCAAAUUCAAAUUACAUACCUUGAUAUUAGGCAGAGUCAAGAAGUUCUUAGUGAUGUGUACAACAAGCUUGUCCAUAAAAGCAGGUGCAAUGUAAAAACCAUCCAUGGUGUUGUCAAGGUUGUACCUGAAAUACCAUCAUACAUAGUGACCACCACCUUCAUAUAAAAAAAAGAUUUGAAACCAAUCUUUCAAAAACCGAACCGAACCAGACAAUUCAACCAAUUGAACUGUGAACCGACACUGUCUACCGUUCAAUUAUUUGAGCAGUCCCAAUACAAGCUGUUGAACCAUGACCUAGUGGUCUUGCCGAUUCAAUGUCUGGUUUGAUUUUUAAAACACUGCUUAAAACUUUUUCUACUCAUGACAAAAAAACAGAUAAAUAAGUUAAGUAUGUCUCUGUCCUCGUGAGCUUAGCUCAGUUGGUAGGGACAAUGCAUAAUAUAUGCAAGGGCCGGGGUUCAAACCCCGCCCACCACCAAAAGAAAAAAGUUAAGUAUAUCUCACUUACUGUCUAAGUCCAGUACUAAUGUACUCAUAAGAACUCAUGACUGCAUAAUGAGUUCCAGAAUCUUGUGGUGCUUGGAAAACUGUAUCAACCAUACCCUUCCCUCUUGUGAUGUCUUGUUGAUCAUCUGAAGUAUCAUAGGCCAAACCUCUCCAUCUGUCUUUGUCAGUUUGCUUGCUUUCAUUAAUCUCAGCAGCAACAAUUUUGAAUCUUCCAGAUGAAACCUUUGUGUUUGGUAACCUCGAGGUAACUUUCUUUAAGCUGGUUCCAAAGAAUGAUGAACUUGGAACUGAAGCUACUGCUCCAGAGCUAUUCAAACUCAACUGCAAUAUCACAGUAUUAUCCUAUGAGUCACAUCGGACAUGACACUAAUACGUAGACAUUGGUAAUCAUUUAAGAAAAUUAAAUUAUUGAAUGUAAGUCAACACAUGUGUCGGUAGCAUGUUGGUGUAUGAGACAAAUACAUGUUAGACACUAGACACAGUAUCAGUUCUACUUAGGAAUUAGCCACUCUUUUGUACUAUUUAUACUAUCUGAAAGUUUACUCAAAUGCUAUAGACAUGCAAUCCAGACCAUCAUACUAUAUUUAUAAAUCAAAGUACCAGGGAUUGUUCCGCUAGAUUAGUCGGUCCUUGCCCGAUACCAAUUAAUAAGUCAACUGAGAUGUACGAUCUUAAUAGGUCGGUCUAGAUUGUUUGAUUGGAAUUUUUUUUGACCGUAGAGAAUCCAAAUCCAAAUCCAAAUUCCAAACAUUUAAAUCAUUAUUUGAUAUACAAUUGUAACAUUACACUUAUAAAGUAAUGAUUUAUCAAGUCUGUAUGUGUGUGUGUGUGUGUAUAUAUAUAUAUAUAUGAUUUAUAAAAUUACACAAGAACAAGAAUAAUUGAAAAGUAGGUAGGUAAAGCAACAUACUGGUGUUCCACUGACAGCUCUAACAGCUGAGACUGAGGCAACCAUGGCUGGGUUGUGUUGUCUUGCAAAGAAAGAUAGAGAAAUGUGUAUUGUUUUGGGGUGAGCAAAUUUGUCCAGAGGGAAUGAAUUUAUAGUAGUGACUCAAUUGAGUGUACAUAAAUCCAUAGUUCAACAAGAUUAGCUAAGAAUCUAUAACAUCCACACAAUGAAGAUUAUUUUACUGCCACAUGGCAAUCACUUAUUGCAUGAAUGGCAUUGGUCUCUGACACCUAGAGACAAAGGUCUAGAUCCUGCUAGAAUUACAUCCCUUUCCAAUUCUAAUGAGUAAUUGUUGUUACUACCACAUAAAGCUUGUAUAGUCCUCAUCUCAUUAGUUUCAUGCAAUGACAACAUGUUUUUGUUUCAUUAUUGUUAUUAAAAGAAGUGUUUACCAUUAAUAUGUUUGGGUUCUCUAAAUAAAAGUCUUACUUCAAAUGAUAAAAUAUAUUACUCUCUUCAUCAAAUGGUGGAGCCAAACAAAAAAGUUUGGGGUGGCCGCCUUCAAAAUAAACUAAAAUAUAUAAAUCAUAUUGCAUACAACAAAUUUAAGUUGUAAUAAAUUUCGGUCUUCCUCUUGAAAAACAAAUCGAUUUUUCGACUCUUUAUCUUAACUUUUCUGUUGCAAAGAAAUAAAUUAUCAAAUUCAACUAGUUUCAAUUUCAAUUUAACAAUGUGUAAUGAACAAGAAUGGUUGAAAUUGACAAAGGGAGCAACAUAGUAAUUUUCAAGGUAUAAAAUUUUUAUUUAUUUUUAAAUGGGGUGCCAAGGCUCCCCUUGCACCCUCUGCCUCCGCCACUGUCUUCAUCCCAUAUCAGUGGACACAAUCAAUUGUUUUACACAUGUCAAUGCAUAAUUUGUCUUGAACAUCUUAUAUGUUAUCAUUUGAAUUUAUAUAUGUGUAAUGUUAACCAAUGCCCUUUAUAUAUUAGUAGGAAAAUAAGAUGAAAAUAUGUAAUAUAAAUAGUACAUAUGUUGAAACUAAGUCCACUAAUAUGGAACAGACGAAGUAUACAUAUAUUAUUUUUUUAAAUAUAUUUAUUAACACCACUAAUUUAAGUUGAAAAAUAAAAAGAGAAUUAGACACAUAUAUACACAAAAGACAUUUUAAUAAUAUUGACACAAUGUAUAUAUUAAAAACACUAAAUAUAUGUGAAGAAGUACAGAUAGAUUUAUACAAAGUUAGAGAUGCAUUAUGUUAUAUUGAGCCACAUAACCAAUAUGUUGAAAAAAUGUUUGUUUUGAUUGAAUAUUAAUCUUUUUUGUUUUAGUUUUAAUUGAAUGGUAGAAAUUAAAAUUUUGGUGAUUUAGAUGAUGAUUAUCAAAAGGGGAUUGACCCGAACCACUCUUUAUUAAAAGGAAUAUGGGACCGAUGGCCACAUAUGCAAGUUGCUUUUCCCAUUGCCAUAUCUGCCUCCCCAUCCUAUGCCUCUUUCUAUUUUCUGUUAGUUACAUGCUGCGUUGUUUUACUAGCUGCACAAACAUUUUCAUUAGUUGUUUUUAUAGAUAGACGAAAUGAUAAUAACCGUUUAAAAUCCACACAUACAAGCAGAGAAGUUCGGUUUAAAUUCGAUCACAAUGUUCGAUCUAAUAAUUUUAUCCGUUAAAUUAUGACUUGUGCCAACAUAGGCUCCAUAAGCUUAUAGCCUGCAAGAAGAAAGUAUUUUCCAAAAAAUUUAAGGAUUUUGAACUUUAAAAUAGAAAAAUAUAUUUUUCCUUUUGAGGAGUUUCCUGAGAUGGUAACAUUAGCACAUAGCAUGGACAAUUCUCGGUGCAUCGAAAUAGAAGAAUUUUCAGAUAAAAUCAGUUAAAUGACCAAAAUAACAUUAAUAAGAUUAGUUAAAAUCAAAACAACCACUUGCUUACUCCAAGAUUUAUAUAACAAGGGAAAUGCUAAUAUGCACGAUAGAUUUGUAGUUAUAUUUGCACGAAUAAGUAGAUAAAGUUAUUUUUAUCUGGCUCUCUUAAUUUUCUUUUAAGCAAAAUGACCCAUUUAAUUAAUAAUGCAUUUUUUCUAAAUGAAAUCACAAAUUACGGUUCUUGUGGUGGUGAAUGGUGCAUCUCCAAAUCAAGUACUGCGUGUUUUGUCUUAUCUAAUAGUAUUUAUCUUUUCUUUUUUUUACUUAAGAUAGUAUUUAUCUUAUCACUACAAUGCUUUAGAAUUUGUAUCCUGAUAAAUACACAAUCUUCAAUCUCAUGUGGUAGCUGGUGAGAACUUAAUGGCUAACUUGGGGAAUUACCCUAUGGUAUAAAAUGUGUCUUUUUGCUCUGGUAAAAAUGUGUCACACAUUGUUACAACCUAGCAUUACAUAUCAAUGUUGCUACAACUACAACCUUCAACUACUCAUAAAUCUUUGAUAAUUGGUGUAAAUUAUCCCAAUUUCUGCCCUUUGGAGGAUACUGUUUUCUGAGAACUUUUUUUUUUUUUUUGAAGGAACUGUUUUCUGAGAACUGCCUAGUAGUCUUUAUUUAGUUCCCCAAUUUUGUACUUUUCCUUUUUUAUUUUUUAAUAAAUUUCGUUGCCUUUGAUAAACAAAAAGAUAUGUUUCGAAUUUAACUUUUAUCUUUAAAUUAAUUUUAUGUAAGAUAGUAAACUCUAUACAAACUAAAAUGAGCUUAAAAUAUGGGUGCUUUUACUAGAAAAUAUUUUUAUACGAGUAUUACUUUUCUCACCCUAUAGAAUUCUCGCGCGUCCUAUUUUUUUUUUUUUCAAAAACGCCCUUGAGGUUUCCGAAUUUCAUAAUCUGAAAUGAUGUUUUCCUUUGUUAUAGGGUAAAAAAUGGAGUUACGGAUUUUGUAAUCCGAAAACUUCAAAAAUAGGACGCGUUACAUGAUGUUUUCGGAUUGCAUAAUCCGAAAACCCCCUAAACACCCUUUUUUUUUCAUGGUGCUGAUGCAAUCUGGAUUACGUAAUUCAGACAGUGCCAGCACCAAUUCUUAUGUAAAGAGAGGGUAUGAUGGCUGGAGCUAAGGCAGCUGUUGUUGCUACUAUUGCCACUGCCAUUCCAACUCUAACCACUCCUUCCAUCUAUUUAAUUUUCUUUUCUUCAUACUUCCAUCCAUUAUAAGAAAUAUACUUUUGGCAUGUAGUUAACUGAAAUUAUAUAUGUUUGAUAUGCAGCUGGCUAGUGUAAGGAUGCUACCCUGAAUCCCACUACUCAAGCUCUCAUUGAAACAAAUAGUAAUAUUAUGUUUGAUAUGCUUGUUUUUUUUUAAAAAAAACUUCAAACUUUGAACCAUAGAAUUCUUUUUUCAUUAAUUUAAACUUAUUAGCUUACGAUGGAAAUUAAGUGCAUAUACAGUCAUCCUCUCCAAAUAGCAUGUUAAAUAAAAAAAUAGAAUUUUUUGUAAAAUAAAAAAUAGAAUUUAAUUACAUUGAUCUUAUAGCUUGUUAAUCUAUUUAUAUAUAUAUAUAUAUAUAUAUAUAUAUAUCAAAUUACUUAUUUAAUAACGUUAAUAUGAAAUAAAUCUUUUAAGUAAGUUAAGAGUCACUUAAAAAAAUCAUGUAGCCUAACUUACUCAAACAUUUCUACUCUCCAUCAACGCAACUCCUAUUUGAUUUCUAACUUUAUUCAUGUAGCCUCCAUCUUGCACUCUUCCUGGAUUAUAUGAACUGAUUUCUUCAUUUAUAUUGCUUUCUUCGUCACGCUCAAUCAUAUCUAUAAUAUGUAUAUGUGUGUAUAUAUAAUGAGAAUAAUUGAUUUUUUCUUUUCCAAUUAUACUCUAUAACUAAUUUUGUUAUAAGAAUACCAUAUUUUUAGUGUUGGUCAAAAAGAUAAGAAUUUAUAUAUAUAAUAUUAUAUUUGUUACAUUGCUGUGUCAUUGAAAAAGAUAUGUUUAGUUUUUUUAAUAAGAAAAAGAUAUGCAUAGUUUGUUACAAUACAAAUGUGUAAAUUAUAUAUAAGUAUAAUUUUUUUAGGCAACUACACUUGUACUUUUAAUUAAAAUCAAAAUUUUAUAAAAAUAAUUAUACGCAUUACACAACACCAACAAAAAUUAUACGCAUUAGCAUAACAAAAAAAAACAGAAAGAGGAACAUAAAGUAUUACUCUAAACACUAAUGUGUUUGUGUAUUUCCGUGGUUGAAGAAAGAGAAUAAAAAUAUUCGGUGUCAUUCAUUGACAGCGUGAAUACAAAUAUUUGCGUGGUUGUGAUGAUUAAAAGAUAUUGAAAUUAAUAUAUAAGUGAUAAAAAGAUAAUAAAAUUCCUUAAAAAAAUAGAUAAUAAACUUAAAUGGAACCUCAUUAAAAAAUUAAAUGGACCGGUUAAAAAAAAUAAAAUAAAUAAAAUGGAAGAAAAAAGCAUAUUGAAAAAAUAAAACAAAAGGUUGCCGGCGGGAGUUGAAGAGAGGUGCUUGUGAAAUAAAUUGGAGGAGAAAUAGUUUUUUGAAGUAACAUUCAACAACUUUUGGUUAAAGCUCAUUCCAUUCAAUUUUAUGCAUUCUAAAAAAAGUACUUUUUUUUAAGGUACUUUAUUGAUAUUGUGUUUGACCUAGCUUCUCCUUAAAAACGUAGAAAAACUGAAGAAGAAAAAAAGUCGGGUCAAACGUUACCUAAAAUCUAAACCGAAGCUUAUAACAGAUUACAAGUCACGUUUAGACGUUGAUGUUUUUAAUCAAGUUGGGUCUUAUAAAACCUAGUUUAUAGCCUAACCUAUUUCAAUCCCAAGUUCACAUAUGACUUUAAAUUCAUGCACUUAUGAUCUUUUUAUGGUUGAUUCAUGUUUAUACAUUUUAAUGAUGUUCAAAUAAUCUAACAAACAAUGAUGUUGAUUGAUGCAUGAUAGAGAAAGACAAUUUCAUCGUUAAACUCGAAAGCCCAAAGUUCUUCAUCCACCAGCUCAUAAUUACUCUCCCUUCUCAAUCUCAUGCAUGCCCAAUUGCCCAUAGUUCAAAGACAAAAAUUUUACUGUUUUGAUAUGACAGAAACCGGAAAGUUAUGUAUGUGUAAAUAGCAUUGCCUCCCAGCUCAUCUUUUCCAAGUUCCGGUCAAUAUCACACGGCAUCUCCAAUGUAAUAAAGUUAAGAAUGAAGAGUAUAAAAUAAUUUUAGAGGUUAUAAUUGAUUUUAUAUUUAAAAUUGAUAUUAGUUGAGGUUAGAAAUCGUAUUCUGAUUUUUGAAUUGAUUUUAACAAACAAAUUUAUUUUUCAAUUCACUUUUAUAUAAAUGUAUUCAAACAUAAAUUAUUUUACUUUCAACCUAAUUUUAGUCAUAAUCAACUUUAUCAACUUUACAAAAUCAAUUCACUCAAUAUCAAUUUUUCUCACAGCAAAACCAAAUAGAUGAAUCAUACUUUCAAGUUAGAAUUAAAAUUGAUCUGUCUGGUAGAGACGGAUGGAGGCAACAGUGCGAUGGCGACGAAGUCUUCGCGGUGGAACGAAAGGUUCGUGUUGGUACGUUAGCAUUCAACGCUCAAGUCAGUGUAGGAAAUGAAGUUGAAUGUGUAAAAGUGUGUGGGAAAAUGAAAUUGUACCUUGAGGGUGACGCAGAGUCGCCCUUAUACAGAGAAAGGAGGCUCUAACUGCUUCCGUGAAAUGUGGAGCCUCAUCAAGGGCCGUUGGAGGCCACAUGUAUGACGUAGGAUGCCAGGGGCGUGCUUCAGUAAGGUGGCAUGCACCAACAAUAGCUUGUUCACUCAGGCAAUGUGCCUUGAUCUGGGAGGACUUCAUGUCCACAUGUCAUCGUAGGAUUAACCUUCUUAGCCGGUUCAGAACAAAAAUGGAACAUCGAAUAUUGAUAUAUAGUUGAGUGAAGUCACAAAGAGAAAUAUUCUACCAUUGGGUCAGUGUCAAUAUAAUAAAACCCGCUAUAGAUGUCGGCUCUUAAGAGAGAGCGUCAAUGUUAUAAAUCCCACACAUUAAGUAGAUAAGAAUGUUAAAUGUAGUAAUUAAGUCAUAAGCCCUCCCUUCUAAUAAACUAAUCUUUUGAAUUGAGCUCUUAUGAGAUUAACUCGUAACAAUAUCACAACCUUAAUUAACAUUCAUAACACAAGAUUAACCAGGGGCGGAGCCACCCCCCAGCUAGCCUGGGCUAGUGCCCAGGCUCAGCUCCAACUUUCUUUGUAGCAAGCCCUACCAUUACUAGAAUUUGUAGCUUUUCCUGCGGAUUUUUGUCUAAAUUCCGCAAGAAAUGCAUUUCCUGCAGAUUUUGCCAAGGAUUUAGGUUCCGCAGGAAAGAUAUAUCCGUAGGAAAUGUGAAUUUAUCUGCAGGAAAUGUGAAAUUAUUCGUAGGAAGGAAGUAACGUUUUGCGAUAAUUUUUUUUGCCCAGGCUCUCUAAAAUUCCUAGCUCCGCCACUGAGAUUAACAAUCAUCAAAGGAACAGAGGGAAUAAGUUCAGCACACAUAUAUAACUAUUAUUGUUUGUGUGUAUGCGCUUGUAUUAUUAAUCUUUCUAUAUUUGGUCUAAAACAGUAAGAAAUGAACACAAAAGGAACUACAGGGGGGUUAGUCUAACACACCUAAGACCAUAAUUUAAGUGGCAAACAGCUAAACCUGAAUUAUGGUGUGAUUAAAAUAGCAUUGAUAUGUUCACAUAGAGCAAGUGGGUUUAAAUUAGGUUAAUUAAAGGACCAUUAACAAUAUCAAGAUAAAUAGCCGCAAUGAGUCAUGAACUCUAUAUGCUACUAAGAAACUAGAUUAGGCAAAGCAUGCAUUAUAACUCCAAACUUAUAAACUGAUCAUAUAGUAUAUAAAACUCUUUCCAAUCACCAGCAAAUGAUAAUGAUUGGUUAUUCAAUAAGAGAAAUUCUACCGUCCCUUUCAAAAAAAGGGACUUGUCCCAUUACUUUGGUCGUAGAAAAAAGUAUUGAGAUAUAAAUUAGUUUCGUAUUUGUCUUAGUAGAUUGAAGUAUAAAUAGUUUGUAAUCACUUUAUUAGUGGAUAAUUUUUCAUCAUUUGUAACAUUUUAUUUCCAUUAAUACAAAGAGUUAAUUAUUUUUCUCUCAUUCCUUUCAUCGAUGUAAUGUUUCAUAACAAGAAGCUUCAAUUUAAAUGUUUGUAAUAACACAAAUUACUCUUUUGGUCCUUUAAGUUUGACAAAAAUAUCGGAUUAGUCCUUUAAGUUUUUUAAAUUUUAAAUAGAUUCUUUAAGUUGUUAAUUUAUUACACCGUUGCCCUCAUAAGGACCUAUUUGAAACUUAAAAACUUUAAAUAUGUGAAUUAAAUUAACAAUUUAAAAGACCUAUUUGAAACUUAAAAACUUGAAAAACUUCAAAUAUGUGCAUUAAAUUAGCAACUUAAAGGACCUAUUAGAAACUUAAAAAACUUAAAGGACUAAUCUGAUAUUCUUGUCAAACUUAAAGGAUCAAAAAUGGUAUUUAGCCUUCUUUUUUCAUGAAACUGAUUUGAAUGUUUUUAACUACUCCCUCUGGUCACUUUUAUAAGCAAAAAACAACUUUUUAGGUUCAUGGAAUAAUUAAGGUAUCUAGUCACAUUUAGAGACCAAAUACAUUAGUUAUUCAAUAAAUCUAAAAAGUUGUGAUUUGCUUAUAAAUGUGACCUGAGAAAGUAGAUGCUAAUUCGAGUGGAAGAAGUGGCCCUUUAUUAUGUGCUUUUUAUAAAUAAUGUUUACUAUGAACCUCUAAAUAAUAUUUUAAUGGUAAAUGUUUACCAUAUGUUUAGUAAAAAAUAAAUUUUAUAAUAAUAAGCUUCACUAAAUGACGGAUCGUUUGGAAAAAAUUGAGUUUGAAUUUUGGGUAGAACAGUUUUUGGUUAAAUUGUACUUACAUCACGGCCAAACUCUGAAUUAUCAAGACCUCCGAGAAUAAAAAAGUUAACGCAAACCAAAAAUUAUGAAUAAAAAUAAAUUUUAUUAAAAUUAGGGUUCACCGUUGGACCGAAUCCAUAUUAUACAACUCUUUGAAUUAGUAAUUACAAGAAAAAAAAAUUACUUGGAUUUAUUUUCUGACAAAAUAUUUAGAGAGAAAAUCUUUUUGGAUAGUAGAUAUUUGUAAUUGUUUUUAUAUUUAGAUUAUUUAAAAUUUAUAAAAUUAAAAUUAUUGAAAAUUAAAUGGAUUAAGUAUUUGUAUUUAACAUCUUAAAUAAUACUCCCUCCGUUUAAAAUGAGUGUCGCUUUAACCAAUUGCACAUAUAUUAAGGAAUGAAAUAAAGUAGUCAAAUAUCAUAGAAUUUUACCAAAUUAUCCUAAUCAACUAUUGGUUUGUUUUUCAUUAAAGAAAAAAUAAUACUUUGGAAGUAGUGUAACAUAGUAUUAAUUGAAGGGUACAAUUGAAAAGAAAAUGUUAUUAUUGUAUUGAAAACUGAAAAUGACAUUCAUUUUGAAACAAUUUUUUUUUUGCUAAAACGACACUCAUUUGAAACGGAGGGAGUAGGUUUUAUAUACAUUUAACAUUUUAAAAAAAAAAAAUAUAUAUAUUUUAUGAUUGAAAAAGGUCCGGGGCUUAGAAGCCCCCCAUUCAAUAAUCGUCACAUGUCCUCAUUUAUACAAAAAAAUACUUAAAAAAUAGUCACAUGAGGUUAGAAACUUGAUGAAUAGAAAAGCCCUUUUGAGGCACAAAAGAGGAAAUUAUUUCCCAAAUUGACAAUGACAAUGUAGGCCACAAAAGAGACCUAAAAGAACAUGCUUUAAAGCCACUUGAAGUGAGAAUGAAUGUCCUUUGGAAACAACAAAAAGAAUUGACCCCUCAGGUGAUGGCUAUAAAAUGAUAGAUUCUCAAACUCUCUUUAGGAACAAAAAAAAAAAUACUAUAGUCUUAAUUGUGUGCUAUACACAACUAGAAAGACUUUCAUAAAACUUUAGAAAAUGACAGGGUUUGGCUCAUCAUGUGGAGCAUGCAAGUUCCUAAGGAGAAAGUGUGCUAGUGAUUGUGUUUUUGCUCCAUACUUCUCCUAUGAACAAGCUUCAAGUCAUUUUUCAGCAGUGCAUAAGGUUUAUGGGGCUAGUAAUGUCUCUAGACUAUUGUCACAUCUUCCUAUUCAAAAUAGAAGUGAUGCUGCCAUCACUAUAUCUUAUGAAGCCUUGGCUCGUAUGCAAGAUCCUAUUUAUGGUUGUGUUGCUCAUAUCUAUGCAUUGCAACAUCAGGUUAAUUUCUAUGUUGUGACUAUGAUUUUAAAUUGCAAUUGUAGUUGCGUUGUGAAUCUUUAUAUUGCACAAAAAUGCGGUAUAAUACGGUCCAUGUGGUCGAAAUUGCGAUUGUAAUAUCGUUGUGGAUGUUAGUUAGAUUGUGGCCAUAGUCGCAGUUGCAGACCACAAUUUAAAAUCGUGGUUGUGACCUCUCAACCAAGGUGUUUAAAUUGUCGAGCAAUCAUGGAUAUUGUGGAAAGUUGUGGUCAUUUGCAGAUAAUGCGACCUUGGUGCAUGUUUGGAUGAGCGUGAAACUAUAAUUAAGUGUAUUUUUUGUCAAAAUCAUGAUGGUUUGUCAAUCUAACCGCUAUUUUUCUAGUAUCCAUUGCUUAUAUAUUGAUGCAUUUUUUGGGCAAAUAUUUCUAGUAUAUGACUUUACCUCCAUUACUCCAACUUUCUUGAUCCAUCCUUACUUACACAUGCAUUGAAUAAAAUUAAAACUCUAAAAUUGUGCUUGUUGUAAAUAAGAAGUUAGAUCUUACAAAGUCUCUCCACAAAAAAUUUCUAAGGCCUCAAAAGCUCUCUACACAGCCCUGACCUACACAUAAUUGUGGGGGUGUAAUGGCAAGAGGAGACAUAUUUUCUUAUGUGUAAUUGUGCAGGUUGCUAGCUUGCAAGAGGAGAUAGAUAUUCUUGGAAGUGUAAUGGCAAAUUCAAGUGUUAGUGUUGUGAAUUGUGGCAAUGUUCAAGCACCAAUGAACUCAAAUAAUGGAACACAAUAUUACCAUAAUCAAAGUUUUGAAUCAUACUUGGAUAUGGAGCUAAUUCCUAAUGCACACGGAUUUCCAGAGCCUUUAUACGGUGAUUCCAACUCAAAUCCAUUAGAGAAGUUCUUAUCAGGAAUUGAUCAAGAGGGUUUCUUGAACCACCCUUGGUUCAAGCAUAAUAAUGGAGACAUAUGAAGACCUUGGAAUAUUAAAUUAAUUAAGUUACUAGACUAUGGUGCUUAAUUAUCCUACUUUUAUAUAAUGUUUAUCCUACUUUGUGGUAAUUGCAUGCAAUUAAACUUUUGUGACGUAUGUUUUACAAUACAAUCAUGAAUCAUAUAUGCUAGCUAGAGUGUAAUGUGUUAUAUUAAUAUGCUACUUCCGCAAUUAUUUUUACAUAAACAUUCGAUUGUAUAAACCAAAUGAUGUCAUAAUAUUCAAUGACGUGUUUAAUUUAAAUAUAAAAUAUUUAUAUCUACAUCAUUUUUAUUUUAAAUCAAAAUCUAUAUUAAAAUCUGCAUCGUUUGAUCACGAUCCAAAGACUAUUAAUACACACAUCCCAGUUAUCUUCAAAUAAACAAUAAACAAUAAACAAGUACUAUGUGUGUAAAGUCAUUUAUUGAUGUAUGUAUUAUUAGUGGGCAUGUUAAAGUAAAACUUAUUGAUAAGUGGAUAGCUACACACCUAGGGUAGGCGGCUUGGUUAUCCCAGAAAAGACCAAUUUAGACUCUCAGGGAAAAGUAGCAUGUGUUUAAUUUUAUUUUGGAGGAUCAAAAGUGAUGCUCUAGAUUGUUGAAUUGAUUUUAGGGUUAAAUAUGUUUUUAGUCCUUAUAAAUAUAUCAACUUUUUGUUUUAGUCCUUCUAAAAUUUUCCUUCAACUUUUAAUCCCUAAAAAAUUUUCCAUCUUUACUUUUGGUCCCUCUUUUAAAGUACACUCAUAUGUAGAAUUCAUAUUUUUGAAUCAAAUUUUUAAUAAAAAUUCAUAAUAUCAUUAUAAGGGUUAAAUAUGUUUUUGGUCCCUAUAAAUAUGUCAACUUUUUGUUUUAGUCCCUCUAAAUUUUCCUUCAACUUUUAGUCCCUAUAAAGUUUUCAAUCUUCACUUUUGGUCCCUCUUUUAAAGUAAACUCAUAUGUAGAAUUCAUAUUAUUUAAUAAAAUUUUCCAGAAAAAUUCAAAAUAUUAUAAGAAUGACUCCAAAAAAAAUUAAGAAUUUUUUAACAAAACAUGAAUUUAAUAUGAAUUUUUAUAUUGUUUAUGGUUAAAAAUUCAUAUUUAAUUUGUGUUUUGUUAAAAAAAUCUAAUUUUUUUUAGGAAUUGUUUUUAGAAUAUUUGACACAUUUAUGCACAAUUUCAUUACAAAAUACAAAAAUUAAAUUAAAAAUAGGGAUCAAAAGUAGUGAUUGAAAAUUUUAUAGGGACUAAAAGUUGAAGGAAAAUUUUAGAGGGACUAAAAUGAAAAGUUGACAUAUUUAAAGGGACCAAAAACAUAUUUAACCCUUAUUAUAAUCUCUCCCAAUUUUUUUUUUAAAAAACAUGAAUUUAAUAUGAAUUUUUAUAUUAUUUAUGGUUAAAAAUUCAUAUAUAAUUUAUGUUUACUUAAAAAAUUCUAAUUUUUUUUGGGAAAUGUUUUUACAAUAUUCUACACAUUUCUGUACAAUUUCAUUAAAAAAUACUAAAAUUUACUUUAAAAUAGGGACCAAAAGUGAUUCAAAAUUUUAUAGGGACUAAAAGUUGAAGGAAAAUUUUAGAGGGACUAAAACGAAAAGUUGGUAUAUUUAUAGGGACCAAAAACAUAUUUAACCCUUGAUUUUAUUAUGUUUGGAUGAUUUAAAGUAGAAUUAAUUUUGUUUAUAGAAUUGAAGUUAUAAUUUGUAGCUUUAGAAUUUAUAGAAUUGAUUUUAAUCUUAAAUUGGUAUCGUGGAUAAUCAAAUUUAAAAUCUUGAAGAAACAUAUUUUAAGGUCUCAAGUCAAUAUUAAGAUAUAGAAAUACCGACAAAAAAUGAAAAACAAAAAGCUUACUCCACCUUAAAAGUGUAUUGGAAUUAGAUGACUCCAUGGAGAAGCUAAAAUCACCGUUAUUUCCUCUUUAUCUCUCUCCAAAUAUUAUCUCUUUCUUAUUUUAACUAUUAUUACUGGCGAAAAGACAAGCACUUACAUGGCCGUCUUUCCACUCUUUUUAUUGCGCUAACGCAUGUAGAUUAUCAAAGAUAUUUUAUAAAAAUUUACGUGUAAAUUACAAACGAUAUUAUAUAUAUAUAUAUAUAUAUUAUUAAAAUUAUAAGUAUAGAUAUAGAUAUUUGUGAAUUUCAAAUAGAACAAACUCAAACCAUAUUUAUCUUUUUCAAUGACAACAAUAAUAUAACAAAUAAAAUUUAAAUUCUUAUCUUUUUAAAUAAUACCAACAAUUUAAUAUUAUUUUAAGAAAAUUUAUUUAAAGGUAUAAUUGGAGUAUAAAAAAAACCAACCCAACAUCCUUCUAAAAUAGACUAUUUAUUUCAUCUGCCUCUCUUAUAAAACAUCUUAAAUACAUUAAAGUUGUCAUAUUUUUUAUCUACAAAGUCACUUAAUCCUUAAAAAAGUUUUUGUUUGAAUGACUAUUUGUUUUAUGGUGUUCCGUUUCAAUCAACUCCAACCAGGAGAUCGAUAGGAAUAAUAAAGAACACAGAAAAUAGUUGAAAAAACAGAUAGAUUUUGUACAUUAUUUGGAUAAAAGAGUAAAGGAAAAAAAAUUAUUUAACUCAAAUUGAAGCAGUGAGAAAAAAUAAAGUUAAUAAUUGACAUAAAGUUCAUUUUACUUUUGGUAAAUUUUAAAACAGUAAAAUUGUCGAUUAGAAAUUUACGUCUUCCAGUUAUGCUAAUGGUGCGAGAAACAAAUUCACGAAAACGCUUUGUGCCCCCACCCACCCAGUUUUCCUUUUCUAAUUGUUAAAGGGUUUUUAAUUAAUAUUAAUAUUAAAACUAAAAUAAGUAAAUAAAAUAUAUGAAAAGGAAAAUCAAGCUAAAAAAGACAUGUCGGUGGUAAAAUUUAUCAACGUUGCUAAUACUUCUGCUUACCACCGCUGUUAUCACCACAAAGCAAUAUAUUCUUCACUCCAAAUCUGAAAUCUAGCAAAGAUUAUUAUUCUUCCAUCCUACAUUAAUCGUGUUGAUGGAUUCUUCAAAGUAUGUGCACUCUAAAGUUAUUUUUUCUUCAAUGGGGUGAAAUAUCAAACAAUUAUAAGGUACAUUACCAAUAAUUUUUUUAAGAAAAUUGCAGCAAAUUCUAAAAAAAAAAAAAAAACAAAUUUUUCCAAAAAAAAAAAAAUCAAACUGAGAGGGAGAAAGCUGCUCAGCAUAGUAAUGGUGUGGGAGUAUAACAAAGGAAAUCCAAAUGUAGAGUUGUGGUUAGACAAAAGAAUCCAAGGUUAAUUUGGGCAAUUUAUAUCAAAUAAAAUUUAAGAAAGUGGACCAUCAGUAUGCCAAAUCAUUCGCGGGAAUAUGCCAAUUUAUAUCAUAUGAUGAAAGCAUAAAAUAAAAUCAAAACAAUGUUAUUUUUGUCAUUAAAAUUUAAAACAUAAAAUGUUAGUUAAAAUCCAACAUUGUUUUUUCUAGAUUACCUUUGAAGAACACCAACCAAUGAAAAUGAGCAAUUUAUUGGUGGGGUCAAUAUAGUUCAUGGAUACCACUUAAAAAUGUGCUUAUGUGGCUAAUAUGUAUUGGUUGGGGUAAAUUACCCACCAUUCUUCCAUGGAUACCCUAGUUGUCACCAUCAAACAUACCUAUAUUCCUCUAUCUUUCUCUUCACUCAUUUUAACUUGAAUAGUUUGUUUUUUGUUACAAUUCACAUGAUCAAAGAGUUGAAGAUUCAUCUCAUAGAAGAAAUAAGCUUGAUACAAAGGAAAAAUCCAUAGAAUUAUUAUUGAAUGAUAAUAAAUGAGUAUAUAUAUAUAUAGAGCUUGAAUGAUACAAAGGAAGAAAUAAGCUUGAAUGAUAUAUAUAUAUAUAUAUAUAUAGAGCUUGUGAUACAUUACCAAACUAAACACCUAAUAACAAACUCUAACUAACCAACUAAAUUUUAACUAACUCUAUAUUUCUAAUAUAAAUAUGAUCAUAUUAGGUAAUCAACCCCACAUUCCAAUUUAUACAUAUCGGUCACCUAAUUUCAUUGAUAAGUCAUCAAGUGACGGGAAGAUCUUCAGACAUGAUCAUGUCCGCCACUCUCUUGCAUUGUGGAACAUUUACAACCAUGAACCAGGCCAGGGUUGUCAAUCACGAACUACAAAAAAAUAGUGGUUUGAUUAAAUUUCGAUAUGCUAUAGUGUUUUCUGUAGCUGAUAUUUUACAAUACUUUGUACUAAAUUGCAUAUCGCUAAACAAUAGCAGUUUUUUCGAAUUUGACUAUGUUAUAGCUGUUAUUUGACAACGCGGAUUGGGCCACUUCUGAAAUUGUGUCGAAAGAGGGUUGUUGAACCCAGGGUUUUAAAUUGCUUUCUACAACCGCAAUUGCAGAAUCAAGCUGACCGGCAUAACAAAAUCCACCAACAAACACAAUCCCAUAGAACUCUUGCAAAGAGAUGACUUCUUUAAGAAGGUAUGACAUAGUAAAAUCCCAUGGUUCAAAACCAGCUGGAUGAAAAGCUACAUCCAUUUCUUUUUCACCAUUUGCUUCCUUCAUGGAUGCAAAUUCAUUGAUUUUUACAAGAAAUUAUUUAUUUGCAUUUAGUUUAAUCACAUUUGAAUCGUUUGAAUCAAUUGAACUAAAACUCAAAAGUUUCACUUGUAUGAUCGUUAUUCCGGUUUUUGAAACAACUGUUGUUGACUUGUAGUUAGAAUUCAGUUCCACAAAUUUUAGUUGAGAACAAGCAAUAUUCAUUCUGCAAAAGUUGAAUACAGAAUCUAUCUUCAAUUCAAUCUUAGUAUCUCUGAAGUGGGUCAUAAUUCGUUUAGUAUGAGACAGUCCACAAUUAAAUAAUUUUUGGAAAAAAUCUGCAUUUAUUUGUAUACGACAGAAUGCUUCAAUUUGAACCAAAUUAUUUGACCAUUCACACCAAAGUUUGUCGGCAAAAUAUCUAUUUUCCGUGCAUUAAUAGUGUCUAAAUCGAACAAAACAACAACAUGAAAGGGAGGAAAAUUAGAGAAAGCAUUGAUUCAUAUAACACGUACAGGUACGGUGUCCAAAUGGAAAAAUGUAGUUUAAAUUGCUCAACUAUAACUUUUUGGAUUCACAUGUCAACGAGGAUCUUGUUAACGAAGGCUAACGAGACAAUCUUUAAACGUUAUAAAAGAAGAGAUUAUUUUAUAAAAAAAGUCAAAUCAUUUCAAAGUGAAUUCCAACUAUGUAAGUUAUGAGUCAUAGAACAUGUACAACUUAAGAUUUUUUUUUUUAAAUCAAUUAAAGUAAUUUAAGUUAAAAAAUAUUAUGAAAUUAAAAUAUUAUUAUGUUUUGCCACUAAAUUUAAGUGAUAGAGAACUUGGAAACAAUUUUACUUCUUUUAUUGUUAAGAGAAGUGUUUGAACAAUCUUAUCUUAAUAUAUAAUACUAAGGUUCACAAUGCAUGCUCCAUUUGUCUAAAACCUAAUUCUCUAACCCUAAUCUAUUUAAUUCUGAUUUUUGAGUUCCAAAUGUAACUGUAGUGGAUGAUUAUGAUUGAAAUGCACACAGCCACAAUCUUUUGGUUUUCUCCAUUCUGCAAUGAAUUCCUUGCCGUUACAAUUUUGCUCUCCUUUAUAAACAACAUAUCAGGAUUUGUCUUUCCACCAUCUCCAAACCCUCCUGCGUCGCAGACAUGCUUUCCACCAUAACAACGUGGCGAUGCUCUCUUACAACAUGUUGAUUGGUAUGUAUGCACAAAUUUUUCUUAAAAAUUCCCUUAUUUUUGCGGUUUGAAGCAUGAUAUUUGAUAUGUCUUUUUUUUGCAGCACCACUUGACAUUCAACAACAACAACAUCAUAACAUAACAAUCAUUCCCUUCUUUCUUUUUCGAAAUUUUCAAUUGAAUUUCUCAAAUUCAUUCGUGUUGUUCACAUCACGCAAAGAAUUGAUUGAUCAUCAUCAUCUCAUACAAGAAUGGCGGAAGGGAGUAAUACUCCUGUUCUUCUUCCUGAUUUGUUGAAAAACACGCCUUCCAAUAUAGCUAGAUUGAAAGAUGUUGUUGAACAAUCUAAAGCUAGACAAAAGUAUCUCGCUCAUACUAACAGUUCUUCUGAUGGCGGUGAUGUUCGUUGGUAUUUUUGUAAGACCUCUUUAGCCCAUAAUGGUAUGUACUAUGUCUUAUCAUCAAUUUGUAGUUUUUGUUGUAUUAAUUUAAUUUUAUAUUACUUUACUACUUUAUUAGUAUGUAUCCCUUUUGAUUGAUUAAUAUGUUUGACAAUGAUUGAUUUUGAUUUUGAAUGAAUUGAUUCUGACUAAAAGUGAGUUGCGGGUGGAUUGAUUUGUGUUUAGAUUCAUUCAUCUAGAAGUAAUAAUCAAUUAUAGAAUCAAAGGCUACAAAUAGUAGAAUUGAUUUUAGUCCCCAAACUUGAUUUCUAAGAAAAGAUCAAACAUAAGUUUGUAGAGUUAGAUUUACUGAAUUCAAACUUCUGCAAAGUAUUAGUGAAUUAGUUUUUGCCAAUUAAUCAUAUUUAAUAUUAGAUACUCUAAUUAUUUGGAUUGUUGUAGUUGGUGUGUUUUCUGUUAAACAAAGUUAGGAGUAAUGAUAGUGUGAGAGAAACUAAUUCAUGUGAUUAAUUGUGAUCGACAAUUUCAUGUUUCUAGCUAUUUUGAUCCUCUGAGUGUUGUAAACAGAUUUCACCUUUGUAAUGUUUAUAUAUUGGCUAAACUAAUUUUCACUUGCUUGCUUUUAUUCUAUUGCCUGUUCAUACAACUAUUUUGCUAUAUACGGUACAAAAUAUUUGAAGACGGUUCAUGAAUUCAUGGAAGUAUCCCUAAGGUUACUUUGGGUGUUAAAACUAUUACUACCAGGGCCUAUGAAUUUUAAUAAUCGAUAUCUAAAUUUUUUUUGACACAUUGCUACUAUAAAGUGUACACCAAAAAAGAACAUUACUACUAUAAAGUAUAUAAUUAUUUAUCAAAUGAAAACAAAAAAAAAUGUCGGUUCAUAUGUGGAAAUUGUCUUCUAUUAGGAAAUGUUGGUUUUUAAUUAAAAAAAUUAUUUCCUCCAUAUGAUAUAAAAGUGGAUUUUGGAAAUUUGAUAAAAGUAGAUUUUUGUUCAUAAAAGUUGAUUUUCUCAUGAUUGAUUGAAAAGAUAUCAAUAGAUUUAACAGUUAUUUUGAUGGAAUAUCAAUUACUAUAACUACUGUUAAUUCUAAUUAUUGAGACUUUUCACUCCCAACACUAAAAAAAAAAAAAAACGGAUAUUGCAAAUGACUGUUUGGUUGGGUAGUGAGAUUUUAAUGAGAUACAACAAAUUGUGCUGUAUAUAUAGACCAAGGAUCAUCACUCUAUUAUUCACUAAACAUUGAAAUCACAGUUCUAGGUGAAACUCUUCCUUACGGCGCUUUUUACCACCAUGGCUCCACUCAUCACUCCUGUUGCUGCCAUUGUUGCUGGAAAGAUCAACAUCAAACUUCGAGUUCGUGUCGUUCAUGUUUGGACCGUGUCUAAGUUCAACAACCCAAAUGAGGAUAACUCUAUUCACAUGUUAUUGCUUGAUGACAAGUUGGUUUUUUGAAAUUAUAUUAUGUGGUCUUAUAUUUUGAAAAUUAUAUUUGGCUCAAGUUGUCUUAUGUUUCACCUUUGUUUAAUUUAAAAAAAAACAGCUUGGAAAGAUACAAGCAUCUGCUAAGAAACAUUUGGUGCCAAGGAUAAGGUCAAACGUAGAAGAGGGAUCUACAUACGACAUUGAAAAUGUUUUGGUGACUAAAAACGAUCCUAAGUAUCAGGUUACCCAACAUAGGUUCAAGCUAUAUUGGGAAAAACUGAUAAGUGCUCAAAAGUAACAUAUUUCAUGUGUUAACUUAGGCAAAUUAGUGACUUGUUUUGCAAGUUAUCUAAGGAAAAGCUACCAUUUGAGUGUAAUAUUACCAUUUAUGCUUUACAUGCCCGAUUCUACCCAAUUUAUGCAGGAAAUGACAAGCAAGGACCAAAAGAAGGAAGCUCCUGAACCAAGGUCUGUUCGCUUAAGCGAACCCCUGUUCGCUUAAGCGAACCCCUGUUCGCUUAAGCGAACCAGUUACAGAGAGCAACCGUUCUAUUCGCUUACAAGCACACCUUCAGUUCGCUCAUGACAAAGCUCAGUUCGCUUAAGCGACCUAUGGUUCGCUUAAGCGAACCAGUUCCAGAGAGCACCAGGAUUUUUCGCUUACUAGCACGCUUCCAGUUCGCUCAUGAAGAAAAGGUCAUUUCGCUUAAGCGACCUACGGUUCGCUUAAGCGAACCACUUACAGAGAGCUCCAGGAAAGUUCGCUCACACGUUCGCUUGCGUUUCGCUUAAGCGAAGUUCAUCCAACUUCAGAAGAUAAGGACCACGUGGCAGCUCCUCAAUGGUCAACAUUAGAUUUCUUGGAUGUUCGCUUAAGCGAACUGGAACGCAGUCAGCCCAUAUAAAUAGUUUUCUCUUCUCUUUCCAAGAAUCCUAUUACAUUUUUAUUCAUAUUUUUCUGGUUUUAGAGAGAGACUAGGGCUUUUCUAGAGAGAGAAACACAAAGCAAGGUAGUUAGGAGUAGAUUCAAGCCAAGAUUUGUUGAGACAUCAUGGAUCUUGUCAUGGAAUCUUCACCCUUUCUUCAUCCUUUGCAAAGCUAUCAUAGACAUAUGUAGCUACAUCUACUCUUGUAGUUUUGAGGUAUUCAAACAAGCUAUUAUGUAAUCUUUUGAUCUUUUAAUAUAUGGUUCUAGCUUAUUUAUUCAAUAUUGUUGUUAUUCUUGUUUUUAUUGUUUUAUUGAGAUUCAAAAUGAUAUGGACACAUACUUUUGAAUCUAGAAAUAGAAUAACAAUCUAUCUUAAGUUAUCACUCGACAUGGAUGUUAAUAUUUGAUAAUCACUUUUAAUCUAGAACUUAAUGCUUUUGGGUAAUUUAAUCGGUUGGGAAAUCGUCGAUUAAACUACCCAAACGACUUUGUGAUCGUUUAAAUGUUUGGGAAAUCGAUGUUUAAACGAUCCCUUAGAAAUAACGAUAUCAUUUGGACACGAAUGAUAUUGUCGAGUGAUUGUGAUAAUAUAGUUUAAAAAGCUAGAAUCCGUUAAUCGAUCGAGAGAUUGCAGCUGUUACGCUUGGUUGAUGUCUCUGACCGCAAGCAGAAUAGCCCUAUCUCUUCUCGUUUUACUUUUAUGUCGAUUAGGAAAAUAGUUUUACACAAACAAACAAUUUAUACCCAAACACUUAACGUGACAAAUAUUGUGAAAAUGCUUAUGAAAUACGCAACUCCCUGUGGACACGAUCCUAUUAUACUUACGUGUAAAUAGUUUUAUGAGAGGUAAAAAUCCUUCAUAAAAAACCCAAGUCCCAUAUCGGAUAGACAAGACUCUUGAGAAGAGUUUAUAAAGAGGAUGCAAUCCUCACCUUACAAGCCGGUUUUGUAAGGAUGAGUUAGGCCCCAAAUUUCAACAUGGUAUCAGAGCUUGUCGAAUUCAAGGGCCGCCUAAACCUAUUCACGCACCAAGCCCAAAGAGUGAUGGGCGUGAGGGGGGUGUAUUGGGAAAAACCCAAGUCCCACAUCGGAUAGACAAGACUCUUGAGAAGAGUUUAUAAAGAGGAUGCAAUUCUCACCUUACAAGCCGGUUUUGUAAGGAUGAGUUAGGCCCCAAAUUUCAACAAGCUAAACCUUAUAGACAAGACAAAGUUCUUUAAAAUUGAUGCAACUACCAUUCCUUUAAAUCAUUUCGAGCAUAUAGAUAUUACAACGGACAGUAAAUGAUGUUAUUUUCAUUUGUUCUUGCAUUUUUUUUUUUUUUUACCAUAGACAUUUUACCGUAAAUCCAUUAUGCGCAGAUGUAUGACCCGUGCGGCAGCACGGGUGCAAGGACUAGUUUUUUCUAACAUUCUCUUUUAUACUUAUUCUCUUGUUGAGUAAAAUUUAUGUGGGUAUCGCAUUUUAAAAAUGGAUCCCACAUAAAGUUGUGAGAUCCACCUAGUUUUAUCCAAUAAGAGAGUGAGUGCUAUAUAGAAUGCUAGAAAGAGAGUUUUCUAUAGUUAAUUAUGGUCGUUAAAUCAACUCUAGUUUUUAAAUCAAGAGAAAUAUGCAAAAUCAAAUGUAUGAAUACUUUGUAUCUAGGGGGUUGACAAUGUGGAUGAAAAUCAAACGAUUCAUAUUUUGACUUUGUAAUCUUGAGGCCAUGACAAUGCGGAUGGUUUUUUGAUACACUUAAAAGAAUGGCCGACUUUCAAAUUAGGAAAUUGCUUUUCUGACAUCUAUAAGUUCCUAAUAACACAAGUAAAAUACUUAAAUGGCUCUAGCGGUAGUUAACUACCGUUGACGUAUCCGGCAAUAGUUAACUACCGCUGAAGGUGGUUUAGCUACAGUGACCGUAAGGAACAACACAUUCUUGUUCUUGUUCUGCCAUUCAAAACUUGACAAAGAUUUUGAGAAUGAAAAUGAUAGUUGAUGUACCACAUUAGCGGAUAACAGAUUCAUUCUUGUUCUUGUUGAAUUGAUGCUUACAGAGAAUUAGUGCAAAUUGAAUUAGAUUGAAAGAAAAGUGUAACUUAAUUAGAGGAAUUAAUUGAAUAAAAUGGGUUCAAUUGAAAAUGAGCAUUGAAUUAACAGAAGCAUAAUCAAUGGAUAGUGAAUUAUAUAGAUUUUUCAAUGAAUUAGAAUUGUGAUUGGAUUAGAAAUAAAUUGGGAUUCACGAAAAUGGAAGAAUGGAAGUGAAACUAACAGGAGAAAGGGAAUUUCUCAGUGGUAGUUAACUACCGUUGGGUUCAGCGGUAGUUAACUUUUUAUAAGUUCUUCAAUAUAACUUCUAAACACAACUUAAAGCAUAUAUAAAAUCAAUUUAACAUUCUUUUCAUCUUUUGCCAUAAAAAUAGUUUUUACAAGCCUAUACGUAAACACUUAUCAUGAAAAACGUUUGUGCUAUAAGCUGUAAUGUAAAUAAGUCGUUUAUCCAAACAACUCAAUUUAUGUCUUAUGCACUUUGACGUUAUAUAGUUAUUACUCUACCACUAAAAGAUUGAUCGCUAACAAUGUAAAUAAGUCGUUUAUCCAAAUAAUUGGAAGAGUUGGAAGAUACUCCAACAGAUGAAGAGAAAGCAACAUACAAGGAGGCAAAGAAGAAGGGAUAUGAAGCACAAUUUAUUCUCGACCAGUGUGUAGAUGCAUCAAACUUUGAAGAGAUUGCAAUGGUUGAAACAUCAAAGGAUGCAUGGGAUAUUAUUUUUUCAAUGUCCUAUGCUGGAGUUGACAAACUGAAGAAGGUGAAAAGGUCUCACAUCAGGUGAUAGUUGAUAAUAUCUUGAGAAGAUUGACAUCAAGACUUCACCACCUUGUUGUGGCCAUUGAAGAAUCAAAGAAUAUUGUAGAAAUGAAGUUUGAGGAGUUGCAAGGAUCUCUUGAAGGUCAUGAGCAUAGGCUCGGUGAAAGAGAAGCAGAGAAAACCACUGAGCCCUUAUAGGAUCAAUUGAUAAACAUAAAUAUAAUUAAGACAUUUUGUAGUUUAAAAUUGAAAUUGUGUGUGUCAUACCCCAAUUUUUGACCUAAGACAGCUUGACACGUGUCAUUUAACUCCGACCGGUCUCAGCCUUUCGAGCAAAAAUUUCGGCAGGGAGGUAUUUUAAAAUACCUCAUAGUUGAUUCCGAGUCGGGCCCUCUUCUCUCAAUUUUCAUUUAAUUUUAAUUUCCAUCUUUUAUUAAUUUUAAAUUCAUUUUUUUUUUAACCUUUAUUUUAUCUUAUUUUUGUUUUAUUUAUCCUUAGUCCUUUAAUUUCAUUUUUUUAAUGUCCAAAAAUAAAUCAAAAUUUGGUCCGAUAAUGUCCCAAACACAGCUCACAAACAACUAAAAACAGGCUGUAAUGUCUCCUCUCCAAGCAACAAAAAUUUUGCUCAUUUCAAGCUCUAUAUAUACAAACACAGAUGCAGCCAAGAAAAGGGGGGCCCAACAAGAGAAACAUUCCACGGCUAAGCACACAGACACAACAUUUCUCACCUGCAAGAAAUCAACAGAGUCCAGUAACACAAAAAUUCCAAACACCAAAACCAUAGUUCAACACCGUACCGCCAUACCAAACACUGUCAGCGCUAUAACAUCAGUUACCAACACAAGCCACAAACAAAUCUCAAAAACAGCCGUAACUCAACACCAAUCAACCCACAAACACGUAAUAACAAAAUCAAACUCAGUAACCAUCACCAAACCGUCAUAAAACAUAACUCUAGCACAACAAACCAUCAAAUCCAAACCAUACCACUUUCGGUUUCGAAUUCAAACCGGAUCUACCAAAAAAGUAAUAUUUCUUUCCUUUUAGAUCUAGGUCAAACCGUUGGGUUUUGAGCAUUUUUGAGUUAAAAAUCGGAAAGAAGGAGAGAAAAGAAGGAGAGAGGACAAAAAAAAAAUCAAAAAAAAGAGGAGUUUUUGACUCCGGCGCGGUGGCGCCGCCGCGACAACUCGCCGGCCACCGCGCCGGAAACUGAGUUUCAUGGUGGUGUUCUUCAACACUCACCGGAAACUUCAUCACAAAAAAAAAAAAAAAAGAAGAUAAGAAGAGAGAGAAGAGAGAGUACGUGAGAGAAAAAGAGAGUGAAGAGAGAGAAGAAAAAAAAGAAAUGGGAGAAAAAAGGAAAGAAUGGGUAUUUAUACCCCUCUUCUUCAACAGAUCCAAUCAAGGCCGUUGAUCAAAUCAACGGCCGAGAUUUGUUCCCCAAGGCCCAAUCCUCCUCAUUUUAUUUUCUGCACCCCCUUUACUGCUCACACACCCCCAGCAUCUCAUUUUUCUAAUUUCUUUUUCAUGCAUUUUAAUUCUCGCUCUAUCUGUUAAUCCAGAGUGCUCUGGUCCUAAUUACCUGUUAAUAUUAUAUUCUUGCUUAAUUUAGUUAUUCUCCAGAACAAUCUGGUCCUUGUUAAUUAAAUUAAUCCAGAGUGCUCUGGUCCUAUAUUAACUAUUAAUAUUAUAUUUUUGUUUAAUUUAAUUAUUCUCUAGAGUGCUCUGGUCAUUGUUAAUUAAAUUAAUCCAGAGUGCUCUGGUCCUAAAGUAACUGUUAAUAUUAUAUUUUUGUUAAUCCAGAGUGCUCUGGUCCAAACUUAAAUGUUAAUAUUUAUUUAUUUUUUGUUUAACUUAAUUAUUCUCCAGAAUAUUCUGGUCCAUGUUAAAAUAAUUUCACAAUUCAGCUUAACUUCAUUUUUCUCAUUCUGCUUAUAUAAUUUUCAUAUCUUUAUUCCAAAACCACAAAAACAUUCAAAUAACAAAUCACAAAAAUAUUUUUUCAUUACAAACCUUGAUUCUCCAAUCAAGUGAUCGUUCUUUUAUUUUUCUUAAUCAAAUUUCAAAUCAAUCAUAAUUCAACUUCAAGUCUAUUUCUUUCAAUCUAAAAAACACAAAUCAAUUCUCAUUUGCCAUUUGGCUUUUUAUUUCAAAACCUCUUUCAAAACAUAUAAAAAACACCAAACAAAUCAAACGUCAAUUUCUACCCCGAACUACGAGGUUUUGAUCCCUCACGGGUACGUAGGCAGAGGACCUUGUCCUUCCAAAUCAAUUAAAAAACAAUUUUCUUUUUUUCUCUUUUCAAUCAUCAACUAAAAAACAUUUUUCUUUUUUCUCUUCAAUUAAAAUCAAUUUUCUUUUCUUUAUCAACUCAUAAUUCAAUUUCAUUUUCAUCUCUUUAAAAGCAAGCAAGUUUAAGCACAAAAAGUUAAAUAAAAUCAAGAGGUUCUCGUAGAGUACUACGAAUAUUUAGGGUGCUAAUACCUUCCCUAAAUAUAACCAACCCCCGAACCCUAAAUCUCUUCAAAAUGGGUUGUUUGGAACGUUUUCCCCUUAAAAAAAAUUUUGUUCAGUCGUGAGAUAAAAAGUGAGUCAAAAGCUAAUCAAAUGGCCUUUGACGUCCGAAAAAUGGCGCGACAGAAAUGGCGACUUCACUGGGGACACUUAAGAGGGUUGAGCCUAACUUGGCUUUAUUUAAUUCUUUGUGCUCUAACUUGCUUAAAACAAAAACAAAAAUAAAGGAUGGAAAUACUGGUAUAUAUGUUCUCUUUUCUUCUUUCUUUUUUCCUUAACGUGAGUGGUGAGAUAAGUCCUACACCCGGGCUUGAGGGAAACAUAAGAUAAGAUGGUGGUAUAACCAAAGUGCCAUUCCGAGAGUCAAGUCUCGUGUUUUGGUUCAUGUGGUAUAACCCCGCUCAAUGGAGGAAUCUUGGGAGUAAUUUAUGUUGGCAUGAGUAGUCGUGUUGGCAUUGUAUUUUCAAGUGACCGCCGAAGUUGAGGACCUUUAGUUACCAUUACCCAUCUUGGCCUUUUAGGACGUAGUGCGGUGGCUAAUCAAGAGUAGUCUUGGUCUAGUUGAUACGCGAUACUACACUCAGACGAGACUUUCUUACGAACGUUGUUGGACCGGAAGUAUUUCCGUAACCCGAUGACAUUCGGAAGCGGUUAAAGACUCUGGGAACUUGGUAGAACCCGUGAUACAGGUACAAAUGAGACCAUAGUCCUUACCAAAUGACGUGUUUACCCUUUGACUCCAUCAAUGUGGACCUAAAACCUCACCAUGUUUUCACCAUUUGUGCAGCAUAAUCAUGCAUACAUGCACUCAUCCAUAAAAACUUCUUUCAUCAAAAUAUCGAAGGGCUUAUAUAGUUUUUUUUGUAAAUAUCAAAGGGAUGGAGAGAAGAAACACUAGGAAGUUCACUUUCAAGAAAUUGGAUUUGAUGAACUUAAGGGAUCUUGCAGUUAAGGUAGCCAGUCCGGAAGACUUUCAUGAUCGUCAUGGGAGGCUGCUUGGUAUCCUUUGGACAAAUGUUGAGAAAGGAUGUUUGGAGACCUUGGUCCAAUUCUAUGACCCUGCUUACCAUUGUUUUACUUUCCCCGACUACCAACUUGCUCCCACCCUCGAGGAAUACUCCUACUUAGUUGGCCUACCAGUGCUUGACGAAGUACCAUUUACCGGCCUUGAACCCAUUCCAAAAGCCGCCACUAUAGCAGAUGCUCUCCAUCUUGAAACCUCUCUCAUAAAAACAAAACUCACCAUCAAAGGAAAUCUUCCAAGCCUACCCGCCAAAUUCCUUUACCAGCAAGCCUCUGAUUUCGCCGAAGUAAACAAUGUCAACGCCUUUUACUCCAUCCUAGCCUUACUCAUUUACGGCCUUGUACUGUUCCCAAAUGUUGAUAAUUAUGUUGACAUCCAUGCCAUUCAAAUCUUCCUCACAAAGAACCCUGUCCCCACAUUGUUAGCCGAUAUGUACCAUUCCAUACACGAUCGGAACCAGGUAGGUCGUGGGACUAUCCUCGGUUGUGCACCUUUACUAUACAAAUGGUUUACCUCUCAUUUACCCCAAACCCAUUCCUUUCAAGCCAAUCCAAGAAAUCUCUCUUGGUCUAAAAGAAUCAUGUCCCUCACUCCAUCUGACAUAGCCUGGUACCACGCCACCCAUAACUUCAGAAACAUCAUUGUCAGUUGUGGAGAAUACUCAAACGUACCCCUUCUCGGUAUGCAAGGAGGAAUCAGUUACAACCCUAUCCUUGCCAAACGUCAGUAUGGAUGCCCAAUGGAAACUAAACCGGAUAGCAUCUACUUAGAGGGUGAAUUCUACUUUAACCAUGAAGAUCCCACAAACAAGAGAGGAAAAUUUGUUCAGGCUUGGCGUGCUAUUCGCAGACUUAGCAGAAGCCAAUUGGCGAAGAAAUCAGACUUUUCACAAGGAUCUCACACUCAAUGGGUCAUUAAUAGAGCUUCAAGUCUAGUCCUACCCUAUCACCUCCCAAGAUACCUAUCUUCAACUACCCCAGCACCAUCCUUACCCUUGGCUCCUGAGACUGUGGGAGAGUGCCAAGAGGAAUUGGCUGAAUCAAACUGUGUAGGUGCCAUUUGGAAAAGAAAGUAUGAUGAAGCUAUGCUCAAGAUGGAAACUAUGAGUGGUAAAAUAGAACAACAGGAUCAUGAGAUUCGCAAGCAAAAGCAACAAAUAGUUGAAAAAGAUGCUCAGAUCCAAGCUCAGAGCACAAGGCUCGCACAAUUUAUCAGCGCAAAGGAGCGUUGGGACUUUUUCAAGGACGCGCAUUCAGAUUCCGAGGAGUAGUCUACUUCAGGGGCUCAAGAAUUUCCCAAAAUGUUCUUAUCUUUUAUGUUUUCGCUUUCUUUUAUGAACUUUGGAGUCUAUCCCUUGGCUCAGUUUGUAAAAAGGGAAUUAUCUUUAUAAGUCUAUCCUCUAUCUCUUUAUAAUGUUUACAAAAUAGCUUUUAUAAGUCCUUCGAUAAAAAAAAAAAAUAAAAAAAUAAAAUGUGUCUAUUUUUGCAUAAGCAUAUCAUGCAUCAUCUUGCAUUUCAUAGUCUCAAAUCCAAGUCUCACACAAAUUUUCUUCUCCAAUCAAAGGUCAGCUCGUUUCAAAGGUGGCACCGCGCAUCCACUACAAGUCUACUCGUACUCAUUACACUCGUGCAACUGUUAAAAGAAAGAUGGAUUUUCUCGAGCAAGAGAAUCGGGCGCUCCGUGAAGAAGUGGCAGCCAUGCAGACUAAGAUGGACGAAAUGGUUGAAAUGAUGAAGACGAUGGCAGAUAUGCGGACCCAAGAGCAAGCUCAGGCUCAGGCUCAAGCUCAUGCUCUAGCACAAGCUCAAGCACAAAUUCAUGCACAAACACGAGCUCCUCCACCGCCCACCAAUACUCAGGCUGAAGCAUCUUCCUCUGCCAUCCCUGAAUGGACAAUAUGUGCUGACACUCCGACACACUCUGCUCCACAACUCUCCGUGCCUUGGUUCCCGCCUUUUACUGCUGGCGAAAUACUUCGUCCCAUUGCUUGUGAAGCUCAGAUGCCUACUCAUCAAGUGACUCAUGUCCCUCCGCCUCCUGUAAGAGCUCCCCCAGUUGUCAUGACUUACUCAGCACCUAUGAUUCACACUGCUCCACAAAAUGAAGAACCCAUCUUCCAUUCAAGGAGUAUGAAGGCCUAUGGUCAAGUGGAGGAUUUACAAGAGAAGUAUGAUGAGAUGUACCGUGAGAUGAAAGCUCUCCGCGGAAAAGAAAGAUUUGGAAAAACUGCUUAUGACCUCUGUUUGGUGCCAAACGUCCAGAUACCUCAUAAGUUCAAGGUCCCAGAUUUUGAGAAGUAUAAAGGGAACUCCUGCCCUGAGGAACAUCUAACAAUGUAUGCAAGAAGGAUGUCCGCGUAUGCUAAGGACGAUCAGGUCCUUAUUUAUUACUUCCAGGAGAGCUUGGCUAGUCCCGCCUCAAAGUGGUACAUGAAUCUGGACAAAACAAAGAUCCAAACUUUCCAUGAUCUGUGUGAAGCUUUUGUGGAACAAUACAAUUACAAUGUAGAUAUGGCUCCAGACCGAAGUGAUCUUCAGGCCAUGACUCAGGGGGUCAAAGAAACAUUCAAAGAGUAUGCUCAGCGGUGGAGAGAUGUUGCUGCCCAAGUCAGCCCACGUAUAGAAGAGAAGGAAAUGACCAAACUUUUCUUAAAAACUCUCAGUCAGUUCUACUACGAGAAGAUGGUCGGAAGUACGCCCAAAAACUUUGCUGAAAUGGUUGGCAUGGGUGUGCAGUUGGAAGAAGGAGUCCGAGAAGGACGUUUAGUAAAAGAUGGAGUUUCUACCAGUGGAACCAAGAAAUAUGGCAACCACAUCCCGAGAAAGAAAGAACAUGAGGUUAGUAUGGUGGCCCAAGGAAGGCCUCAGCAAACUUAUCCAACCUAUCAACACAUUGCUGCCAUCGCACCUGCUGCCAAUAUUAUUCAUCCCCCAAAUAGCCAGCCUCAAUUCCCACAAUAUCCUCAACAUCCUCAACAAUAUCCCCAACAACCAUACCAGCAACGUCCAUACCAACAACAACCAUAUCAACAAAAUCCCCCACAUCCCUAUCAACAACAGCAACCUCGACCACAAAGAAUGCAAUUUGACCCAAUUCCCGUCACCUAUGCGGAGUUACUUCCAGGAUUACUCAGAAAUAACUUGGUUCAAACCAGGCCUCCUCCUCCAGUACCAGAAAGACUGCCAGCAUGGUACAGACCUGAUCAGACUUGUGAUUUCCAUCAAGGGGCCCCAGGUCAUAAUAUUGAAAGUUGUUAUGCCUUUAAGUAUGCAGUACAGAGGCUAAUCAAAGAAAAGAAGAUAACCUUCACAGACUCAGCGCCAAAUAUUCAAACCAAUCCAUUGCCAAACCAUGGUGCUGCAACUGUCAACAUGGUCGAAGAUUGCCAAGAGACUCACCAUAUUCUCGACGUUCAACAAAUCCGAACACCUUUGGUCCCAUUACAUGCCAAGUUAUGCAAAGUAAACCUCUUUAAACAUGAUCAUGAUGGCUGCAACGAGUGCCUUCUGAACCCCUGGGGUUGUCAGAAAGUAAAAGAUGAUAUUCAAGGACUUUUGAACCAAGGAGAACUGGUUGUUGAAAGAAAAUGUGACAAUGUAUGUGUUAUAACUCCUGAAGAGCCUUUGGAGAUAUUUUACGACAGUCGGAAGUCAGUAGAUGCUCCUUUAGUGAUUUGCUUGCCUGGUCCAAUACCUUAUACUUCUGAGAAGGCAAUUCCUUACAAGUACAAUGCCACUAUGAUAGAAGGUGGUCGUGAAGUUCCAAUACCACCUUUGCCUUCUGUGGGAAAUAUUGCCGAAGAUAGUAGAAUACUGAGAAAUGGGCGUGUUAUCCCUCUAGUGUUUCCAAAGAAAGUUGACGCUCCGGUGAUUGAAGAAACCCGAACUAAAGAUUCCGGUGCAAUCAAAGAUGUGGGUCAGACUAGUGGGACCAAGUCAUGUUCUGAUUUUGACGAGAUUCUCAAGCUGAUAAAGAAAAGUGAGUACAAAGUGGUUGAUCAACUGAUGCAGACUCCGUCAAAAAUAUCCAUAAUGUCUUUAUUGCUGAAUUCUGAGGCUCAUAAGGGAGCUUUGAUGAAAGUCUUGGAGCAAGCUUUUGUAGACCAUGAUGUGACUGUGGGACAAUUCGAUGGAAUAGUGGGGAAUAUCACUGCAUGCAACAAUCUGAGUUUCAGUGACGAAGAGCUCCCAGAGGAAGGAAGGAACCAUAAUUUGGCAUUACAUAUAUCUGUGAACUGCAAGACUGAUGCUUUGUCAAAUGUGUUGGUAGAUACCGGGUCAUCGUUAAAUGUAAUGGCCAAAACGACCUAUGAUCAGCUUACUUACAAAGGUACGCCUUUGAGACAAAGUGGAGUAAUGGUGAAAGCUUUUGAUGGUUCGAGGAAGAAUGUUCUCGGAGAGGUGAUUCUGCCUAUUACAAUUGGGCCACAGGAUUUCCAGAUUACUUUUCAAGUGAUGGACAUCCAAGCAUCCUACAGCUGUUUACUAGGCCGACCCUGGAUUCAUGAAGCGGGGGCAGUAACGUCUACCUUGCAUCAGAAGUUAAAGUUUGUGAAGAAUGGGAAGCUAGUAACUGUGAAUGGUGAAGAGGCUUUGUUAGUAAGCCAUUUGUCGUCUUUCUCUUUCAUUGGGGCCGAUAGUGUUGAAGGGACGCCUUUUCAGGGAUUUAUCAUGGAAGAAGAGAGUACCAAGAAGAGUGAGGCAUCUAUUUCUUCUCUAAAAGAUGCUCAAAAAGUGAUACAAGCUGGAGGCUCUCCCAGCUGGGGAAAGUUGAUAGAACUGCCAGAGAACAAGCGCCGAGAAGGACUGGGUUUCUGCCCAUCAGCUGAUUUGUCCAAGCCUAAGAUCGUUGUCGAACCAAUCAGAGGUACUUUCCACAGCUCUGGGUUCAUUCAUGCAAUCAUUGAAGAUAAUCCCGAAAGAGUGCCACGAAGCUUUGUGACACAAGGAGGGUCUAGCCACAAUUGGGUUGCUGUAGAUGUUCCUUUUAUUGCUCAUUUAUCCAAGUAAUGCACUUUGUUUUGUCUUUUAUGCUUUUUUAAAGAGAAAAUCCUUUCGCCCCGCCCCAAGCGAAAGUGAAUCUAUCUAGGGCUUUUUGCUUCAAGAAUUUAUCAUCAAUCAAAUAAAAAUGUCGUUUUGUUCCCGACCUUUUGCCUUACUUUCUUUUAUGUUUUUAGAAAAAUGGUAAUACAAAAAACCGAAAAUAUAAUCACCUUCUAAAAAUCUGCACUUACUUGUUUUCUAAAAAAAUCAUCAAUCAUAUAUGCAGAUUAAAACCCAAUGAACCCGUUGAACAACAUAGCCCUAUGAUCUCUCCCAACUUUGAGUUCCCUGUGUAUGAGGCGGAAGAAGAAGAGAAUGAAGAGAUUUCCGACGAAAUCUCCCGGCUACUUGAACAAGAAAGAAAGACCAUUCAGCCUUAUGGGGAAGAAUUAGAAGCAAUCAACUUGGGUACCGAAGAAGACAAGAAGGAGGUCAAGAUUGGGGCAUCACUUGAGGUAAGUGUCAAGGAGCGAGUGAUAGAGCUUCUCAAAGAAUAUGUUGAUGUGUUCGCUUGGUCGUACCGAGAUAUGCCAGGUCUGGAUACUGAUAUUGUGGUACACCAUUUGCCUUUGAAGCCCGAAUGUCCGCCGGUCAAGCAGAAAUUGAGAAGAACCCGUCCUGAUAUGGCCCUCAAGAUCAAAGAGGAAGUGCAAAAACAGAUCGAUGCAGGUUUUCUCGUUACAUCAAAAUACCCUCAAUGGCUAGCCAACAUAGUGCCUGUUCCGAAGAAGGAUGGCAAAGUCAGAAUGUGUGUUGAUUACCGUGACCUUAACAAAGCUAGUCCCAAAGAUGAUUUCCCAUUACCUCAUAUUGAUGUACUGGUUGACAGCACUGCAAAAUCCAAAGUGUUCUCCUUCAUGGAUGGUUUCUCCGGUUACAAUCAGAUCAAGAUGGCACCCGAAGACAGAGAGAAGACGUCUUUCAUCACACCUUGGGGCACUUUCUGUUACAGAGUAAUGCCGUUCGGUUUGAUCAAUGCAGGAGCUACUUAUCAAAGGGGUAUGACUACUAUCUUUCACGACAUGAUACACAAAGAGAUUGAGGUUUAUGUGGAUGACAUGAUCGUCAAGUCAAUCACUGAAGAACAACAUGUUGAGUAUUUGCUAAAGAUGUUCCAACGGCUAAGAAAGUACAGACUUCGCCUGAAUCCCAACAAAUGUACUUUUGGUGUUAGAUCUGGAAAGCUUCUGGGCUUUAUUGUUAGUCAGAAAGGUAUUGAAGUAGAUCCAGACAAGGUCAAAGCCAUCAGAGAAAUGCCAGCUCCACAAACAGAAAAACAAGUAAGGGGGUUUCUCGGACGACUGAAUUACAUCUCCCGUUUCAUUUCUCAUAUGACUGCAACAUGUGGGCCGAUAUUCAGACUCCUCCGCAAAGAUCAAGGGAUUGUUUGGACAGAAGAUUGCCAGAAAGCCUUUGAUAGCGUCAAAGUGUACUUACUAGAACCUCCGAUUCUCAUCCCUCCAGUUGAAGGAAGACCACUAAUCAUGUACCUAACUGUACUGGAAGAUUCCAUGGGUUGUGUGCUCGGACAACAAGAUGAAACCGGAAGAAAGGAGCAUGCCAUUUAUUAUUUGAGCAAGAAGUUUACUGACUGUGAAUCUCGCUAUUCCAUGCUCGAGAAGACCUGUUGCGCACUAGUCUGGGCUGCCAAACGUCUCCGUCACUAUAUGAUUAGUCAUACUACUUGGUUGAUAUCUAAGAUGGAUCCGAUCAAGUACAUCUUUGAGAAACCUGCUUUGACAGGAAGAAUUGCCCGGUGGCAGAUGUUACUAUCCGAAUAUGAUAUUGAGUAUCGUACCCAGAAAGCGAUCAAAGGCAGUAUCCUUGCUGAUCACUUGGCUCACCAACCAAUUGAAGACUAUCAGCCCAUCAAGUUCGACUUUCCUGAUGAAGAGAUUAUGUAUUUGAAGAUGAAAGAUUGUGACGAACCGCUACUCGGGGAAGGUCCAGAUCCUGAAUCAAAAUGGGGUCUAAUAUUCGACGGGGCUGUUAAUGCUUAUGGUAGCGGAAUUGGGGCAAUCAUUGUCACUCCUAAAGGUGCACACAUCCCCUUCACGGCCAGGCUAACGUUCGACUGUACAAACAACAUGGCAGAGUACGAAGCGUGUAUCAUGGGUAUCGAAGAAGCCAUCGAUCUGAGAAUCAAGAACCUCGACAUUUAUGGUGACUCAGCCCUUGUAAUCAAUCAAAUCACAGGAGAAUGGGAGACUCGUCACCCCGGCCUGGUUCCCUACAAAGACUAUGCAAGACGAUUACUGACCUUCUUCAACAAAGUCGAGCUACACCAUAUUCCUCGUGAUGAAAACCAGAUGGCGGAUGCUCUGGCUACUUUGUCUUCAAUGUACCAAGUAAAUCGUCGGAAUGAAGUGCCGUUGAUCCAUAUCAGACGUCUUGAGAGACCCGCUCAUGUAUUCGCCACUGAAGAAGUUGUUGAUGACAAGCCAUGGUUCCACGAUAUCAAAUGUUUCCUUCAAAGGCAAGAGUAUCCACUCGGAGCAUCCAGUAAAGACAAGAAGACUCUAAGAAGAUUGUCUGUCAAUUUCUUCCUGAACGGGGACAUUUUAUAUAAAAGAAACUUCGAUAUGGUGUUGCUCAGAUGUGUUGACAAACAUGAGGCAGACUUAUUGAUGCAUGAAAUACACGAAGGAUCCUUCGGAACUCAUUCUAGCGGACAUACAAUGGCCAAAAAGAUAUUGAGAGCAGGUUAUUACUGGAUGACAAUGGAAGCCGACUGUUACAAGCAUGCCAAGAAGUGUUAUAAGUGUCAAAUCUAUGCCGAUAAGAUUCACGUGCCGCCGACUGCACUCAAUGUUCUUUCCUCUCCAUGGCCGUUCUCUAUGUGGGGCAUUGACAUGAUUGGAAGAAUUGAACCCAAAGCUUCAAAUGGACACCGCUUCAUUCUAGUGGCUAUUGACUAUUUCACCAAGUGGGUUGAAGCUGCAUCCUAUGCUAAUGUGACCAAGCAGGUGGUAGUCAAGUUUAUCAAGAAUCAUAUUAUUUGCCGCUAUGGUGUUCCUAGCCGGAUCAUUACAGAUAAUGGGACGAAUCUGAACAACAAGAUGAUGAAAGAAUUGUGUGAUGAUUUCAAGAUCGAACACCAUAAUUCUUCGCCUUACAGACCUCAGAUGAAUGGUGCUGUCGAAGCUGCAAACAAAAAUAUAAAGAAGAUCAUCCAGAAGAUGGUGGUGACUUAUAAAGAUUGGCAUGAGAUGCUUCCCUUUGCAUUACAUGGAUAUCGUACGUCUGUACGCACAUCAACAGGGGCAACCCCUUUCUCUUUGGUAUAUGGCAUGGAGGCAGUACUUCCCAUAGAAGUUGAGAUUCCUUCGAUACGAGUUUUAAUGGAGGCCGAAUUAUCAGAGGCUGAGUGGGUUCAAAGUAGGUAUGACCAAUUGAAUCUGAUUGAAGAAAAGCGCAUGUCUGCUCUUUGUCAUGGUCAGUUGUAUCAAAAGAGGAUGAAGCAGGCUUUUGACAAGAAAGUUCAUCCCCGUGAAUUCAAAGAAGGUGAUCUUGUGCUCAAAAGGAUCUUGACUUUCCAACCCGACUCUAGGGGCAAGUGGACGCCUAACUAUGAAGGCCCGUAUGUUGUCAAGAAAGCUUACUCAGGCGGUGCCAUGACUCUUCAAACCAUGGAUGGUGAAGAACUUCCACGUCCUGUGAACACAGAUGCAGUCAAGAAAUACUUUGUCUAAAAGUUAUAAGAACAGCUCGGUAAGUCGAAAACCCGAAAAGGGCGGCUUAGGCAAAAAUGAGCGUCUCGGUGGGCUGAAAACCCGAAAGGGCGGCUCAAGCAAAAAAUUAGAGACAUUAAACAGAAAUCAUUAUCCUGGUAGGCUAAAAACCCGAAAGGGCGGUCUAUGCAAAAGUUAAGGAUAAAAAGAAAAAGACAAAGUAACUGCAUCCAGUCAGGCACAAUCCACUUGGGACAUGUUUACUAUCAAAGAAUCUCCAAAUCUGAAGCAUCAAAAGCAGUAGAAUUCAAGAGUUGUAAGGGGGAAUGGGGGUUAUGAAAUUCAAUGUACCUUCCCAUUUUAAAAUUACCAUUUUUUUUAAAUUUAAAAAAAAAAAAAAAAAAAAAAAAAAUCCAUGAAGUCAUGCCAUCUGCAGGCUGUCAUUCAAAUCAAUAAUACUCGAGCCUAUGGCCCUUCUGUUUGAAAUUCCCCUUUUAUUCUAUUUUUAAAGUUCUUUCCAUUGUUUGAUGAUAAUAUUUCGAAGUAGAACUCUAAAAAAAAAAAAAAAAAAAAAAAAAAAAAAAAAAAAAAAAACUUUUUUCCAUGUCUUUUAAAAAGGCAUAAAUGCACAAGUACAUAUUAGGAUUUGAGAGUGAAAGAAGCAUGCGUCAGCACGUUCCUCAAAGAAUGAUUAGACCCCACCAGACAAGCAUAAUUGGACGCUGUUGAAAAUUCAAAAAAAAAAAAUGGGCACAACGACGGAAGUGUGUCAAUAGAAGAACAUUAUGUAUCAGCUUACAAAUGGCGACUUUUUCCAGACUUUUAAUGGGUUUCGUCCCCAUAAGGCAUAUGUUUGAUAUUUUGUCCCCAAUGAGGUCAUUUCCAAGGAAGUUCGCCUAGUGUAUAGUACUGUGAUGUCAGUCCAAUUUCCACCUUACCAAGUCUUGUCUUGUCUCAUCGAGUCCAUCUAUCAUAUACAAUAAAUACAUUCAUGCUUUCGGACGUUAAUACAUUCAUACACCCAGACAUCCAUGCAUCAACACUUUCAUACAUUCUUAUACAACAUAUGCAUCGCAUCAUUCGUACAUGGUUGCAUCAAUCGCACAAAGUUUUGUUUGAUAAUAUCCCCUCAGUUCGGUCCUCGUUUCAUCAUUAUGUCAAGUGGCAAGUUCUAACAAAUGAACAGCUUGUAAUCAUCAUUUACAUCAAAGGUGUCAUCCCCAGUGUGUCCGGUCAAGAGAUGUCACGAAUCAAUCAAUUUCAAGCGGCAAGUUUCCGACAAAAGGACAGCUUGAAUCUAUUUUCAUUCAAUUUCAAGCGGCAAGUUUCUGAUAAAGGGACAACUUGAAUAUACUUUUCAGUCAAUUUCAAGCGGCAAGUUUCCGACAAAAGGACAGCUUGAAUCUAUUUUCAGUCAAUUUCAAGCGGCAAGAUUCCGACAAAAGGACAGCUUGAAUCUAUUUUCAUUCAAUUUCAAGCGGCAAGUUUCCGACAAAAGGACAGCUUGAAUCUAUUUUUCAUUCAAUUUCAAGCGGCAAGUUUCCGACAAAAGGACAGCUUGAAUCUAUUUUUCAGUCAAUUUCAAGCGGCAAGUUUCCGACAAAAGGACAGCUUCAAUCUAUUUUUCAUUCAAUUUCAAGCGGCAAGUUUCCGACAAAGGACAGCUUGAAUCUAUUUUUCAGUCAAUUUCAAGCGGCAAGUUUCUGACAAAAGGACAGCUUGAAUCUAUUUUCAGUCAAUUUCAAGCGGCAAGUUUCCGACAAAAGGACAGCUUGAACCUAUUUUCAUUCAAUUUCAAGCGGCAAGUUUCCUACAAAAGGACAGCUUGAACCCGUUUCCAGUCAAUUUCAAUUUUCAAUUACAAAAGUGUCAUUCCCGGCGUAAAGCCGUUCUAGUCAUGACACUAGUCAAUUUCCAUUUCAAUUUUCAAUUUCAAAGUGUCAUCCCUGGCGUGAAGCUGUGCCAGUGAUGUCACUAGUUAAUUUCAAUCACCUAUCAUACAGGUAGUAGACAAUCAUUUUCCCCAGUGAAACUACAUUCCCCUAGCGGAGUCAGGAUCCCUUUCUCUAGCGAGUGUUGGGUAUCUUAUUGUUGUUUCUCAUUCCAGUCGAGUCACCUAUGUCAUCAUGCACUCAUUCUUGCAUCAAAUGCAUUCAUAGCAUCUUAGGUCAAAAAUGGUGUACUCUGUAUUUAAGUCUCUUCGACCUGUCAAUUCAAAGAUUCCAUCUUCGAAUCUUCGGACGAAGAAACUUAAAUAGGGGCAUCUGUCAUACCCCAAUUUUUGACCUAAGACAGCUUGACACGUGUCAUUUAACUCCGACCGGUCUCAGCCUUUCGAGCAAAAAUUUCGGCAGGGAGGUAUUUUAAAAUACCUCAUAGUUGAUUCCGAGUCGGGCCCUCUUCUCUCAAUUUUCAUUUAAUUUUAAUUUCCAUCUUUUAUUAAUUUUAAAUUCAUUUUUUUUUUAACCUUUAUUUUAUCUUAUUUUUGUUUUAUUUAUCCUUAGUCCUUUAAUUUCAUUUUUUUAAUGUCCAAAAAUAAAUCAAAAUUUGGUCCGAUAAUGUCCCAAACACAGCUCACAAACAACUAAAAACAGGCUGUAAUGUCUCCUCUCCAAGCAACAAAAAUUUUGCUCAUUUCAAGCUCUAUAUAUACAAACACAGAUGCAGCCAAGAAAAGGGGGGCCCAACAAGAGAAACAUUCCACGGCUAAGCACACAGACACAACAUUUCUCACCUGCAAGAAAUCAACAGAGUCCAGUAACACAAAAAUUCCAAACACCAAAACCAUAGUUCAACACCGUACCGCCAUACCAAACACUGUCAGCGCUAUAACAUCAGUUACCAACACAAGCCACAAACAAAUCUCAAAAACAGCCGUAACUCAACACCAAUCAACCCACAAACACGUAAUAACAAAAUCAAACUCAGUAACCAUCACCAAACCGUCAUAAAACAUAACUCUAGCACAACAAACCAUCAAAUCCAAACCAUACCACUUUCGGUUUCGAAUUCAAACCGGAUCUACCAAAAAAGUAAUAUUUCUUUCCUUUUAGAUCUAGGUCAAACCGUUGGGUUUUGAGCAUUUUUGAGUUAAAAAUCGGAAAGAAGGAGAGAAAAGAAGGAGAGAGGACAAAAAAAAAAUCAAAAAAAAGAGGAGUUUUUGACUCCGGCGCGGUGGCGCCGCCGCGACAACUCGCCGGCCACCGCGCCGGAAACUGAGUUUCAUGGUGGUGUUCUUCAACACUCACCGGAAACUUCAUCACAAAAAAAAAAAAAAAAGAAGAUAAGAAGAGAGAGAAGAGAGAGUACGUGAGAGAAAAAGAGAGUGAAGAGAGAGAAGAAAAAAAAGAAAUGGGAGAAAAAAGGAAAGAAUGGGUAUUUAUACCCCUCUUCUUCAACAGAUCCAAUCAAGGCCGUUGAUCAAAUCAACGGCCGAGAUUUGUUCCCCAAGGCCCAAUCCUCCUCAUUUUAUUUUCUGCACCCCCUUUACUGCUCACACACCCCCAGCAUCUCAUUUUUCUAAUUUCUUUUUCAUGCAUUUUAAUUCUCGCUCUAUCUGUUAAUCCAGAGUGCUCUGGUCCUAAUUACCUGUUAAUAUUAUAUUCUUGCUUAAUUUAGUUAUUCUCCAGAACAAUCUGGUCCUUGUUAAUUAAAUUAAUCCAGAGUGCUCUGGUCCUAUAUUAACUAUUAAUAUUAUAUUUUUGUUUAAUUUAAUUAUUCUCUAGAGUGCUCUGGUCAUUGUUAAUUAAAUUAAUCCAGAGUGCUCUGGUCCUAAAGUAACUGUUAAUAUUAUAUUUUUGUUAAUCCAGAGUGCUCUGGUCCAAACUUAAAUGUUAAUAUUUAUUUAUUUUUUGUUUAACUUAAUUAUUCUCCAGAAUAUUCUGGUCCAUGUUAAAAUAAUUUCACAAUUCAGCUUAACUUCAUUUUUCUCAUUCUGCUUAUAUAAUUUUCAUAUCUUUAUUCCAAAACCACAAAAACAUUCAAAUAACAAAUCACAAAAAUAUUUUUUCAUUACAAACCUUGAUUCUCCAAUCAAGUGAUCGUUCUUUUAUUUUUCUUAAUCAAAUUUCAAAUCAAUCAUAAUUCAACUUCAAGUCUAUUUCUUUCAAUCUAAAAAACACAAAUCAAUUCUCAUUUGCCAUUUGGCUUUUUAUUUCAAAACCUCUUUCAAAACAUAUAAAAAACACCAAACAAAUCAAACGUCAAUUUCUACCCCGAACUACGAGGUUUUGAUCCCUCACGGGUACGUAGGCAGAGGACCUUGUCCUUCCAAAUCAAUUAAAAAACAAUUUUCUUUUUUUCUCUUUUCAAUCAUCAACUAAAAAACAUUUUUCUUUUUUCUCUUCAAUUAAAAUCAAUUUUCUUUUCUUUAUCAACUCAUAAUUCAAUUUCAUUUUCAUCUCUUUAAAAGCAAGCAAGUUUAAGCACAAAAAGUUAAAUAAAAUCAAGAGGUUCUCGUAGAGUACUACGAAUAUUUAGGGUGCUAAUACCUUCCCUAAAUAUAACCAACCCCCGAACCCUAAAUCUCUUCAAAAUGGGUUGUUUGGAACGUUUUCCCCUUAAAAAAAAUUUUGUUCAGUCGUGAGAUAAAAAGUGAGUCAAAAGCUAAUCAAAUGGCCUUUGACGUCCGAAAAAUGGCGCGACAGUGUGUAAUUACACAUGAACGGAAGGCAAGCAGGUAACGCCUUUUUGGACGGAAAAAACAAUCUUCGUAAACACAACAUUCAUGGACCUAGGCUCAAUAUUGUUCAAAAAAUGAUGUUGAUCAUAUCAAAAAUAAGAAAGGAAAAUGAAAGAUCAAGACUAAUAGAAGUAGAAGGGAGCAGUCAGAUUGGAGAAUAGGAGAAAAUAAUCAAAGAAGAGGUGGUGCAAUGCAAGUGCAUCUAAGGAAAUAAGCUACUAACUUGCUUCACUUGCAAUUGCAUCCUGUGGGGGGAUUUUAGAAACAAGUAAGCUCUUUUUCAGGGUGGUUUUCUGAAGCUCUUGGUAAUGGGAAACUCCUUUUAUGCAGACCUAUGUGGUGCAAUGAGAGCUAUUGAGUUUGCAAAGUUAAAAAAUUGGAAUAAUUUGUGGUUAUAAAUAUAUUCAAUGUUGGUGGUUAGAGCCUUCAAAUCUACGAACAAGGUGCCUUGAGGAAUAAGAAACAGGUGGAAUAAUUGUCUCAUCCUGCUAUCUAUUAUGAAUUUUGUGGUUACUCAUAUUUAUAGGGAGGAUAAUACUUGUGCUGAUGCUUUAGCAAACAUUGGCUUAUCUUUGAACUCUUUUGUCUAUUACUAUACUAUUCAUGUUGAAGUUAGGAGUGAUUAUGAUAAAAGUAAGAUUGGUUGACCUAAUUUUAGGUUUACUCAUUUUUUAGAAGGUCUUGGCACUCCCCUUUGGUUUUAAAAAAAUAAAGUUUGGCAUAAAAGUGGUUGGAACCGAAUUAGGAUGUAACGAGUUAAAGGAGUUGUGUACUUCACUAAUGAAUAAGUGAAAGUGAUAAAAGAAAUUCAAAGAAUAAGUGAAAGUGAUAAAAAAAUAAAGAAAAAAAAAAUUCUUAUAUGCUAGUAGUGAAUAAAUGGUGUGCUAACUAAAAUCUCUUUCAUUCUAUUUUUAGUAAUGCUAUCAACACUCUCUUUCGAACAUUGUUGCGAAUUCGAUGAAAAUCACACCAAUAACAACUUGAUGUGUGGAGCAAGGGAUAAUCAAGCAACCAAAAUCAAAGUGUAUGGAACAAUUAAAUACAAGCCAAAAGUAGAAAACAACGGCGAGAAGAACACAAAGAAGAGAAGAACACAAGAGAAUUUGUUGACCCAGUUCGGUCCAAAUUGACCUAGUCUGGGGGAGAGAGCAGCCCUCCGAUCCACUAUAUGAUGAGUAACGUUACAAAGAGAAAUCAAUGGGUUACAAGAAUAAGUCUCCAAACCUAAUUCUACCCAAAGUCCCAAUCUCUUCCCGUAACCAAGAGACUCCAAUCAUAAUAGUGUUUCCCAAGGUGAAUCAACCCACAAACCCUAGUGUUUGUUCCGAAGAGACAAACUCUAUACAAACCCUAGUUUUGUUGUUGCCUUUCUAAACCCUUGUUUCAGCCCCCUCUAUCUCUCUCUCUCUCUCUCUCUCUCUAAAUAGCCUGAUACAAGGUCUAUUUUUAUAGUAAAAGUCUCGCUUAAAAUCUGUAACAAAUCUGCUCAAAAUCUGUAACAAAUCUGCACCCAAAAAUAUGUUUUAUUUUUAUCCGCCAGCGCACCAUCGUGCCACGAUGCGACCCCAUCGUGCCACGAUUUUUCCAGUGCCUUGCCUAAAAAACUAAAACCUCCAUCGUGCCACGUUGCCCAGCCAUCGUGCCACGAUUCUGCAGAAACUUGAUUUUAAGUUAACUCUCACAAUUCUCCACCUUGACUUCAAAUCAGUGAUGAUGCCGAUCAUCAACCUCCUUGCUGCUCAAACCCUUGCUUCCCACUACUCCAAGUAGCUCCACAAGUUUACACCCUCAACCUCUUCAGCCAUCGGAAUGUCUUCCGCCUUCUCGAAGAUGCUUGUAGUCCAACUACGCUAGGAAUUUCAGGUAGUCCUACAAGACUAUACCAUAACCUCUUCAAUACGAGAUAUCUCCCGCUUUCCUUGAAGAUCUACUUGUACCCAAUCACCCUUGGCUUUUAGAGUAAUCCACAAGUAUACACCUCAACCACUUCAGCUAUCAGAAUAUCUUCCGCCUUCUCGAAGAGUCCUUGCAGUCCAACUACACUAGGAGUUUUAGGUAGUCCCACAAGCUUUCACCAUAACAUCUUCAACGCAUAACAUCUCCUGCUUCCUUGAAGAUCACCUUGCAUCCAAUCACCCUUGGCAUUCUUUUAGAGUAAUCUCGCAAGUCGUGCUACACAUUCUCCAACUUCAUGAAGAAAUCCCUUGCUCACCAUAGAGCAUAGCACCCAAGGUCUUCAUAGUCGUACCAUUACCGGUGUGUUCAACUCCACCUCACGCUGAGCGUACUCUACCUCAACUAGCAAAUGCGUACAUCCCACUAUGUCUUCAACCUUGAAACUCCACCUCAACAGGUAGAUCAUGAGUAUUCUUACCACCGCCUCUCCAGGCUGAUGUUGAGUGUUUAACGUCUCUCCAGACGAUCACCGCUCCACUAGGCAUCAAUCCCAAGGUGAGACACAUCACCUUCUUCAUCCUCCAAACAACACCACACCAUCAGAGCACCAGCAUCCUCAUAACCCUUAGAGACAAUUUGUGUGGAGUUACCAUUAAUCUCCGGACAAUCCUUCUUGAAGUGACCCAUCUUGUGACAGUUAAAGCAUUCAAACCUUGACUUGUUUCCACUCUUUCUCCGGUUACCUCUACCUCCACCAUUCCCUCUUGAGACACUUAGGCCCUCACCGUGUUCAUGAGUCAAGUCCUUGGACUUGGUCAACUCCUUGGUUCUCAAAGCCGCUUGAACUUCUUCCAAGGUAACAAUGCCUUCCUUGCCAUAGAGCAUGGUAUCUUUGAACGAUUCAAAAGAUUUUGGUAGAGCACACAACAAGAGUAUAGCUUUAUCCUCAUCCUCAAGUUGCACCUCAAUAUUUUCCAAGUCAUCAAGGAUUUUGUUGAACUCCGUAAGUUGCUCCAUGAUGGCCUUUGACUCUACCAUCCUGAAUGAGUAGAGUUGUUGCUUUAGGAAUUGUCGAUGAGCCAAAGACUUUGUCAUAUACAAAGAUUCCAACUUUGCCCACAUCGAUGUCGCGGUUGCUUCCUUUGCUACUUCUCUCAAAACUUUAUCCCCGAGGCACAAGACAACGGCACUCCUGGCCUUGUCCACCAUCUCGGUCUUCUCCUCUUGUGACAUGGUGACCGGUAACGAACCUUCACCCUUCAAAGCUUUCUCACACUUUUGCUGUAUUAACACCGCUUCCAUCUUUACCUUCCAUAACCCGAAAUCGUUAUCUCCGGUAACCUUCUCGAUAUCCCACUUUGAACCCAUGGUACUUAAUUAUCCUUCGACCCUUGCCCCACGGUGGGCGCCAAUUGUUGCGAAUUUGAUGAAAAUCACACCAAUAACAACUUGAUGUGUGGAGCAAGGGAUAAUCAAGCAACCAAAAUCAAAGUGUAUGGAACAAUUAAAUGCAAGCCAAAAGUAGAAAACAACGGCGAGAAGAACACAAAGAAGAGAAGAACACAAAAGAAUUUGUUGACCCAGUUCGGUCCAAAUUGACCUAGUCUGGGGGAGAGAGCAGCCCUCCGAUCCACUAUAUGAUGAGUAACGUUACAAAGAGAAAUCAAUGGGUUACAAGAAUAAGUCUCCAAACCUAAUUCUACCCAAAGUCUCAAUCUCUUCCUGUAACCAAGAGACUCCAAUCAUAAUAGUGUUUCCCAAGGUGAAUCAACCCACAAACCCUAGUGUUUGUUCCGAAGAGACAAACUCUAUACAAACCCUAGUUUUGUUGUUGCCUUUCUAAACCCUUGUUUCAGCCCCCUCUAUCUCUCUCUCUCUCUCUCUCUAAAUAGCCUGAUACAAGGUCUAUUUUUAUAGUAAAGGUCUCGCUUAAAAUCUGUAACAAAUCUGCUCAAAAUCUGUAACAAAUCUGCACCCAAAAAUAUGUUUUAUUUUUAUCCGCCAGCGCACCAUCGUGCCACGAUUUUUCCAGUGCCUUGCCUAAAAAACUAAAACCUCCAUCGUGCCACGUUGCCCAGCCAUCGUGCCACGAUUCUGCAGAAACCUGAUUUUAAGUUAACUCUCACAAACAUCCUUUCUAAUACUUAAUCUCUUAUCGAUUUAAAUUAUUGUGGGUCUGCACUUUAAAAAUUGAAUUCACACAAAAUGGUGAGAUAUAUAUUGAUUUCAUCCAAAGAGUGAAUACUAAAAAAUGUGUUAAGAAAUUCAAAAGUUGAAACAACGCACUCUCUACAAAUCGCAAAAGUUCAAAAGUGACAUGUAUGUAUGCGCAUCUCUAAAAUAGUUGCAGUAACACUUGAUCCACUAAAAGCAGUAUUAAAAUAUAAAUAUAUUAACAGAAAAAAAAAAAUUGAUUCUUUUUUCUUUUUAUAAUUCGUUAUUCACCUGUGUGCACAUGCUUAUCUUUUUUUUUUUUUCUCCUAUAAAGAAUUCAAUUCAUAUCAUUAAUAUUCAAAAUCCUAAUAUAAAAUAAUAUCAUGUUAACAAAGUUAAAAAAUAGUAUUUUUUUUUAACAAGCCAAAAUGAAAUUAUAUACGAAAUAGGGCAGUCCCAAACGCACAACGUGUGCCUUUUGCGACUACCUCAGAAGCCAAGAAUUACAACGGUUACAAACAAGACACAGCAAAAAGAUAUUAGCCAAUACCCAAACAAACAAGAGGGCUUGACCACCACUGCUGAGUGCCAAAAACAAAGGUAGCUUUUUUAGCUUUCAGCCAACCUAAAGACAUCAACUUAACCUUAUCAAGUAAACAAGGGAUGGGGGUAACCACAUGAUUAAACAGACGAUUAUUACGUUCAUUCCAAACAACCCAGACACAUAGAAGCCAUAUAAGUUGCAUAAAAGAACGUCUAGCAGCACCACCACCUGCCAAAAGAGUGAACUGUAAAAAAUGAUUGGAAAUAUUAUCUGUGUCCACCCCAUAGCAACCAAUCCAAUCUCGCACCAAAUGCCACAUCGAACCAAAGGUAUCACACGAUAAGAAAAGGUGUUGGGCCGAUUCAGGAUAACCACCCCCAGCAACACACGAAGACAUGUCAGGCGAUAGCACCCGUCUAGAAAUCAAAUUUAACCUUGUCGGUAAACGGUCACGAAGGAGCCUCCACGCAAAAACGGAAACCUUCAAGGGAACCUGUUUGUGCCACACCAAAUCCAAAGCAUAGUCUACGGCCUGAGAGACUAACAAACUAUAUGCACCUCGAACUGUGUAUCCACUAGAUGGGUCCGGAAGCCACACCCAGCUAUCUGCAACAUUAGGAUUCAAGGAAACAUCAAGAAGUAAAGCCCUACACUCCUCUAGCAACCCCUCCUCCCACUGCCAUAACCUACGUCUCCACCUCCACACUUCCCCCCACCGCUCCGAAUCAACAGAGAGCAAAUAUGCCACAGACAUAGACUUAUUCUCUGUUAACUCAAACAACCGACUAAACCUCACACAAAGAGGAACCUCCCCUAACCACCUAUCGGACCAAAACGAAGUAUCAGCCCCAUCACCAACUCUCCUCAACACCUGAUCCUCAAAACCAGCCGCUACCACCAACUCCAUCCCUCACCCUAAGACGACUCACCUCCAACCACCAACAAGAAACUCUCCGGCCCCCAACCUCCAACCUGCCACCUAACUCGCCAUACCUGGCGGCUAAAACCCUAUACCACAACCCACCUCUGUCUACCAACAUCCGCCAACACCAUUUCCCUAACAAAGCUAUGUUAAACUCCUUCACUUUCCUCACCCCCAAACCACCAUACUCCUUUUUUAAACAAACAGUUUGCCAACUUAACCAAGAAAUUUUCCUGUUAUCCUCACUCCCCCCCAAAAAAAAAUUAAUAAACAAAGAUUCAAUAGAGGAGAUUAUACCUGAUGAAGCUUUGAAGAAGGAGAGUGCGUAGAUAGACAGAUUUUAAAAAAAUAGUAUUAUCUUGAUUUUUUUUUUGAAUGAUAGUAUUAUCUUGAUUUUAAUUGGGUUCUAUGUGAAAUGUAUAUACUUUGAUUAAUAAAUUUAUGAAAGUUGAAUUGUUUGAGAAUUUGAGUUCAAUUUUUUAGUAGAAUAAUUAUUGAUCAAAUUUUACUUAUCUCUCGGUUAAACUUCGGAUCACUAGAACAUCUUUCUCUUAAAAACGGAAAAUUAUGCAAAAAAAAAUAAAAAAAAAUACUUGGAUUAACAAUUUCAUCAUUGUCAAUUUUUCGGUGGGGAUAAAAUCAUAAAAUGCUCCAACUCCAAUUGAGGCUAGGAAAAGGGUAAAAUGGCUACGUGUGUACACAUUGAACCAAUCACCGUCUAAAUUUUAGGCAAAACCACCCCACCAAAAGUAAAGAGGAUGUCCACUAAAGUUUAGACAAAAUAAUGUAAAAUCAACCUGGAAAUAUGCACACAUUGAACACAUGCUUACAUGUAUGAACAAAAAUCCCUUUCAAAAAAAAAAAAAAAGAACGCGGUUGAGUGAGUUUUUUUUCCAUAAAUAUAAACAAGAGUAUACUUCGUCGGGCAUGACUUGAAAAAAUUGUCACCAAACAACGAGCUCCCAUAAUUGGCUAUGGCAUUUGCAAUUGGUUAUAUAGCUUCAAGAUACGAGUGCUUAAGAAUAACUUACCAUGCCAAACCUAUCAUAAGACGAAUUUUCUCAGAGACCUUACCAUAGGAACCUUUCCCAUUACGUAUAAGAGCAUUAGCAACCACCAGCGAGUGCACAUUCGACUUUAUCGCACGAAAAACCAAGCUUAUAGCAUACCUCAAACUUUCGCGCACUCCCCAAAACUCAUCCAUAUAAGCACCACACACACCGAUGCUUUUAGCAAAUCCGCCAAGCCAUUCACUAUCGCUACCCCUAAUAAUACCACCACAACCUGCUCGACCAUUUUCACUGCAAGAAGCAUCCGUGUUUAGUUUAACCCAGCCUGCUGCAAACCGUUUGAUGAAAAUGUUGUGGUCGAGUUAAUUUUGUGCUAGCUUGAUUUUAUAAUGUAUUCAUGUUUUAGACUUUGUAUGUUCGGGAAAAUGAUCUUCGAUUCGAUUCGUUUUCAUAUUAUAUGCUAGCUGAGAAAAGAGGGGGAAAUAGAGAAUCGGAAUUCAAAUUAAGUGUAGUAGAACAAAAUUAGAAGAGUGAUGUUGACGACUUGUAUUUAAUUUUUUUUAAUGAUAUUAGAGGUCAUAAAUCUCUUUUUUGUUUUGUUUAAGGAGACUCUUAAGCUAAUCGAUUGUUACUUAGUUCGUAAUACCUUAAUCUUGUCUUCGUUGUGUUCUUGACAACUUUGAUUUCUUGCAAGUAUAGGACCUAAGUUUUUUUUUCAUAAGGUGUCAACUUAAAGGGAAGAGUUUGACGAUGUAACUUCAUAGAAUUACUAGAUUAUAAGGUGUAAAUUUAAAGGGAAGAGUUUGACGAUGUAACUUUAUAGAAUUACUAGAAUUUAAAGGGAAGAGUUUGACCAUGUACCUCAAAUCUUAGUAAAAUUAUCAUUAUAAUAAUAAAAAAAUUAUCUUUAUUGAUCAAUUUAUCCCAAUUUGAUUUAUGGAAAGGAGGAAUCAACUACCAUUAUAAGAAAAACCGGAGAGGUCUGAUUUGUUAAGAACUCUCGAGAUAAAAUUCCAAAGGUACACAAUUAUUCUGUUGUCCCCAUCUCCCCCUCAUCAAACCAUACCUACCAAAACCAAAUCAUCUCUCAUUUAAAAAAUGAUUAAAAUAUAUUUGUCUUGAUUAGUAUUUGAAUACGUGAUACCAACAUAAACCUAAAAGCAUGUGUAAGCAUGAAAUUUCAAUCUUCAACCUUCACUUUUCCAUUCUUCUGUCCCUUUCUUUCGGAUAACAGUGUACUAAAUUUCAGAUAACUUCUGUCCAUCCUUUUUAACAUUCAAAAUUUCAACAAUAGUGUAUUUGUUUUCCCUCUUAUAAUACAUUAGGAUUGAAUUUUAUCAACUCCCUUGCACAAAACCGGUUUAUAUGUCAGUCACUUAAAUUAACUACUAUUUAAAUUGAUCUGAUACUAAAUUAUUUGGACUCCAAUGACAAGGAGCUCCUUCCAAUGACGUACCUGAAAAUACCGGAUUCGAUUCCACCCUUAAGUUGUGUUUGGUACCUAAAGUUUGGCCAAAGAUUUUAACUCCACCCUUUAUAUUUAUUUUUUUAUUUUAACUUGCUUAAUGGUCAAAAUCUCUUAUCAAUUAUUGGAUCAAUUUAUUGUUGGUUCCACCCUUUACAUAUAACUAUAAUUAAGUUAUCAUAUAGUAGUAAUUAAUAUCACUAUCCGAAUUCAGAACAGCACAAACAGAAAAGAAACUUCCAAAGCAGAAACCAUUCGGUAUUAUUAUUAUUCAUUGGGUACAAAAACCAUUUGUAUUAUUGUUAAUUUUGUUGCGUAGUAACCAUAUAAAAUUCCCAAACAAACAUUGUGACACUACCACAAAGUUUAUAAAACAAAACAAAAUUAUGGGAAUUAUGGAGGGAAGGGAUCCCUUUAAACCCACAACAAAAGAAAACAUCCUAACCUUGGCUUACUAGCUAGCUAGGACACAUUACAACAAAACAAUCUCAACUUGAUCACAUAAGUUCACAAGGAGUAUAGAGUAAUGUUAUAAUGUGUUUAGUGUUUGUUUGGUAAGACGGUGGAUCCACUAAAAUCGUAGUAAACUAAUGUGUUCAACUAAAUUAGGUCAUCUACCGUAAUACCAACCAAACAGAUAGGUCAUUUCAAUAUGGAGGUGGAUGUGGACGCCAGAACACAUCGUGUCCGUGUCCAUGUCCACUAUCAUUUCCAUUUUGAAUCAUACUUGGAUUAAAACUGUAUUCACCUAAUCCAUGAGAAGUUGCACCACCACCACCGCCACCACCACUUCCACUUGCUGACCCAGAAAGAGAACCAGAACCACCAUCACCAUUAGCAACAUGAUUACCAUUGUUAACAACAAGAUUAAUGUUAUCAACCUCUUGAAAAUUCUCUUCAUCUCCUUCAUCUUCAUCUUCCAAAGGCAACCUUUCAUAAGUAGCAUUAGCAAAAGUUGCAGCAACAACCAUCACCGGCCCCGACGCAAUCAACGACCCGAUAACCAAUCCUCCAACAACCUGCCCCUGACCUCCAGCAAGAUAAACAGUCAGUCCAGUAGCAUCAGGCGGCGAAGGCGGAGGCAAAAAAGCACCGCUGAGUGACAGAAUGUGACACCUCCCUUGAAGAGAUAUCAUUCCUCCCGGAGCAUUAUCUUGCCGGAGUGUCACGUUGGUAACAUAACCAGUGCCGCUGAGAACUGAAACACCACGGUGGCGACGGUUAGCAUAGGAUGAAAUGCUAUGGGCGAUGUCGGCUCCGUUGGCGACUUCCAAGAUAACGCUGCUAAGAGCGUUUGGAGUUUCUUUUGUGAUCAUCAGCGGUGGUUUUGGCUUGUUCUUCGACCCCGGCGGACGUCCACGUGGCCGGCGUCCACUUCUGGCGGUCUGGUCGCCGGAACGGCCAUUGCUGUUCUCAAGUUCGUCGUUAACAUGGCCGUUGCUGUUGCCGGUGCCGGUAUUGCUGGUGUUACUCCUCGUUGGAGUAACGUUACCGCCGGUAACGUUGCCGUUAACGCUACCGUUACUUGCCCUUCGUGACUCUCUUCGUAAAAUGAUCCGGGUUGGACCGUUUCGGUUCUCUCCUUCGACCGGGUUCGCCUCCGUUUGUCUUCCACUCCACCAUCGAUUCGACAUGUUUCUAAACCAAAACAAACAAAAAAUUAAAAAAAAAAAUCACAAACCCAGAAAAUAAAUAAAUAAAAAUCUAGAAAAUUAAUUGAUAUAACACAAAAAAUACAAAAAUAAAAAAACCUUAUCCUAACUUUCUAAAAAAAAAAAAAAAAACUUAUAUAUAAAGAAACCUUGUAGAACCUCACCUUGAAAAACUUGAGAUGUUUUUUGGAUGUUGUGUGAAAAAGGGUAAGAAGAAGGUGGAAUUGAGUGAAUGUUUGAGAUGAUAAUGUUUGUGUUUUUUUUUUAGUAGUGUGCUGUUUUCUUUGACUCACAAGUAAAACAGUGUUUUUUGUUUUUGUGCUUGUGGGUGUGUGGAAAAGAUUUCAAGGUUUUGAAUGAAACUAGCCAAAGUAUGAAAUGACCCUACAACUUGGUAUUAUUAUGCCACCUAACUAAAUAACCUUUAGAUUUAUUCAAAAAUAAGGAAAAAGGAUUUUAGAACAAGUUGCAUAUAUAAAAAGGAAUGAUUACGGAGGAGGAAAAAUAGGGGCCAUAAUAAGGGAUGGGUUAAAGGGGAGGGUGUGAGUUGAUGGGUGGCAGUGUGUUUUUGUGGUUUGGAAUGUUUUGUAUUUUGUAAAAUUAUGGAAUCUAUGAGCUCGAGCACCUCGUGGGAGGCCAAGAAGUUUAUGUGUUUGUGGUUUGUGUGAUUGUAUGAAGUUGCUUUUAUAGGGUCAAAAAAAUGUGGCAUUGACAAUAUUAAAUAUAUUUUUAUAAUAGUUUCUAUAAAUUUGGUUAUUUCUAAUAUUGACAUUUGAAUAAAGUCAAUAAUAGACUUUUUUCUUUUCAAUUAACUUGAUAAUUUUUUAACAUAAAUGAGGUUUUAUAGGUGUUUGUAAUUUUGAUACUUUAACGACAGGCUAAGAAAUAAGAAAAGAAAAUGUGUAAUUAGUUAAUAACGAAAAAAGAAUAUUUAAUUUUUUUACUAUAAAUCAAAUUCAAAAUUUACCGUUGAAUACUUUACCGUUGAAUGAUUAAAUAUUGAAUGGUUUACUGAUAUAAAUUUAAUAUUAAUAUAGUUGACCAAUUUAUAAAUUUAUAAAAAAAUUAAAUAAAGAAAUUUGUUAAUUUAAUACUUAUUAAAUAUUUUUGUAUUAAAUGAUAAAAAUACUGUGCAAGAUUAAGAUAACAUAAAAGAAAAUCGGGGAUAUAAGUUUGAUGGUUUGGGUGGUGAUAUUAAGAAGUGAAGUGAUAAAAAUAGCCAGGGGUUCGAUUCUCACUCCAAGUAUAAUACUAAUGACUACAAACAAUAUUAAAUUUGUAUGUCCUUCAAAAAAAAUAAAAAAAAUUGUAUGUAAGUACCCAAAUGCAUAUUUUGAGUCAAAACAAGUUAUGACAAAUAAGGUGGCCUUGUAAUUUUGUCGAUGUUCCAAAUUAAAGUGUAGUUUUUGUGGACACGAUAAGAAAAUUUGAUAAAAUAGCUACUUAGAGUACAAAUAAAUUGAAUCCAUUUACGGAUUUACCAUUAAAAAUUUGUGUUUAAUUUUUUAAUAAAUAAAAAUUAUAAAUAAUUAUUUUCCAAAUUUAGAUAAGUUGAAUUCAGAAUUUGCCGAUGAAUGAUUUACCGUUAAAUGGCUUAUCGUUGAAUGGUUUAAUUUAUCGACAUAAAUUCAAUUUUUAUUGGAUUCAGAAUUUGCCGAUGAAUGAUUUACCAUUGAAUGGCUCGCCAUUGAAUGGCUUAUCGUUGACUGGUUUACCGACAUAAAUUCAAUUUUUAUGUUGACUAAUUUAUAGAUCAAUUAAUUUAUCAAAUUAUUCAAUAAAAAAGUUUAGUAAUUUGAUAUUUAUUAAAUAUUUUUGGAUUAAAUGAUAAAAACAUAGUGCAAGAUUGUGAUAACCAGGGCCGGCCCAAGGGUCACGUGGCCCAAGUAUUUAUUUACUCUACAUUGGUACAUCACGCGUGAGUUAACUUGCGUAGGUUAAAAUCCAGCGGGAGUUAACUCAUGUAGGUUAUAACUCAUCAUGGGUUAACUCAUUUAGGUUAUAACCCCAGCAUAAGUUAACUCAUGUAGGUGAUGAUCGGUUAAGAAAGUGUACCAAAUUGUUUACCAAGUAAUAAAGUGUAAGUAGAAUAUCAUAUCCACAUGGAUUGUCGUUUCGUCUAAACAAUUCGCGUUACUUAUUUUGUUUUGACGAUAUAAUAAUAAAAAAGAUAAGGGUUAGAGAUUGCAAUUUUUAUCUGUUUUCAACAGAGCAAUUUACAUGUUUGGUUGCAGAAAAGUUAGUGGUUAGGACUCUUAGAAUCCCCCUAUCUAUUUUGUCGGAAUUAAAUAACAUUCAUGUUGCUUUUAGUUAUCUUAAGUAGACUAUUCAAGUGAUGGGGCCGUUGGAACGUUCUAAUCUAGUCGGUUGUCAAGCUACACCUGCUGUUCGCACGAUGAUCCUUACGUACGGGGUCUAUACUAUCUCGGUUGAUCUUGGUCUAUCCCUCCGAUGGCUAAUUGCACUUGAUGAUCGCACGGUGAUCCUUAUGUGCGUGAUCUUGCUAAUUUAAAGGUAAUUGAUACAUAAACUUAAAUUGGUGUUCCUAGAUUUCCAAAGACAAUGAAGGCCAAUGUUCCUGAAGGUCUUCCCAUCUAUGAAUCUUAGGACACUCGUAGCACGCUCUCCUUCUCCUCUUGGUAGUUCUACAAACGGGCAUCCAUAUUAGCAUCUACCUUAUAAGGGUUCAAGGAUAAUGGUUCUUCUAGGAUCGUUCACUCCCAAAGACACUUGUUUCCCUAAUUAAUAACUAGUUACAUCCUAGGUUCAGCAGAUUUUACUGAAUAUUAGUAAUGUCACCUCCUAAGUAUUUACUACUAGGAUCAACUCGCUUUCACUACCUUUGCAAGCAACCAUGUGUUGGGCGCCUAAGGUCAUGCGCUAGGCGCAUGUUCCUGGCUACUCCAUGCAUGCGCCUAGCGCUUCUCUGUAUUAGCUCGGGGCGCCUGGCGCCCCUUCUGGUGCUCAUGGGCGCUUCUGGGUGUGUUUUGGUGCUGAAAUUUAUUCGCCUUUAAAGGUGUUUGCGUCAAUGUAAGAUGUCUUGGAACUUGGGAACAUAAUUUCUGCCUCUAUAAAGUUUUAUGUGGCCUUGUGAAUCUUCAUUAUUCAUCUUCCCAAGGACCACAUAAAUCUUCAGAUGUCUUGUUUUGCCUGAUAUGCUUGAUUUCUUUGUGAAUUACAUCAAGAACACCCUAAAAUUGCUAUGUUUCAGGAAGAAUACAAUUACAUACUCAAAUAUAGAAAUCAAUACAAAUUUCCCUAAAUCAUUGGCAAUUGAUCUAAUACUCAUCUGUUUUGCUGGUAAAUCCUACUAAAAAUGACUGAAAAACAUGCUAAGAAUAACGUAAGAUGACCUGCCAUCACAACCCCAAACUUAAAGUGAUUCUUGUCCUAAAGUAACUAAACAAAAACAUAAAUUAUUCUUUGUAUUUUUUCAGAAAAAAAUGUACCUUUCCGAGUGCUGUGCUCAGAACAUUAUUCAUCACAUCUACAGCUUCGACUAACUUACCUCGUUACACUCAAGCGGGACUAGCAUGGAGAAAGUAGCUCAUAUUCUCAAUCAUACUCUUUUCCAUGAUACAUGUAUGUAUCGCCUAAAACCAGUAGGGUUUGUCACGACAUUUUCCCACUCCAGUCGUCACGUGAAUGUACCUUGCUGUAAGUUUGAGACAAUUCUAAACAGACAGUCAAAAUAAUAUUAUAUACACAUUUUGAGGUCUUUCAGGGUUAUAACGUGGUUUAGGUUAAGGGUGGAUAUAUUUAAAAAGGUAGAUUAACAAAAGAACUUGGAGUUAGUUUAAUAACCUAGGGAUUCUUACUAAACAUUGAUGAAUUGUCAACCUUCCUUCCUUGAAUUAGACAAGAAGGGCACUACAGUAGAACUAUUUAUCUUUUUUAUUUUUGAUAGAAAUAAACAUUUUUUUUAAGAGACCAGAUUUUUUUAUGUUUUUGGCUCUUGAUUUUUUUUUUUUUUUUUUAUUGUGUAGACCCAUGGCAAUCUACAUUUUUUUUCAUUUUUUUUUCUAAUAAAUAAGUUAUACAUUUACCCCACCUCAAACUUAAAAUGUUGUUAAUUCAAAAGAGCAAUUUCAAACUUAGCUUCAAACCACAUCAAGUCAAAAAAAAAAAUCUAUCUAACUCCAAGAGAAAUCAAACAGGGUGCAUUUAAGGUUUAGGACUGUGACAUGAUUCGUCACUUAGUAACAAGAAAGAAAUUUCAUGUAAAAGCUCAAAGUGGUUUCAAAAAUGAUAAUAAGAAUAUAAAAGGGUGGCUUAAAAGGCUCAAGGUACCAAAGAAAAAUGCCUCGUGUGUAUUAUAACUUAAUCGAUCGUCCGUAAAGAACUGCCGCAAAUUCGGACAAAGAUAGCAUUCAUAUGGAACACUCAUAAUAUAAAGAAUUUAUAGUAUCUAACAACCUAGCAUUAGACACCCUAGGUUCCUCAUCUUCAACUCUUGCUCGAUUUCCAUUAGGGUGCAUGGAUGCUUUAGUUGGUGCAUCACUUGCUUUUAACAAGCCACUUUGAAUCCAAUACACACCCUCUCUUUAGCUUAAGAUUAUUUCCCGUUCUUCCAACUUUCGCCUCUUCACACAAUGCAUUAAUGAGUCCACAUUGUCCAUAAGAAAAAGCCUUCUUCUUUUUAUUGCCAAUUCUUCUUAUAUCCUCCGUUAUGAUCCUCCCUAUAUUUAUCUCAUCAUCAUUCAUGAUUGCUUGCACAACAACCACUCUCACCAACCGAAAUUCCGAAGAGUUCCCACAACUCUCAAGAGUGUGCACCACAAUGCGACCCCAUGCUUUAGCCAUCGGCUUCGUGUCUUUCAUACUAAACUUUGUUGGCAACAACCAUUUGCCUUGCUUAAGCCACAGUGAACCCUCUACACAUAGUUCAUCUUUGAUUUCUUCCAAUAUUCCUAUAUCUUCAAUAUCCUUAACAUCUUCAAGCUUCGCCCUCCAAUCUCCACUCCGCAUACAAGAGGUGUCAGGGUGCCAAGUAACUCAUCAAUCGUCUUCUCAUAGAACCAAAUUUUUUUUUUCCACAUCACAUAGAGGUGUGCAUAGGUUGGGUCAACCCGGUAAACCCAGUCAAACCCACCUAAAAAAACUGAAAAAAGUGGGUUGUGUUGGGUAAUUGAGUGAAUAUGAUUUUAAAAAUGAAAAACCCAUAAAAAAAAGAAAAUAACGAGUUUCAGGUAAAAUCAGACUCAAACCUAAUAAACCUACUAACCCAAUAAUGCUGACAUUUUUAUUCGACUAUUACUUUUCUCACCCUAUGUUAUUCUCGCGCGCCUUGUUUUUUUUCUCAAAAUACCUCUGGUUCGGAUUAUGUAAUCCAAACUCAUUUUGGAUUAUAUAAUCUGAAACUUUUCAAGCCUUUUGAAACUUGAAGCACCCUGAAGGAUCUUGAUACUAAAGUGUAUUGGAUGGGUUCGGAUUCUAUAAUCCGGAAAAGUUUUAGACAGUUUGGAUUAUAUAAUUCGAAAUUUUGUAUACCUCAUUUUAGACAGUUUAGAAAGUACAAUCGCAAGUAAUAUUCCUUGUACCUCAUUUUGUAUAGGAGUGCAACUUUUGUGUUAUAAUACUAUUAUAACGAUCACAUACAAUGUACUAUGUUUUCACCUGGCAAAACUUGACCGUUGAGAUUUUCUGUUUAGAUGAUCAAAUUGUUCUACACAAGGAAACACACAUCAAAUUAUCAAUUUUUCUCAAAUAUAUUGUUGUCAUUAAAAUCUAAAAUAGAGGCAUUGUUCUUAAAAACCAUUUUUGUUCAAUAGAAUUUUGUUGUAAGAUUUUACUAUCCUCAAAGAGGUUUUGAGCCUUAAUAUUAUCAUGAUGGUGAGAGGCCUCACAUCAAUUUUUCCUGGAUUAAGAUCUUCUUGAAGGGAGUCAAGCUUUUAUGUUUAACCAUCUGAUUUUGUGUUUAUUUAUUGUCAAUUUGAUAGUUUGAAAAUUUUGUUGUGUUUACACCUAAACCAAAUUAUUGUGUUAGCCAAUAUAGGUCGAUAUGUGAUUAAGGUUUAGGCAAGGAAGCCUCCCAGUCAAAGGGAAGGUUGAAGUCUAGGACAGUUGAUCAAUAAGGGAUAAUCAAUUCUUUAUCAAGUUUAGUGAGUAUUGGCCAAUAACAUGGGUCAAAAGGAAUUUAUAUUUAGUCAAAGCUUAGUACGACUUGACAUAAGGCUAAAAAGUAAAGACCCACAUUUCAUGUUUAUUGUGUCACUAACCGCGAAGGGCAAUGAGACAUGAAUCACGUUCUUGGAGAGCUACAAACUAAAAACCAUGUCAUGAUGGAGGAAGCUAAGAGUCGAACUUAGGGCACCAUGAUCCCCUCAACGAGGAAAACUCAUGCACACUAAAGACCGAGUCAUGAUGGAGGAAUCCAAGAGUCGAACAUAGGGCACCAUGACCCCCUCAACGAGGAAAACUCAUGCACUACCCACUAAAUUAACCAAUAUAGGUUAGAUGUUGUAAGCCACGUCAUUUGGCUAGUAGGGAUAGCUUUUGCAUAUAAAUACCUAAUUUUUUAAUUAUAAAUGAUACAUCCAAUCAAACACAAAGUUGUUUUCACUAUUUUUAUCUCUUUACCAAUUUUUCUUUAUCUAUAUUUUUUUAUGCAUUUCGUAGUCUAUUAUCUCAAAACUCUACAAUAACCAUAUUUAAAACUCUAUUGGAGCAGACAAGAAAUCCACUGUUGAAGGACAAAGAUUUGAAACGGAGAUGAGAGAAGUACUUUUAAAGAAUAUGCGAAAAUUGAAAAACGGGUAUAUAAUAAACAGAAACGUUCUUGUAAAAAAAAUAAAAUACAGACGUGUCUAAAAAUUUCAAUGCAAUGUGUGAGAUAAGAAAAUAUGUCCCACCGAUCCUUUAAAUAGUAUUUCCUCUACUUCUUGUUUUUCUUCUUCUUCUUCUUCUUCUUUUUUUCUGCAAAGUUAUUAAUAAUUUUUUAUCAACUCUUUAUAUGAAAAAUAUCGAUAAACAAAAAAUUAUUUAAUCUACCUAAUAUACUUUAUUUAAUCAUUUUUUUUUAUAGAAUUUCAACUCUUCAUGUAACCAUCAUUUUAUUUAAAUUUGAAGAUAACAACAAAAUAAACUUGAGUUUUUCAAAUAGAUAACAUGAAUUAGUUUUAUUAAAAAUGAGUAAGUAUAAAAGUAAAUGAGAAAGAGUAUGAUUGACAUAUCGUACCCUUAAACUAUCAAAACAAGAGUUAAAUAAGAACGCUAAUUCGUACUCAAACGACACUUAAAAAAGAACAAUUUUUUUUGGGGUUUUAUAAUACAUCAAUGGGUUUUUUUCCUCUAACAAAAUCAACAGGGUUUUUUUUGUAGACUAAUUCUAUUUCGUUUUACUAAAUUUACUACACCAUGCCAAUCCGCAUACUUUUGUCAAGCGUUUUGACCCCCUACCCUACAAUGCUUUUACGAAAAUCAUAUUAGAUGUUUUUUAGGGGGGAAAUCAUCUUAGAUAGUUAGGGAAGUGUUAGUUAAAUUGGCUAAUAAGAAAUUAAGUGUGUUGAGUACUUCUUCAGGCCUUCAAAUUUUUUUUAUAGGAUGACGAAGAUUCAAAUUCUAUUUUUUCUAGAAGUAGUUGAGGGCUAAAAUAAGCUGUCAUACAUUGAAGGUUUUAAGAGAUCCAAAAUUUUGUGAACCAAAAAAUUUGGGCUCCCCCUUCAAAAAAAAAAUUUGGGCUCACAAUAUUUUUAUUAAACAUUGAAACCCUACAGUUUUAUCAAAUGUAUUUUAAGAGUUAAUUAAGUAUUUAAUUCCUAUGAGCAUUUUUUUUUGGUACAGAAAAGCGGGCAGAGCCCCCUCUUUGUUAAGCAUUUAAUUGAAUUAUUAUAAAGUUUUAUAUGUACACAUGAAUUGUGAUAUGUUCGGUGAGGAUGGAUGAGAGGCAACGGUGACGAUGAGUCUUUGUGGUGGGACUAAAGGUGUUUGCAGGCACGUUAACGUUCAAUUCAAGUCAGUAAUGGAAUUGAAAGAGUGUAGAAAGUGUUGUGAAAAGUGAAUCAUACCUUGAGGGUGAAACUAAGUCACCCUUAAAUAAUGGCGCGUGAGAAUAGUCGUCUCUGGAAAUUACUGCGUGUGAUAAGGGAGUAUUUAUAGGACACAAGUAUGGUGAUCGUCACGCAGAGGCAUGCUCGAAUGUGAUACGGUGCAUUGAAGUUGAUGUGUUCCUUCAUGCACUGAGUCUUAAGGCGGUGUAUGUUUGGCCCAUGUGUCAGUAUGGGAUUGAUCUUCUGACCGGUCUGUUAUCACGAUUUUGGGGUAUCAAGUCAUUGAUUAGGCUUGAACCUUUCAAUCUUUGAUAUUCUCUAUUUUUUUCUUGGGAAGGGCAAAAUUUGAGAAAACCCUUAGAAAUUCUAAGUUCGGGGGUCGUUUCCGUUACGGAAAGGUGUUAGGCACCCGCAAUGACUAUAGUACUCUAUAGGAGCCGUUUUCUUAGUUCUAUGUCUACGCUUUAUUUUUAAUGCUAUUUAUUAAAAAGAAGUCGAUUAUGUUAAGAAUGGAGGGAGGAAAAUGUUUGAAGUUUUAUUUUAUUGGACUUUGAGAGGUUUUGACCUCUUGCCUACAUACCCUUUUAAGGGAUCAAAAUGCCAUGUAGUUCUCUUUCAAAAAAUGUUUUUUUGCGUGUUUGAUUGAUUUUAGUUUUUUUGGAAAAUGGUUUUGAAGAAGAGAAAGAGGCCGUAAAGGCAUGAGAAAAAAUGGUGAAGAGUUGGUUCAAUUAUUAAAAAGAAACAUAUAGGAAUUUUUAGGAAUUUUUCGCAAGAAAAUUGGACAAGCAGAGGGUUCAGAUAGCAAGAAAACAGGGUGCAAAUAGCAUGAAAUAAGAAAAAAUGCAGAAAUAAACAAACUGAAAACCCAAACCCAAAACCCAUGGAUCCGGAUGCACAGGGAGCGUUGGAUUGAUCCAAGAAACCAAACCCUAGAUCUAAAGGCUCAAAAUGAAGGGAAAGAAUCAGAAAUAAACCGGACCGGUUCAGUUGUUUAUAAAAAGGCUUAUGGACCGGUUUUUUUCAUUUCUUCCUCUCCUUUCUCUCUCUUCUCUCAUUCUAGUGAGAGAAGCUCUCACUUCUCUCCUCCCUCUCUCUCGCCGGAAACCGGAAAUGGAAGAUGAUCUUCAUCUUCUCCGGUGAGGUUUGUUCCUCCGGCGUGGUGGCCGGCCGCCCAAGGGUGGCGGCGCCGCCGCCGGAGUUGAACAAACUUCUCCGAUUUCAAAAUUUUUUACAUUUUUGGAUAUCCUUUUUUGUUCUGAACACGAAUAUGGCACUGGAUUUUGCAUGCAAAGUUCGAAUCAACGUAGAUCUACAUUUCUUUUCGCGGUUUUGAAAGAAACUUUUUCAAGUUUUUUUGUUUUUUUUCGAAUGGAAACUUUUAAAACUCUAUAGAUCUACACUUGAUUCGCCUUUGUUGAUGUUCUUGAGAAAGAAAGAUGAAGUUUGAGUUUUACCUGUGAUUUUCGGUUGGAGAUUUCGAAUAUGUUCUUCGGAAAACUUCGAUUUGAUUCUGCUUGUUGAUUUUCUGACUUGAAACCGAAAAUAAAUCGGCGUUCUUCUUCUUCACCGGUUCGACUUUUCUUUCCCUCUUCUUCUUCCUCAAAAAAAAGUCUAUGCGAUUGUGUUUGAGUUUGCCGCUUUCAGUGGUGAAUUCACACUUGAAUUGUAGAGCAACACGAUUCAAUGAUGAAGAUUCUUUGAUGAAUCUCUGAGAAUCGAAAAGAAACUGAUGAAUUUGUGAUGAUUUUCGGUUUUGGAAAGUUAGGGUUUUUUGUGAAUGUUCUUGAUGAUUUUCUGUUUUGAUCUAACAGAAAAGAGAGAGAAAAUCUGAAUCUAUUUGUGAUGUGGCACCCAUUCUGUGGAUCUGUGCAGAUUUGUGCUAUUUAUAGGCUGUCAUGUGUGUUUCUGAACCAAUGAGAAAAGGACAUCUGUUUGGGGACCUUUCUGCAAAAAAUAAGAAAAUUGAAGGACUGGACAGCAAAUAAGAAAAAGGACUAAAAAAUGCAAUUUUAAAAAGUUUUGGACUAAAAUGUAAUUAAAAUAAAAUUGGACUAAAAUUGGUAAUUUGGAAAAAACGUAAAGUGAAACCAAAAAUAAAAUCAACAAAAGGACUAAAAUGAACCAAUUACAAAAAUGAGGUAUUUUAAAAUACCUCUCUGCCGAAAUUUUGACAGGAAAAGACCAAAAUGCCCCUAGGGACUAAAAUGACUCAAACUGACUCAGAUGCAAUUUUUGAAAUGGUUUUUUUUUUUAACAAAGACUUAACAAUGAUUUGUACAGACAAGUUGAAAAGACUCAGAGGCAAACACAGGGACUAAAAUAGGUUCCACUGCAGGAAAUGACCAAAAUACCCUUUUUGUAUGAUUUUUGAAAUAAAAUGCAAGAAAAGAAAUGCAAUGAUUCAGAGAGUUUUCAAAUGACUUGUAAUGCAAGAAAAGACACUUUGGAUGGUUUUAUGCAAGAAAAUCAUGCUUGAACGUACUUUGAGACAGAGACAGUAAAAUAUGCAGAUGAAAAGAGAGUACAGGUUCAGAGUAAAACAACAGCGAAUUGACAAAUAUCAGUGUUAAAAAAGAAAUUUGAACGAGUAUUUUUAGGUCCAAAAUCAGGGUAUAACACGGUCCAUAACAAAUUGAUUGGAAAUUUAACUUAAAGUCUCCACUCUUAAUCAGAUGGAUGUGAUAAGUGUGAGUAAUUCAGAAGUAAGAGUCAACAACAAUUUUGUAUGUAGACAAGCAUACUACUUAUCCAUGUUAAUUGCCACAUCAGAGUUAAUGCGCGUGUUAUCGCGAUUUUCGGGUGUCAAGUCAUUAAUUAGGCUUGAACCUUUCAAUCUUUGAUUUUCUCUAUUUUUUCUUGGGAAGGGCAAAAUUGAGAAAAACCCUUAGAAUCUAAGUUCGGGGGUCGUUUUCGCUACGGGAAGGUGUUAGGCACCCGGAACGAUUAUGGUAUUCCAUAAGAACCGUUCUCCUAAGUUUCUUUCUACGCUUUAUUUUUAUUGCCUACUUAUUAAAAAAGAAGUUUUGAGUGAAGAAUGGGGGAGAGAAGAUGAUUGGGAUUUUAUUUUACUUGGCUUGGAGGAGUUUUAACUCAUUGCCUACGUACCCUUUUAAGGGAUCAAAACCAAACGUAGUUCAUUCUCGAAAAUUAUUUUUGUUUUUGUUGGUUGAUUUUAAGUUUGAAAAAGGAAUUUUGAAGAAUGGAGAUGAGGGGCCUCAAGGGCAUGAGAUAUGGAAAAUGUGAGGUGGAAUUAGCUAUUUUGCAAAAUAAAGUCUAAGUAUGAUUAAAAUUCAUUAAGAUUUUUACUUAAGAAAAUAAAAGAAAAAUGAGGAGUUUUGACUCCUAUUUUUGGGAAAAAGGUUUUCAAGUGAGGUUAUUCACAUUUUUUUGGGAAAAUGAUUUUUGCCUAAGCGUUGUAAAACCUAAGCAUACAUCUAAACAUACAUUCCCUAAUUAUGCAUCUAGAAUAUCCAUGUGAGGUGUGUGCAUGUGUCGGUGCUCGUGUCGGUGUACAUCACUUAUAGUGUCCGUAGUCCUUUACAUCGAGUCCUAAAUACAUGCUAUGGUCUUGCAAGGAUUUAAAAGAUGAAUUUAAACUAGCCUAAAAUAUUACAUAACCAUUGGAAAUACAAAAAGGAAAAUUGCAAAAAAAAUAAAACCUAAUCUAGUAGAAAUGAGAAUGAUGUGGUGAGAUGCUAUGAGAUGAGUGAAACAUGAGUCAAUAAUGUUAGCAAAACAAGAUGAAAAUAUAACAUGAGUGAUAGGAAAAAGUAAUCAAUUGAAUAUGAAAUAAAAUGGUGAAGAAAUGGUGAAAAUAACCAAGACAUAUUGAGAAGAAAAGUUGCUUGAAAUGCAAGAAACACACAAAUCAUACCAAAACAGUAGAACAAUCAUAAAAUCAACAUCACAUUUAUCAUAAAAUUGCAUACUAAUUGUUCAUAACAUGUGCCAAAAUUUAUGAAGAAAAAUAUGGCAAGAGAUUCACAAAAUUAUGCCAAAAAGAACAAAUUAACCAAGAAAAUAACGUCUAUGUUUUUAUCACUUUUUUAACAUGUGAAAAGCAUCACAAAAAAUACCAAAAAUGAAUUAAAAACCAUAGGAAUUUUCUAGAAUUUUUGAGAGAAAAAAUUGAGCAAGCAGGGGUUCAAUCAGCAAGAAAACAAGGUGUAAAUAACAAGAAAAAAAGCAAAAACGUACAGGAACCCUAGGCCCAAACCCAAAGCCCAACGCUCAGCAGCCUGAUGACACAGGGAACGUUGGAUUAAUCCAACGCUCAAGAUCAAACAAGAUAAACCGGUCUUGAACCAGACCGGUUCAGUGGCCUAUAUAUAUGUCUCAAGACCGGUUUAUUCAUUUGCUCCCUGCUCUUUCUCUCUCUAAACCUCUCUCUUCCCUCAGACCUCUCACCUCUCUCCAGAACUCACCGCCGGUGAGGAUGAAGUGACGGCGGAGACCUUGAAGGUCCGCCGGAAACUUCAUCUUCUCCGGCGAGAUUAUGCACUUUCCGGUGACCUAAUUUCCAGAACUCAAAAAAAUUUACAUCAAUCAAAUCCUCUCUUCAAUCUAAACGUGAUUUCACCGCUGGUUUUCACAAAUAACAACUGAAUCGUCGUAGAUCUGAGGUUUUUUGCUCCGGUUUUGAAAGUUAGGGUUUCACACUUUUUGAAAGAGAAACCUCUAAAUCUUCGCAGAUCUAUGUUUAUUCGUUUCUGGUUGAUAUUUUUGAAAGAAAAUAAAGGAAACGAGGCUUUGAAUGAUGUAGAUCUUAGAAUUUAUUUUCGGUUUUGAUGACGUUUUUAGGUUUUCAAUCUUUUUUGAACCAAAACGUUUUCCUUUUCAAAGAUCUACACUGCCUUGGCUUCGUUGUUGCUUUUGAGGAAGAAAAUUGAAGUUUAAGCGUUUACCUGAGUUUUAAUGGAGAUUUUGUUGAAUUUCUUCGGAAACACUUGAUUCUUCGUUUUCUGUGUUGUUAAUUUGGUUGCUGGACCGGAAAUAAACCGGUGAUUUCACUGGUUCUGCUUCUUCAUCUUCUUCGCCGGUUUAAACCUUGCUUCUUUUCCUCUUCUUCUCAAAUUUCGGAUCCUUCGUGAUCGUGUUUGAAUUCGUCACCAACGGUGAUGAAUUCGCACUGGAAUUGCGAAGGGAUUGAUUCGAUGAUGAAGGUUCGCAAAGAAUCUUUGAGAAUUACAGAAAGAAAUGAUAAUUUUGAUGCCUUUUGGUGAAUCUGGAAAUCUAGGGUUUGAGAUUGUUCUUGGUGAUUCUCUGAGUUUUGAUCUAACUGACAAGAGAGAGAAAUUUCUCAGGUGUUUGUGAUGGUGGCGCGUGAUUGAUAUUUUUUUGACUUGUGCAUUGAAUGCGCCUUUUAUAGGCUGCCACUUGUAUCUGAGACCCAAUGGGACACUACCACCUGGAAUUGGACUUGGGACUCUUCUGCAAAAAAGAAAAGUGACAGGACUGAACUGCAAUAAUAAAAAAAAAGGACCUAAAUGCAAUUUAAAAAAAUUUUGGAAAAAAUGCAAAUUAAAAUAAAAUUGGAUUAAAAUUGGUAAUUUGAAAAAACGUAAAGUGAAACAAAAAAUAAAAUCAACAAAAGGACUAAAACGAACCAACUACUGACAUGAGGUAUUUUAAAAUACCUCCCUGUCGAAAUUUUGACAGGAAAAGACCAAAAUGCCCCUAGGGACUAAACUGACCCAAACUGACUCAAAUGCAAUUUUUGAAAUGAUUUUUAAACGAAGACUCAACAAUGAUUUGUACAGACAAGUUGAAAAGACUCAGAGGCAAACACAUGGACUAAAAUGGGUUCCACUGCAGGAAAUGACCAAAAUACCCUUUUGUAUGAUUUUUUUGAAAUAAAAUGCAAGAAAAGUAAUGCGAUGUUUUAGAGAGUUUUUAAAUGACUUAUAAUGCGAGAAGAGACACUUUGAAUAAUUUUAUGCAAGAAAAUCGAGCUUGAACGUACUUUGAGACAGAGACAGUAAAAUAUGCAGAUGAAAAAAGAGCAAAGAUUCAGAGUAAAACAACAGCGAAUUGACAAAUAUCAGUGUUAAAAAAAGAAAUUUAAAUGAGUAUUUUUAGGUCCAAAAUCAGGGUAUAACAGCGCGACAUAGGUCAAUAGAUAAAAGCAUUUUCGUCUCUAUGGGAAUUAAUAGCAGUGUCUCGUUUUUAAUGGAAGUCAUGUUGCUGUCUGCCUGGGACAAGGAAAGUACGUGCCCUACCUUAGAUAGACGAGUAAUGGGUCAUUUGGGUUGAACUUCCUUCCAUUUUCUUUUGAGAAAGAACUUAUUAAAUGAGUCAAAUAAUUGAAGCCAAUGUAGUAGACUUUUUUUUUUUUUUUUUUAUAAGAAAAGUCAAUAUAGUAGAAUUCUACACGUAUUAAUCAAAAAGUAUGAGUACUUUAGUUAACCUAAAAUUAUACAUAUAUAUACAAAAAGUAGGGAAGACGAUGGAUGUACUAUAGUGUCCAUCUCCAUUAGCAUGUUUACAAAAAUUCUCGUACCCGAACUCCAUGCAUAUUCUUGCGGACAAUAAGUUUGGUGUCCGUCCCCAUAUCAUAUGGGCAUCUAAGUGUCCCUACACGUGUAUGUUAUCAGCACUUUAACAACAAAAAGACAAUAAAUAACAAAAAACAUCACAACUCAAUUUAAAUAUGAUCUAAAAUCUCUUAAAUCAACUUGUAAAAUAUUGCACACCGUAAUAUUUAGUCAAAUAAAAAUAUCUAAAGUAUAAAAAACAAGUGCAUAUUACAGUAAAUAUCAAAGAUUAAGAUUUAAUGAACUAUUUUUAGUAUUACAUAAAAUUAUAAUUAUAGUAUAUAUAAUAUGCAGACAUGGGGAGAGUUGGGCACAGAGUACCCAUACCCACACCCAUAUCCGUUCAAAUUUGUGGAUAAUUACUCUGACGCAAUAUAAUGCAAGUAUUUACCCGUCCAUCAUGGGUAUUUUUUGUAGGUACCUAUUAGACUUGAGUUUAAUCAUCAUGGGUAUUUCAUCUUAUAUUUAUGUAGUCUUGCCAUUUAACUUACUGUGAGACGUUCGUUACUUGCUAGUAGUCAUUUAAAUUCUAAGAUCAAUUCAUACAAUAGUACAAAAAACACUUAUUAGCUCAGAGAUUUUAAAUGAGAUGCUAUCCACCUGACUUAAAAACUACAACCAGAAGAAUGAUUUUAACUGCAAUACAUAUUAAAUGGGUUAACCCCAUUUAUAAACUAUUUUAUAUUAAAAUAAAAAUAAAAAUAAAAGAAACAUAUAUCAAACUAAAUCCCAAAUAUUGCUCUAAACGCAAAAAAAAAUCCAAAUUUCUCAGUCUGCCUCUCACAAACUUUCUAGAUCUGUGCGAGUUCUCCUCCUCACGACACCCUCCUCUCGUUCUAAACAGUGCGAGUUCUCAUCCUCUCCUCCACCUCCUUCGUAUUCUCAAUGAAAGAGUCACGCAGCGUUAGGGUUUUGCUGUGGUGGUGAAUUCAUUUCAUAUUUGUAAUUGCUCUAUUUCUUCAUGCUUUUCUCCAAUUUGAUUUAUUUUAGAUCUCUGCUAUAUUUGUAAAUGCUCUCUUUCUUCAUUCUCUUUCCCAAUUCGAUUUUUUUUAGAUCUAUGCUAUUUUUUUUUAACUUUUUUUGUGUUUAUUAGAUUUUCCUUCUUUGGGAUUUGAUAUAUGUAGCCAUAAAGGGAUUUUGUGUUUAAAUUGAUGUUGCUAUGUUGAAUUUUUUGCUUUUCAGAAUUGUUAUUGUUGUGUUAUGUGGUAUAGGGAUAAUCAUGUUUUGAUAUUUUAAGUGAUAAUAGAGCACUUUUUUUUAUUACUUAUAUGUGGUAUAGGGAUAAAAUGUGGUAUAGGGAUACUUGGUGAACAAUACUCUAUGCAUUUUUGUUUUGAUUUUUUAUUUUUAUUUUCAUUGAGUAUUCAUAAUCUAAAUUGAGAUUUGUAUGCUUGUUUACAGGUGAAGUACGCUGUUGACGAGUCACAUCUAUAUAUGAACUAUAAGCACAACAUUCAUAUGAUGUUAUUUGAUUAAGGUAAACAAAACAUACAAAAUAUUACUUUUGGAAGCAUUUUAUUUGUAUUUCUCUCAUAAAUUCCUCAUAUAAUUGUAAGUAGCCAUCAAGCCUAUCUAACAUUCCACUCAAGCAUUUUUUGGUAUAUAAAAUUACAAAUAUUAGUCUGAUGUGAGUUGCUGCACCAGAUCACUAGAUCACUAGCUUAUAUAUAUAUAGGACCACCUCAAUUAUAGUGUCUGAUGUGAGUUGCUGCACCAGUGACUUAUCUGAGUUACUUUCACAUAAAACUGCUCUUUACUAGCUAUUAUUAACUUUCUGUCUCCUCUUCUUUCCUAGAACAUAGUGAAUACCUUCAUUAUCUGCUCUUUAACUAUAUUAGUCCAAGUAACCACCUUAAUGUAGUCUUUGUGGUUGUAGGUUAUUUCAGUCAGCAGUUAUGGAUCGUAGUCGGAUGAGUGCUAACCGCGCUAGUGAAGAGUAUAGGAAAGGAGUGACAGAGUUUAUACAAUUUGCUUUUGAAAAACUUCAUGAGAAUAAUGGAAGGUUUUAUUGUCCUUGUGUUAAAUGUUUCAAUGGAGCCCCAUUCCAUUUUGAGCUAAUAAUAGAGCAUCUUAUUUGUAACGGGAUUUGCCAAAAUUAUACCAAAUGGAUAUAGCAUGGUGAGUCGGUAAACAAUACAAAUGGGUCAAAAAGAAAGGAGGUCGAUGUUGAUAUGGAUGGUUAUCGGCUAGAAGACAUGAUUCGUGAUAUCGGCCAAGAGUCUUUUCAACAAGCGCAUGUGUAUGACAAUUUGUGUCGUGACAAAAAAGAGCCUUUGUAUUCGGGGUGCACAAACAUGUCACUGCUGGUUGCGGUGUUGAGAUUGUUCAACUUGAAAGCAAGACAUGGAUGGACAGAUAAAAGCUUCACUGAAUUGCUUGAGCUGUUGAAAGAAAUGCUGCCAGAAGGUAACACAUUGCCCAAUCGUAACUAUGCGGCUAAGAAGAUAUUGUGUCCGAUGGGUAUGGAGUAUAAGAAAAUACAUGCUUGCCCAAAUGAUUGUAUAUUGUACCAAAAUGAGUUUGAAAUGUUGAAGAAGUGUCCUAGGUGUGGGCUAUCACGCUACAAAGUGAAGGACAAUGAUUUCGAUUGUGAUGAUAGCUUAAAGCAUCCUCCUGCGAAGGUGUUAUGGUAUCUACCAAUAAUUCCAAGACUUAAGCAAUUGUUUGCUAAUGCAAGAGAUGCAAAAAAAUUAAUAUGGCAUGCAGAUGAGAGGAAACGUGAUGGGUAUCUUCGUCAUCCGGCUGAUUCUUUGCAAUGGAAGAAAAUAUAUGAUUUAUAUCCGGAAUUCGGGAAAGAGAAAAGAAACCUUAGGCUUGGACUUGCUACAGAUGGAAUGAAUCCGUUUGGAAAUUUAAGUAGUAACCAUAGUUCAUGGCCCGUUCUCCUAGUUAUCUACAAUCUGCCUCCUUCAAUUUGCAUGAAGUGCAAGUACAUUAUGUUAUCCAUGAUGAUUUCAUGCCCUAAGCAACCAGGAAAUGACAUAGAUGUUUAUCUCAAGCCAUUGAUUGAAGACUUAAAAUUACUUUGGGAGGAAGGAGUUGAUGUGUUUGAUGCCCAUUCUGAUGAUUAUUUCAAGAUGUGUGCAAUGUUAUUUUGCACCAUCAAUGAUUUUCCUGCAUAUGGGAACUUGUCCGGUUAUAGUGUUAAGGGACAUAAAGCAUGUCCUAUAUGUGAAAAACACACUUGCUACCACCAAUUGAAACAUAGAAGGAAGACAGUUUACCUUGGACAUAGGAGAUUUCUCAAACUGAAUCACCCAUAUCGUAGGUUGAGAAAAGCUUUUAAUGGACACCCAGAAUGGAAAAUUGCUCCGAAAGCCUUAACUGGAAAACAAAUCUUUUUUUUUUCUUUCCAAUGUAGUCGCCAUUGGCAAUUGCUUAUUAUUGAACCAGAAAAACAAAAUGUCGUUUUCUUAUGUUCGAUGGGUUGGAAGCCAGAUAAAAAUCUUGUGCAAAUUGUUAAUUCGUAAGUAUAUAUAUUUAACUAAUUGGAUGUAAUUUAAUAAAGAUUUUUUACACAUCAAUUUAUAUGAAUGUAUUUUAUUAUUGUAGUGCUAUAGAAGGGUAUAACAAGUUGAGUGGCGUCAGAAAGGCGAGAAAGCCAACAUGGGAGAUUCCCAUAGUAAGUUAAAAAUUAUAUUCAUACAAUAUUAUAAGUUAUAUAUAUAUAUAUAUAUAUAUAUAUAUAUAUAUAUAUAUAUAUAUAUAUAUGAUAUUUACUCAAUAUAAUUUCAUAUUUAUGACAACUAUAGUGCCAAAGACAACCUUUCAAUUAUGAGUGUGGCUACUUUAUAAUGAUACAUAUGCUGAACAUUGUAUUAGCUGGCAUUACCGACUCAUGGAAUAUGGUGUAUAACUAAAUAUUACAACCAUUUGUGUUUCUUAAUGUUUUUUUAAAGUUAAUUUCAUAUUCUAAUAUGUUAUCUUAACUUCUUUUUUUUUCUCCAUAUUUUUGGAGACGAAACUCCGUUAACUGAUGAUGAAAUGACAAAAGUUCAAGAACGCUGUGCAAGUUUGAUUUUGGAAAGAGUUGAUGUAAUUUAAUUAUGUCAAUAACUAUGCUUUGAAACAAUGUUUAACUUUUGUUUAAUUUUAUGAUAUUGUAACUUUGGAUUUGGUUGAUAUUGUAACAAUGACAGGUCUGAUAUGAAAUUUGCUCAUAUGAUAUUUCAUAUUAGUUGCUAAGUUUAUGAAAUUUUUUGUUAUUAUAUUAAAUUCUGCACCAUAAUCGUGUUUAAAAAAAAUAGAGAGAGAUUUUAAAUGGGUUGAACAGAUUUAAAAUCUAAAUUUUAAAUGGAGACUAUACAAAUGUAGAUGGGUUUAUCCGAUUUAAAUUAAAAGGUUUUAGAUGGGUUCAACCGAUUUAAAUUAAACGAUUUUAAAUCGGGUAAAGGGGGCAGACUUAAAAACAAAGACAGUUUUUUAAAUCGGCCACCUAUAAGUCGGAUGGUCACCCGAUUUAAAAAGUCAAAUUCACCUGAUUUAAAAAGUGUUUUCUGCACUAGUGAUAUAUCUAAAAGCUAGGGUCAGUAAUCAUCCAUAAACAUACAAAAAAAUUACACUCAAGCAAAUCUGAAUAAUACUAGGAUUUCAUUAAUGUCAAAGAGAAUUCAUACAAAUCACAUGAAUACUGUUUACAAUAGAUUCAUUUCAUGAAUUAAUCAAAAGAGAAUUAGCUACUCAUAACUAAAACAAUGAAUAACAAAGAAUAAUGAAACAUUACAUAAAUCAAGACCAAUUAUGAUUUGGUUUGAGACCCACUCCUUGUUCAUAGGUCCUCAACUGCUGAAUAUGCUCUCAAAGCUCCAAAAUUUUGAACCCUUGCUCUGAAUUCGUGUUUGGCCUUUAUUGAAGCACUUUUGUAACGUUUUCAUCAUGGCACAUAUCCAUCGUGCCACGUUGUUAGGGGUGGCAAAACAGGCCCAGCCCGUUUAACCCCUCAUUUUAGGCGGGUUGGGGUGAGAUUUUGAGCCCAUCUCUCUAGUUGGCCCGCCCCUGUUAAGCCCGCUGAAAAAGUGGGUCAUAGCGGCGUGGAGCGGGCUGACCUGCGAGAUUAUUAAACUUUCUUUUUUUUACUAUUACUGACUGAAUUUUUAAUCUAAACACCCCAUAAACAGUUGGGCCAAAUGAUACCAACCCAACCUUAACUUGUCCCACUCUAUCUAAUAGUGAUAACUGAUUCACCACUAGUCCACUACCUCUAGAAAAAAAUCGAUUCACCACUGCAUUAUAUCGAGUAUUAUUUCAUGUUGUUGGAUUUAUUUUGUAAUUUGUUUUAUGUUGGAUGUAUGGUUGAUUUAUUUUGAGAUUUGUUUAAUGUUAAGAGUAUUUAUAUUGAAUUUAUUGUUUUUAUAAUAGCAGUGUAUUUGUUAAUAAUAACUAGAUCCCCAACCCGUGCUGACGCACGGGCAUUUAUAGUGUGGAUUAAAAUAUAAUAGAUUAUAACACAUAAUAUAUGUACAUGUUGAUAAAUAGUUUCAAGCCAGUCUUAUAUAGUAACAAAUAAAAUUAAGCAUAAUAUGAAAAUACAAAUAAUGAAAAUGUUAGAUAAAGUGAAUUACAAAAUAAGCUAAUUGAUUCUUAUAUUGUAUGUCGAAGUUUAUACAUUCUGAAAUACUUCCUUGUAUACGACAUUGGUUGUGUUAUCAAUGCAAUCACCAUUUUCAUCAGUUAUGAGUAUUUUCAAACCUUUCCUUGAUGUUACCCUAUAAUCCGCCCAAAAAAACAGAAUCAAAGCCUGCUGACAGCAAACAGACAGCAUGGAGGAAGCAAAAAACAGAAACAGCACCGUAAAUUGCAGAAAUAGAAACAGCAGAAGCCGCAACUGAACACAAUUGAGGCUGAAAUAUACAACUGGCAGCACCGAAAAACAGAAACAGCAGACGUCGCAUACCCCCUAGCCUCAACCUGAAGUCACAAAAAAAAUUCCCCUUUACCGCAAAAUUCACUCUUUUUGGGUUCCACCGCCAUUCAUAAAACAAAAAAGUCGGCGAACUCAAACAACUCAAACACCAACGCCACGCCAACACCUUAAUAUCCUCCACGAAAUCCUAUACUUGAUUAUAAGAAGCCAAAAAUAUUGGAUUGUAUAAAAGUAAGUACUCUAAAUUACGGCAUUCUUGAAUGUCGACCAAAAAUCAGUCCUUUAUUUUUUUAACAGUAUGAUUAAUGAGAACUCUAUUCAACUACAUUAUUGUUAUCAAAUAAUAAACAGAAAAAACAAACAAUAAACAAAAAAAACUCUAAAUUGUGGCAUUAUUGAACUAUAUCAGAUUGUUGAAAAAACAAAUUGAUUAUUAUGUCUGAUUGAUACAUGAACAACAUAUAACUCUCACAGCCAGCAAUGUUUAUAUAUAACUCAUCCUUAAUAUGAUAUGAAGUAAAAACAGGUUUCAAGAAAAUACAAUUUACCUGUUUUACACAUUAUUAAUUAUAAGUCAUACCAGAUUCAUUGUCAGGAACAUCUGACAAUUCACCGUUUUGGUCGCAGUCCAUAUCAAUGUCUAGAUUAUCAUCUAUAUACUGGCAGGUGCUGUCAGCUCCAUCGACUGAUUAACACAAACAUAUAUGUUUAGUACAAAUCACAACUCCAUUUACGAAACCUAACUAUUGAACAGAUGCAAAUGAGAUGUGCAGACAUACCAUAAUCAUUAUCCAGAACCUCUACCUCCUCCAAGUUUUUGGCUUUCGAUAUGAAGUUUUGGCUAUCUUCGCUAACUCUUGAAAUCCUAGCACACUUCAAAACGUACCUACCUGGUGCAAUAGGGGAGAGACUUAGUUGGGAAGAUGCAGUCAUGUCUUGGACUCGAUCAGCACACAUGAAACAAAGCAUUAUUUAGUUUGUAGCUUAGGUUAUAAUGUUUUAAAACUAAGUAGGGAAAGCAUGCUUGAAAGAAAAUGUCAGUUGGCUUACAUUGAGAAUAUCUACUAAUAUCAUUGAUAUGUACAAUCUCAAAUGCAUAGUUGUUAUUCCUUUAUUCAAGUGCACUCAGCAUUCCAAAGUCAAAUAAAAUAUUAAAUGCAAUUAAUAUCAGGUUGCAUUAUGUGUGCAUUCUAAACAAUUGCCAAAGGACAUUAUCAGUAACAACAAAUAAUAAAAAGCUAUCGAUUGGCCUAGUGGAAAAACGUUUUCCUCCAAACACAAGUGUGGUGGAAACAUGUUAGGUGUGUUGGUAUAUAGAAUGUAUACAAUGAGAUAUCUCAAUAGAUGUUUUUAUAAAGGAGUUGAUACUUGUAGAUUUGUACACUUAUGAUCUUUGUACACAUUUAAAACACAACAAACAAAACUAAGGCAUUCGAUUUGCAACAAUGACUAUAAGAGAAAAUAGCAAAUUAGAUAGAAAUCCAAUUCAAAAACAGGACGAAGAUCAAAACUGAAUUCUGAAACUUGUGUAGAACUAUAGAAUUGUAAGACACUACCAUUCUAAUAUCAAUACUAACUGGAUAUCAAUAUCAUUAAAGUAGCCUCUUCUUCCUCGUUAGAACAUGAUAUCAGCUCACCUCAACAACCACUCACCUCACCUCAACAAUCGCAAAAAUGCAACAUAAGUCACAUUUCAAAUCCCAUUAUUUCAUUUCAAAUCAAAAUUCUAGAGCAUAAUAUAUGCAGCACACAAACAAAAAAGUUUUAUAAACCCAAAAGAAAGAUAAAAAAUAUAUACUAAAAAGAACACAGAAUGUGAGAUCUAACAGGCAUGAUGCUAUUAAAGAGAAAGUGGUAGAGAUGAACCUACAAAUUGAACGCAGAAUGUGAGAUCGCAAAGAACAAAGGCACAAUUUAGUUCCAGCAGCAGCAGUUUGCAAGGAUGAAUAAAAAAACAGAAAAUAUCUUUAAGUUUGUGAUGUGCUUAAGCUAUUCUCAGGUAAUGGUGAACUCAAAGUCUAGUCUACAUGUAUAUAUAGUGACUCUGACAUGAUGACUAUAGAAGACUUGCCACAAACAUGAUUAGCAUGAGCAACCUUGCAUUUAAUUUUUGUGUCCUCAAGAGUAGAUACAAAGAUUAGUGUUUUUGUCAAAAUAUGUAGUUUUAUUCAUAAUUUCGAAAUUCUUUAACAAAAACCAGUUGUAAACAGAACAUCACCAUUCUUUUUUCCACUUUUAAUUCACAACAACACUAUUUUUUACCUAAUUAAAUAACAGAGAUAUGUGGAUUACCAUAGCAAAAAGGAAGAAAGUCUCUGGAUGUGUUCAUGUCUGUUGCUUGUUUUUUGUUACCUCAGCGAUUCAUAUCUGUUGUUUACCUAACACUGAUUUGUGAUUGAAUAGCAUUUAUAGCUAUGACUUUGAAGAGUCUUCAUAUCAUAAUUCUUCCCUAUCACUGCACAAGUCCUCAUUUUGAAUCCAUAAACUUACAUUUUCCAUCUUCUACCUCUAUAAUGAUUACAAUCUUCUAUCGAAGUCAUUGUUCUACAACUGAAAACACACAAAAAGAAAUACACAUCAAAAGUAUGCAAAAUAAUGAACAAAUACAAUACUUUACUUGCCAGUACUAAAACAAAAAUCACACUCUUUUUUUUAAGGAAAAAAAGAGUUUCAAAAAUUGGUAUCAGAAAUUGAAUUCCUUCAAGUGUUUCUGCUCAAACACACAUAGCUUUAUUCAGAGUUUCAAAAUCACUUAACAAUUUAUCUUGAUUAGACAGAACCCACCAUCCUUUUUACCAUUGUACAUUCUUGACAACAUCAUUGUUUACCCAUUAGAAAAAAAGCAAAAAAAUUAAGCAAUUUAAUGUUAACUCAUGAAUCUCGUGGAUCCUUAAAAAAACUCACGAACCUCAUGAAAGAGACAGAACCAAACCCAUAUUUUGAAAUUAAAGAAAUAGCAUAGAAUUAAAAAUAAAACAAAUUAACUACAGUUGAUUAACAAAAAAAAAAGGUGCAUAGAAUGGAUUACCUGGAGAGAAAAAUCCAACGUGUUUCCACGGAUUGAAACAGGCAUAUGGAGAUGGGGAUGAUUUUGAGCAGCAGAUUUGAAUUGGAAUUUUCUUCUCGCUCUCAAUCUCAUCAUUCUUGAAGUGGUUUCAGGUGAGGUUGCCGGAAGUGGAGGCGAUGAGGGUGAAGAAGAAGAAGAAGAAAAAAUGAAAUUUGUGUGGAGAGAAGGUGGAAUUUUAUGUGAACCGAUGAAUGUUGCCAAAGAGAAAUAGAGAGCCAUUAUUCCCAUAUUUUUUGUCUUGAUCAACCGCAUCGCCUGAUUUUGGGGAAUUGAUUAGUUAAAGGGUUUGUUAUUUACAAUGCAAACCAUCAGAAAGAUUUGAUCAAUGGCCAGGAAUGUUUGGAGCCAAAAUCAUUUAGGAUUAGGGUUGACACAUUUUCUUAACAUUGUUAUUAGUAUUAGAAAUAAGUAAGAUCAAUAAAAAAAUAUUUUAAAAAAUAGACCGCCUUUAGGCGGGACGGGGUGUGAGUUUGAGCCAGCCCCCGCCCCACCCCGUUUUUGGCGGGCUAAUAGCGGGCUGGGCCAAAACGGGGUGGACUGACCUGUAUUGCCAUCCCUACACGUUGUGCUCAUUAAUCCUACGUGGCUUCUUCAUUAAAGCUCCAUCGUGUAAUGACACAGUCCAAAUUGUCCAAAAUUUCUAAAACCAAAAUCUAACGCUGCUCGAAACAUGCCAUAAUAUAGGUUAUGUUGUGGCACAUUAUUUCCGGUAGCUGCAGCUUGCCAAAUAGCACCCAAAUUGUUCAAAAAGUAUCUCAUUACAUGAACAUAUAGCCUAUUAACAUCUUUGGCUAAAAUGAACCUAUUUCAGCAUCAAUUCAAUGCAAAAGACUCCCUAACUUGCUCAAAAAGGCAUACAACAACUAAAAUAAAGUAGUAUGAUCUAGUGUCAUUAUUUGUCGUCCAUUUGGGUCUUACAAAACUUGAUGAAUUAAUCUUCGCAGUUGCACAUGUGAAUGAUACUCAAUUUACACACAAAAAAAAGUUAUUGAUUAUAUUUGCACUAGAUCGAAGUUGAACUGACAAUCUGAACGAAACAAACACCUUAAAAGACGGAAAAGCAAAGCAAUGUCGUACAAAGACGAAAAACAAAACAACGUCGCAUUUAGACGUUCUUUAAAAAAAUGUCACACUUAGACAACAAAAUUAUGAAAAGAAAAAAAAACUAAAUAUGUGUAAAAUCACUUAUUUAAAUAAAGGGAAAGGAGAAAAAAUGAUUUAAAGGGGUGAUUUAUUGUAAAAAAAAAAAAAAGAUCAUAAAUCAUCCUGUUCGAUGUGAGUUUUCAAGUAGCUAUUGUAAAAAUUUAAUUAAUAUAUCAGAUCAAUAUACAAUUAUUUUACGGACACAAAUUAUAAAACAAAAAUUGAUCAUAAAUCAUCAUGUUCGAUGUGAGUUUUCAAGUAACUAUUGAAAACUCACAUCGAAAAGAAAUUAUACUAAUUAAACUCUUAUUAUACUUAGUUUAUUUAAAAAGAAAAAAGACAAUAAUUUCAUUAACAGUAAUUAAUUAAUUUUUUUUAUGACAAUGAGCUAAAAUGAUUAAAUAAAUUAUGUGUCAUUAGACUAUCCGAGUGAUGAUCAUAAUAGAUUUUUUUUUUUUUUAAUGAAUCAUAAUCUGUGAAGUCUGGAUACUCCAAAAUGGAGAUGUACCCACAUCGGAUACUGAUAUUUCACGGAUACGCACCCACGAAGUAUGAAUUAAUUAUUUAAAUUUUUAAAAAAUAUUCUAACGAAUAUUUAUACGAUACACCGCAUACACACAAGGAUACUUAUAAGAUACUUCAGAGAUACGUAUCGUAGAAAAAGAUGAAGAGUAAAAAAGUGAGAUAAUAUUGUAAACACUCAAUAGAGAUGUAUAUGAUUUAAAUUUAGAUAUGCAUAACUAACAUUGUUUUUCGAUGAACCACUUAAAAUUAUACUUCUUAUGGAUGAAAGUAAUGAAAGAGGUGAUUAGUUAAUCAACAUGAGAUAGAAUUUGAGUUGAGUUAUUUUAAUUAAUUUUUAUUUUUUUCAAGUAUUUUAAAUAUAUACAAGUUUUAGUAUAGAAUUUUUGUUAAUUAGAUUAGUUAUCGUAAAUUUUGAAAAAUCCAUAUAUCGGCGGAUCCGUAUUCUAUCAUUUUUUUUUUCUUUCGAGUAAGUUUAAAGCUCACGCGGAUUUCAUAACAGUGGUGAAAGUGAAAUAAAAAAACCAUUGAAUGAAAAAAAAUUAGUGACAUUUUUAUCAUAAUUUGUCGCGUGUGUAAAAAAGAGGAACCUUGUUGUUGUAAAGAUUUAGAUUUGAAGUAGCAUGAUUUCAAUGUCACAUACCAGCUCCGAUUUUUGACCUAACUCUCACGAUCUCGGUAAUCUUCCCUCUUCUUCUUCUUCUUCUUCAUCUUCAACUAUUUUCAUUUUCAUUUCCACAUUUUUUAUUAUAAAGAUUGAAUUUUGAUUUUCGUUUUAUUCGUGUUAGUGUUGGAAUUAACGGGUCAAGAUAGUGUUUAGGACUCAGUUAUGUUGAAUUUUGAGUUUAAUUUGAAAUGGGCCAUGUUCAGAUUGAUCAUUGGAUUUGUUGUUACUGUGUAAUGAUAUUGAUUUGAUCAAAAAGCGGGUUUUUAUUUUUUAUUUUUUUAUUUUUUUUAUUCUAGAUCUUUUAGGGAAUUUGUGGGUGAAGUUAAAUUGAGGGUUUUUAUUUGAGGUUUGGGUUUUGGUGGAGGAAAUAGUGAGUUACAGUUGCUGGUUAGAGUAGCAGCUUGUUCUUUGUGAAUUUUGAGUUAGUGUAAUGACGCUUUGACAAUUUGGAAAGUUGAUGCAGCGUUGGUUUGAUUUUGAUAAGUUUAUAUGUGGUUUUAAGGCGAUCGAUGAUAAAGUUGAAUUCAUUUUUGCUCUUAUAAUUUUGAACAUCUUUGCCUUCAUGUUAGUGUUGCCGAUCGCAGAUUGCGGAAAAUAGCUGUCUACAUCGAUGCUAUAUGACAAUACUUUAUGCUAAUUGUGUUUGCAUAAUAAUAGCAUUCUGUUAAAAUUCCACUAUGCUAUGAUGCUAUAGCGCCACUAUAGCUGCUAUUUGACAACACUGCUUCAUGUUUACGUGUUCUUGUACGAAUGUAUUAUUCACCACUGUUUUUAUGUAUUAUUCACCAUAUAUACAGUGCCUUGAUGAAUUUCUCUGGAGUUUUAGUUGAUUCUAAGCUGAGUUUCAUAUUUUAAACUUUGUUGAGAUUAAAAUUUUUGUGUGGCUUAUGCUUUACUUUGACAUGUGGAUAUCUAUAUUGUUCUAUGUUAGUUGUCGGAUUCAACAUUGUUUAUCCUUGGGCUAUGUUUCAUUUCUGAAAAUUCUAUUGGUAAACAUCAAAUAGGUUUGCUAGGCAAAAUGGCACAUGCGAAGUUGCAAAUGCAAACUGAUAUCAAUGCAAUGGAAGAGGAAGCUGGGCAGUGUGGUGUUGGAUACCUUAGCAGAACUAGUGUGGCAUGCAUGAUCAAUGCAGAAAUUGGUGCUGUUUUGGCGGUCAUGCGAAGAAAUGUUAGAUGGGGUGUUCAUUAUAUGUCGGAUGAUGAUCAAUUGGAGCAUUCCCUUGUUCAAUCUUUAAAGGCAUUAAGGAGGGAAAUUUUUUCUUGGCAGAGUCAGUGGCAUGUCAUAAACCCCGUCUUGUAUCUCCAGCCUUUUCUGGAUGUGAUUCAAUCUGAUGAAACUGGUGCACCAAUUACUGGUGUUGCUCUGUCGUCUGUUUACAAGAUUUUAACUUUGGAUGUAAUUGAUCAAAACACUGUCAAUGUUGGGGAUUCCAUGCACUUGGUAGUCGAGGCUGUUACAAGUUGCAGAUUUGAGGUGACGGAUCCAGGAUCCGAAGAAGUGGUGUUGAUGAAGAUACUGCAAGUUCUUCUUGCAUGUGUAAAAAGUAAAGCAUCUGUGAUGCUAAGUAACCAACAUAUAUGCACCAUAGUAAACACUUGUUUCCGUAUAGUUCAUCAGGCGGGAACCAAAAGUGAGUUAUUGCAGAGGAUAGCGCGCUACACUAUGCAUGAACUUGUCCGCACAAUUUUCUCUCACCUCCAAGACAUUGAUGUCACAGAGCAUGCUUUGGUAAAUGGAAGCACCGCUUUAAAGGAAGAGGUAUAAAUAUUGUGUUACCUUUGCCCUGUUUCUUGCAAUCAUCUUCUAUUUUUUUGUGACCAUUCCAUCAAUUGCUACUUUUUAGCGAGGAACAUGAUUAUGAGGAAUAAUAUGGACCUUAUUGUGGGGUUACAAUUCAAAUUUAUGCUAAAUUUUUUGUUACGAUGAUGUUUUUAUUCAUUUAUUGUUGGCUGACAAAUCAUAAAUCAUUGAAACUUACAAUAUUUUCUCUUCUUACAUUAUUAUUAAUCACUUCUUUCAAUUUUCUAAUUUCCAUUAUUUAUUAUCGGAGAAAACUCAGGUGCAUUUCUUUAGGUGCUUUUUAUGCUUUUCUUAACUACUCAUGAUUUCUUCAAACCCAUAAUUUUCUCAAAGUUUGUUUUAACCAUAAUUUUCUUCAAACUUAAGUGUGUUUUGAGAAAAGAAGGAAAAGCUCCUAAGAUAAAGGCACUUUUGUCCUUUAUUAUUCCCCUACAAAUAUGGUGAUAUUUUUGGAUUUAAGUAUAUCAUACAAUGUUUGAUCAGCUUAUUAAAACCUAGCUUCUGACUAAGUUUGUAGUCUGGCCUAAAAUGAACUAAGACCUGCCUUACUGAUUUCCCCUCAAAUGUAGGAAUGAGUCUAAUGAUUGAGUUAGUAUUGUUUUAGAUCAAGACCUUGAAAUGUUUUAGGUAGAUUCUCUAGAUUAUACCAGGAAAGAAGGAAAUAUUUUGGGAGUAAUAUUAUUUAGACAUGCUUACUGAACACAUCCAAGAGACGGUGUCACAAUGCCUUCUUUCUUCAGAUAAUAUAGUUUUAGUUAGAAAUCAAGAGAAAAAGUAAAUAGGAAGUUAAAGAUAUGGGGACAAGCCUGUGAAAACACGAUUUCAGGUAAAUCAGUAUGUCAAAUGCAAGUUUAGCAAGAGACUAACAUCUAGCUUAGAGGAAAAAAAUUGUGGAACCAUCAUGCACAAUGAUGGGGAGAUAGAGGGAGAUAUCAAACCAUAGGAUAUAGGCAAGGAUGGCUAAAAUACAAGAAUGCUUUAGGAGUGAUUUGUGAUUGAAAAAUACCACUCAAGCUCAGAGAGAUAUUAUAUCUAUAUCACACAUUUGUAAAACCUGCAUUGUUAUACGACGAGACUAGAUGUUGGGUUGUAAAGAGUCACUAGAAAGUAAACUCAGUGACGCAGAAAUAGAAUGGUAUGAUGGAUUAGUGCUGCGCUAGACAGUAGAAAUAGAAAUGCAAUCAUCAGAGAGAAAACUGUGGUAGCUUCCAUCGUAAAAGAGAUGGUAGACUGUUGUCUUGGGUGAUUUAGACAAGUUUGGAGUUAGGUUAUCAAGAGUUCGCUAUAAUGGUUGAAGACUUCAGUAGAGUGGUUUAGAGGUGUGCUAUAGGGUAAUAUAAGGGGUUGAAAGAAAAUACCAUGAGCAGCCUUUGUUGUUUUUGAAGCUGCCAUGUGACCCUAGCCUCCUCUCCACCAGCCCCAACCUUUUUAUUUUCUACCUCUUUUUUGGGCAAAAGACCACCAUCCAAAGUUCAAUUAGCUGUGCUUUUCUGCUCUUUAAGUAGAAUAUUUAUUUGAAUUUUUAAUGUUUAGUUACUUUAAUUUAAGCCUUAGAGCUUAAACUUGUUGAAUUCCUUAACUUAUGUUGGUAUUUACUUCUAUGUUUUCCUUAAUACCUGUGAGUUUCUUUAUUAAUUACUUAUGAAUAUUUCAUGAAACACAAGUAAUUCUUUUAAUUCUUCAGCAUUUAUGUGUAUAAUUCUUCAGUAUUAAAAAUUUAUUAAGACUUAAAAAAUACCUAAUAGAUGUCAGCUCGCUAUGCGCUAUCCUGCUUUAGUGUUUUUGGGGUCGGCCACCAUUAGAGUUGAUAACCACAGUGUGUAGAAGACUGGUAGAGAGAUUGGUUAGGAGGGUUGAUUAGAUGAAGUAUAAUCCGAUAGUUAGCAGUGUUGUCAAAUAUUGGCUUUCCGCCAUGGCCAAUUUUGUUAAGGAUAGUGGCGCCAUUUGUCGGCCGGUAUAUCGGAUUUCUGGCUCUCUGCCAUGGUCCGCCAUCUUCCAUUGACCAGUGGUGGAGCCAAGAAUUUUUUUAUGAGGGGGCCAUAAUUUUAAAAUAUAUAUUUAAUAUGUCACUAUAAUUUUAAUCUACAGCUACAUGUCAAGUGGUUUGGAUGUUUGUAUUUUGCAACCCAAACCAUGGUUCAAUACUUGCAAUUUACAGCAUUUUCAUGGCAUUUUUUGUAUAAAAAUACAAAAAAUACUGCUGAUAGGCUAAAAAUGACCAAACUGGAGGAUCGGACACACGACCUAAAGCUUAUAUGUGAGUUGCAUGACCACUGCGCCGGACUACAUAUGAUGGAUAUGUUAUGUAAACGUUAGUAUAUAUAAUAUAACAAUUAGAUAAAAUGUGUUUAUAUAUCUACUAAAAAUGAAAUUUUUGAGACUUUGGGGAGGCCCUGGCCCUCCCUAGUCCCCCUGGCCCCGCCUCUGCUAUUGACAACACUGAUAGUGGCAAAAGGAGACUGAGAAAAACCCUUAGAAAAGACUUAGUUAAUUAUCUAUUUUUGGACAUUCUACUACUUGAUUGGCUAUUAUGACAUCAUUUUUAAUGUAGCAACCCUUAAUAUGCAGCAUUUUUACCCCUGUUAAACUUGGGCAUAAUAAUAAACCUAAAUGAGGAAAUUUCUACAACUUCCCGUAGUCCGCAUAAGUCAGGCAGAUUUUGAGUAAACUAACAAGGGGGACCAUUGUGAAAGAUUUAACGAUGAGUAGGGCUUAACUUAAUUGAUAUUUUCAUUCUUGCAAAAAAUCGGAAAAGCAAUUUCUUUUGAAGAAAAGAAGGGGUUAAUACCUCCUCACCUAUAAGGCAGUGCCACCCCUGCAUGUUGUAUGCUAUAGGACUUCAACUGUAUCACAAUUACCCUAAAAUUUCCUAAAGUACUCAAUAGAAUCCCUAAAUUUAAAAUCUAUGAAAAUUUCAUGAAAAUGAUAAGAGACCUAGAAAUGUUAUGUUGACAAUUAUUUGGUUCUCCAACACCGUAUAUAUACUGUAUAAGUACUGUUUCAUUUUUUAAUUAGUUGUUUCUCUCUCUCUCUCUCAUAGUCCCACUCACAUCAAUGUUAUAAACUGUUUAUUUUUAUACGGUUUGUCAAAUAGUUGUUGAUUUUUAGAUGUUCAAAUAACAAUACUCUAAAUAUAACUGUCCAUGUCUUUUCCUGCACCACGUUCUUGUUGGCUGUUGCACCUCCAUAUAUGGGGAAAAACAUUAAAGAGAGUAAUUGUUAGAGUUCGUGUAUGUAAGUAAGAGGUUUCUUAAUGUAUGCAAAUACUGAUAUUUUUAUGGUCAAUGCUGCAAAUUUUCAAAGGGAUGCUUUUAAUUGUCAUAUAAAUCAAACUGAUCUACUGAUGCAAAAUUUGACAGCGAGAACAUGUAUGAACAUGUGUAUCUAAUAACUGAUAGCUUUUUAUUUUUUUGACAGAUUGAUGGGCAAAACAUUGAGCAUAAUUCUAUGCACAAUCAAUUGGAAAAUGGUAGUUUGAUUUCAGCAAGUGAUAGUCAAUCUGUAUCCACAGACAUUGCUUCCAAUACUGUUAGUGAUGUAGCAGCAGUUAUAGUGGAUGCAAACACAGCUACGAGCAGUGGCAAGGAGACUGAUCUUAAUAAACAGCUCAUGAAUGAACCGCAUGGGAUUCCCUGCAUGCUGGAAAUAUUUCGCUUCUUAUGUUCACUGUUGAAUGUUGGUGAGCAUAUGGGAAUGAGUCCUCGAUCUAACACAAUAGCAUUUGAUGAAGACGUUCCCCUUUUUGCUUUAACGUUGAUUAAUUCAGCCAUAGAGUUGGGAGGUUCUUCCUUUCACCUACACCCUAGAUUGUUGAGCUUAAUUCAGGAUGAAUUAUUCUGCAAUCUUAUGCAAUUUGGUUUGUCAAUGAGUCCCCUUGUACUUUCUAUGGUAAGUAGCAUUGUUUUAAAUUUGUAUCACCAUCUUCGUACAGAAAUCAAGUUCCAGCUAGAAGCAUUUUUUUCUUGUGUAAUUUUGAGACUUGCACAAAGCAAAUACGGGGCUUCAUAUCAACAGCAGGAAGUAGCCAUGGAGGCACUUGUUGACUUCUGCAGGCAAAAAGCAUUCGUGGUGGAGAUGUAUGCUAACUUUGACUGUGACAUAACUUGCAGUAAUAUCUUUGAAGAUAUUGCUAAUUUGUUAUCCAAGAGUGCAUUUCCUGUGAACAGUCCAUUAUCUUCCAUGAAUAUUCUUGCUUUGGAUGGUCUUAUUGCUGUCAUACAAGGAAUGGCUGAAAGGAUAGGUAACGGAUCUUUGAGUUCAGAACAUUCUGUUGUGAAUCUUGAAGAGUAUACUCCAUUUUGGCUUGAAAAGUGUGAAAAUUUCAAUGAUCCAAAUGAUUGGGUUCCUUUUGUUGGUCGAAGAAAGCACUUCAAGAAAAGAUUGAUGAUUGGCGCCGAUCAUUUUAAUCGUGAUACUAAGAAAGGUCUUCAGUUUCUUCAAGGAACACAUCUUUUGCCUGACAAGCUUGAUCCCCAAAGUGUUGCCUUCUUUUUCAAAUACACUACUGGGUUGGAUAAGAAUCUUAUUGGGGAUUACCUUGGAAACCAUGAUGAGUUCUGUGUUCAGGUUCUUCAGGAAUUUGCUAGGACAUUUGAUUUUAAUGACAUGGCAUUAGAUACAGCCCUGCGAAUAUUUUUGGAGACUUUCAGAUUGCCUGGAGAAUCACAGAAGAUCCAGAGGGUGCUUGAAGCAUUUUCUGAGAGAUAUUAUGAGCAGUCACCGCAUAUCCUAGCUAACAAGGAUGCUGCUCUUUUGUUAUCAUAUUCAAUUAUAAUGCUUAAUACAGACCAGCACAAUUCACAGGUCAAAAAGAAGAUGACAGAAGAAGAUUUUGUCCGAAACAAUAGGCGAAUAAAUGGUGGCAAUGAUCUACCUCGGGAAGUCCUGUCCGAACUAUAUCAUUCAAUUUGUAAAAAUGAGAUCCGUACAACUCCUGAGCAAGGUUCUGCUUUUCCCGAAAUGACCCCGAGUCGUUGGAUUUAUCUCAUACACAAGUCAAAAAACACAGCUCCCUUCAUUGUUUCUGAUUGCAGAGCACACCUUGAUUAUGAUAUGUUCUCCAUUAUGUCUGGUCCAACAGUUGCAGCCAUUUCUGUGGUAUUUGAUAAUGCUGAAACUGAAGAGGUGUACCAAACAUGCAUGGACGGAUUCUUAGCUGUUGCAAAGGUAUCAGCUUAUUAUCAUCUUGAAAGUAUACUAGAUGAUUUGGUUGUGUCACUUUGCAAGUUUGUUACUAUUUUGGAUCCGUUAUCUCCCGAGGAGUCAAUCUUAGCCUUUGGAGAGGACACAAAAGCAAGAAUGGCAACUGAGACUGUUUUCACUAUUGCCAAUAGGUAUGGUGAUUACAUUCGUACAGGGUGGAGGAAUAUUCUUGAUUGCAUCUUAAAAUUUCACAAGUUAGGUCUUCUUCCUGCUCAAAUGGCCAAUGAUGCGGCCGAAGAGUCAGAGCCUUCCACAGAAACUGGGAAUGGGAAGCGUUAUGCUAACUCUUUAUCUUCAUCUCAGCUUUUAUCUGUUAAUACUCCAAAGAGAUCGUCGGGAUUUAUCAGCAGGUUUAGUCAACUCUUAUACCUUGGUGCUGAAGAGACAAGAUCAGAACCAUCAGAAGAACAACUUGCUGCUCAGCAGUGUUCCCUUCAGACAAUUCAGAAGUGUCACAUUGAGAGCAUAUUUACUGAGAGUAAAUUUUUGCAAGCUGAAUCUCUAUUGCACCUUGUUAAAGCACUCAAAAGCGCAGGAGUGAGACCUAAGAAAGGGAAUGGCACAUCUGAGGAUGAAGAUACUUCAGUCUUCUGCCUGGAGUUACUUGUAGCAAUCACUCUGAAUAAUCGAGAUAGAAUUGAACUUCUUUGGCAGGAUGUUUAUGAGCAUAUUUCCAAUAUUGUGCAGUCCACUGUGAUGCCUUGUACACAGGUAGAGAAGGCUGUUUUUGGACUCUUGAGGAUUUGCCAUCGCUUACUUCCCUACAAAGAGAACAUGACCGAUGAACUUUUGAGGUCCCUGCAACUUGUCCUGAAGCUUGAUGCCCGUGUUGCUGAUACAUACUAUGAGCAGAUUACACAGGAAGUUAGUAACCUUGUGAAAGCAAAUGCUUCUCAUAUCAGAUCUCAGUUAGGAUGGCGGACGAUAACAUCACUGCUUUCUAUUACUGCUAGACACUUGGAAUCAUCUGAGGCUGGAUUUGAUGCAUUGUUUUUCAUUAUGUCAGAUGGAGCCCACAUACUUCCAUCUAAUUUUGCUCUCUGUGUAGAUGCUGCAAAGCAAUUUGCCGAAUCUCGUGUUGGACAGGUUGAGCGGUCUGUAGUGGCACUUGAUCUAAUGGCAGGGUCUAUCAAUUGUUUUGAGAAGUGGGCAAACGAUGCUAAGCAAGCAACGACAGAAGAAAUGGCAAAGAUGUUGCAGAAUAUUGAGGACAUGUGGUUGAGGCUCGUACAGGGACUAAAAAAACUAUGUAUGGACCAGAGAGAAGAGGUUCGAAACCACGCGUUGUUAUCAUUGCAGAAUUGCUUAACAGCAUCAGUUGGAAUUCAUCUCCCACAUGACUUGUGGUUACAAUGUUUUGACCAAGUAAUCUUCACCGUGCUGGAUGACCUGCUUGAAAGUUCUCAGACGCACUCUCCAAAGGACUACCGGAACAUGGAAGGAACACUUAUUCUUGCCUUGAAGCUCCUGUCUAAAGUUUUCCUCUUGUUACUCCAAGACCUAUCACAAUCUACAGACUUCAGCAAAUUGUGGUUGAAUGUUUUGAAUCGUUUUGAAAUAUUUAUGAAGGUCAAAAUUAGGGGAAGGAGAAGCGAGAAGUUUCAAGAGCUUGUCCCUGAGCUUAUGAAGAACACUUUGCUUGUUAUGAAAGCAAGCCAUGUACUAGAGCAAAGCAGUAGUAGUGGUGAUGAAAAAAGUUUAUGGGAACUGACGUGGGUACAUAUAAAUAAUAUUGCCCCAUCAUUACAAUCCGAGGUGUUCCCCGAGCAAGAGGCUAAGCAAUUGGAGCAGGAAAAGGCUGAACAAGUUGGAGAUAGAGGGCCGGCUGAAAAUGUUUCUGCACCUUCUAGGGCUGGAAAUGAGUUGAGUUGAAUUGAACUCAUCUGAGCUUGACUCGACUCGAUAAGAAUUGGCUAGGGUAGAGCAGUGGGUGGGCUCGGCCGGGCUUGGGCCUGAACUUGCCAAGAUGGAUGUAACCGUUCACCAUAUUGCAAGGCCCGAUUCCGACCACAAUCACACAUGGUUUAGACGAGUCUCGGUUUCGACGGUUUACAGUUUGCAUGGGUGGGUUGGAUCAGUUGUGGGCCUUCUUCAAAUGGGCCUGUUUGUUUUUUAUUUUUAAAAUUUGUCCAUAUUUUUGAAGUCAUUUUUUAAGCCUAGCUGAUAAAAAAAACAAUUUAAAGAUACAUUGUAGUUACUAGUCUUGAAAUGAUCCAAUGAUAUAAAUUUAAAUACACAUCUUUCUCGAAAAAAAUGGAAAUAAAACAUGGCAUUUUAAGAAAAUACUACUAGUCAUUAUAAGAGCAACAUCCAUUGGUUUUGGCAGUGCACUUGUGCAGUAGAUAUUUAAGUCUUAGCAUCAACAUACAAUUCUAGCAAUACAAUCCAUAUGCUACUAUCAGAGCAACACCAAGUGUCCUUAAUAGAUAAUAAGCUGAACCUAAUAAUAUUUGUUUUGUCCCUGCUUGAUUUGGACCACAUUCACACAAGUUUAGUAGUCAUACCAAAUCUAAUCCGCCAUUGAAAUAUAUUACAUUCCAAAUAAGAAAAGUUUAGGGAAAUCAAAACAUGGCAUUAACAUUUUCCCAUGGUUCUUUACUGCUAGUGCCAACAUUGUUCCAACAAUUCCUGCAAAAAAUGAGAUAUCAAUAAAUUAAGUUAAGAAAUAAACCAUCAGUGCACACUUGUAUGAUACUGGCAUUAAAUUGUUAUGUCAUCCUUAACAUAUGUAGCUUAGUAUAACAAUCAAACAUAUAUUACAUCAGUUAAUCACCUCAUUUGAAACUUGUAUCCAAACCCUGAAGAAACAGGUGCAUAUCUCCAACUCCAACAUCAGCCUGUUAAAAUCAAAGAAGAAAAUGUUCCAUUACUCAUGAAUCUUAAACAAGUAGAAUCUAGUAUUUCAAGGAAUAGAGAAUUAAAUUUCAAUCAACAAAACUACAUUACCUCAAAGCGAAGUUCUAAUUUCUAUAUCUCAAUUAUCAUAAAGAACAAUUCGUUUUGUAUAUAUUCUAUUGAAAAAUCCCAAACAUAUAAAAUCAAUUUCAAAUCUUUAAAAACACUUUGUGCUCUCCCCAAAAGUGAAUCAAAACCUAUACUAACUUCACUUCUCAUCACAUUCAUUUUGUAUAUAUCUUAAAAACAUAAAUUACUACUAUAAGCUCAAAGUAGAAAACAAUUAAAUAAGACUUUCUGCAUAACAGAUUAGUUGCUGUAAUGGUACAGAGUUAUAAAUGAGCUAUAUACUUCAUGCACAUGCACACAGUACAUAUAUACUGCAUUUACCAAAGGAAAAAACUAGUGUCAUAUUAACAUAAGUCAACACUAUUACCAUAUAUAUAAGGUUGAUGGAACCUUCAAAAAUUUAUUUAGUUUUGCAGUAUUUCUCAAUUCUUGCUAUCAUAACCGUUAUUUUCUUCAUCCGUGUGAAUAAAAUCUGAUACAAGACAGUUUCUUAAAAGAGACCCCACUAGACCUUUUGUAUCUCACCAAGAAAAAGAAGAAAAAAAACUAAAAACAAAUAGUAGCUUCUUCACUAAACAAAAGCCAAAUAAAUAGACACAACUUAUAAACAUAACUUUAUAUCUGGUCAUUAUCUAUGAUCACUCAUAGAUUCCUAAGCUGCAAAAAUAUUCCUAAAUAUGUUAGGUAUAGUAGUGUCAAUAUAGUCUCUAAAUAUAUUGAAAUUAUAAAAAUAUCCCCUUGUUCUGACUUUUCUUGAAAAUUUUAUGAACUAAAUGGACUAACAAAAGACACGUUCGAGGAUAAAAAUAACUAAUGAAAGACAUAAUCGAUGAUCAAACUAAAAACGAAAGACGCAUUUAUGUAUGUACGUUUUUAUAAUUUAACACAUUCAGAGACUAUUGCGACAUCACCUCACAUCUUUAAGGACUAAAAAUAAAACUACUGUUUACUCAAGUAUAUAUACAUGGACAAGGUCACCCCCUUAAAUCAUUUAUAUUCCCUUCACUCUCUCUUGCUUCACUUCAUUGCUUCUUAUUUCCACAUAGUCCUAUAGCUAUUUUCUCUCAAUUAAUUAAUACUCUCUCAACUAUAGUAAAUUUAACUUUUACUGGCAUGGAGGGAUCUUACUCUGAUCAGUACUGGUUUUGGACGAAGAGAAGGCAAGUUCAAGCACCAAUUGAAUCAUGGGAAGAAAAGGCUUUUGCAGAAGAUGCAGCUAGGAAUAUACUGAAUGGUAGCAUGUGGCCACCAAGAUUUUAUUCAUGUAACUUUUGUAAAAGAGAGUUUAGGUCUGCUCAAGCUCUUGGUGGUCACAUGAAUAUUCAUAGGAGAGAUAGAGCUAGGCUCAAACAAAAUCUUAGCCCUCAGAAGAACAAUGAUUUGAUUAACUCAUCACUAGGUAAUCAUUAUUUUUCUGCAAAAAUGUCAUCAAAAAUAGAUUGUAAUUAUCAUCAACUUAAACCUUGUUCUAGAAGAAGGUCCCUCUCACCUUCUAGAAUUGUCUCAACUAUUGUCAAUGCUAGAGAAGACAAUUUUUUAGAUUGUAAUGAUUGUGUUGAAACAAGUUUGUCUUUAGGAAUGUUUGGACAAAAAUCAUCAACUGUACUUCCUUGUGAGGAAAAAGGUAUCAAUUGUAAGAGAUUGAAGACUAAUAACAUUUCUUCAUUGCCUUCUGUUUUCCUCAAGACAUGUUCAAAUGAUCAUCAUAGGUUCCUGGCUUUUCAACAACCUUCAGAAAUUGUACUUGGACUCGAUCAUGGAAUGGAAGAUUUAGAUCUUGAACUCAGGUUGGGGAAACAACAGAAAAUUAUUAAGUAGUUUAUUGUAUUUGGGCACAACUUAUGAUUUCUGAAGUUGUAUUAAUUAAUGGAGUUGCUUCAAUGCUUCUCCUAGCUCCUUCUUUUUUUUUUUUUUUUUUCUUGGGUAAUUUUUAACUAGGUUUUUAGAUAAAUGGCAAGAGAAACCUUUUCUUUGCCUAAGCAAACAUUGACUAUAAUGAGUAUCUUCAAAUGUUUGGAUAUUAAUUUUAUUUCUCUUUCAAGUUAAUUGCAACCUUUGUUUUUUCUUCAACAUGUUAUGGAAUUGUGUUAUCUCAUUUUUUCUGUUUGAGAUAUUAAUUACUAUAUAUAUAGCAAGGUUAACUGCAUGUGGUUCAAUGACUCAAAAAUGACAAUGGAAAAUACAAUUUACACUCAAAAUUAAUAUUUUUUUUACAAGCUAAGUACAUUUUGUUGAAAGGAUUGACUAAUAUAAUGCACAAGUUGUUCUGAAGAGAUUAUAAGAAACAAUGAAAUUGGAGUUUUCCUGCAGAAUAUAUAUAUUAUAUAUAAUCAGCCGCCUAUAACAACCAAAAACAUAUCCAAAAAUUGAAAAAUUAAAAUAAAGAGUGCAAGUAGAAGCCAAACAUAAAAAUUAAAGCAACACUACAAGACUCAAAAUUACUUGUUAAAGAGCUAGGGUUUCUUUGAAGGGUGAGGCAAAGAAAGAUGAACAAGAGGAAUAGCUCUAGAAUAAACUAAACUUGGAUUUUUCUUUUCUUGAAAAAAAUAAAUAAUAUGCAAGUGGAAAUUUGUUAUUAUUAUACUAUUUAUCUUUAUUUCAUAUAGAAAUAUGAUGCAUCCAGUAAACUGAAAGUUUAGAUAGGAAGCAGAGAGAGAGAGGGAAUGUAAAGUUUAAACUGGAAGGUAUAUUGAAGUGGUGAAAGAGACUGACGACAGUGUAAACUGACAACAUGAAAUCACUUCAGCUACAUACAUUCCAGCUAACUAACAGUAGAAGUCCCCACAUGUAUAACCUGGAUAAAUAAUCAAUAACCUCCUUCUUCCUUGAUUAUCACUAAUAAGUUAGCUAGCUAGGGAGAUAUUUUUGUAUAAAUAUAUUAACUAUCUAUUAUAGUUCAAAGUUACUAAAAUAUUGACAAUGGUUGUUAGUAAAUAAUAUAUUCGGGUUUGUCUAACGUAGGCGCACGUAACAUGAACCUCUAAAAAAUGGUUUAAGACAGAGUGUGAUCUCACCGUUAAAAUUCACUAUUGUAUUAGGUCUUUAAUUUAUACGCAUAUUGAAUCGUUAGGGUUUUUUGAUUCUCUUCUGCAUGCUAGAAUAUAUUGACGAAUUAACCGUUAAAACUCACUUGCACUUUUUUAAGUUGUUUGGAUCCAACAAGAAUAAUGAUGAGAGAUCACCGACAUAAUUCAUUCCCUUAUGUUGAAUUAUAACAUUGGAGAAUGUAAAUUCAUAGUUGAUGAUGAAUUGUGAAUCAAUAUCUACAUCGACUCUUGAACAACUCCAAAUUGUGCACGGUGCAACAUGAACAUGUCAAACCUACUUAUUAGUUUCACAUCACCUACGUUGUCUUUAAUAACAUCACCUCAUUUAUGUCACGUAGAUAACUCGGUUGGUGAACUAAGACACGUUAAGAUCUAUAAUUCAAAUUUUGAAACUAAUGUAACAACUAACUUGACAACAAUUUACUGUUAAAAAGAAAAUAACUCAUCUCAUUUUAUCCUAAUAAAUUGUAAACCCUAGAGUUAUCUUCCACAUGACAUAAUUCAUCCUAACACAUCCAAAAACCCAACUAAUCACACAUUGGAUUGAAUAUUACUUAUAUAAAAAUAGAGAGGAAUUAAUAUAGUUUGACAAAUAGAGAGAAAGGACAAAAGAACAUCACAUCAUUUAGCCUAUAGUAAAUUAAACGCGUCCUUUGUUUUUAGUCUUGGAAUGGAUAUAUAUACAUAUACAUAUUCAUGACAUUUUAUAGAUGUAGCUGUUACACAUAAAAGCUGGAAUGAAGCCUCCCAAAAAGACCAACCACCUAGGAACCUAAAAAUGUCCAAAAUUUUGCUUAUGUUUGGAAUCCCAAGAUUGUUAUUGUUAUAGUAAAGCAAAAUAAAAACAGUGAUAGCCACCUUAUUAUACAUAAUAUUAUGACAUCGACCGUUCCUCCAUAAUAAACGGCGACGUCACACCCUCUGAUUUUUCAAUGUAUAUUAAUUUGAUGAAAUAUCACAUUUGACUUGUUUUAUGUUGUUUACAAUGUUAGAUAGAUUACUAGUAGUAGAUAGAUGCAUUGGUGUAUACGAGGGGAAUUCAGGUACCCUUUCACAAUAUUUAUUUUGUCCUAUUUUUGGGAUGUACUUUUAUUUAUUCACUUGCUUCUACCUGUGUUCACAUGGUAACAGGAAAUUAAUUGGUAUAGAGAAUAUUGUGGGAGGAGGAUGGAUCACUCAGUACUUUGGUUGUGAGGAAGCAUCUAACUUUAUGCAUCUGAUUAAAUGUUGGAUAUCAAAGUGGCAAAGUGAGUUAUACUAUUACACAUAAAUAAAUUAUUAAAUGAAUAAAUGAUAGUAUAACUAUUAGAAAAAGUUGAAAUAACUACGAAAAUUUAGAAAUAGAAAAAUUGCAAAUUGUCUUUGAUUUUUUUUUGCUAAUAUUACAUAUCCCAAAUUUUUUGGAUAUCAUAAGUUUAUAUGCAUGUUUAAUAUUACGGUAAAUUUUGACGAUGAGAUAUAAUAAUUUUGCAGAAACUAUACUUUUAAACUUUUACAAAAUUACGAUAACUCACUGUAAUUUUAAUAAAUCGGCUAUAAUAUCAAACAUACAUUAAAAAAAAAAGAAGUAUACAAGUGAAACCUAAUGAAUUAUAUAAUAUUUGGUGAGAUCACCAACAUAAGUCACUCAUAUUGAAACUUAGUAGUAUGAGAGAAUCCAAAUCUGGUGGAUAUUUAGAUUUAUGGUUAGAGUUUAAUGCAGUUGAGAUAAUGAGAGGAGUUCAUCAGAAACUAGAGGUUGAUCUGACAAAUAGAAGGUACCUAGCACGUGUGUGACUAUGCAUUAUGGCAAUGAAAACAACUAAACAGACAUUUCAUCCUAUAAUUAAUCUACUCAUUGGUUAUGAAAGUAACUUUGACAUAUGACACUUCACAAGCUUAUUCUCCUUCACUCUUUCCUAGAUAGAAACCCCAAUACUCAAAUAAGCAUGUUAUACAACGUUCCAAACAGAGUAAUUUUGGAACUCUUUAAUAUUUUUACCAUUAUUUUUUAUACCAGGGCAGAGGCACUGAUCAUCUACAACCUGACAUACACGUGAUGCCAUUUUGUACAAUACUAAUAAAUCACACACUUAACAAAAUUGUUAUAUAUCUCACUACAAGUGAUUGAUGUUUGUUUUAGUUUGACAUGCAAGUUAGUUAGUUAUUGUUUGAUUUAGUUUGAAUUCAUAAAUAUUGGAUUAUUUUUGUUAAAGGAACAAGGUUUAUAUAUAACUUUUAUAUACUUCAAAUAAUUCCAAUUUUUAUUAGAGGAGGUUUUGAGCUAAUUUUUUUUUUUUGUCCGGAUCCGGAAUUUACUCUCUCUUAUUCCCUCUUCAUUAGUUUUUGGAAGGGUUGAUUAUGUUUUAGGUCCCUAUAAAUAGGCGUGUUUCCAACAUUAAUUUCUACUUAAAUUUUAUUAAAUUUUUGGUCCCUUAUGUUUUUUUUUUCUUUUUCCGUUAGCAAAAUAGGUCCUCGCUGUUAAUUGUUGCUGAUUGAGCAAACGGAAGCACACGUGGAUGUCACAUCUGACUUUUUUCUGUUGGUUAAAUAUGUUUUUAGUCCUUAUAAAAUUGAGCCAUUUUAAGUUUAGUCCUUACUUAAUUUUAAUAGUUGUUUUAGUCCUUACAAAAAUACUAUGCAUUCAAUAUUAGUCUCUGCUCAAUUCAAAUUUGUUUAAUUUAUUCUUAUACUCUUAAGUUGUUUAACAAUUUUUUGUAGACGUGUUAAGAACAUUACUAAAUGUUCCGCCGCAAAAUUUGAUUUAUAUGUCCAUAUUUUAUUACUUUUAUCUUUAACUUUUAUUGUUUUUAAAAAUUCAUAUUUAAUUUGUUUCAUGUUAAAAAAAUUCUAAAUUUUAUUAAUUGAACCUUUCAUAGUGUUCUAAACUUGUCUCAAAAAAUUCGUUCAAAAAUUUAAGAAUUUAAGGAUAAUUAAACAAACUUUGUUUUAGUAGGGACUAAAAUUAGAAGUUUUUUUUUUUUUUUUAACAUACUGAGUUUAAACAUAAAUUAAACAAAUUUAAAUUGAGCAAGGACUAUAAUACUGAGUGCAUAGUAUUUUUGUAAGGACUAAAACAACUAUUAAAAUUAAGUAAGCAGUAAACUUAAAAUGCCUCAAUUAGGGACUAAAAACAUAUUUAACCCAACAAAAAAAACCAGAUGUGGCAUUCACGUGUGCUUCACCGUUUGCUCAAUCAGCAACAAUUAACAGCGAGGACCUAUUUCGCUAACGGAAAAAAACAUUGGGACCAAAAAUUUAAUAAAAUUUAAGUAGGAAUUAAUGUUGGAAACACGCCUAUUUAUAGAGAUCUAAAACAUAAUUAACCCUUAAUUUUUCACUUUAAUUUAAGCAAGUGGUUUUUAAAUAUAUUUGGUUUUCUUACGUUCUUUAUAUGUGAUUUUUUAGCAUGAGUGUUUUGUUGAUUUGUUCAUCGUGUUUAUGCAGUGUUGAUAGAUUUUUCAUCUUGCAGCGAUGUUCGUUAGGUUUAGAUUAACAUAUAUUUUUUUUCAAAUUAUUACAUAUUCAAUCAAUAACUUGGAGUUUAAUUUAAAGUCAUGAGUAUUUUGAUCACUUUAAUUUUGUUAGAUUUAUCAUUUGUUGGCAUUUUAACGAUUUAUGCUAUUAACUUAAGUUAUGAAUUUGUUUGUAGCAUUUUCUUUUCUUGCAAUGUUAAAUUUGUUUUGUUUUGCUUUCUUUGAGAGGUUGUUUUGUUUUUUUUAUGUAUUCAACCCAAUUUGAGUGAAUGAAAAUUUUAUUGAGUAAAGAAAGACAAUGGGGAUCAUUCAUCAAGCUUAAGAAGCUCGUGAGUUAGAAGCAUCAAAUAAGGUCAGUGUGAAAAGUUCAAAUUCUAGAUCCUUAUUUUAGGUAGGGUUUUUACUUUUACCUAAACACGACUCUGACUAGGUAAUUAGUCUCACUUGCUAGCAUGUAUUUAUUUAUAUGAAGAAAAUAUAGUAGUUGCAUCAAAAUUAUCUAAUAAAUCAACUCAUCAAUUCAUAUUACAUAUUUUGUCUUAUUGCAAGAGAAAUCUCCUGUAGACCUUUGGCAUCCAUCAGACCAAAAAUUGCCGCUUCUUGAAAAACAGGAAGAUGUCAAAAUCUUUGAAAUAUUUCAAUGAGACUAUGUUUAGUUAAGAAGUCGGUAUCAUAUAACACUUUUUUUAGUAAAUUUUUGUCAACCAUAAGGUGUGCCAUAUAGAAAAUCAAAACGGAGUCAAAAGUUACAAAAUCGAAAUGAAAACAAAAAUCCAAACACAACUUACAUGGUGGCAUAGCUAUACAAACUCACGGGUUAUCCUACCAAGAAUGAAAAAAAAAAAAAAAAAAAAAAAAAAGGAACGUGGUUUAUGAGACUUCAACCACCACGACGAGAAAAGUUUGACGAGAUCUAGUAACUUAUCAAGAUUCAACUUAGACCAAGUACAAUGGGAUAGUUGAAAGUCAAGUUCAACAUGUUGAACUAUUGGAAGAGGGUGUUGAAAAUGAGAGAAAAAUGAUGUGGAGGAGAGAGGAGUUGAAUGAGUUCAACGUUGUUGAACUUGGAGAGAGAAAUAUUUUGUGGAUAAAGUGGGUGACACGUGUAAUCUUCUGAUUAGCUGCCUGAAUUUUUAUCAUCUUAAUAAUUUGAACUCAAUUAUUUCAUUGCAAAAAUAAUUUUUUAAUUUUUUUUAACCAAAAUUUAUGAUUUUUUUUUUGUCUAUAAAUAGAGACUUGGUUCAUUUGAUUUGGACACAAAAAAAAAAUCAAGUUUUUCACUAUCUUAAUCUUGUUAUUAUCUUUCUAUUAGCUUUUCUUUUGAAGUUUUAAUCUUUUUUUAGUGAAAAUAAAUUAUUUAAAUAAAUUUUGUUUUUCCAAAAAUACUAAAAAAAUAAAUUGUUAAGUGUUUAUUAUUUUAAUUUAAUUAUAAUCGAUAAUUAUAACUUUAUGUAAAAAAAACAAAAAUAUAAAAUUAAAUAAGAAUAUGAAAUAAAAAGUGGUGGGGAAGAAUGUUGAAUGAAAAACCAUUGGAGAGGAUAAAAGUUAAAUGAAUGUUAAAUAAAAGAGAGAAAAUGAUGUGAUGUGUUGAGAAUUAAAAAAGUAGGUGUUGAAUGUUGUUGAAUAUUUUCCACUAUUGUAGAUGGCCUUAUUGUUACAAAAAUGUGAAGCACCAAAUUGGAGGGCAUGCGUGCAAAUAUCAGCCGAUUGAUCACUAGAAAUUCCCAACCAAUGCAGAACAUUAAGUGAUCAACCUCCCCUAUAUAUAUAUAUGAAAAAAAAAUAAAAAAAUAAAAAGGGGGUCAAACUGGUGCUUCCAGGCUCAGAUCCUAGCAUUACAUUUAAGUAAUAAAAAAAAUUAAUACACCAUAAUUUAUUAAAAUAACAGUAUUGGUUUUCUAAUUUUACAUUAUUCAUUUUAGAUGAUUCAAAUGCGGACUAGGUCUACAAGUACAUGUCUUCGUGCUUGAUGUUGCUUUUAUAGGAGAGUUUUAUAACAUGUCUUCCUAACUCGUUAUAACAUGUCAUCACACGUUCAGUGUUUUUCGAAAAUAUCCUUGAAAUUUUUGGAUUUCAUAAUCCGAACUUAGUUUUUCCUUUGUUAUAGGAUGAAAAAAUGAGUUGCGGAUUUUUUUUUCGGAUUUUGUAAUCCAAAAACCUCAAAAAAUAGGGCGUGUUACAUGAUUUUUUUUCAGAUUAUAGAAUCCGAACACGCUCUAAACAGCCUUUUUUUAUGGUGCUGAUGCAGUUCGGAUUACGUAAUCCAGACAUCAUCAGCACCAAUUUUGGACAUGUUUGUAGCUGGAUAGUCAUUUUAAGGACAGUAUUAAUCUUCCUAACUUUCAUCCUUGUGUUUUUAUGAUCAAGACUCCGCCCUCAAAAUUCAAAAUUCCAUCGUUUAGACCAUUUUUUUCAUGGUGCUAAUGCAAUUCGAAUUACAUAAUCUGAACAACACCAGCACUAAUUCUGAACAUGUUUGUAACAUGGUUAGUCAUUUUAAGGACAAUAUUAAUCUUCCUAACUUUCAUCAUUGUGUUUUUAUGAUUUUAUUUGACAUGUAUAAACCCUUUGUUGGUUGUUUUUUAAAGCAAAAUUCAAAUUUGCUGAAAUUGGAGAGAUUAUGAUUGUUGAUAGUUUAGAUUAUGAAAUAUGAACUUGUCCGGAUUAUGAAAUCCGAACUGCAAAGGGCAUUUUUGGAAAUUAUACAGGGUGCGUGUUGUGAAUUCGAUGAAAAAUCACACCAAUAACAAACUUGAUGUGUCGAGCAAGUGAUAAUCAAGCAACCAAAACAAAGCGUAUGGAACAAUUAUAAACACAAGUCAAAAGUAGACAACAGCAACAGAAAGAAAGAGAGAAUAUCAAUGGGUAGCCCUCUCUUCCACUAUAAUGAUGAGCAACUUUACAAAAGAGAUAUCAAUGAGUUACAAGAAUAAAUCUCCCGCCUAAUUCUACUCAAAGUCCUAAUCUCUUCCCGUAGCCAAGAGACUCAAUCCUAAUAGUGUUUCCCAAGGUGAAUCAACCUUCAAACCCUAGUGUUUGUUGCCAAGAGACAAACUCUAUACAAACCCUAGUUUUGUUGUUGCAUUUCUAAACACUUGUUUCAGCCCCCUCUAUCUCAAGGUUUACUCUGAUUCAAAGUCUAUAUUUACAGUAAAAGAAUCCUAAAAAAACUGGAACAAAUCUAGGCCUGAAAAUACGUUUAUGUUUUAUUUUCUACUAUCGAAUUCGGCCACCGAAAAUUUACGAAACAAAAGCCCAAAAUAAAACAGGUCAAAUUCGGCCACCAUGCUCUCCAAUUCAGCCACCGAUGUUGACAACACCAGAACUCCAAUUUCUUCAAUUUUGAGUCACUUUCCCAAUAGUGCGUGAGAGUGUGGAAAAAGUAAUAGUAAUUAUUUUUUCAAAUAUACGUUUCAUCAUCCUCUUCAUUUUUAAAAAAUCUCAUGUAUUGUAUUUGAGCCUACUUUUCAUAAAUAAUUUUUCUUCUAGCUCACUAUCAUAAUUCCCAUUUAGCAUCAUUUCAACACCCACAAUGUCAUUUUUAAUAAGAGCAUCAGAAGAAAAAUAAGAAAAUUUGAAAAAAAAUCAUCGGAAAUUUUUAUGUUUCAAUUUUUUCAUUAUUUUUAAAAUCUAAAACAUAAAUCUUAACUUUAAACCACACAAAAAUUUGUAGAAUCGGUCAUAACGUAGGUUUGAGUGACGUUAAAUAAAAGCUUGAGUUUCAAUGUCCCAAAACUUUCACUAUUUGAAAAUUCUCGAGUCCCUGAAAAAAAUUCAAGUGAAAAAAUCUAGAAAUUUAUUAUUUCACAUUUUUAAUUAAAAAAAAUAUGUGAGGGAUAAAGUUUGAACAUUGGUGUUAGUAAAGCCUAACUCAACUGACAAUGUCGAAAUGGUAAGGUUUGACGUCUUUAUCCGAGUUCAAAUUCAAAACCUUACGGUAUGUAUGAGUUUCAGUAAUCUUUACCACUUCGUCUACAAACAGAAAAAAAAAAAAAAAAAAAGUUUGAAUAUUGGUUAUUACCAACAACAACAACAAAAUAGUGGCAAUAUUGGUGGUUGGAGGGGGUAGGAGAUAAAGUGAGGGGGUAUCAGGUACAAUUUUGUGUUGCUUGUAUUUAUAACCAUAGCGCUGUUUGGGCCUUACCCACUUUCCUAUGGCCCUUGCUUAUCUUAAUGAUCAUUACUUUUUAAGCCCCCUCCAAAACAAAAUCUCCAAAGGCCUCAUAAAUUACCGAAUUUACCCCUUAAAUAACGUCAGGUAGUUUAUUUCCACUUUUGCCACUUAAUUUCCUUCUAAACCUUGUGAUUUUUGGGGAUUUUGGGGUUUUCCAUCACAAUCAUUCCAACAAAUAGUGUUAAUCUUCAUUCAACUACGAUCAAUUAGCAAGUAAAUCUUACUUCUGUCUUUCACAUUCAAUUAUGCAUAAUUUUCAUCGUUUUAGUGGCAGAUUCUGCAUAAUUAACAUCUAGUAGUUGUCUACCAGAGGUUAUGUUUUUUAUUUUAAAUUUUCACAAUGAUCAUGUUUGUUUGAAAUCUACAAACUUAUCAUGUAACACUGCAUAUAAUUUAUUGAAUUGCUUUUUAUCUUUCUAAUAAUUUAGUAGUUAGAAUUUCACAUUUUACAAUGAAUAAGUUGGAAAUAAUAGUUCAAAUCCGAACAUUUACAUAUUACAAUGUUUUAUCAACUGAGUUAUGCUUAUUGAGACAUUAAAAUAUUUCUUUACAUGGUGAAAUAAUGUGAAGAACUAAAUCACAUUUUAAAUUAGUUGGUCAAAUCAUAUAUUUUCUAUCUCAAAAUUGGAGGAAAAAAAAGUAGGAGCAAUUAAAAAUUGCUCUCCUUUUUUUUUUUUUUUUUUUCUUUCUUAUAUUUUCUUUUUUAAGUUGGAUCUAACUUAACCUUAUAAAACUAAUUUUAAUUUGUAUGGUGAUGACUGACUCUCAUGUUCAAAUCAUAUAUCUUUUAAUGUAGGGCUCUCAACCUAUCCACGUGAUCAUUCUCACACCAUGUGCACCUUCACAACAUGUAGCUUAGGGGUGUGGGUUCAAGUCUCUGCCAAAACAAUAACGAAAAAAUGGUGCCAGAAAUACUCGAACCUAUUGUUGAUAGUAACACUACCUUUCCAUUGCGACAUGCUGAAAUAUGUUGUGAAAUUGUGCCUAAUAUAGUAUAUAUAGAAAACUUGGAGGGUGCCUAUUACCAUCUGCCUCAAGGAAGAUAUGUUCCUCUUCAAACCACAUCCAACAUGAGUGCAUUUCACCCGAACCAACGGAGGAAUCUGUCCAUUACAAUGACACUUCUAAACAUCAGAAACAUCUUAGUCUUUAUCAGCAGGAGAAUUGCCUUUAUAAACACAAAAAUAAAGAUACAAAUGUGUUGAAAUUGGAGUUAUUGGUCGGUUUGGUGGUUAUGUUAGAGGAGUUUUGGUACGAGCAACAAGUUGUUGUUUUUAAUGUUGGCACUUUACGUUGGAGAUUAGAGAGUUUGACUUUUGCUUUUGGAGUUGAAAUUGAUUUUUGUGUAAUAGAUUUUAUGGUUUUGGUGGUAGCCCUAUGUAGAGGGUGUUUUUGGUUGGUUUGUCGGAUGUUUUAUUGUUUGUGUCUUGCUUGUCUCUAUUCACCUUGAAUAGUGACUUUAUCUUUUAAUAAAUUUUCUUGUUAAAAAAAAACAAAAUUAAAUAAAGAGAAAGAAAGAACUCCAGAAGUAAGGAGAUUUGUGGCUCCACAAAGACGCAGACUCUCGUCCGACCAUCAAUCGACCCCCUCAUUACGAAGGGGCGACAUGGGAGGAGGGAUCAACUGCCCAAGGAAGAAAUGUUGGCAAGCCCUAUAAUUUUAUGACCGGGAAGAAAACAUAUUCAAGAACGAAACAUUCACAAGAGUCACCAUAAAACCUUGCUUCGGUCUUUUCGAAAACCACCUAUGAUGAAGAAGUACGAAGGGUUAGCUGACCCCAACAACGAUCGGCAGAACGUGGAAACUGUUCUGAGCUUUGGAGGUGCUCCUAAACCUGUAAACAUCAUCUAUUCGUGCUCACUUUAAAACUAAAUUCAAAGAAAAACAUUAUAAGCUACAUAAAGAAACUGAGUAUAACCGCCUAUCAUAAGUAAAAUGCCACUUUCCAUCAUGACUUUUUUUAUGAUGCAUCACCGUAAAUGCCACCAUUAGUAAAUUAUAAUCUAUUGUGACAAUUAUUAAAUAAAUUCGUGUGAACUUGAACCAUCAACGUUAUAAACUAAGGAGACAACUUGUUCAAAAAAUAAUAUGGAAGAAGCUGUAGUAGAACAUAUCGGGACUCAACUUUUCCCUAUUGUUAAUGUCCUUGCAUUCAGGCCUUCUUCAAGAAAAUAUCCUUGCAUUCAGGCAUUAAAAAUAUCAAUUGGCAUUCGAUUAAGAUAAAAAAAAGGUUAUAUUUAAGUUCAAUAUUUGAUUACAUAAUUAAAAUUAAGGUUCCGUAAAAUUUUAAUCUUCAUGAAUACUCAUUCCGUUUUAAAAUGAGUAUCGUUUUAGCAAAAAAAAUAUAAAAUGAAUGUCACUUUCAUUCCAAUGCAAUAAUAAUUUUUUUCUUUUCAAUUGUACCCUUCAAUUAAUACUAUGCACACUACUUCCAAAAUAUUAUUUUUUCUUUAAUGAAAAACAAACCAAUAGUUGAUUAGGAUAAUUUGGUAAAAUAAUAUCUCUCUUUCUUUUAAUUAAUGCAUUUUUUAAUAUGUGUGUAAAAACCUCAAACAACAUUCAUUUUGAAACGGAUGAAGUAUAUCAUUAAAUAUUUUAGUUUGAAAAUAUUUUUUAAAACAACUAUCACCGAAAUAUUUUACUGAAAUGGCAACUGUCGAACAAGAUACCACAAGGUACCCUAAGGACACACGUUAAAAAUUUUAUAAAUAUAAUGUACGAAACUAUUCAACCCUAAACCCUCAGUUCUUGCUUACAAACACCAAAAACAACCGCACCGGGCAUCAUCAUUUUAAAAAGGUACUCCCUCCAUCCCAUAAUAAGUGAGCCAUUUACAAAAAAAUAUUGUCCCAAAAAAAUUGAUUCAGUUCACUUUUCAAUACAAUAUUAAUUAUUUUUUCAAUUAUAACUCUAAUUAAUAUUACUUUUAUCAUUCUCAAUUCAAUAUAUUAUACUUUAUAUUUAUGACAAGGAAAAAUACACCAAUAUACGACAAAACACUCAAAACUUUUGUUUUUCUCUUUUACUAUUGUAUUUUUUUUAAAUAUAUAUGAAAUGAAUAAAAACUCAGUUAAAAUAAGACGGAGGGAGUACGAUCAAAACUCAGUAAGAACAAAGAUAUUUAUAGAUCCCAAAAAAAAAUAUAUUUAUAGAUAAUUCAUCCAUGAGAAUUUAACGUUUGGGCGGCAAGGGUUGAAUUCACAACCAUAAUGUUAGUUAACUUCUUAUACGGCAAUUAUUUUAUUUAACUCUUAAAAUGAAAACGUGAUGCAAGAUUUUUAAGAGCAAAGAAUCUGAAUUCGAACAGAUCAUGGCUUCAUGCAGUUAACUUAGGGAUCAGACGUGGAAAAUAGAAUUGAACAAAAUAAUCUCGUAUUCUACAAUGUUGCCACGUGUUAGUAACAAAAUUUAAAAAAAAAGGAAAAAACAUAGGAAAUAUAAUAUUCGUGACAAAGAGAAAGAAAAGAAAAAACGAAAAAAGUAUUGGUGUUACUCAUGCGUGUCAGAAAUGAACAACUUUCAACCUACCGUGUAACAUUAUGAUUGGACCACGUAAAUUACACACAAAAGACAUAACCACGUGGUGCAAUCAUGAAACAAUAUUCAUUCAAUCAACGGUUCAGAUUUCAUGUUGAUGUUAAAUCGUUCAACGUCAUACCAACUGUAAAUGUCGAGUGUUUGCCCGUGACUGUGACGGGCAGUCUGCCCGUGAAUAAAAGUGGACCCCACCUUACCACUACAAAUGUUUCUUCUCCAAACACAACUUCAAUUGAUUGUGUUUCAAUUAUUCAUUUUGUGUAUCAAACAAAUCAAAAUUUCUUUACUUAUAAUUUUCAUCUUUCAAUUCAGUUGAAUUUUAAUCCAAUGGCUGAAAUUUGUUGUGGUGUAGUUGGAGAAGAAGAAACUCUUACUCUACCGGUUGAGCCAAGCUCACGACCUUCCGGUCGACGGAGUUUGGAUUUACUACCGUUGAAAUACAUGGCAGAUCCGCCGGAGAAUAGCCGGAAACGACAGAAGCUAGAUCCAUCGGUUUCUCCUCCACCACCUCCAGCUCGAGAGUGCGAAAACGCGGUUGAUAGCUGUGAAUCAAGUACUGAUGAAGAAUCAAAGGAAAAUGAAGUUGUCUUGGAAAACAAAGUGGUUGUUGUUGAAGAGUGUUCUCCUAAAUAUGGAAUAACAUCGGUUUGUGGAAGAAGAAGAGAAAUGGAAGACGCUGUUUCUGUUCAUCCAUCGUUUUGUAGAGAAAAACAAGAUCAUUUCUUCGGUGUUUACGACGGUCAUGGUUGUUCACAUGUAAUUGCUCGAAAUUCUAAUAAUCGUUAUCAUAAAUUCAUAAUAAUUUUUUUAGUGGAUCUAUUUUUUAAUUACGUUAAUUUGUUUUUAACAGGUUGCGACUAUGUGUAAAGAAAGGUUGCAUGAAAUUGUUGAAGAAGAAGUAGAGAAAGAGAAGGUUGACUGGAAAUCAACGAUGGAGAAGAGUUUUAUUAGAAUGGAUGAAGAAGUGUUGAAUUCUAGUAAGACGAAACAGAGCUUCAGUUGUAAGUGUGAGCUUCAAACUCCUCACUGUGAUGCUGUUGGUUCUACUGCUGUUGUUGCCGUUGUUACGCCGGAGAAAAUCAUUGUCUCGAAUUGUGGUGAUUCACGGGCCGUCCUUUGCCGGAACGGGGUUGCCAUUCCUCUUUCCUCCGAUCAUAAGGUUAGUUUUAUUUCAUUUACAUAUUUUUUGUGGUAUGUAGUAUUUUUUUAAUUAACUUUUUGACCCGUAUUCGUUUGUGCAGCCGGAUCGACCCGAUGAGUUGGAUCGGAUUAAUAAAGCCGGAGGACGUGUGAUCUAUUGGGAUGGUGCAAGAGUGCUUGGAGUGUUGGCCAUGUCAAGAGCUAUUGGUGAGUGAGUGCAAGUGCGCACGUUAACUAACUUUUAAAAUUUGGUAUUUGAUUAGUUCAAAUGUGGUUGUGCAUGGUUUCAUUUUACCGUGCAUAUGUCAGAAUCAUACGACUAUACAACUGUUGAUUUACAUGUGUUAUCCAUGUUUAUAUGAUAUGGAUAUGUUAGAAUCACGAGAUAAUUUUUCAAAACUUGUUAAUGGUGAAUCAAACACAAUUGUUGUACCAAACUACUUAAUAAUUGUGAUUUUGACACAUCCAAUACAUUAUCUUAGAAUCACAAGCUAAUUUUUCAAAACCUACAUGUUGAUGUUGGAUCGAAAUUCUAACACAUCCAUCGUCAUACCACACAUAUUUUGAUAAAUAUUUUUUGUACGUUGGUUGUGAAUAAUUAUGGUUUAUUUUUGUAGGGGACAAUUACUUGAAGCCAUAUGUUAUUUCGGAACCGGAGGUAACUAUAACGGAAAGGAGUGAUGAGGAUGAAUGUCUGAUACUUGCGAGUGAUGGCUUAUGGGACGUGGUGCAAAAUGACACGGCGUGUAAGGUGGUGCAAAUGUGUCUCAAGGCGAACAAGACGGUGACGCCGCCUGGGUCUCCGGGACUUGAAGUGGCGGGAAAUGGGUCAGAUAAGGCGUGCUCCGAUGCUUCAAUUUUGUUGACGAAGUUGGCAUUGGCGAGGAAUAGUUCGGACAAUGUUAGCGUGGUGGUUGUUGAUUUGAGGAGAGAUCAACGUCAACAAUAACAAUUAAUAAUAGUAAUAGGGAUUGAUUAAUGGAAUUGGAACAAAAAAUAUUGCUAAUUAACCGACCAAAACUUAUGACGUGUACUGUGUCUGGACACCUAUGAUUCGUAGGAUUUUUUAUUGGCAAAGGUGGGAGGAAAAUGGUGGGGCCUGGAGAUUUUUUCUGAUGAUUCCAUGUGAUUUUAGUAGUGUAGUGUUUGAUUGAGGGGAAAGGUUAAAAUUGUAUCUUUUGGGAAACAAUUGGAUAAAAAAAUUAUGUAUAAGAAAUUUUAGAUUAGUAUAAAGUAGAAAACAAUUGAUGUAAAGUGUAAACUAAGGCAUGUCGUAAAAUGAAGGAGUAUAUUGGCUUUGACCAUUUGAGAUUAGCCUUACUUUGGUCUAUAUUGAGAUUUAUUUUUUUAAAAUUAAACGAUUCGACUUUGAUCAUCCAUCAUGAGUUGUUAAGUUAAUUAAGUACAUCUAUGAGUUGUUAAGUUAAUUAAGUACUCCCUCCGGUCUCGAAUGUAAGAAACAAAAUAAAAAAAUUGUUGGUCUCAAAUGUAAGCAAAAGUAUACAAAAGUCAUCAUAUUAAAUGUUACUAUUCCAAUUUUAACCUCAUUUACUUUAUCUAAUUUAUUUCACAUUCUCAUGUUUAACGCAUUCCAAAGAUUUUUCAUUGGUGGAGUUCAAAAGUCAUGUUUCCAAAACAAGGGCAUAACAGGAAAAAUGAUAUUUUUUACAAUGACUCAAUCCACUUUCUUAAUAUGUGUGAUUUUUUUUUCUUACAUUCAAGACCAGAGGGAGUACAUCUAUGCGUUCAUCAAAUAUGUACACAACAUCGAUCAUUUUUGCGUUCAUUUGGACUAUAACAAUUAGUAACAAGUAUUUUAGAAUAGUUGUCAACCCUUGAAGCAUAAAGUCUAUAAGGGUGAGAUAUUUAAGUGUAGGAUCGAAAAAUGACACGAGUUGUGUACAUAGAGAUACUAGGACAAUCCAUAACAAAACUCUAUGUAUAGACCUAUAAGGACAAUUUUUCUUGUUCUAUAAACAUUGAUUUGCAUGAACACAAGUGAGAUUGACAUUUUCUAUGGGUGACUCGAGGAAUCUCAAUGUUAUUUCUAAAAUUUGAGAUUAUCAUGUUAUUAUUGAUGACGUGUUAUUUCUCAAUUUUCUCUCAUCCAGUCAUGAGAUGUUAUGUAACUCUUCAAUAUUUCAAUUCAUGAUCUCCAACGCCAAGGGUUGGGGAUUUUCUAUUUCAACAAUGAUGAUAAUUUGAAUCACGACCAAAGUCACAUUCUCAAAUUUACUGCUUGCUUGUUUCAAGCUGCCAUCGUUAUGAAAAAAAGGCAAUUUAAGAAAAUGAGUUGAACGGUAAUUAAUUAUCGUUCCUAUAUAUGGCUGAGUUCAAUAAGUAGAUAAAUACUUUUCUACAUCAAAUAAUAAUUAAUUGUUGUUGUAAAUAUUUUUGAUAGUUUGAGGUGCUGUGAAUAUAUUAAUAUAGAUGUCUAAAGAGCAAUUUUUGUUAUGAGUAUCGUAAGUAAUUUAUGAUGGUUCGUAUAUCCAAAACAUUUGACCUAUGUAAAGGUGAGAUGUUUAAGAAGUGUAAUUUGUGGUGGACAAUGAUACAUGCUAAGAACAAACAGAUGCUAGAAAAGUUCAGUUUUCUAAUUAUUAUUUUUAAGACAAUGCAUUAAAUUUAUUAUGUGGUUUAUUUAUAUCAUAAUAUUAUCGUCAAACUAUUGAUAUUUUCUUGAAGCAUUUUAACUCCAAAAAUGUUGCUAUCUUCACUCAUUUACAUUGAGACAAAAAGUUGACAGUUCGACCAACAAAUGUUUUGAAAAAUCUUUCCUUUUUCUUUCUAAAAAAUAAAGAACAUAAAUGGAUAAAUGUAGUAUUAGGUUCUUGCAGAAUCAUACAAACAAGUUCAAUAAAUAAACAUGUGGGCCUGUGAGGUGGGACAGACUUGUUUACUCUUUUAAUCAAACAUCGACACGUAGUAUUGGUAUUAUUUUUAGUGUCACUAUCUCUUAGCUGGACUAGAUUUCAUCAGAUUUGAUGCUUUGUUGAUGGAACUAUCGAACUAGGACCAAAUUUUAUUUUAUUUUUCAACCUUAUUUCUCAUAUAUUUUUUAGGUCACUUAACUUUAUAUUUAAUUUACUAUAUCUACUUUUUUAUUAUUUUACUGACCCGACUUCCAUAAUCCAUACCAUGUUGUUGGAAUUUAGAUCCUUCUGUGGUUGGUCCAGAUCAAAUUCAUGAGAUUAGACAAUUUGGAGAACAUGAACUUAGAUAUCUCUCCUCUAAAAAAAAACUUAGAUAUUUCUAAACAUAUACAGACGAGUUACACAAUAUUUUUAUUUACAAAAUGAUCAGUAUUAUUUUGUUGGAAUUCUGCUUGAAUUGAUUAUCAUAUUAUUAGUUUUUUUUAUCAGGAUGAAAUUGACGAAUUUUUAGUUUCUACUUUAAAGAAAGCUUAUAUUAGUUAUACAAAAAACUCAAUUAGAAAAUAAAAAGAUGAAAUCUGAGACAAAUACUUUAAGAACUUAAUCACUAAUGAAAUUUCUCAAGAAUCUUGGACGUAUAUUUGGAAAUUACGCAUAUGUUUGGUAUUGUAGUAGGUAUGUCAGAAUCAUGCUGAGAGAUCUUGAUUUGGCAGAAGUUACAUGGUGAAGUUUUUAAAAAAUCACGGUGGAUUACUGUGAUUCUGAAAUACUCACCCUGAUAACAAACAUACAUCAUUUCUCUUAGCUACUCUGUAAUUUUUCUUAUGGCAAACAUGCUUGGUCUCUUGUGUCAUCAGAAAAUUCUUUUAGCGUCCACUUGCCCUUUCUGCAGUGAUGACGAAACCAUUUUUCAUUGGUCUCGACAAUAUUUCAGAGAUCCUAGCAAUCUUAGUGGGUGAAGUGGAUAUCUUAGCUCGGUUGAUAAUGAAGAAUAUUUGGAUCUCUCGUAACAAAUUUAUUUUUUAGGGAACAACUUCUGUGAAGUAUCAGAUCACACCGUCCAUCUUUACGUACAAUUACAUGUUUUCAAGCAGGCGUUUGAAAGUCUAACCUCCCACCCCCGAAACAAUAUGUGAGGUGUCUUGGAAAGAAAAGAAAAAAGGGACGUGGAUGCCAUGGUUUUCUCAAUUUGUAUGAGAGUUCUCUACGGGGUUUGGAAAAUAACAUUUAACCAUGACAUGAGACCGUGUUGGCAGACUGGAUUUAGGAAGAUAAUUCAUUGUUAAGAUUCCUUGCAUGUGGUUCAACUUGUCACAGAUGAAACAUCUCAAUUUCAUCACCAUGCUAAUGAGUUAGAGAUUAUUAGAGAUUUCAUACAGAAAUAUUGUGUCAUAUUUGUUCAUCACACCUUUCGUAAAGGGAAUAUUUGUGCAUAUUUUCUAGAAAAGAUGGGAUAUAUUAACUUAGAUCUUCUAAUUAUGCUUAGAAGUCUCCUUCUAGUUUGUCAUCGACUUUGCUAGUUGAUGUUCUUGGGAUGUCCUUUGUAAGGACAUAAUCCCCCACCUUUCUUUUUCUUUUUCUUUUCUCAUGUAACAAAAAAAGAGAAUUAAAUCAGUAGUUUAUUCAAUUAUUGUUUGGGUUAGAUAAGUUUUUGUCCACUAUAAAUAUAUUAAAUUUUGUUUUUAAUUCCUCUAAAUUUUUCCAUCAAAUAAUGGUCAAUGUCCUUGAAAUAUUUUCUAUCAGAUAUUUUACCCACAUUUCUAUGCCAACUCAUGUGUACACUUCAUAUUUUUUAAUGUGAUUUUACAUGCAUGUUUUGAAUAUUAUAAGAAACUCUUCCAAAAAAAUUUAGAAUUUUAACAAAAGAUGCAUUAAAUAUGAUUUUUUUUAAGCACCAUAAAUAUAAAAAUUCAUAUUUAGUUCAUAUUUUUUAAAAAAAUUCUAAAUUUUUCCUAGAGAGGUUUCUAUUAAGUACAAAAGAAUGUUUGAGAAAAAUAAUUCAAAAUUUUGAAGGGAUAUAGUUAACUUAGAAGCAGGAUAAAAAAAUGCUUAUUGAAAACAUUUGAAGAACUAUUGUUUAAAGAAUUUUUUUAGGGAUUAAAAAUCCUUUAUUGUUUUGCAAUAAAAUUUUGGUAGUUAUGAAAGACAAUUGUGAUACUACUACUAGGUAACACAUCAAUAUCGAAAACUAAAAAAUAAAAACUAAAUAAGGAUGCGGUCAAAAUUGUACGAACAUGAGCAAACUCAUUUGUUCGUCUUCUAAUAAAUUUACCAUAAAAGUUUCUAAAAUGAAUUGAAAAUACACCUAGAAGCACUAAUGAUACCACCUAAUUCACAAACACCUACUUCUUGCUAUAAAAUUUAUCAACCACUCGUUUAGAAUCACAAGUUCAAAAUCUACGUUAUUCAAUUGCAAAUCCCGUACCCAUUUUAAAGCAAGAAUGAGUCCUAUAUAGGUUCACUCACAUGUGCAUCAAUGAUUGGUGAUAUCCAUAAUUUAGCAAACACAAAACGACCUUGAUCAUCUCUGAUGCAAGAACCAAUGCCCGCCUCGUUACGAGCCAUAGAGAAGAGGCAUGCAUCUACAUUACACUUAUAUCUUUCAACUUCUGGUUUGUCCAACCUCCCGCUGCUGUCCUGCUCGUGAAUUGACUCCUAUAUCUUGAUUCUUGAGUAACCGAAUCAAACAUAGGAGUCCAAAUAAUGCACAUCUAUAUAUAAUGAUAUUUUUAAAUAAUAAAUAAUUACUUAAUUUAAAAUGUUUAAAUAGUGCUUUGAGGAUACUCAUUAACACGACACUUAAAAUAUCUAUUUCAUUUUCAACAUAAAAAUUAAUUUUAAACAAAAUGAUUUUGAAACAAAAACACACAUACAAACGUAAUUAAAACAUCAAGAAUAACUUUAGAAAAUGGGACCUAAAUGUCGUGUGGAUAAGGUUAAAGCAACGGAGAUGAAUAAACCACAUUCCAAUUUUUCCUUUGGCAUAUAUAUAUUUGGAUAAGACAUAUAGUAUAUUAGCUACAUUAAUGUUAUCCCAUCAUCCAAACUUAGGUACACAAUCAAUUAUAAAACUUUACAGUUUUCUUUGACAGCAUAGUGGAAGAAUGUCACAAUCAUCUAUAGCCAGAAGAGUGAAUGAGACAUAUGUAAUCACCCAGAGCCCUACGUUAUUAAAUGUAAGUAUUCGUCAAUGAAAUUGACACAUCUAGUUGAAUCUUCUACUCAUAUAUAGUAGUUGUAAUUUAGAUUGAAUUUCAAAGUUCACUGUUAACAAUCAUACGUAAAAUUCACUGUGAGCACAUGUUGAUGAGGUUGGUUAAAAUCUUCACAAACUAUAGAUUUUUUCCAUAUAUAGUGUGCAACUCUCCAAUCUAAAUAUUUUAUCAUAAGGACUUGAGUUUUCUUUAUUUAGCUUUCGAUCCAAUCUAAAUAUUUUAUCAUAAAAGGACUUGUUUGAUAAUCGGAUGAUUAAGAAAAAAAAUAUUGAUCUAAUUUUAAUAUCAUUUUAAUUUUCAAGGGUUCCUUUUUUUAGAUAAACGAAAUGACAAAGGUAUCAUAAACUCACAAACAUAAAGUGAGGUGCCGGGGGUACGAACCCCGAUGAUGACGUCCAACCUAAUAAUUUCAAUAUUUUUGUUGGUUGAGCUAGGACUUAUGAGACAUUUUCAAAGGUUUUAAUUGGCGGGGAAAUGCACACGCUUCUUUAACAUUAUAUAUGUUUUUAUUCCAUAGUCAAGUUUACAACUCUACCAUUAUUUAUAUAUACAUGCUAAAAACUCAACCACAUAUAUAUCAUUAUAUCUAAAACUAUCUUCCACAGCGUUUGUGCUGAGAUUGACAAUGAACGCUCCACUUUCGUUGAUUUCCUCAAUAUUAUUUUCAUAAGGAAUAAUAUAAUAUUGUAAGCAUUACGGUAGUGUAGGGGGAAUAAUAGAAUUUUUUGAGGCAUAGGGGGAACAAUAAUAGUUGGAGAAAAUUCACUCAAAAUUAAAACUUAAUAAACAAAACAUAAAGAAGCAUUUGACGAACUUUGCUUGAUUAGGGAAUAUAUAUGAUCAUUGUCCUUUAUGAUAGGGUGAUACUGAUCACAUGCAUAUAAACUGAUUCAAAAUGAAAAUUGGACCAUAUUGAUGCAAGACUUCGCACACUACACUGCACAAAUGGACAAUGACAUAGGUUGAGAACGGAGAAAUGCUAGGACGAUAGUGGUAAGGUAGGAGCUCAUCAGCCACAUUUGGAAUUGGUGUGGACGAAUUCAUAACCAAAAACGUCCUCUUGGGACCACACUGACUAGUGACAAACGUUGAUGCUCAUUCUUCUUGAAUGGUUUGGGAUGAUGACUCCUCUAUAAAUGGGGAGGGUGGUGUACCUGCAAACACUCUAACGAUCAAGUCAAUCAAAUGUAAUGAAUGUGAUGGUUUUAAGAUUUAAAUAUUGUGUACCCUCGACUUGAUUAAUAAGUUAGCAUAUCUAGGAGGAAGAUUAGGCCUGGUUUGUAUGACAAAAGAUGGAUAUAACUAUGUUGGAUGACGUAUGUAGACAAAUCAUGAUUUGUAAUAAGUUAGUGACCUAAAGGAGCAGUUUUUUUUUCUUCUACGCCAGUUUUGACUUGUCCCAGUUCAGAACAACAAUUCACAUUCCUUUAACUUUGGUUUUAGUAAUCGUACUAUAAGAUAUAAUGUGAAAAUGACUCAAAACUUGACCCAUUUAAGAAUUCACUCGUUUGAGCACGUUUUGAGUAUAACAAAUAUUUUAAGAUAAUCUAAAAUCUCGGACGUGAGAGAUCUAUAAGAGCAAACAUUGAAUAUUGAGAACGUGGAGAUCUUAUAACAAUGUAUUAAAUUUAAAUUAAUUCAGUUGAAUUACCUAAUAAGAAUGAAUAGAGCAACAUUGUGAUAUAUUGAAAUCAGCAUACUAUAUGAUAUUUCCUUGAAGUAUCUUAACUUCAAAAAUGUUGCAAUCUUCAUUUGUAUAUAUAUAGAGAGAGAGUUGACAGCUGGAUAUACAAAUAUUCUUUUCUUUUUAAAAAAAAAUCGGAUAAAUGUAAUGCUGAGUAUUAGGUUCAUACAAUACAAGAUGAAGAAAUAAACAACGUGGAGUGGGGCUAGACUUGUGUACUCUUAAAAUCAAACAUAGACACGUAGCAAUAGCAUUGGUAUUAUUUUUUAGUGUCACCAUCUCUUAGCUGGAUUGGAUUUCAAGAGUUUUAUGCUUUGGCCAUAGAACUUGGAACAAAUUAAAUUUUGUUUUUUUUCAACCUUUUCUACUUUAUUAUUUCUCAUUUUUAAGUCACUUAACUUUGAGUUGAAAUCGAUCAACAAAAGAACAAAAACUUUGAGUUGAAAUCAUCUCCACUUUACCAGCAAUGGAAACUUAACUUGUGGUGGGUUGAUCCGUGAUCAACAUGGUAAAUUUUUGUCUAAUUUUAUAUAUAAAAUUAAGUUUUUUAAUACUUGCAAAUAUCUUUUACAUUUUUCAAACUCCUAAUAUGCAUAUUAAGUUACAUUAUGAUAAUGUCCGCAACGCGAAUAACGUGCAGAUUUUUUUGCACAUCGAACUCAUUCUAUUUAUUUCAACUUAGUUCUGAUGUUUUUUUUUUUUUGAGUAUUGCUGUUGACACAUUUGAUAGGGCUGAAAAACACAUGUAAGUUAUCCAAAUACCCUUCGGUAGUUAACUGCUGAAAAACUUCAAACUCAAACUGCUAUCGGUUUCAUUUUGUUGGCAAUUUAUUUUAUAUUUUUAUUAUUAGCUUUUAUCAUCAAACUCAAACUCCUCUCAAAAUUAAAUCUUCAAACUCAACCAUGAUUGUCCCUUCAUGUUUCUCAUCAGUAAAAAAUUGAAAUUGUUGCUCUUUCCCUAAUUAAUCAGAAUGGAAAAUAAAUGAAAUUUCUGCUUUUCGUGUUUCUUUUAUAUCGAGAAUUAAGUUGUUGUGGCAAACAGAUGACUAAAAAUUGCUUUCCAAUAAAAUCUCAAAAGCCAAAAUAGAUCUCAGCCAAAAUAAAUUGUUGGAAAGAGAAAAAAUUGUCGGCAUAAUGGAAGAUGAAGAACCAUUCAUGGUGGUUUGAAGAGAAACAAAAAUUUGUAGUUAAAAUCAUUAAAAAAACAUCAUUGAAGUUUCUCGGUAGUUAACUGCAGCCGGUUUUGAACUGUCUCGGCAGUUAACUGAUUUACAUGUGUUUUUCAGCCCUAUCAAAUGUGUCAAAAAAAAAAAUUCUUUCAUUUAUUAGACAUUCUUGUUUGUAAUGAUUCUUCUGAUGUAACUUCCAUCGGUUUAGGUAGUUGAUGCUCCAUUCUUAAUGACAAAAAAUUCCUCUCCAUUUUUCAAAGAAAUUGAGAGUACAAUUUUUCUUUUUUUUAUGAAUCUCAUUAUAUAUAUUUUUCAUAGCGAUAUCUCAUUUGUAUCUAUCUCUCAUAAGUUAAAUUCUUAAUUUCUUUGUGAAACGAAGAUGAUACUCUCCCCUUGAUUAACUUAACAUUUAUUUUGUAUAUUUCUUUUAUAUCAUAUUAUUGAAUCCACUUCCAUAAUCUAUAGAAGCCGAUUCUCCCCUACAAAAUUUUCUAAUUCUCUCUGAUAAAAUUUUCUUAAUUUUUCUUAAUUGUUAUAUCUUUUUCGUCAAACAUGAGAGAAGAAAAGGAGAGAUAAAAUUAUAAAAUAAAAUAAAACAGAGAGACUGAAUUUGAUGGUAAAGAUGUUACAAUUAUAAAAGAGAGAAUUACGGUUAAAAAGAACAAAAAAGAAGAAAUAAUUACCUACAAUAUAUUAAUAGAUGUAACGAUUAAAAAUAGAGAAAUGAUAUUUAUAAUCAUUUUAUGACAACUUUAUCUCUGAUAAUUACAUUAUAUUUUUUGGAAAUGAUAUCUGUACAAUUAUUUUUGAUAAUUUUUAUGACAAAUUUCUUUCUAAUACUCAUAUUAUGUUUUACUUUCUAUCUCUAUUGAUUUGAUUUUUAUGUCAAUACCUCAUUUUCUUUAUACAUUUAUAGUUGUCCCAAAAAUUGUCAUACAAAAAGUUGUUCAAAUAACACAACUCUAUAUUUUUACUUACUUUUUAUGUUGUUUAACUUUUGUAUCAAUAUUUUCUUUUCAUUGUAAAAUUAUUAUCAUCAUAUAAGUUGUCGUACAAAUGAUUAUUUCAAAUAACACACCUCUUAAAAAAGGGUCUUGCUAACUAUUGCCCUAAGGGCAAUGGUUAAGGAAGCCAAAAGUAUCAUUUUUGCAUUAGUUUCAACAACAUUUUAACUUUUAAAAAAUUAAAUUUAUCACUUUUCACCAUUUUUCAAUGUUAUAUUUCUAUUUUUAUCCCCUUAUCCAAUACUCCAAGGACAAUGAUUAUCAUUCUCCUUAAAAAAAAUAUGUUCAUUGUUCCCAUAAUGCAUGCUUCCAUAUCCCCUUCAUCUUGUUGAAAUUUAGAUCCUUCCACAUGGGUGGUGUCUACAAUCUAGCUCCGUAUUUCUUGGCAUCAGAUUGGACAAUUUGUAGAACACCAACUUAGAUAUUUCCAAAUACAAUUUUUUUUAUUUACCCAUAAUAAAAGGUAGAUCAAGUUAUUUAUACCGUGUUCAUAUCAAUUAAAAUCAUUCAUUUAUCUUAUAAUAUAUAACAUAAAUAGGAAAAGAUAAAUGAAUGAUUUUGAUCGGUGUCAUAUAAACAACUCCAUCCACCUUUUAUUGAUGGAUAAUGUGGUUUUCACGACGUUGAAAGUAAAUAAAUAAAAAUAUCUUUUGAGCCAAAAAGUUACCGCUUUUGAAUUCAUAAAACUUAUCAUUUUUGUGGUUAAAAAUGCAUGUUGAGAUUAAAAUUGUAUCAAUAUUUAAUUUAAAAUUGAGGAUAAAAUAUAAUAAUUUUGAAAUAGGAGGACUAAAAUACCGCUUUAGUAAAAUAAAAAGACUAUAAGUGUAUUUAAAUCUUAAAAAUUUUCUUCUAUCUAUAUUAUCUUAUUUUUCAGAUAUAAGUUUUGCAUAUAGAGAAUGCAUAGAUGCUCAUUAAUAUAUAUUAGGAUACAGUGUAGUGAAUGAUAUUUGUUUUUUUUUAAUUAGUUUAAUUGUUGAGUUCGAGGUUUGAACUCCGACCCUUAUAUAUAUUAUGUAAUGUCUCCGUCAACUGAGCUAAAUACACAUUGGCAUAUUUGAUUUUAUUUUCUCAUCAUGAUUUUCCAAUUUACUACUCUCUCUGUCCCUAUAUGUAAACACCUUUUUAUCAGAGACAAAUAAUGCUAACAUACAGGAACGGAUGAAGUAUAAACUUAUGAACUUUUUUGUAUAAACAAAUAAAUACCGUAACCGUGACAUUUUCUCAGUCGAUAAAAAGAUUGUAUAAUAUACGUAGGGGUUAAGGUUCAAAUCUAAUACUUCCUUGUUCUCUUAAGAGAUGAAUUAUUAACUGCUAGGUUAGUUGAAAAUAAAAAUACCGAACAUGCUACUUGUGUCUUCUUAAUUUAUGAUCUUGCUAGCUAUAUCCCCCACCCCACUACACUUGCUAUUUUCCACUAGAUAUUGAGUUUGUAGAGAGAACUCGGUCAUAUUGUCAAGAUUUAUAGCAGUGCAGAAUUUAGAGACCACUCCAUAAAAUCUAACUUUAGACUAAAAAAGACAUUAGUUAACUUGGUUUCCAUUCUACAAUUUAAAGGAAUCAUAGCAUUUCAAGAAAUCAAUUUCUUCCAUCACAGAUGGAUCCACCAUCUUUUCUGUUCUAUACAUUCAUAAACACGUUCCCCCACUUUUAGUUAUUCUUCCAUACUAAUAUUUUUUCUAUGCAAUAUUCAUUUCACAAAUAUUAAUCUGUUUUUCCGUCCCUUUGAAUUAAAACUUACAUCAACAAAACAUUGAUCACUCCUAUAGAGACUUCCCUCAUCUUCUAGGUAACUCUCACACUAGCUCUCUCCCUCUCAGCCAUUUGUUUUUCAUAACUAUUUUUUAAAAAUUAUUUUUCAGAACAAAAUUAAAAUAAGACAUGUUUGGUAAUAUUAAUUUAAAACAGUUUUAGAGUUAUAAAACAGAAAAACAAUUUUGAUAAUUUUUGGAGAUUAUAAAACAAGAAAAUGCCACAAAAAUAGUAUUCACUCAAUGAAAUUUGAGACUUUAUUUAAUAUUCAUGCUGUUCUUGUUUAACUAUUUAAACAAUCCUUUAUAUGUUAAGUUUAUAAACAAUGAUGCGUGUUCCUUGUGUUUUCUUAUGGAGUCAGUCAAAUUGACCGUGUCAGAGUUGUGAUCUUGGCCUAAAUAUGAUGCUGAUGAAAGUGAUUUUAUUAGACUUGCAAGGACUGUCACAAAUGUUGGAUUACAUGCAUCUACAUACAUGGCAAUUGUGACAUCCCCUAAAGGCUAGGACUCAAUAUUUAUGUGAAUCUCAGUGGGAGAAAAGCAGACAUAAACAGAAAUUUAGAUGAGCAAUUUCAAGGGCACCUAAACCAGAAAUUUAGAACAACCUCAAGCUUUUCCCCAAGUACUACCAAGUACUAAUAAGUAGUGUUUGACACAUAAACAGAACAGUUUCUAUUGUGUUGAGUCAUAAAUUGAGAACGAGUAUUAGAAAAAAGCAUUCACUAAAAAGCUUGCCACAGUAUGUUAAUGACAAACAUGACAUGUCCUAGAAAGAAAUGUCACAUACAUAAAAAACUUUAGAAAACACAGAAGCACAAGUGUAAAUAAACUGAUGUUGUAUGCUGUCAUAAUAUUUUUCAGAAACAGGUAAGCAUAAAAAAUCCUAACAUAAAAGUAAGGAAAAUAAUUCAUUCUACUAAUUUUCUCAACAUCACUCUUAAACAACUAUAUCCUUAUUCUUUCCUACCAAUAUCACCAUCCAAAAUUGCAUGCCUAGUUAAAACAAUCUCUUUAACAAGAUUUCUGUAAUUGAAAGGCCGAACAGCUGCUCGCAGAAAUAGAUCUGGAGGAAGUUUGCUCUUCUUAAUCUUUUUUCUCCACGGACCGACCCCAACAUACUUCCACUCUUCUGGACUAACCUUUGCUCGCUUUCCUCUUAAAACAGUUUCGUCUCCGUCUACUGAACGCGUUGUUUCUUCCCCUGCAUCCGCUGUCAUCAUUUGCUUCUUAUAUAGCUCUGUAGAGAGUUUGACACUCUUCCUUGCCAUAUUUUCUAUUGCUUCUGCACUGUUUGUUGCUUUCCGAAACUCCUUCCAGCCCUUCACAUCUUCUUCCAUGGCAUGGAAUUUACCAUCUUUGCUUUCUUCCAUGUCCGUAACUAGAUCUUGGUCUGCAUUGAUAUCAAAAUUAUCAAUCUCCUCAUCCUCCUCCUCCAUCUCUUGAUCAUCAUCAUCAUCAUCAAAUUCACCACCAUCAUCAAAUUCAGCAUCUCCGUCACUACCUUCAUCCUCAAUCCAAUCUAUAAUCUCAGUAUCAUUAUCACCAACAAUAUCAUCAUCUUCUUCAUCAGGAGCAUCACAACCAAGCUCCAUCUCUUCCAACUUAGCCUUCCACUCUUUAGUAUAUGGAUGUAAAAUUUGCACCGGAUGAUGGCCCAAUAGAAAUUCCAAACAUUUGGACUUUUUUUCAUCACUCAAUUUCUGAUAUGCAUUAACCACAUCAUCAACAAAAGCCUUUUGAUUCACCUUCACAAGCUUACACAAUCCACCAUAAUAAGUACACGUCUCAACACUGCCAUCAUCAUUUUCUAACUGACAAAGGUAAUCUUGUUCCGUGCGAGGAUCAAGAAACGGAAUUAUUGCAUUAAAAAAAUUAUCCUGUGGCUCAAACCUACACUGGAACACCGGCCGCUUGACAUACACGAUAUCAGGUCUCAUCCACGCUGCACAUUGUGCUACCAACGACCUAGCCUUGUUCCCAAGUCUACCCAUCAAAGUCCACUUAUCUAAUCUCUGUUUACCAGCUUCAAGUACCACUUCACUAACUAAUGUCCAUUGCUGCCAAGGAAGUUCGGAAACUCUCCACUUAGGAUGCCUAAUGAAAACCCAAAAAUACCUUAACUUAGUUUGAUCCAACUGCUUCACUUUUUUCCCAAAAUCAGCAGCCAUUUCAGAUUUCUCAAUCUCCUCCCACUCUUCAUGAUCCUUCACUUCAUUAAUUAUCGUCACACACUCAUCCGUAAUCCCACCACUAACCGGCUCACCAACAACAAUUCCACGCCAAGAAUACGGCCCAUAUUCACCAUACUUAUACCAAUCAUACGGAUGCCUCAAAUUUGGAUCAUCCUUCUCCAUAAACCUCACCAUUCGAUCAUAUCCAAGACCAAUCUGCUGUAACAAAUCCUCCGAAAAAUUAUCGGGAUAAUUCCCACGUCCCCUAGGGUUUUUCAACCUAUAAAACAAACUCUCAGCAAGCUUCUUACUUUUCACCCUCGCAUUACGCUUCAUCCGUCUCCGAAAAUCAGCAUUACCUUCCAAUCUACCACCAGAAGACGACGCACCACCGGUCUUCUUACUACGACCCGCAUAACACCCAACAUCUCUUCUACUAAACACAUCACAAUUCUUACUAAAAAUCCCAAAUUCACUCUCCGGUUUCGCGUUUUGGGCCAACGAAACAACUUCAAAUCUUUUGUAGGGUUGAAAUUUUAUUAGGGUUUGGGAUUUAUUGAAAGGUUUAAAAAAGGAAAAUUUAUUGUAAGGUGAAAAUGGGUUUAAGGUUCUAGGCAAGAAUUCAGUUGUAAAAGGCGUUGAAUCCAUUUCAACAAAAAGUAUUCAGCAGCAACCUUCAAAUAAAACAUUAAAAAUUCAGUUUUUAUAGAAUUGAAGUAACAUGAAUCAUUAUAUUAAUUAUGAAACGGAAAAAUUAUUGCAAAAUUGAACCAGUAAACGAAAAAUUGAAAAGAGAAAAACCUUAGGGUGAAGUUUCUUACUGUUUCCGGCGGCGUUUCCAGGCAGUUGAGUUGAGUUCAGUGCGAUGGGAACUUGUUUCUGAAACUACGAGGGAAAAGUGGUAGCGGCAUCAUUUUGUUUUUCGUGUGUUCGAUGGAAAUGGAACUGGUAAGUUUUAUCUAUACCUAUGUUUAAUGUUUAUUAUAAGAUUUUAUUUAUAAACAUAAUAUUUUGAAAAUAAACUUGUGUCGUCGAAUUUAAAAGUUAGUCGAAAAAUAAAAACUUAUGUCGUUGAAUUUAAAAGUUAGUCGAGUUAACGAUUUAAUAACUUUAGCUUUUCUUUAAACGAAUGAUUGUGGUGAGAAAAAACUUUAUUCAUAUAUUAUAGAUUCGUUAAUUAUUUUAAAGAGUGUUGAGUAUGAUUAAUUUUUUUUCCAUUGUUCCAUUAGGGAUUUGUAUAUAGCCUAUUAGGUUUAAAUAUAUAUCUUUUGUCUCUUGAGAUAGUUGUUUAAUUGAGGGGUUCAUUUUGGUUCCGCAUAAAAGUAGUGUCAUAUUGUCCUUUAAUCUCAUUAAGUUUUCUUAGUAUAAUCCUUUUCAUCCAUUUUGUUUGUCAAAUCAAUAUUUAUGGACAUAAGGCACUAAGGAGAUUCGAAGACAAAAAUAGUAUUAUGAUUUAGCAUUUUUCUUAAAAAUGAUUAACUAAAAGAAAAUAUUUUUUAUUUCUUUCUCUCCUUCCUCACCUUCAUCAUCAAAUACAUUCAAACCCCAGAAAAAGAUAUCUAAAAAAUUAAUUCAUUGUAAAACUCAAAAAACAUCAAUGACCAAUAGAAUUAGAUAAUCGAAACAAUACUAGCUUCAAUUAUAGUCAUUACUUAACUUCAUACCAAACAAUCUAAUCCACAAUAACAUAAAAAGUACGCACAUUUCGUUUGGGAGAUCUAAUAUGAUAGAAAAUGAAGUAACCUAAAUACACAUCGCAUAAGGUAAUGUAGCAAUGAUACUUAAAGUAGAAGACAUAUAUAAAAGUACCCAUGUGAGUUUCUUCCAGCUCAACACUCAAUCAUUAAACCACAUUGAUAUUUUCUUAACGAAUUAAAGCUUGCUAAGUGAAUUGCUCAAUCCUGAAAAUUUCCAAAGUUUAUGACUUGCUCGCUCUCAACUAACUCCUAGUUCAUUGAGCCAAUUUGCCUUGUGUUCACUUUCAAUCUCUAUGAAUUCCUUGCUCCCAACUCGUGGGAUCACUAAGCGAAUCUCUGUUCGCAUCACUUCUUUGUUCUUUUAAGCUCCAACAUCUCUCGAGUUUUAAUUCCUAUCAAAAUAUGGUGAAUAGGUCAUAAUAUUGAUUCAUAUACAAGAAACGUAACUACUAGACCACUAGAUAUUUACGAUAAAUUGAUGAAUUUCUAUUGAAUUGCUUACAAAACAAGUUAAUAAAUGCCCUAAUUAAAUAGUUGGAAACAACAUGACCAAAAAAUAAAGGUGAAAACAAGUAAAAAUUUGAGAGGCCCAAAACUUCAAAAUGUGGCUUUUUAUUUUUAUUUUUUUAAGUUGUAACAAACGGAUUCUACUUCAAGUAUGUUCUCUACUGCCUAACUUAAAAAUGAGACGAUGAUAAUUUUGAAAUUAAUUGAAACUUUGUCAAGUCGAUUCCCUAGACAACUAACUUCACAUUGAUAUUUGUUAAAAUUAAUUAAUUUAAAUUGUGAAGUCGUUCGAUUGAAUAAAUGAUUUAACAUGAUCUAUUUAACUCGUUAAAAAUAUCAAUCGAUUUGAGAAAGACACAAUUUUAAAAUUAAAAUUAAAAUCAAAGGUAUCUUCCAUGCAGAAUUGCAAAAACUAAUCUAACUUAAAUUCAUUUAAAGGAUUAACCACUUGACCUCUCUAAACAAAUAUUUUUUCAUACUCACUUAUCUCUAAGAUCAAACCAAAAAUGAAUUCAAAUGAUUAAAAAUCUCAGGUUUCUAUGACUUGUGCUGCACCAUAAUUGGUGGAAAGAUAUCAUUCUAAUUAAUCAUUAAGUGGUUUGGUUGAUUAACACACUUACAUCAAAUAGUUUUACUUUUCUCACCGCUUAAACAAGUAUUUAAGAAAAUCAAUCUCUUCAUAUAUACAUACAAUGCCUCUACCUCUAUAAUUAAACAAAUAUCAUCACUAUUUGCACCGCCCACUAUCUUGAAUAACUGUGCAAAUGCUUAAACGUGUUCUUCUCUCAGCUUGCCAUGUUUUACUCUCUCAUUUAACCUCUAAGUAUAUAUAUUAGCCUCAAAUUCCCAUUUAAAACCAUAUAAAUACUCCGUUUUCUUUGAUUCUCCCAAAUCACUACAAUCUUUUUUUACUUCAAUGUCAAAUGAAAACUAUUAUCUGACUCUCAACAAAUGUUGUUUUUCUUCUUCCUCUUCUUUAGGGCAUACAGAAAGAAAAGUGGAAAGGCAAGUUGAUAGGAUCAGUAGAUUACCAAAUGAGGUAAUUGCUUAUAUCCUUUCAUUCCUACCAACCAAAGAUGCUAUCACAACAAGUGUUUUAUCCCAUAGGUGGAUUUCACUUUGGACUUUUGCUGAUGCUCUUCAUUUCCCAAAUCAUUGUCCUUCCUUUCUAACAAAAGAGAACUUUGUUGAUAUUAUGAACAGUGUCCUAUCUCAAAGGGAAUCAAAAUGCAUCAAAAGACUUUCCUUCUCUAUCCUCAACAACUGUUAUAUCCCUCACUUGGUUAGUUCAAUAGUUUCCAUGGCAACUACUCAAAAAGUUUACGAGAUAGACCUCUCUUUAUAUCGUUUAAAAGUUUAUUUGCCUCACCAGCUUUAUACAUGCAAAACACUCACUGUUUUGAGGUUGGUUGGGACAUUUCAUCUCAAUGUUCCUUCUCAUCUUCAUCUUCCUUUGUUGAAGAUUUUGCAUCUCAAUCUUUUGUGCUUUGUUGAUGAUCACGAUGAUGAUGCUCUUAUGAGGUUUUUAUCUAGUUGUCCUGCUCUUGAACAACUUUUCUACGAGGAAGUGAAGUUCAAACGUACUUCUUUGUUUGGAAUAUGUGUGCCUUCGUUGAAGAGGUUAUUUGUUAGGAGUUUUGAUGAAAGACUUCAUAUUAAAACUCCUCUUCUUGAGUGCCUUGUGAUGAAAGAAACUAAGGCGAUUAACUAUGUGGUUGAGAAUUUGGACAAUUUGAAAGAAGCACAUAUUGGUAUCCAUUUUGAUUAUGAAAAUAAAAAAGUAAAAGAAAAUAUAGCAAAUAUUUUCAAUGGGGUUCGUAAAACCAGAUUUCUUUGCUUAGAUUUGUAUACCACAGAGGUAUGAUUCUUUGCUAAACUUACCUUCUCUUAUCACGUGCACACUGAAUUCAUAUGUUUUCUACGUUUUUUUCCCUUCCACUUUUGUAAACAGUUGGUUAGAAAAGUAUAUUAUAUAUAAGGACUAAAAGUUCUAUUUACCCCAUGUUUUUAGUAUAGGAAUUGUAUGUUAUUUCUCAUAAUUCUUUGUUAUUUUUAUCCACUUGCAGGUGCUUACUUAUGCUUGUCUAGAAUUUCCAACAUUUGAUCAUUUGGGUCAUCUACAAUUAUAUUUAAAAAUCCUUGAUUCAUAUUUUCUAGUUGAGUUGUUGCUAGAAAAAUGCCCCAAUCUAGAAUUUCUAGAGAUUAUCAAGGUUAGUUAACUCUUGAGAUUUAGCUAAUUAUUUCUUGAAUUUUUAUUUUUACUUUGUUUCAUUGGAUACAAUUAUAGUUGUGUUGUGACCUCACUUGACAGGUUGAUGAACUAUGUGAUAAUGAAAUUGAAUGGAGACAACCAACAAUAGUUCCUAGCUGUCUUUCAUCACACCUUACUACUUUUAUAUUCAGAGAUUAUGAAGGCACGGAUGAAGAGUUUGAACUUAUAAGUUACAUUUUAAAUAGUGGAAAAGUGCUUAAGAGAACCACAAUUUAUUUUGAGAGUAGCUGCUGGAAUCCAAGCGAGACAAGUGAUGCUGUGUUGGAAUUAUCUUCCUUGCCAAGAGCCUCAAAAGAUAACAGGACUAACUAUGUGCUUCAAAGUCGUUCUUGAUGGUAUGGAUUAUAAAUAGAGCUUUUGUAUUCUUUUUUGUAGGUUGCAGCAUGUUUUCAUGCAAGUUAUCAUGUAAUUUUAGUCCCUUGAAGAAGAAGCAACCUUGUAUCCUUAUUCUGAAUAUAAAUGAUGUUUUAUAAAUGAUGAAUAUGAUUGGCAUCUGAUGAUGUACCAUCCAGUGGUUGUUGAUUUGGUUUCAAGUCACUUUCAGAAAGCAUGGCUAUAAUUCCCGAUUUGAGCGAAUUUGCUAGAGUCCGCAUGAGUUCGACUGACUUUGCUUAGAAAUGAGUUUAUAUGAGAUUCAACUUGAUUUUUCCUCCUAGAACAUAAACUUGACAACCCGUGGUUCUAUAAAGCACUAACACAGACACGACACAAACACGCUAUGUUGACACCACAAAUUAAAUGUAACCACAAGUGUCUUGGCAUCCAAGAAUAUUGCUUGGGAAGCUAACUGGUUUUGAUAUUUUCCAUCACUUUCUUCCGCUGGAUAGCAUAAGUUACUCAAAGCAUGUAUGGUUUACAACAUGCCAAUUCUGUGAUUGUCCUGAUCAUGCUAGUCCUUGGAAGUUUGUUUCUCAAGUUUCAACUACUUUUUAGUCUUCUCUUGUUGAGUGUUAGUUAUAGUUCUCAAAUUAGAUUCUGGGAGAGUAUUCAGGAACUUUUCUCUUUUUCAUGGCUUUUCCUAUACUUCUUUUACAGUCAACUUUACACCAUUUCUGUCUAGUUCCUUUCAAAUUUUGACCUUUUCAAUAACCUUCAUAAUCAUGAAAGGUUGGUGAGUUUAAGUCUCUUAUGCUUUUACUUCAUCUUUCUUCAAAUCCUGGAAAAGAAAUUUGGUCAUUUGACACCUUGGGUUUCUUCUUUUCUAAGUCUUAUUUUCCAUAGUGUGCCUAAAAUAUUCUUUUGGACAAACCCAGAUGGACAUAUUAUGCUCUAUAUAAGUUAAAAACGUUUUGUUUGGACUGAUGUGGUUUACAGGAUUAACAAAAUUGACAGGUUACAGGAACAAAAAUAUCUUUUUUGAAUUGGUCUAGGUACUUUGGAGAAAGCUGUUUGGAGUUUUGGAGAUUGUUGGGUCUGUCUUUUGGACCUGUAUAAGUUUCUCUUAAUUGGCUCAAGAAGCUUUGCCUUGUAUAUAGUGUUGUUAAAUAGCGGCUAUAGUGGCACUAUAGCACUAUUGCAUAAUGGAAUUUGAACAAAUUGCUAUUGUUUUUUGCUUGUGGUUUCUUUUGUAGUGUUUCUUUAUCAUACAGGCAGAGAUACUGGCAUGCUUUAUAAUAUACAAUUAAAUUGAAUUAUACAGAAGUUAAAUGAUAGACUAUACCUAAUCAGCUCUUGCGAUCUGAUGUCAAGAAUCAAUAGCAUUGAUUGCCUGCAGAGUCCAUACACAUAUAAGGAAGUGAGAUAUUUACGCUUGCAUCGUCCUAAACUUGUGUCAACUGUUGAAUUCCCCAUUGCAGCUGCAGGGACCAUCAAUUCAGAAACCAAGAACAUGAGUUUUAUAACCUGAUUGCAUCAACCGUGUGGUAUGAGCUUAUCACAAACCAAGAUUCUAUAACUUGCAUGUGGACCCUCAGCCGUGUCUCGCAAUGUGGCUUGCCAGCCGAUAGCCUUGGCAAUCUCCAGAAGCUCAUCCAUGAUAGAAAGAGAAUCUCGGAUGUAUACAUGUCCACCAGGUCUAAGUAUCCGAUCCAUCUCAAGCAUGAUUGAUGAGACAUUGCAUCUAAUAAGCGAGAAAUGCAACAAAUAGUUAGGAAUCGCUGCAGAAGCACUCCCUACAUACAACAUAAAAUACAGUAAACCUAUCCAGGUUUCUUAUUUUUACAAAGCUCGUAAUAUAUGCUGUAAAUAAGCAAUGAAAAAUGAACAUUGCCAAUAUAAUUUAUUUCAAGAUGGACAAAUAUUGAGAUAUAGAUUCAGUAGAUCACCAAGUGUAACAGAUUGGACGUCCAAACCGUUUCAUUUUGCUUGAGAGAAAUGAAAUAUAUACUGAAUCAAGCUUCCUAAGGAGAGAAUAUAAAAACUUUGACUUUGUCAAUCCACAUAUAACGACAGCCUGACAUAUUUACAAAACAAUCUAUCAACACAAGGAGUACCUUUUCUUCUCAACAGAAAGCAGAUAUGAAGCAUGCAGAAGAUCAUAGGUUCUUGGAUAAGUGUCAAAUGAUUCACACCUAAAUUAGAUAUCAUAGAUAGAAAUAUUACCACAUGCUGAGAAGUUCGCAAUAUUGGUACGACAACUUAUUUAGUAUAUUUUUAAUAUAAUCUUAAAUAAGAGCAACAAAGUACCAAUCAUGCAUAACUCCGAUAAGCCCACGGUCAUAUAUCACAGGCAAGGUGUUUGGGCCACUAACAGGAACAACAUUCAUAACCCAGCUGUCAAGAUUCUGGUCAAUCAACGCAGCUGCAAAUCUGCAGAAAGCUAAAAAAGUUGUUGAAUAUACUAAUAAGAAAAUCCUACCAUAUUUUAGUAUCUUGCACAAGAAAGAAAAUAUGAUAAAACAAUACCCGCCAAAACCAGCUCUCAUGUCUAUAACAUUUCUUAAUCUCAUCGUCUUCCAACGGUAAGCACGUACAUAACUUGCUAUUACCUCAUUCCAAUAUUUUGAUUCUGCCUUAAAAAGCUCUUUUCUGGAUAGGAGAGCAUCAAGUUUUAUGCUUUGGAGCCUAUCAGGUGAAGUUUGCAAACGUGCAGGCCAUUUGGUAAGAUUUACUCCAUAUCCAUUCUCAGGCAAUUGAGAGAUGCAUGCUUUUAAAUUAACAUACCUAAAUUGACAAAGAAAAUAAUUGAACACUCAAUCAAAGGCCUGUAAAAUGUAAUAAAACACAAGCAUGAAAAUCUAUUAUAAAGUUUUACUCAAAUUGUUUAAUUACUAAAAAUGAUAGACUUGGCUGGUUUUUCCCGUGGCUGAAUAGGGUCAAGGCUGUUUCUAGAUAUAAAAUUCUAUGGGACUGCAGGUAGAAACCCUAUACUAAUGUGUGUAAUCAGGUUAGAUCACAUUCUACUUCCACAGUCAUAAAUACCCAUCAUUCAGUUUCCAAUUUAUUUUUCUCUUCAUCUUAUUUGUUUCUAUUUUUUUUCCAUAAAGGUCAGAUGAAGAAAAAAUUAACUUGUCCACAAUUUUAGUGUACGCUUCAGUAAACCUAAAAGGCAGAAUAUAUAUAUAUAUAUAUAUAUAUAUAUAUAUAUAUAUAUAUAUAUAUAUAUAUAUAAUAAAUUUAUAUGAACUUCCAAAAACUGCAUAGCCAAUUUUAUAGUCAUAGUUUAGCUUUAAAAAAUCAUCGCUUCAACCUUCAGCAAAGUUAUCUGGAUGAAAAUGGAAUUUCACUUUCUUCCUUUGAUGAGCUGUUGAUCAUAUAAAGGUUUCUGUUAAUUAUUGAUCGCGGGCUUCUUCAUAGAUCAUAGUUUUUUCAUUUUCAUAAUUUAUCACAAAUUUAUAGCUUCAAUGAAAUGGAGUUUCACUCUCUUUUCCUUGGAUGAACAAAAAAUAUAGUAGUCUAGCAUUUAAUAUCAAUGAAGGAACUAUUUAAUUCUACACCUCCCGGUUGUUUCAACCUAUAUAUAUGUAAAAUGCACCUAUUUUUUACUCCUUGAUUCUAUUCUCGAAACCUCUAUCACACAAGACAAUGAUGGUAAAUUUACAUAUUGUUUGCGUAAAAUUUAUCGGGAAGGCAAGAACACUAUACCAGAUAUUGUCUGGGUCCUCAGUUAUGUCACAGAGUGGAGGCUUAGUUUCUGCCUCACGGUUUAGAUAGCAGCUAUUGUCGAAGGGUUUCUGCCAUAUUGCAACAUACCCAUCUUUUUUCAAAAACUUCCAGCAUAGACGAGUAGUAAGAUUAAUCAUCUCUGAUGAUAAUAAAACCCAAUGUUAUACUCACAAUGGAGGCUGCAAUAUUAGGAAUACAGAUUAAGACAACCCUAAUAAAUUACUAAACAUUCAAGUACAGUGGUACUUUUUUUUUCCGUUUCAAUAGUACUGUUGUACACAUAGCAGAAGUAACAGUCAAUUGCGAAAAUUGGAGCAGUUGAGCAGGUAUUUAAUAUCAUGGCAUAUAGUUAAAACUCUAGCUUUGGAUACUGAAUAAAUCAUUGAGAGAGGGGUCUAAGUCAAAGGGUUGACCAUUUAAAGAUUACAUUUUAGUUCUGCCUAUCGAUGCGACACAUGACGGAAACAUGGUAACAAUUAGUGAACAAAUUGUGGAAUAUGUCAUAUCAGAAAAUGUUAACAUUAAAAUAAGUGUACAAAACUAAGCAAUCCAUAAAUGCCACAGUCUAUAGCUGAAAAGCUUCAAUAAUUAAAUCUAGAUGGAAACCAAUUUGAGUCAUACCUUCCCAUUGUUCUUCUAAAUUUUGCUCAUGUUUAUAAACUGGUUGGGCAGCCCAGACAAAGUACCCUCCUGCCCUUAGCAUCCUAUUAGCUUCAAGCAGCAAAAUACCAUCUGCAUCACAAGUUCAAACAAGGUGUUGGAUGAAACUCAAAGCGAGCAACUGAAACAAAGACGUGAAGGGAACAUGAAAAUAGCUCUCUUUUAUUUUUACAAGCAAUUCUGAAACAAGCCCUGCUCACAACAAAUUUGUCUUUCCUACUGGCAAUCCAAUAAUGAUAUCAGGUAAUGAUUGAUUAGGGAUCUGCGUGUAUAGUUAUAUUAGUUUUUUCCAAGAAGAAGAAUCUCAUGGCAAUGAAAUUGGGAUAAAAAAAAAAAAAAAAAGAGGUUGAUAGAGACCAAAGGAUCUUUAUUAUUAUGAUCUGUAUUAAUUUUCCAGAGUAAAAAAGUGCAUAUGCCAUUCAUACCAUAAAAACUAGCUAAAACAAGAGUGGAUAAAAAUUGAAAUGCAAAUAAUGACAUUUACAUAAAACCGUGACUAGGUAAAAACUUGCAUUUAGAACAUGCAAUUCUACGGUCAGUUAGCUUUUUAGGAACAAUGCACACGAUACAAGAGAACUCAUACCAUCUCGAGUCCAAUUAAUUCUGCAGCGUGAACAAUGUAUCAAAUCAAAAGCUUGACUUGGAUAUAAUAAACGUCUAGUUGCAAAUGCUGCCACCAUCGCUGGGACACCACGCUCAAGAGCAAAUUGGAUCUGAUUCUCAUGAAUAUCCUUUGGGGCAACGGACAUCGUGAUGACAUUUCUUGACAAUAAGUAUGCGCCAAAACUAGCUACACCACAGCCAACAUCAAGAGCAACUCUUAUAUUUUGACCAAAUGUGAUGUCAGGAACCAUCUAAAACAUCUGGAUGAUAAACAUCAGAAUUAUCGAAGAUGCACAUAUACCGCCUUAAAAUGAGAAACCAAAGUACAUAAUGACCUUAGAAAUAUGGUCCAAGUAUUGAUCUGCUCCGUGUAUAAAUUGGGUGCCACCUCCUGGAAACUUGAACUUAUUCUUGUCUCUUCUAAUCCAAUUUUGACCCCCUUUAUCUUCCACAAGACGAGUGUGGGGAACAUUACUGUACCACACCUACAAGAAAAAAGCAUAAUAUUGCAUUAAAAAACCAAGUUACAGCCACCUACACCCCAGAUAAAAAGAAAUUUGAGUGGCAAUUGAUAAAAUUAUAAUCUGCUCCACUUGGAAAAACUUAAAUUACACCCUCCAACAAGAUAUUCUUUUUAGAUUUAUGAUUUUAAAGAUCAUUGAUAUAUAGUUUUGGAUCCUCAUUAUUGAUUAUAAGACAAUAAAAGACAAACAAAUAUUAAGUACAAAGUUCCAAAACCGAUAAAUGAAUAUUAAAACUUCAUUUUGUCUUCUAAAAUCAUAAACUCAAUACAACAAUAAAAUAUCCAAAAUUAAGUGACAGUGAUACUGAAAAUUGUGGAGAAAGAAAAAUAUGGACAGAAGACUUAUUUAUGGUUGUUCGCCAUUAUUAAAAGGUUCGUUCAAGUGGAAACAAGAUAAAAUGCAAUAUAUACUUAUCUCAGGGAAAGGGGGUGAAUGUUUUAAAAUAAGAUGAGAGCAAAGUGCAAUCUAAGCUUAUCACAAAAGAGGAGAGCUUGUUAGGUGUAAUUGUAUUGCUUUGAUCCCCAAAACUUCAACCUAUGCAAAUUGACCCGAAAUAGCAAGUGACAAUUUUGGCCAAUUGAACUCAUUAGGAAGUUGACAACCACAGGGACCAACAAGUUUUACUUAUAAUAAACUUGGAAAAUGCUAGGAAAAAAUUAACUAACACUUUAUAUAUGGGUAUAAUUAAUUAUUUAUAUUGAAACGAUAUAAGUUGUUAGUGCAAACCUGUUUUACACUGAUAUCUAAUGAAAAUGCGUUGCUUUGUCAUAUCACCCCACUUUUGUAAGUGCAACUUAAAAUGACUUAGAAAACAAGAAGAUCCUCGUUGGAAUAAUGGUUUACACUCAUGUAUCUCGAUUAAACUCUAAUUAUAUUACAUCAUUAUAUAAGAGCAUAAUAAAGCAUUUGGUUAUAUUAUUUACUGAACUCCUAAAAAUUUCUGGUGUUACAAAUAGAGAAGGCUCUGUUUGCCAAGACACAAUUUGAGCUUAUAGCUUAUAAGCUCAUAUAACUAAGAAAGACUCGUUCGGUAAGUCAUUUUCUCACGAGCUUAUGUCAAUUCAUAUUAAGUUAGUCCUCUGAUAAGUUAGUUCAACCGCUAAUUAUUUUGUCAUAUGAACUGGUGGAAAGAGCUUAUGUAGUGGUUAUAUAGUGGUUAAACGAGCUUAUGAUAGAGUUUAUUUUGUCAUAAGUUAGCAGUUAUAUAGCGGUUAAACGAGCAAAUUAACUGGUUAAACAAGCUUAUUGUUUAACCGCUAAUAUAGCUGUUGAACUAACGAGUUUAUUAUUUAACCACUAAUUUAACCUUUUAAACGAACUAAUUAUACAGCGGUUAUUUUGUCAAUUCAUAUUAAGUUAGUUCUUUGAUAACUCAUUUUUUGACAAGCUUAUGUUAAUUCGUAUCAAGUGGAUAACUGAGCUUAGUUGCUAAGCUAGUUCAACCGCUAAUUUUAUCAAACACUAAAUUCAAUCAGCAAUCUCUAUCAAUUACCCACUAUAAGUUAACUUAUCAGAUAUCGCUAUUUUUUACCAAACAAAUAUCCGAAAUGUACCUCGUCGCGGCUUCUAGGCCAAGGAAUCGGCUCCCGGUAACCUUUAGGCGCCGGAACCAAACAAUUAAACCGUUUCUCCUCAACUGGACAAUGCCUCUCAAAUCUCUCCCCUCUCUCCACUGAUUCCAGCUUCCUAAUCUCAUCAACAUUAUCCAAACACGGUAUAUACUCACUCAUACUUCCCUUACACAAUUCAAAUUUCUUCACUUUCAAUUUCACUUCAUCAUUUGAAUUAUCCUUAACAUCACUUUGUGCUUCAUCCACAAAAUCCGGAUCAAAUUCACCAACCUCAAACUCAUCAGACAUUGUUCCAUCCUCAUUCAGAACCCCUGAUUUCUUAAUUUUCACGGUUUCUGGUGUUUGGUUAGGGUUGAUUAUGGCGGAGAUGUUGAAGAAUUUGUUGAAAUUGGGGGAAAUGGAGAUUUGAUCGGUUGUUGUUGUGGUGGUGAAGAAAAUGAGUUGUUGUUGAGAGCGAUUGGACCAGUGUUUACCGAGGUAGAAGAAAGUGACGGCGACGGUGAAGAGCGCGGCGGUUUUGAUGAAUGGAUCGGCGGAGGUGGAUGGUUUCAUGGUGGGGGUAUGGGAUCAAAGAAUGGGGGUGUAAAUAUGAAUUGAAUGAAGAUGACAUGAAAUGAAUGAGAGUGAACUGCGUAGCGGGAAGAGCGCUGAAUUUGUCUGUUUAAGUUUGAUGACAGUUAAACAAACUUUGAGUUGAUAGUGAAGUUUACGUCAUUUAUUGAACCAUAAAUUGCACUUAUAAACAAAAAUGAGUAAAUCCUCAAAUUUAUUAAUUUGUUGCGCUAUAUCAAUUUAAUCUUUUCUUUUAUGCAAUGGAAAAAUAAACAAAAACAAAGAAACAUAAAAAGAAACUAAGUUCGCGGACGAGCAACGCUUAUAACAUUAAGCAUUAACAUGAAAUUGAGUUUCGGACGAUGGUCUUUGCAAAUCAAUUGACACAUUUAUUUAUGAAGGUAAAUAAUGUAAACUGAAGUGACCCCUCACCCAAUUUUUUUUUAUAAUAAAAAAUUGCAAUUUUGGUCACUUCAAUUUUUUAAUCAUGAUUUUAGUUUGUAGUUUUGACAAUAUAUGAAUAUAAUAUGAUGAAUAUGAUGGACAUGUUCACCGAAAGAAAUAUCACUUUGAUGCAAUCGAUUUUAUAAUUAGAUUAUUAUAAAAAGAUUGAUUAGAUGCCCUUAGCGGUAACUUAUCAGAUAUUGGUAUUAUGAGCUCAGCAUGAAACUAGUAGUAAUUGUUUGGAUGGAGCUACGUUGUCAAAAACCAUUUGUGUUCGUGAAUUGUUUUCAAUCGUUGCCUUGCAGUUCACUCGUCUUGAAUUCGUGAUAUUUCCUUCAGACUUCAGUUCACCUUGAAUUUCUACAUGUCCAUUUCCAAAUGAUGUGUUGCCACAAUGUUUAGUUUUGUUUAAUGGAUUUGAUGGGGAGCCUAGUAUAGGAGUGAUGGUAGAGAUAAUUUUUUCUUUAGGAAAAUAAAAUUAGAUUAGGGGAGAUACGACCUCAUGCAAGAUCAAUCAAGAUUUAUAUAAAUUUAUGUGGUCACAACUGAUGUGAGCGGUGUAACACCCCGUUUUCCCAAUAUACAAAUUUCUUAAACAAUUAUCAGAGUAAAAACCAUAAACGGGAUAUCACAUAGAAACGUAAUCCAAAACAGUUAAAUAAUGAUUUAACCUUCACAAAUAUCUUUAACAUAGCAGCGGAAAUUCAUAAACAUAAAUCAUAAACGUUUUCGGCACGCAGGCCCAAUAAGUAUCUCAAAAGAGUUUAUCAAAACAUAAGCAGUUCACGUAAAAGAAUGAAGCAUGUUAUAGCAUUAAACCCCAUCCCGUUACGUAUCAGAGCGACCUAGACGACACAGUGAAGGCAAGGCCAACUCACGAAGCAACUGCACACUAAGCACGAUCACCUGCAAGUUACCCAUACGAAGGGCAACAUUUUCAAGCAGAAGGGGUGAGAUUUCAUAAUAAAAUAACAUUAAUCAAUGUAAUUGUGAAUCAUAAAUUAACAUCAAUCAUUCCAUUAUUAACUUUGCAUAAAUGCUAAACAGUUAUCACGUAAUCACAUAUCCAAUCAUUAUAAACAACAUAACAUAAUCAAAUAACACUUAUCACAUAAUCACAUAUCCAUUCAUUAUCAACAAGGCAUCUUAAUCAUGACAAUGUGACAAUGCUCCUAGACUCCUUAUAUGCAUGUGGUACCAAUCGUCAUCAUAAGUAUUAAUAUACUUUAAUCGUGCGGAGGACAAAGCUCCUAUAAAACGUGCGGAGGACAAAGCUCCUAAUUUUCGUGGUGAGGACUAAGCUCAAUGAUAUGCUAUGCAUGGACACAUAUGAACAAAACAUCAUAAUCAUCGUAAUCAUGUGCAUUCAAUAACUUGAUGCAAAACGUCAUCAUUUUCCUUAUAUUCAUAUAUAAACAUUGCAUACUCAGUUAAAUAACAGCAGCAGCAUAGUCAAGUCGCAUAACAGCAAGGAGAUAUCAAUAUAUCAACAACAAUUUACUAGAAUCAUAAUCAUUUCAAUUAUAUCUUACAUAUUGCAUAAUACCUUAAUCAUGCUCAAAUAAUAUCAACUUAACUCAAUAGCUUUACAGACUGCAUUAAACGUUAUCAUAAGGUUUCAUUACCAAUUAGGGGUUCACUCUGGACUAAAAAGUGCGACACAGAUCGCACAAACACAUAAUCAAGUUCAUCCUGGUUGUACUCGCGAGGCGAGAGUACUUACUCGCCAUGGCGAGCACCACUCAACUCACAAACUAAGCUUGUUCUAGGUUCCCUCUGAUCCUACAUUCAUUCCUAAUCAAUACUAGGUAAGUUCAGGUACUCAAAGGCAUACAAGAUUCAACUAAAAAGGUCGAAACACGAAAUAUGACAUGCACUCUGCCUAAGCUCGCGAGGCGAGGAAGGUUGCUCGCCAUGGCGAGUUGCACCAAACAACUCGCGAGGCGAAGGAAAGGGGCUCGCGUGGCGAGCGAUGAAGUUCACCACUCGCGAGGCGAGGAUCAUCACUCGCCGUGGCGAGCGAUGAACAGAAGCACGGGCAGACUAGGGUUUUUCUCAAAAAUCCAUCACACAACAUGGUUCAAAGCCUAAUUUGAUUUCAGAAUUCAUCCUAAACAUAUUCUAAGGUUAUAGGACGGUUCUUACAUCAAUCUAAACAAGUUUUACCGUUUGAUCAUCAAUUUUUAGGGUUUUAACCUAAUUCCAAAACUUUUCUAAAUCAAUCCUAACUUUGUCAAUUAAUCAUCAGAAUUACAACAAUCAAUGCUAUUGAAUUACUAGUCUCACCCUUACCUGGUUAUGAAGAAAUCGCAGCACUCUACCUUGGUUCCUCUAGACUUGGCUUUUUCUCCCUUUUCCAAAAGUUUUCACGUACAAUGAGUUUCUAAAAUAUUAGGUCUUCUCCUAUUUAUACCUCUUUCUAAUAACUUAUCUUAUCUCACUUUCUCCCCCAAAACUAUCUAAAAUAUCAAAACAGCCCUCAACUAAAUAUUUUUCAAAUCUUUAUCUUAUUUAACAAUAAAAUAAAUUCUAUAAUCUUAUCAAUUCCUCCAAAACUCAUAACCUAACACGUCAUCAAUCAAAUCACCAAAAUCACCACAAUUUAUCAAAACAUAUCAAAAUCAUACAUAUAUUAUAUAAAUAUAAUAUAAUCACUUAAACUCGAUUAAAUAACUAUUAAACGAAAGUGGGCGUUACAACUCUCCCCCACUUAAAGGAUUUUCGUCCUCGAAAAUUUACCUCAAGCAAACAACUCUGGAUAAGACUCCAGCAUCUUACUCUCAAGCUCCCACGUCAAGCUUUCACCAGUCGCUCCCGACCAAACGACUCUCACGAGAGGUAUCUCCUUGCCUCUCAACGUCUUCACUUUACGAUCAUCAAUCCUUACCGGUAAAGUCUCUACCGUAAGGUUGUCUCUAACUUGCACAUCGUCGCUUUGGAUUACAUGAGAUGGAUCCGGAACAUACUUUCGAAGUUGCGACACAUGGAAAACGUUGUGCAAAUUCGAAAGAUGUGGCGGUAAACCCACUCGGUAAGCCACCGUUCCAACUCUUUCCAAUAUCUGAUACGGACCAAUGAACUUCGGGGUCAACUUCUUUGACUUCAAAGCACGUCCUACACCGGUCAUAGGAGUGACUCUCAAAAACACGUGGUCUCCUUCUUGGAACUCAAGAUCUUUUCUACGCUUAUCAUGAUAACUCUUUUGUCGACUCUGCGACGCCUUCAUUUUCUCUUGGAUCAUCUGAACUUUCUCAGUAGUUUGCUGAACAAUCUCUGGUCCUAAGACCACUCUUUCUCCUGAUUCAAACCAACACAACGGAGUUCUGCAUCUCCGACCAUACAAAGCUUCGAACGGUGCCAUUCCAAUACUAGAAUGAUAACUAUUAUUAUAUGUGAACUCGAUCAACGGAAGAUGACUAUCCCAAGUUCCUCCUUGCUCAAGAACACAAAUUCUCAACAAAUCCUCUAGCGACUGAAUUGUCCUCUCCGACUGACCAUCUGUCUGUGGAUGAUACGCCGAACUCAAUCUCAACUUCGAACCCAAGGCCUCUUGCAAACUUUUCCAAAAUCUAGAAGUAAAUCUUGGAUCUCUAUCUGAUACAAUGCUCGAAGGAACACCAUGCAACUUCACAAUCUCUUUGAUGUAAAUCUCUGCCAACUGGGCAACAGGGAAACUAAUAUUAAUAGGUAGGAAAUGAGCUGACUUCGUCAACCUAUCAACAAUAACCCAAAUUGCGUCGCUCCCUCUCGGAGUAUUCGGCAAACUCGUCACAAAAUCCAUCGAUAUACUAUCCCAUUUCCAUUCUGGCACGUCUAAAGGUACCAUCAUUCCAGCAGGUUUCUGAUGCUCAACUUUCGACUUCUGACAAACUAAACAGGAAUACACAAACUGUGCCACAUCUCGUUUCAAACCAGACCACCAGAAAAUCUUCUUUAGAUCAUGAUACAUCUUCGUAGCUCCCGGAUGAAUACUCAAGCUACUUCUAUGACUCUCUUCAAGAAUCAUCUUCUUAAUCUCUUCAUUGUCUGGGAUACAAAUUCUUCCUCGGAAUCUCAACACACCUUGAUCAUCGAUUUUAAAAUCACUGUCUUCAGUCUGAUCUCUAGCAAUCAACAAGUCCACAAACUUUACAUCAACUUUCUGUGCUUCCUUGAUACCUUUCAGAAAUUCACUAUCAAUCUUCAGCAUACCCAGUUUCACACUCUGAGGUGACCAUUCGCAAACCAAACUCAUAUCUCUAAACUGUUCAAGCAAUUCGAACUCUCUGACCAUCAUGGCGGACAUAUGCAAUGUCUUCCUACUCAAGGCAUCUGCAACAACAUUAGCUUUACCUGGAUGAUAAUUCAAACCAAAGUCAUAAUCCUUCAACAAUUCGAGCCAUCUUCGCUGUCUCAUAUUCAAUUCCUUCUGAUCGAACAAAUACUUCAAACUCUUGUGAUCACUAAACACCUCAAAUCUCGAACCAUACAAGUAAUGUCUCCAUAUCUUCAAUACAAAGACUACAGCCGCCAACUCGAGAUCAUGCGUAGGAUAAUUCUUCUCAUGAACUCUCAACUGUCUUGAAGCAUAAGCUACCACUUUACCUUCUUGCAUAAGUACACCUCCUAAACCCAACUUGGACGCAUCACAAUAUACCACAAAAGGUUCAUCCGACUUCGGCAAAAUUAACACUGGAGCAGUCGUCAACCGUUUCUUCAAUUCACCGAAACUUUUCUCACAAUGAACGUCCCACACAAAAGUUUUACCUUUACAAGUCAACUGCGUUAGCGGAAGAGCUAACUUAGAAAACCCUUCAAUAAACCUUCUAUAGUAACCAGCUAAACCCAAGAAACUUCUAAUCUCAGUAACGGACUUUGGAGUCUCCCACCGUGAUACCGCUUCAACUUUAGACGGAUCCACUGCAAUACCAUCACCAGAAAUAACAUGGCCUAGAAAACUCACUUCUUUCAACCAGAAUUCACACUUAGACAAUUUAGCAUAAAGCUUCUUCUCUUUCAACACUUGUAAGACAAUCUUCAGAUGCUCAGCAUGUUCUUCUUCAGUCUUGGAGUAGAUCAAAAUAUCGUCGAUAAACACAACUACGAACCGAUCCAAAAAUGCAUGGAAGAUGCGAUUCAUAUACUCCAUAAACACUCCAGGUGCAUUGGUCACACCGAAGGGCAUAACUUUAUAUUCAUAGUGACCAUAACGCGUUCUGAAAGCCGUCUUCUGCAUAUCUUCGUCUUUUACUUUAAUCUGGUGAUAGCCUGAUCUCAAAUCAAUCUUGCUGAAAACUCGUGCACCCACUAGCUGAUCCAUCAAAUCAUCAAUUCUCGGAAGUGGAUACCUAUUCUUGAUAGUUACCUUGUUCAACUGCCGAUAAUCAAUACACAACCGCAUACUACCAUCUUUCUUCUUUACUAGCAAAACCGGCGCUCCCCAAGGUGAAACACUUGGUCUAACAAACUUCUUCUCAAGCAAGUCUUCCAACUGUUUCUUCAACUCAGAUAACUCAGAAGCAGACAUACGAUAAGGUGCCAUCGAGACCGGCUUCGUUCCAGGAACAAGAUCAAUAGAAAACUCAACUUCUCUCUCUGGAGGCACAUCAGGAAUCUCAUCUGGAAAAACUUCAGGAAAUUCACACACCACCGGUAACCUGUCAAUCACUGCUUGAUUCUCAAUAGAUAUAGUAGCCAUUAACGAAAACAUCAAGAUACCGUCGCGUUCCAGUUGCUUCAGCUGCUUAGUAGAUAAAAACUCUGCACCACUUUCCUCUUCGACGGAAGAGAAAUGCACUGACUUGCUAAAACAAUUAAUAAGAACGUGGUUGUACUCUAACCAGUUCAUACCCAAAAUCACAUCCAUACCACUCAAAGGUAGACAAACUAAAUCCAUUUCAAAAUCACGACCAAACAUAGACAAAGGACAUUUCAAACAUACGAGAGAAGUAGUCACCGAACCCUUAGCUGGAGUUUCGACAACCAUCUCUCCAUUCAUAUCAGACAAAACAAGACCCAAAGCAGAAACACAAUCGAAAGCAAUAAAACAAUGCGUAGCACCAGUAUCAAUAAUAGCAACUAAAGGAGUAUUAUUAAUAUAGCAAGUACCUCUGAUCAAACGAUCCUCAUUCUCUGUCUGAGUCCCAGUCAAAGCAAAGACCCUACCAGUAGUCGGCGCCCUCUUAGGCUGAGUACACUGUGAACUAAUGUGACCCUCUCCAUUGCAAUUAAAGCAAACAAUGUCUGUACGGUUGCAAUCAGCUACAACAUGACCCUUCUUACCACACCGGACACACUUCUUGAUUUCCUCAGGGCAGACGUUGCUCUUGUGGCCUUUCUCACCACAAUUGAAACACACAAUCUCUGCAGCAUCCUUCUUCUUAGGCCGCCUAACAUCGACCAUCUUCUGUUUCCCUUUGUCAGCGGGGGCACUGUACGGCUUAGGACGACUCUGCUGUCCCUUGCCCUUCCUCUCAUUCACUACCUUGUAGUGAGCCUUGGUAUCCUCCUCAUAGAUCCUGCAGCUAUUAACCAAGUCCUGAAAAACUCUCAGCUGUUGGUAUCCAAUCGCCCUCUUGAUGUCGGGCCUCAAACCGUUCUCGAACUUGAUGCAUCUCGAGAACUCAGCAUUCUCUGCAGUAUAGUGCGGAUAGAACUUAGACAGCUCCACGAACUUGGCAGCAUACUCUGUCACGGACAUAUUUCCUUGCUUCAGCUCAAGGAAUUCGAUCUCUUUCUUCCCGCGAACAUCUUCCGGAAAGUAUCUUCUCAGGAACUCUCUCCUGAAAACAGCCCAAGUCACAACAGCUCCUUCCUGCUCGAGGGUAGGCAGAAUAGCAACCCACCAGUCAUCAGCUUCAUCGGCCAGCUGAUGAGUACCAAACCGCACCUUCUGAUCUUCAGUGCACUGCAUAACUCGGAAAAUCCUCUCAAUCUCCUUAAGCCACGUCUGGGCUCCAUCAGGGUCAUAACGUCCUUUGAAAGUCGGAGGGUUCUUCUUCAUGAACGUCUCCAACAUCCUAGCUUCAGCAUUUGCACCAGCAUUCACGUUAGGUUGUUGUCCCACAGCUUGGGCAACAGCUUGUAGAGCAGCAGCUAACGCAGCAUCAUUCCUUCCAGCCAUUCUGAUAUUCUUCAAAAGUAGCAACAACAGUAUAAGAUAGUAAUAUAAUAUUACUAAGACUCGACACGACUCUCUAAUUGACCGGACGGACCGACCUGCUCUGAUACCAAUUGUAACACCCCGUUUUCCCAAUAUACAAAUUUCUUAAACAAUUAUCAGAGUAAAAACCAUAAACGGGAUAUCACAUAGAAACGUAAUCCAAAACAGUUAAAUAAUGAUUUAACCUUCACAAAUAUCUUUAACAUAGCAGCGGAAAUUCAUAAACAUAAAUCAUAAACGUUUUCGGCACGCAGGCCCAAUAAGUAUCUCAAAAGAGUUUAUCAAAACAUAAGCAGUUCACGUAAAAGAAUGAAGCAUGUUAUAGCAUUAAACCCCAUCCCGUUACGUAUCAGAGCGACCUAGACGACACAGUGAAGGCAAGGCCAACUCACGAAGCAACUGCACACUAAGCACGAUCACCUGCAAGUUACCCAUACGAAGGGCAACAUUUUCAAGCAGAAGGGGUGAGAUUUCAUAAUAAAAUAACAUUAAUCAAUGUAAUUGUGAAUCAUAAAUUAACAUCAAUCAUUCCAUUAUUAACUUUGCAUAAAUGCUAAACAGUUAUCACGUAAUCACAUAUCCAAUCAUUAUAAACAACAUAACAUAAUCAAAUAACACUUAUCACAUAAUCACAUAUCCAUUCAUUAUCAACAAGGCAUCUUAAUCAUGACAAUGUGACAAUGCUCCUAGACUCCUUAUAUGCAUGUGGUACCAAUCGUCAUCAUAAGUAUUAAUAUACUUUAAUCGUGCGGAGGACAAAGCUCCUAUAAAACGUGCGGAGGACAAAGCUCCUAAUUUUCGUGGUGAGGACUAAGCUCAAUGAUAUGCUAUGCAUGGACACAUAUGAACAAAACAUCAUAAUCAUCGUAAUCAUGUGCAUUCAAUAACUUGAUGCAAAACGUCAUCAUUUUCCUUAUAUUCAUAUAUAAACAUUGCAUACUCAGUUAAAUAACAGCAGCAGCAUAGUCAAGUCGCAUAACAGCAAGGAGAUAUCAAUAUAUCAACAACAAUUUACUAGAAUCAUAAUCAUUUCAAUUAUAUCUUACAUAUUGCAUAAUACCUUAAUCAUGCUCAAAUAAUAUCAACUUAACUCAAUAGCUUUACAGACUGCAUUAAACGUUAUCAUAAGGUUUCAUUACCAAUUAGGGGUUCACUCUGGACUAAAAAGUGCGACACAGAUCGCACAAACACAUAAUCAAGUUCAUCCUGGUUGUACUCGCGAGGCGAGAGUACUUACUCGCCAUGGCGAGCACCACUCAACUCACAAACUAAGCUUGUUCUAGGUUCCCUCUGAUCCUACAUUCAUUCCUAAUCAAUACUAGGUAAGUUCAGGUACUCAAAGGCAUACAAGAUUCAACUAAAAAGGUCGAAACACGAAAUAUGACAUGCACUCUGCCUAAGCUCGCGAGGCGAGGAAGGUUGCUCGCCAUGGCGAGUUGCACCAAACAACUCGCGAGGCGAAGGAAAGGGGCUCGCGUGGCGAGCGAUGAAGUUCACCACUCGCGAGGCGAGGAUCAUCACUCGCCGUGGCGAGCGAUGAACAGAAGCACGGGCAGACUAGGGUUUUUCUCAAAAAUCCAUCACACAACAUGGUUCAAAGCCUAAUUUGAUUUCAGAAUUCAUCCUAAACAUAUUCUAAGGUUAUAGGACGGUUCUUACAUCAAUCUAAACAAGUUUUACCGUUUGAUCAUCAAUUUUUAGGGUUUUAACCUAAUUCCAAAACUUUUCUAAAUCAAUCCUAACUUUGUCAAUUAAUCAUCAGAAUUACAACAAUCAAUGCUAUUGAAUUACUAGUCUCACCCUUACCUGGUUAUGAAGAAAUCGCAGCACUCUACCUUGGUUCCUCUAGACUUGGCUUUUUCUCCCUUUUCCAAAAGUUUUCACGUACAAUGAGUUUCUAAAAUAUUAGGUCUUCUCCUAUUUAUACCUCUUUCUAAUAACUUAUCUUAUCUCACUUUCUCCCCCAAAACUAUCUAAAAUAUCAAAACAGCCCUCAACUAAAUAUUUUUCAAAUCUUUAUCUUAUUUAACAAUAAAAUAAAUUCUAUAAUCUUAUCAAUUCCUCCAAAACUCAUAACCUAACACGUCAUCAAUCAAAUCACCAAAAUCACCACAAUUUAUCAAAACAUAUCAAAAUCAUACAUAUAUUAUAUAAAUAUAAUAUAAUCACUUAAACUCGAUUAAAUAACUAUUAAACGAAAGUGGGCGUUACAAGCGGAAGAUCUAACCAUCUGUGUCAAUUGUAAUCUAUAGUGAUAAAGAUCAUUUAUUAAGCCAUUUGAUAAUGAACAACAUAGUUCUAUAGUUCUUUUACUUCUGUCUAAUUUUUUCAUUUCCUCAUAAAGAAUUUUUUAUUUUUUGGAAAAUCAUAAAGAAUUUUUCUUUCAUAUACACCUUCAUGUCAAAGAGGUAUAAUUGAGUUUAAAAUCCAUUUUCAACCAAUGCUUCAUUUUCUUUUGCAGAAAUAAAUCUCGUGACAUUUUUUAUGAUUGAAUGAAAAAGUAUGAUUGAGUUGAGGUUGCAAGAAAUUAAAGCAUUUAUCAAACUUAUGAUGUGUUUGGUUUUACAGCCAAAACACCUUUUCCACGUCCCGAGACAAUUUUUAACGUGAUUUAAAGAAGCUUCAAAAGAUAGCUUCUCCUCAAACGUGGGUUUUUGCCGCUGAAUUAAUAAAUCAACCGCUUGCACAAACAUGCUAUUAUACUACUAUAUAUAUAUAUAUAUAUAUAUAUAUAUAUAUAUAUAUAUAUAUAUAUAUAUAUAUAUAAAUAGGACACAUAUACGUAACAUUAUACAAUAGUUCAAAGUAAGUUACAUUUAUAUAAAACUACAUACACUUAUAUUAUUCUUGUUUCCGCUAAAGUAUUGAUCAAAUUCAAACAUCUUAUAAUUGCAUUAUAUAGAUAGAUGGUAAAGUAUAAUUAGGUUCAAGACUUUGAGUUUAAGAGGGGAACUUAGGCCAAAGAAAAGCACCCAUAGCAAACUCUCUUUUGUAAAGCCAAAUCACCAUGUGUAGGCAACCCAUAUUCCUUAAGGAGCCCAUCAAGCUUCCAUUCAGGCAUGUCUUGGUAGUCUUUCUCAGUGUAUCUUGGAUAAUGAAGAGGCAUUUGAAAGAAGCUAACAUUAUUCUUUUUUGGACUCUCCAUUCUCUGAUAAUGAUCUUUUCUCAAUAUUAUAUGAGCUCUUUUUGUUUGAAUAAUAUGCUACUUAGUACUUAUAAAAAAAAAUGUGUUCAAUUGGAGUGUUAGUAUAAGUUGAUGGAAGGCUCUGUUGGCAUGAGAGGUAUCACAUGAAUCAGUUGGUGUACCUUCUCUCAUGCAUUUGGUAACUUGAGUGAGUGAUUCAUAGUAUGUGUCCGUGUACAUGUUUUUGUUUACACUUUAAAAUAUUUUACCGAAUAUCUAUAAAAUAAAAAGGUGCAUGGUUUUUAACUUAGAUAAUGUGGACAGUUCUGUCUUAAAAGGAUAUUUUAUUAUUUUUAAUUAAACAAGUUAAUUGGAGACAAAAGGUUGAGAGAUUGUUUUAAUCCAAAAAAAUAAUGUGGUUUGUUAUUGGUGUUGGGUCGGAAGUUUGAAUGUAAAGUAGUGGUUGGUGGUGAUGCUCGUAGUGGCUGGUGUUGAUUUUUGGUGGUGAUGCUCGUGGUGGCUAGUGUUGGUUUUUGGUGAGGAGUAAUGGUGGUUUUGUGGUGGUUAAUGGUAGUUUUGGUGGUGGUGCUAUUGGCUUUUGUGGUUGUGCUUGUGGUGGCUAUGUUUUUUUUUGUGGGUUUUCUUCUAUGAGUUUGUUGUUGAUGUGGUUUCUCAAAUACAUGGAUGUUAGACAAUGUAGCUUGUUUCAAAAAUUGAGCUAUGUGUUUUCUAGGUGGUGAUUUUACCUGUGUUUAAUUGCGCUCAACUGUAGAAGAGAAGCAAGGUGCGGUUGCACGAUUUUUUGGUAGGUUUGAUGGUUAUUUUGGAGGGCGGUUAGACUUGUGGUUUUGGGGUUUUAGUUUUUAUUGGUUUCAGGGCCCUCAGUGGAGGUUGUUUUUGGUUUGUUUUUAGAAGUUUGCAUUUGAUGUAUGAGUGUUUGCUUGAGUGUUCCGUGUAUAUACGACACACUUUUUCUUUGUAUGUUGCUAUUUAAGUAUCCUAGUCUAGCAUUACUCGUGCUAGAUAGGAUUCUUUACGUUUUGAGUAAAUUUUAUUUUAACUUCUUAAAAAAAAAAUCCAAAAAAAAUAGGUUGAGAGCUAUGGCUAUAUUUAAGGUAAACACUACCAGGAGAGAAAGGGCACACUAAGCAUAAUGAAGGCAGUCGCAAAAUGUGGGGCGACUACGAAGGCAAGGGAAAGACACGAUUAGGCUCACUAACAUGCGAGCUUUAGCUGAGUGACGACACUUAAGAUACACUCUUAGUUGAUCGUGAUCAAUGAUCAUGACUAAUAGAACCUACAAGUUGAUAUCAUUGUUUAUAAUAUCACUUCAUAAUAUCCUUUUUAACACAACUCAAUCAAACAAGAGCAUAUUCUUAACUCAAAACCUUAAAACAUUGUAUGCACUAACAUGGAUUAAAUUCAAAAAUUCAACAUACACAAAAUCAAGGGUUUUCUUCUCAAUUUAGAUCAAAUUUCAAUUAUUGGGCCUAAAGAUUUAUAUGAUUUACAUAAGCCUUUUUUUUCUGACCUCUUUUCUCUAUUUUUGGCCAUACAUUUUUGAACUAAAAUGAAAUUUUUUUUAUGUACAACAAAAGUGUGAAUAAUUUGUUUUCACGCAAGUGUAAAUAUCUUGUUAAAAAAAAUGUAAAUUACUUGUUAAAAAAAGUGUAAACAAAAUCACAAGGAUGAUCGUUUUAUAACCGGAAUAGAGAAUAUAAACUUAAAGGUUGAUUUUUUUUUUCCUUCUUGUGGUGGUUGGGAUUUGAUUUCCGGACAUUGCAUAGAUGCAUUAUUUACGAGGACAUUUAAAAGUUGAUUUAACGUGAAAAUAUUUUCUAUUUUUACUUCUAAAAAGUUAUAUUAGUAGUUUUACUUCCUUUUAUUAUGAAAUAUUUUCUUUUUUUAGGGGAGAUUAAUUUAACAAUUAGAUGGUGUGAUAUCAAUUUUAAGAAAGGCUUUGUCACCCAUUGUUGAUCUUAACAAAGGUUGUUAUGACAAGUAGGAAACAUUCCAUGAAAGCAAGGGUACGCCUAACAGUCAAUUAAUUUAUAAUGGAAGAUUAUCAAAGAUCCGUAUUUCUGGUACUUUUCCAUAUUUCCAGUCAAUGGUUUCAAUUAAGCACUCUUGGACCAUCAUCAUUUGGUCUUUCCUUAUCAUAUUAUGGUUUGAGAGUGAUAUCAUAAAAAAAAUAUACCCCAAAAACAAAAGUGGUUCCUUUCGAAUUUGUUGUCCAAACCAACUACGCACAUAAAUAAUAUAAAUCAUACAAAUUAUAAAAAUAAAAAAAUAUUUUAUUUUAGAAAAUACUACAUUAGAUUUAAGCUUGUGACUACACAAGUCUUGUCCAUUAGCAUGUAGUAAUAUAUAAUUGAGAAACUUCUACUUUUUUUUUUUUCUGCGUUAACCCUCUGAUUUUUAGGAAGAAAAAAAAAAUCAAAUGUGACUAAGAAUUUUUUUGCAUAAGAAUCGAAACAAAACCUUAUAUAAGCAAUAAACAAUGUGUGGCAUAUAGGCCUUGAAAUAAAAGGUAUGGCAUAUUCCCAGUAUCAGAUCACAAUCGUCUUAUGUACAUUUUCUUAAGGUUGACAUCACCUAUAGUUGGAUCUUGGUCCUGCAUCACCCUAUAAUUUGGCAUUAAUUUAUUCUUUUUAUUAAAACUCACGUAAGAGAGGUUGUUUAUAUUAAAAUGAUUUUUGUUGGACAAUGUGUGUCAAUUAGUCAAAUAUUUUUCUUAAUAUAUCUAGUCAUGAAAUCAUUUAUAGUAAAAUAAUUGGAUUGCUGAAUUAUCACAUUUGUUGAAAUUUUUACAUUGGAAUGUAGCCUGCAUUUCAAGUGGGGAACAACUUUCAUUGAAUGAGUUAGACUUAAAGGUUGAAUUAGGUACAAAAUCGAUUUCUAAAAUAGCAGCCAGGCAUAUGUUGGGUCAUAUACAAAUUAAAGUCUCUGGCCUACUAGAUUUGUGCUUCAAGAUCUAGUUUUGGACGUGACAUAGAAUGAGAUUCCAUUUUAUAGUAUUAUGAAUAUUGGGAAAAAAAGACUUGCAUGAAAAAAAUGCAUCCCCUCUAAAGUUUAGAGUCUAAACGGCACACCUAGGAUUUGCCUAAAAAUAUAAUGUAAAUUGCCUUCGGAAUAUACAUAUGUUCCGAAAUGUUCAUAAUAAUUAUUGGUUUAAUUGCACUUUCCCCCCUAUCUUUUGCUAAUUGUGCGAUUUUACACCCCAUCUUUUUUUUGAGCGAUUUUGCACCCCAUCUUUUUGCCCCCUUUCUGAUUUUCCACCCCAUCUUUGUGUUUAAUUGCACUUUUGCCCCUUAUCUUUUUGCUAAUUGUGCGAUUUUGCACAUUCUCUUCAUUUUUUUAGCGAUUUUGCACCCUAUCUUUAGCCCUUUUCCUCUCUUUUAAUGAUGAUUUUGAACAAAACACAAUUGACAAAAGAUGGGGUGCAAAAUCGCUCAAAAAAAAGAUGGGGUGCAAAAUCACACAAUUAGCAAAAGAUAGGGGAAAAAGUGCAAUUAAGCCAUAAUUAUUUGAGAAAAUGUUAACUAGUACCAUAGGGCACUAAUAUUUGUAGCUCCCUAAAAAAAAAAAAAUUGUAGCAAUAUUCAAUAUAUAUGCAUAUGUAUAAUUUUGAGAGUUACCCAACAUAAGUUUGUUCUCCUCUAAUAAAAAGUGUGUUAUCGAAUCAUUUUCCAAACACGUGAUUUGCAUGCAUGUAAUAUUUCUUAUGAUACGUGUUAGAAGUGUUUUGAAAGUAUUUAAUGUAAGAAAUUAAAAAUAUUAAAUUACAAUUAAAGUCUUAAAGCACUUUAAGGUAUAGAUAUUAUACGUUUCAUUUUUCCUUUCUAUGUAAAUAUACCGUUACUUCCUGUAAUCAAAAGAAGCAAAUACCGUUAGUGUACUUCUUAGCAAAACUUUACGUAUUUCUUUUUUUGGUUACAAAAAGUUUACGUAUUUUAGAUUAUAGAGAUUUGUAGAAGUAACAUUGAUUAAUUUAUAGGAGGUACAUAACAUUAAGAAAUUGGAGGGUAUGCAGUUCGUUGCUGGCAAAUAUGUGUCAAGUUACUCAAAGUAUAAUAAAUUAAUUAAUUGGAAUAAAAAAAGGUCAUCAGCACAUGAUUAUUGGAGUGAUUUUGGCCUUCAAAUCUAAGCAUUUUACAUAAAUAUUAUUCCCACAACAAUCCAAAAUCACACUGCUCUCAAAUAACAGCGCAGAUUCAUUACGGACACGUCAUGUUAUUCAGGUUUAUAUGUCCAAAUAUCACACUGUCAAUGAUAAUUUUAAUACUAAUUCGUUAAUAUAUAUAGUAAUAUGGGUUUGUCUAACAUGUGCAAUAUUCCACAUGUUAAGGUAACUAAAAGUAAUAAUUUUUCAUUGAAAAUCAACAAUUGUUGAUUAAAAGCUACAUAUUUAAUAUAAAAAAUACAAGUUUUAAGUUAAAGUUACUAUUUUAAACUUUUUAACAUGUGCAAAUUUGCACAUGAUAAAAAAAUCCUUAUUAAGGCAAGGUUUUGCCAAAAAAUAGUUAUUCAGGUGAGGUUUUGUCAAAAAAUUAUUCAGGUGAGGUUUUAAUGUCUUUACUCAAAAUAUAUCUUUUAAAUAAAGGGUUAAUUAAGUAAAUGGUUCCUAUAAAUAUUCAGAAUUUUUUUUUAAUCCCUAUAAAAUAAAAUCACACUUUUUAGUCCCUAUAAAAUUUUCCAUCAGCAUUUUUAGUCCUUAUAAAAUUUUCCAUCAGCAUUUUUAGUCCUUAUAAAAUUUUUCCAUCAGCAUUUUUAGUCUCUAUCAAAAAUUUCUAUCAACAUUUUUAGUCCCUAAAGUGCUUAAGGAAAAUAUCACAAGGACUAAAAAGCGUAAUUUUAUUUUGUAGAGACUAAAAACAAAACUGUAAAUAUUUAUAAGGACUAAAAACUUAAUUAACCCUAAAUAAACUCCUCAUUUAUUUAUCUUUUGAUUUCAACCAAUUAUGACCACAUUUCAUUUACAGAAAACGAUCACACUUCACCUUAUUUUUUGGUUAAGACAUUUCACUUUAACUAAAGAACAAUUUGAACUCAUUUUAAAAGGAUAAUUAUGUCAAUUUAGUCAAAUGUUAAUAUGUUGUUUAAAUAUUUUUAUUUUUAAAAUGACUAAAGCAAACAAGUACUGCCUUGGUCACAAAAUAAGUUACUUUAGCACUUGACAUAAAAAUUAAGAAAUGCUGUUAAGUUUGUCAUUCAUUAUGAGAAAUAUAAAUUAUAAGAAUUAAAUAUAAGAGUAAUAAAUAAUUAAAAAAUAAAAUUAAGGUUCAUUUAGAUAUCAUUUUUUCUCUUGAUUCUAUUUUUAGUUAAAAAAAAAAAAUUGGGGCUGUGGAAAUUUUAGAAAAAUAUCUUAGAUUAAAUGAGAUACUUUAUGUUUGGAAAGAGAGAAUGGAGGUUUGGGGUGAGGCGGUUGAAGGAUUUUAAGUUUGCUUUACUUGAUAAAUGGGUUUGAACGGUAUUGAUGGAAAGGGAGAGUUUGUGGUUUAAAGUGUCGUGUGCGAGGUAUGGUGAGGAAGGUAAGAGGUUAUGCUUUUGGGGAAUGAAAGGAUCAGUGUGGUGGAAAAAUUCGAAUCAAAUUACAAGCGAGGAUGGUUUGCUAGUUAAGGGGUGGUUGUUUGAGAAUAUUAGUAGGGAGGUGGGGGAUGGUGCGUCAACUUUGUUUUGGAAGGAUAUAUGGAUUAAUGAUUUUUCUUUAGAAGUUAGUUUUAGUAGACUUUUUGAGCUGGCUGAUAAUAAAUUAGCUUAUGUUGCUGAUAUAUUUUUGUUGGGUUGAGGAGAGUGAAUGGGGAGGCGUGAAAAUAACGUAGGAGACUGUUUGUGUGGGAGGAGGAGAUGUUGAGGGAGUGUGUGGUUAGAUUCUCUAAUCUUGUCUUGGAUGUGGCGGAUCAUUGGAUUUGGAAGCUUUAUCCUUCUCAACAGUAUACGGUGAAAAGUGCUUAUAAUAACUUAAUUGUAAGUGAAGUUGUUUUUAAUGCGUCAUAUAAGCAUAUUUUGUGGAUAAAACCGGUACCGCUCAAGGUUAACAUUUUUUUUCUUCUGGCGUUUGUGUUUCAGAUUGGGCUAAAGCCCAAUCCAGCUCCGCUCGGGUCCGACCCGAGUUCACUAAGCAGGUGAUAUCAUACAAUAGACACAGACCAGAAAUGGCGACCACGCCUACAAGGUCUGAAGGCAACCCCUAGGGUCGAGCUUACCCACAUCCGUACUAACAUGUACGAUUGUCAUGUUUUGCAAUUUUAAACUCCUUUUCAAAUUUUCUUGAAAUAUUUUCCUACUGUUUCAAUCUUAGCUGAUUUACCACUAAAAAUAUUUGGAUGUAUGGAUUUUGUUCAAAAACAAAAACAACUUCGUAAACUUGAAUCUUGUAUUAUCAAAUGUGUCUUUAUUUGUUACUCAUAUUAUCAAAUAGGCUAUAAAUGAAUUGAUCCUAGUAUAGAGAAAAUGUUUGUAACAAUACCUUUUUUUAAAUAAACCAAGAAAAACUAUUUUUAAAGGGGGGAUCCUACGUUUAUUUCAUUUACCAAUUGUAUAAGCCUAUGAGGACCCCGAGUCACUGAGACAAGGCUAUGCAAAAUUGUAAUUUUAUUUGUUGAUUUUAACACCCAUGUGCCCUAGUAACCAUGGAUCAAUGAAUCAACAUGUAACAUAAUCAGAUUUUACCUUUCAACCCACAAACUUUAUAUUUAUUAUGCUAUUAUGUGUGAUUUACAUAAAAUAAAUCAUCACAACACAAUACACGUAUAAACACAAAUUUCCUAACAUGAACCUAGAAAUGCAAAUCUACCUUUUAUCAAUUAGAAACUGUCGUUUGGCGUGAAAGAAUACAGUAGAGUGUAGGAGUGUUUUUUUUUUGACAAUUAAGAGUGUAAGAGUGUUAUAAAAUAAUAUAUUAAAUAAUAUUUGUCAAAAACAUAUAUUAAAUAAUACUAAAAAAAACGUCUUUGUCUGUACAAAAAAAAACCUCUUCGUCUUCAAAUUAAAUGAAGACGGGAUGUGUAACCCGAUUUCUGUUUCGAUGUAGUCCUUGUCACGUCCUUUAUUUUUUUCUCUGUCGAUUUUUUUACCGGAUCAAGCCCGAUCCAUUAUGUUGGGCCGGGCUGGAUUUCGCACACCCUCAAAUAAUACUUAAUUCACAUAUUUUUUUUGAAAUAUUUACUGCAGUACUCUCUUGAAUAAUAGUUUUUUUUGGCAAAUAUUUUUUUUAAGAAUUGUUGAGUAUUAAACUAAACAUCCAUAAACGCUUAAAUAAGAUGACACGAGUCUCUUUUAUCUUAAUCAAGAUCCUAGUUAUAAAUCCACAACAUUGGACAUGGAACAUUAUUAAAACUCUUAAGAAAAGUUUGUCGUCCAUUUAAAUUUCACAAUACUCGAGAGUUUGAUUUAUCAGAGAUACUGAAUUUACAUUAAAGAAUAUUAAACUAAACAACAAGAAAAGGAAAGUGGAUUAAAAAAAACAAGAAAUAGGAAAAGGAAAUUUCUAGCACAAGUCUGUGUAGUUGUACUAUUUCGUUCACGGUAGAGAGAGACUAGAGUGGCAAAGAAGUCACAACAUUUUGUGAUAUAGCAUGUGUAGUACUAUCGUAAUAGGCAAGUAAAUAAAAGGUACAAAUUCAAGAAGUGGCCACAAUCCGAAACAACGUAGAAAGCCUCACCGACACUUUUGCCCACAGAAAAAUUCAUGCAUUCAUAAUCCACUAAUAAUUCAUGAAUAAAUUAAUCGUACUGCUCUUAAAAGUAUACAAUGUUUUACAUGAUAAGAAACUGUUUAAUAUUUUAUCAAUCAAUAAUACUAUCAUUCUCUUUAUUUGCAAAAGAAAUAGGCACAAAUAAAUUAUUUGUAAGUCAAACUUGUUUACUGAUAAAAAUAUUUAAAAUUAGUGUAAAUUGUCUAGACGUAAAUAUUUUUCUUGUUAAAUAGUUUAGUGCUUCAAUUCACGUAUUUAAAUAUAGAGAAAUGAAUAAUUCGAGGUUCAAACUCUGACCUUUAUAUAUUUCCAACUAUCAAUUGAAAUGUACUUACAAAAAAGAUUUAAACAUUAAUUAAUCUUUAUGAGAGACAUGUUAAGAUAAACUAUUUUACUAUAUCUCAAUUUAAUAUUCGACUAAAAUUACAUAAUCAUCGGCUAAAAUUCACAUAACAACUUCAAUAUUUUGAAGUCGAAUAAAGAUGUUCGGUCUAACAAUAUCAUCAAAUUUCAGUCGUGGACUCAUGGUAGACCCUUGGAACUAUAUAUAUAUAUAUAUAGAAUAUAAUUUGAGAUAUAAAAAGUCAAAAUCUAAAAAAAAAUAAAUGAAUAUAAAAAAGAAAAGAAAAUAAAAUUGUAGAGUAAAUAAGUGGAUAAAUGAGAAAAGGUAGUUAGUAAUAUGGUUGGCGCGUGCGUGAUGUAUAUAUAAACACGAAGACAUACGAGACGAAAUUGCGGCAUUGAUUUUCUUCACAAUCUUCUUCUCUUCUUCUAGAUUCCGACUCGCCGUGUUGACUCGGUCCGGGUCGGGGUUUAACCGCGCAAAACUCACUUCUCAAUCUCGAUUUUCAAAUUCUCACACAGAUCCAAAUCCUCUACUACCGAGGUACAUAAUCGCUUUUUUUUUUUUUUCUUCUUCUUCUGUUAAUAUGAUCGUGAUUAUCGCAAUGUAAUUGCUGUUUAAAUUCAAUUUAGUGUUUUUCCCGCUAAUUUUUUUUUGUGUUCUUUGUUGUAAUCAAUGUAUGUGUGUGUUGUUAAUGAAUUUUGAUUACGUAAUCAUAAUAUUUGAGUUGGUGAAUUUUUGUAUUUUAUUGAAUUGUGUUGUGAUCUAAUUUCGAUUUACUCAGAUCUGGUUCUGUGUUGUGUUGCUAAAGUUUUAUUGAUUUAUGAUUUAUUUUUUUAACUUGUUGAGUAAAUUUUUACAUUAAUGAUCAUGGAUUUGGAUUUACUACUGAAAAAUUUGAACAAAGAUACAUAUGUAAUGAUGAAAUUAAACUAAUGCGGAGCUUUUUUCGUUUACUUAAAACUAGCUACACGGACACCUAACAGAACACAAACACAUACAUCAGAUCGACACCGUAAUUAUUUGAGAAAAUCACAUAAUGAUCUCUCCGGUCUCUAAUAUAAGCAAAAAAGUCAAAACAAUGUUGAUGUAUUUGGUUUAAUAUUUGAACAUGAUUUUUGUUUAUAUUUGUGAUCGGAGUAGUAUUUGAAUGUAAUCACAUGUGUCGGUGUAUGGACAUCUGACAAUGACACAUGUCAGACAGCUGACAUGCUUUUGAUUUGAAGUAUCAGUGCUAUAUUAGGGGUGGGAAUAGGCCAGGCCGCCCGUCAGGAGCCUAUGGCUCGGCCUACUAAAAGCUCGGCUCGGCCUAACUCGUUUAAUCAAUGAGUCAAGCUUGAGCUUUUUAAAAAGCCUAUUAAUUUAAUUAGGCCGGGCUUAGGCUUGUAAAAAAGCCUAUCAGGCCGGCUCGUAUAUGAGUAUAUUACACUUUUCCACAUUUAUUAUUUAUAUAUAUCAAAAAGAAUUACUGAUAUGUCUUAUUAGAUUAAGUUUUAAAUCGUUGUUGUUAUCAGACAUGAUUAUUCUUGAGUUUCUACCCAUCUAUACAUUUUACAAUUGUGUUUUAUUAGUUUAAUUUGUAUCUAAUUAAUAUUUAUCUUUAUAUUAAGUACGUUGCACAAAUUGAAAGGAGAAAAAAUUGAUGAACAGACUCUAUUUGAAAUUUGUAAGACAAACUAGGCUUUUAGACAGGCUAAUAGGCCAAGCCAGGCUUUUAAAAAGGCCAGGCCAAGCCAGGCUUUUAAAAAGGCCAGGCCAGGCUUAAAAUAAAGCCUCCGACAGCUAAAAGGCCAAGGCUUAGGUCUUAGUUUUUUCAACUAGGCCUAGCCUAUUUAAGUAAAGCCCGGCUCGGCCCGGCUCAUUCCCACCUCAUAUAUAGUAAACUAGUCAGGACAAUAUUUGCUCUUUUGAAAAAUUAUCUAGGAAAACAAUAAAUGUGGGUUUGAAUCACACUGAGUUUGAUGUAAUUACGGUGACAUCGUGAUUUCGUUGAAGUUCUAAAGUGUAUUCUAUGCCUGAAUUACUGCGAUUCACCGUGAUUCUGCUGAACUCAAUGUGAAUUCAAACAUGUAUUAAGAAAAAACUUGUAUUUCCUUUUAUCCCGAUGUCAAUGGUAUUUUUUUUUUCUUUCAAUUAUUUAUGUCCGAGUAGGCAAUUUGGUUUGUUGAAAAAAGAGACUUUUUGGGAAUUACAUUUUCCUUUUUGCUCUGUUUGCAUCCUAACAUCUCAAUUUGAAGUUUAUUUGCUUCUCUUAGAGACCGGAUUUUGAUUGAUUUCUAGUUUAUGAAAAUCUCUUAAUCAAGAAAAGUUUUUGGUUCAAUUUAUACGAGAAGCUAUUGGUUAAAUACUUGCAUUUAUUUCACAAGAUUCUUUUAAUAUUUAUUUUUCCGUAAGUGUUUGUGUAGAAGUUUAUUCAAAGUGACUCAAAGCAAUGUGCUUUACUUGAAGGAUUUUCAAAGAAGGAAACAGAUGCAUACUUUUAAACUGCAUGUUGAACACUGUAUAUUUACCUUACCAUGCACCUUAAUUGACACUUAUGCCAUUUAUCGAGCAACCUGCGUCAUAUUUCAAUCCUUUUUGGUCAUUCUCAUUGAAAGCUUGUGGCUUAUUAGCUGGAUUUUGUUUUUGUUUUUCAUAUCUAGCUAAACAUUGGUAUUCAUGAGGUGACACAUAAAUUGAUUCGUGUCACGCUCGGUAGUACACCCGUCUCUUCAUGAUCAACUUACUUGCCAGUUGUUUGCUUAAGUUCUCUGUGCAAGUCCUUCUUUCUUUACUGGCAUGAUAUAUAUAGGAUUUGGUGGAAUCUAUCUGCUCAUAUUUCAGAUUACAUUUUCUUGGCUUAUCUUGAUCUGCUUCUAAUUUUAUAAUCUCUCAGGAAAACAAAGGACUUAUCACAAUGAAGGCAUUGAUUCUGGUUGGGGGGUUUGGAACUAGGUUGAGGCCAUUGACACUCAGUGUUCCUAAGCCUCUUGUUGAUUUUGCUAACAAACCCAUGAUUCUGCAUCAGGUAAAGCUAUUUUAAACUAUUUUCCCUAUAAGUUUUAUAUCUGUUAUGUUCUAGAAUAUAUUAGGGAUAUGCUUUAUUGUUAAAUGCUUUCUAAACCCGGCAUCUCAUUCUGAUGCUUUUCUUUCCACAUAACUCAUAGUUGCGAUUUCCUUUUUAAAAUUAAAUGACUUCUCAUAUUGUGAAGAACCACUUUUUAUUUGUGUAGAACCGGUCAUGUAUUUAUGUGCAUAUUUUAUUUCUAUUUCUCUUAAUAUGGCAAAAUAAACUAUCCUACUGACAUACUUGUUAAUAUUUAAUCUGGCUUGUUUUUCAGAUAGAGGCUCUUAAGGCGACUGGAGUCACUGAAGUGGUACUGGCCAUUAAUUACCAACCAGAGGUAAGGAGGAUCACACUCAAUUCAUGCCUCUUCUUAAAACACUGUUUUAGUAAAUGCUUCAAAAACAAAAUUGUGGCUCAAGUUUCUUUAUUUUGACUUUGGCAAUACUUCCUACGUCAGGUUAUGUUGAAUUUCUUGAAGGAUUUUGAAGCAAAGCUUGGCAUCACGAUUAGUUGUUCCCAAGAAACUGAACCAUUAGGAACUGCAGGGCCCCUGGCUCUUGCUAGGGACAAGCUGAUAGAUGACUCUGGAGAGCCAUUUUUUGUUCUUAACAGUGAUGUUAUAAGUGACUACCCACUUAAAGAAAUGAUUGAAUUCCACAAAUCCCAUGGAGGGGAAGCUUCCAUAAUGGUAACAAAGGUAAGUCAAUGAAAUAAUAAUUGCAAACAUGUGAGACUAAUAUACAAUAUAAUAGUUAGAGCAUCUAAUUAUAUCAUUUUUUUCGUCUACUUCUGUAGGUUGAUGAGCCAUCAAAAUAUGGUGUGGUUGUUAUGGAGGAGACAACAGGGCAGGUUGAGAAAUUUGUUGAAAAACCAAAGUUGUUUGUUGGUAACAAAAUCAAUGCUGGAAUUUACCUAUUGAACCCCUCUGUUUUGGAUCGAAUUGAACUGAGGCCCACUUCUAUCGAAAAAGAAAUUUUUCCAAAGAUCGCUGCAGAGAAAAAGCUAUAUGCAAUGGUCCUGCCUGGAUUCUGGAUGGACAUCGGACAACCUAGGGACUAUAUCACUGGCUUGAGGCUUUACCUGGACUCACUGAGGAAGAAGUCUUCUUCUAAGUUGGCCGGUGGAUCUAACAUUGUGGGGAACGUUAUUGUGGACGAAACAGCCAAAAUUGGUGAGGGAUGUCUCAUUGGACCUGAUGUUGCUAUCGGUCCUGGCUGCAUUGUUGAGUCUGGUGUUAGGCUUUCGCGCUGCACAGUAAUGCGAGGAGUCCGGAUCAAGAAACAUGCUUGCAUUUCCAGCAGUAUUAUUGGGUGGCAUUCCACUGUCGGGCAAUGGGCUCGAGUGGAGAAUAUGACUAUCCUUGGAGAAGAUGUUCAUGUUUGUGAUGAGAUUUACAGCAAUGGUGGUGUGGUUUUACCCCACAAGGAGAUUAAGACAAAUAUUCUGAAGCCAGAGAUUGUCAUGUGAGGUCUAUGUUGCUCAGCAUGUGGUAAGGAGGAGGUAGUAACUUAUUGAGUCCGAAAAUGUUUGUUCUUUUCAAUUAAUUUUUUCUAUAUCCCAUUGCUUUCCUUUCUCCCUACAGUGUACAAGUCAGUUUUGGAUUAGAUUGAGUGAUGCCAUUACAAUAUUGAAAGGUCAUAAUCCUUGUAAAGGGCAUCGGUUUGGUCUUUUGUGCAAAAGUUGUGUAAUUUUAAGUUAUGUAUAGAAAUAAAUUAUCAAUUAGUUGUUUCCAUCAAGUCUUUGCAACUCAUUAGCAAGAUGGCAAGAAUGUAGUUCUAUUUACUUUAAUUGGGCAAUAUAAUAUAAUUCAUGAAUGGUUGUUUUACAAAUGAUGAUUGAUGCUGGUUGAAGUAUUAGAAGGAUACAAGAAAGUAUUAGAUAUGUGAUUUUAUUGAUGAAAGGAUGAUAGUUGAGAAUCUCAAGUCUCAACUGUCCAAUAUUCUCUUACCCUCUUUUGAUAGCCUAUAAUUUGCUAAAUUAAGGACUUAUUUUACUUUCUGUUUGCAACUUAAUUACAAAAUUGUCAUUUUAUUUUCAGUAAAUAAAAUUCAGCUUAGUUACACUAACUUCCUCAACUAACAAAACUCAACCUAAUGCAGAGACUAGUUCAUUAGACUUUCUACAUUAACAUGAUGUAUCUUGGAAAGUUGAAGUGGCUUGGAGCUGUAAUCUUGUAGUGAUCACCCAUCUAUUCCAUAUUUGAAUGGCUUAAUUAGAUUUGUGGUCCUUAAUUUGCUAGAAAUGACCAAUGUGGGGUAAUCAGUGCACAAGAACUCCUAUUCUUAUUUGAAUGAUGCAGGCUUGCCAAGAAUGAGACAAUUAGAUGAGUUGGUGGCCUUGUUACGACACUUACAUGUUUGAAUAUUUCCAUGUUAUGUUAUGGGUUGAUGAGAACCUCACUAUAUAAACCUUUCCAUAUGGGUCCCGUCCAGCGUGGAUGGGAUGUUUAGAGAGGAACUUUCUCCAUCCCUCACUUACAUUUCUAAAAAAACAACAUACAGCUCUAGAAGUAUACUUUCAUAUACGGUAUAAUUUGUUCGAAAGUGUACUUUAGACAACAACAAAAAAAAAAAGUUUUUUUCUUUCUUUCAAUGUGUAUUUUUGGGUGAAAAAAGUUCAUCUCGGGUGUUUAUGAGUUACUUUUCCCUAUUUCUAGUUACAACAAGACCAUGUGACUGAGGGUCCAUAAAUAGAACAUACAUUGAUACUUUCAACCACUAAGAAAUAAUUGGAGAUAAUGGAUAGGUUGAACAGAAUUUUAUGUGGACAUUGUGGUGUACUACUAUUUUACUUGGUCAAAAAUCAUUUUGCGACGCGGUUCUAAUUAAUCUUUAAAGUAACAGGAUAUUAAAUAUAGACAUCUCUCUCAAUCGGGUAUCUUUAAAUUGAACUACAAACAUAAUUAAAGGGGUCUAAUAUAUGAUCAACAAUAAUUUACAAUUCUUUUUCUUCUUUAUCUUUACUUAUCAAUUCUAUUAUAAUAUUCUUACAUCACAUUAUCUCAUAUGUGAUAGUGGUACGGUUGGCAAAUAAUGCUUAUGGCUGGCCCCAAACAUUGAUGUCUAAUUGCCUCAGCAUUAUCACAUUCUUGCUUCACUUUCUUUAACAAGACAAUAAAGUCACUGCCUAUUAUUUUUUUUGUUAAGCAAACAAGUGUAACAAAUCUAAAAGUAAGGAAAAUGAUUUGCAACAAUAAUUUACCAUAUAUGUGAUAGUGAUACAUACGGUUGUGCAAAUAAUACUUAUGCAUGGACCCAAACAUUGAUGUCUAUAUCACAUGACAAUAACUGAAACUUCUGCUUAUUUAUCUUUGCCUUUAAUAUAUUUGUCCAUAUUAGAACUUUUUCAACACAAUGAUAAGAAGUGGGGCAGGAUUUCCUUAGUGCAGCAGCACCUUUAGAACCCAUCUCAUGACAAACGAAAGGGAGGAGUUUUUACACAUCCGAAAAAAUACAGCUAUUUGUCUUCUGAAUAUACAUUUUCAAACAAUGUUCAAAAAUACACUUCCAAAGGUUUUUUUUUUUAAGUGUGAGGGUGGCCAAAGUUGUUUUCAAACAAAAAUGUUACCAUGAUUGUUGUAUAGGCUCCCCAGGUUGAUCAAACUGAGAAAAAGACCCAAUGGAUCGUAGAAUCCAAGAGAUUUUAAUCGAAAACAGGCGACUGAAACCUGCCAUCGGAAAUUAUCUUUCAAUAAAUGGGGGGCUUUAACAGCAAAAAUGGGGGCCAUAUAGCAAUUCCCAAAUGUUACUUGCACAACAUACAAUAUCCACAAAGACUAAAAGAGAUGUCAUUGUUUUAUGAAAAAAAAUAACUUUUAUCAUUGAUAAUUGAUAUAAAAUCUUGUGAUGCAUUUUAGUUCAAAAUAGAGUAUUUACAUUCAUGUAAGUGAGUAGAUGGAGCUUUUAGUGCUGGGCAGAUAACAUGCCUCCUUCUAAGAAACAGCAAACUGAAAAACAUAGAGGUUAAGCACAUUGUGUGAUGGUAUUUUGAAUGUGAUUCUACAAUGACAAAUUAACAGCCUUCAAGACACAUUGACAGAAGGAUAAUGCUUUUAGCUGUUAUUUUUGUUAAAAUUUUCAUUUUCACUGCACUGUCCGGGUAGGUAACAUUACUGCCAUAAAUUAGUUAUCCUAUCACUUACUAUGUUCAAAUAUGUUUAUUUUAUGAUUUUAAAAAAACUAUAACUAAAAGCACUUAAAAAGAAGUUAUUGUUAUUGGAAGAACAAUCAUGAAACAAGGUCAACAAUACCUGCUAAGAGCUUAUUUAGAUUUACUUAUUUAAACUUUUCUCUUAAAUGAUAAACACUUGUGAAACUCAUUGGAAGAAGUUAUAAAAGUAGUUUAUGGCUCUGUUUGGUAAAAAUAAGCUAUAAGCUAGCUGAUAGCUGAUAGUUGAAAAGCUAGCUGAUGACUGAUAGCUGAUAGCUUAUAGCUGAAAAGCUUGCUUAUUAAAAAUAAUGUGUUUGGUAAAAUUAGCUGUUGAAGUGGCUGAUAAGUAUAAAAUGACAUAAAAGGAUAUGUUUUUUUUUUUUAAUAUACAUAUAGACACACACUUUUUUUUUGUAAUGUAUUUAUUUUUUAAUAAUUUUAAUUAUAGUUAAAUAUGUUUUUGGUCCCUAUAAAUAUUCAAACUUUUGGUCUUAGUCUCCAUAAAAAAAUUCUUCGACCUUUAAUCCUAAAAAAAAAUUCAUCGACAAUUUUGAUCUCUGCUUUAUGAAUCCCAAAAAUAAGAGAAACGUGAAAACAAAAUGUGAGCUAGAAUAUAUAAAAUUUUACAACGUACAAUAGACUAGUUAUUUUUUCCUUUAAUAAAAAAUAGGCUAGUUAUUUUUUGUGUGGUGUACGGCAGGUUAGUUAUAACAAAAUAUAAAGCAUUUCCUUAAAAAAAUACAUACAUAUAUAUAUAUAUAUAUAUAUAUAUAUAUAUAUAUAUAUAUAUAAAGUGCUCUUUAAAAAAAAAACGUGACAUUUUUUUUAAGGGAAAAAAUAGGGCGGUUAUAAAAAUGAAUAUGUGUAGUUGUUUAAUUAAAAAAAUAAUUAAUUUAAAUUAAUAGGGUUAAAGUUGGAAGAAAAUAUAAAAAGCUACCAGCUAUAAGCUAAAAAACUACUUGAAAUAGCUUUUCAAAAAACGUUAUAAGCUCAUGAAAAAAGCUUGUUACCAAACACGCCAUGUUUUCAUCUAACGAGCUUAUAAGCUAAUCCAACAAGCUAUAAGCUAGCUUUUUUGUGUUACCAAACACAGCCUAUGACAUGCUUACAAUCUGUUUUCAACUUAUUUUUUAAGCUCCCUAAAAUAUAAUGAAAACAGUUUAUAACUUAUUCGAAAACAAUUUAAUUUAAUUUAAUUAUCUUGUUAUAAAAUCUUAGGACAUUGUUUAAAAUUUAGAUUACAUGGGUAAAAUUGAGAUAAAAGACGUUAAGCUUUAAGCUACUCAAAUUAGCUUAUAAAAAAACGCUAUAAGUUGGUAAAAAUAAGCUACAAGCUAAUGGGACAAUGACGCUUACCAAACAUGUCUUUUUUUAUAAGACAUAAACCAUAAGCUCAAAAAAAAUGCGUUGCCAAACAGACCCAUAAGUGCUUAUCAUGAUAAAUACUUAUCCUAUAAGCUGCAAAAUAAGUCGUUUAUCCAAACAGGAUCUAGUUAAUAAUGAAUCUAAAUGAUGUUCACAAGUACCAAAAAAAACCUAGAACUCCUUCAAUGUACCAAUCUAACAGAAGCAGAAAAAUUUGAAAAAGACAUAACUUUGAUAUCGACAAUCAACUUCUAUGUUUCCGAAAAUUAAUCUCAGUUAUAAUAGCUCAAGGCUACAUCAAAUGGUUCCUUCACAGCCUAUGAUACGAAAAUUACAAGAACAGCCUAAAACAGUACCGACUGCCUCAAACGAGUUUUUGUUUUCUCUUUGCCAAUGUAAAAAUGUGUAACAAGAUAACAAUUUCUCUGAUUGUGAAACCAAACUCAAAUUGGUCAGCAGGAAGUACCGAAGUUCACAUUGACGAAGGUCAAACUCAAUUAGCCACCUCUGAACUCCCAAGAGGCGAGGUUACCUUUUCAGCAAUCAACUGAAUUUCCUUCACCCUAUCCUGAACUAACUUUCGGAGUUGCUCUUCUUGGCUUGUCUGAUUGUCAUCCAUCUGUACAGCAAUAUCUUCACCAGCCCCUGAUUUGAACAUGACAAAUGACAUCUCCUCAUUGACAUUGCAAGGAACUUCAAUAAGUUGCUUCCCAGCAGUCCCAGAAUCUUUCCCCAAAAUAUCAUACUUCACACGUUCAGAAAUAACGCUGACAAAGUUCUCCAGGUACUUGUCAAUAGGAUUGAGGCCAAUGUAGAUCAAAACCUCCCAACACUUGAGAAACUGUGUCUUGGUAAUUUUCAAAUGUUUCCUUACAUCCUCAACAGCACUGGGAGGUGGUGUAAGUCGAGGAGAAUGUGUUCUCUUUGAUAGUUUUCCAUCCUUCAGGAGUGAAACAGCCUUAGUAACUAAAUGCUGGAUUGGCUCAAAACCAAGCAGGCGUUGUGUGUCAACACAGGAACGGACAUGUUGGAAGUUAUCUAACGGCUCUUCUACAGUGAGGUCAAAAACAUUUUCAGCUAUAGCAACAUCAUUGAGCACUUCGAGAAGGUAACGCCCAUAACCCUUGUGCUGAUAUGGAGGCAAUACCAGUAUCUGCCAUCAACAUAGAAAUAGCACUUGAGAGUAUUCUAAUAGAAACAUGAUAUAAGUUGAGAGUAAUUUUGAGAGCACUGCAGCUAUUAAGGAAUAUCCAGUAUAUGACAUACCUGACCCAGACGCAAUCGGGAGUUAUCGGGAUAGUGGUAAAAUCGAUAAAUGGCAGUAAAUCCAAGCAACAAACAUUGGAUCUCUCCCUGCUGAUCAGUUUUCUUCUGAACCACGACAUACAGCUCCCACAUUGAAUCGGUAACAUCAAUGGGACUGCUACCUAUAUGACACAAGAGUUUAACAGAAAACUACAUUAGCAAGCAAUCUAAACAUUGCAUACAGGGGUAAAGAGUAGUAAAAUGAGUGAAAAUUACCAUCAACAAGGAGAAGAACAAGGGGUAUUAUAUGACUGUAAAGUUGUCCAGUAGCCAUGUUGCCUGCUUUCAAACGCACAACCUGGGGUCCAGUAGAUAGACAUCAAAAUAGCAUUCUUAAAAUGUGCAUAUGAAAACAAAAGACAUCCCAGAGAAGUUUAAAGGAUAAUGAACACAGGCAAAAACUUGUGUUUCAGAAUACUGUUUUUUAUUAAAUAAAUUUCUUUAGCUGAACAUUUUCAUUGAAAGGAAGGUUGUUCAAAUUGAUGUUAAUUAUAAUUGUUAAAUGUACAUUUGGAAACUGGAUGGCCAGAAUUUACAACACCAUACAUAAGUUUACUAGACAACUCAAAGAACUUGUGUAUUUAACAGCUGAAGAUUUGGUAGAAAAGGAGGAUGACUAGUCACAGAAAAGUGGGUAUCAGCCUACUCAUAUAUCUAAUGUUAAGUUAACCAAAAUCAGCAUAGCCUAACUGAUUAAUGCCAUUAGGGGUCAGUGAGAAUUUAGCAGAGCCAUGUAAAAGUUGUCACAUAGCAGGCUCUCCUUAAGAAUAAUGGUAUUAAGAACAACGUUAUACUGACAGUCAUAAAUACGCAUACAAAGAACAGACGGUCAAUAGGGACACGCAAUUUACUGGACACACAAUAUUUAACAAGAAAUUUGAAAAAAGUCGGUCAAUAAUAAAAUCAUAAUUUGAGAUGAUCAGUAACAGGAAAAAGCUAAAGUGAAAAGCAGCAUAACAAAUCUAUUUUGUCACUCUUUUUCCAUGUCUAGAAAAAAAGUAUUUAAAUUAGAUGAUUGGUCAAGACAUAGUGAAAUUUGAGAUGCAACAUGUAUAAAUAAGGAUUUUUCAUAGAUAAAGUUUUAUGCCAGUCCUUCAGAAUCAACCACCCUAUCUUUUAACUAGAGUGCAAUAAAUUGAGCCUAAAUGCAAAUUAUAACCUCAACAUUAGAAUCAUCCGAAUCAGCAUGCUUGAAAGCUUUGUGCUUCAAAAUCUCCCCAGUUGAGAUGCUUUUACUGCAAACCAAAUUAAAGUCACCAUCCACAGUCUUUACAAUUUUAUAAAACUAAUUUCAUUUCAGGUAUCAUAAAAAUCAGCAAAGUCUUCAUACCUAACAAAAUCCUUGUCCAUCAAAUACUUUUGAAGGAAUUCAUCCUUGUUAUCAACAAGAGUCUCAGCAAAAAUUGCCUGCAGAAAAGAACAAACCAAAUUGAAGGGUCAUAUGUCAAAGGUACUCAACAUAACAUUCAGUGACACGGUAGAUGUUGAUGCAUACCUGAAGAGCAACUUUAAGAUCUGUUAUCCCUUUGCCUCGCUUAAACAAUCAAACAACACAUUCAAAUGAAACGUCAAAAUCCACAGAUAACUAUGAAUUAACCAAUACUGUAAACAAAAGAAUAAGAACGUUUUUUUCCCAUUAGUUUGUAAGUCUAAACAGAUUCAAAACUUACAUCAGCGGAACUGUCGAAUGCAAUAUCAGCAUAUGCAUAAAAUGAUAUUCUGCUAACCCAGAUGUUAAUCUGCAAAAGUCCAAACAAUCUAAAGAUGAAAACAGCAUAUACCAUGAAACAUUCAACUAUCUUUAUUUAUAUAUAUAAAAAAAAUCUCAUACUAUAGUUAAAAUGAAUCAGACCUUCAAACCCUCAUAGCCAUAAAUUUUCCCAUCAUCAUCGAAAUAGCUAUUCAAAUCCACAGGAUUGAUGAUAAAACUCUCUGGAGCAUCAAACUCUUCUUUGCUUGAAACUGUACAAUAAUAACACAAUAAAUAUGGAUGCCAAUUGCAAAAUCACAGCAUAUCAAUAAACUAUGAAGCACUGUCACCGACACCAAACACGACACUGACAGACCUUCGAUCACAAGUGUCAGUGCUACAGACAACCCAAAACAUCCCCGGAAAAAAAAGGGAACACAACAGAGAGAAUUAUGAUUGUCAUAAAACAGCGGCCGGUAUUUGGGAAAACCCCAUUUGCAUCUCCCAACUUGACAACAUUUUAAAUACAACGAUGCCAUUUCCUACAACUACCAACAAAACGAGAACCACGAUAGACUAAUGGUUACUACCACAAAUAUUAUCAAUAAAUACAUGAUAAAAAAAAGUCAUUUGGUGGAAAACAAGGUCAUGUGUGUGUUAUUUGUGUUUCCCCCUGAAUCCAUAUUUCGUGGCAAAUGGCAUUUCCCUUUUAACCUACCAAGAAAAACUUUAUAAAAAACAACCCAGUUGCAAAAUCACAGCAUAUCAAUGACAAACCAAUUUUUAUAUAUUUUUUCAUUAACAACCCAAAAGAAAAUAGAACAAAAAAAAGAAGUUAUUAAAGUUAUAAUUAUAAGAAUACACAGUGUCCAAUGUUCAGGUAAACCCCAUUUUCAUCGCAAACUUGACACAAAACUUCACUAAAGAAAAAUGAAUCUUUCAAAAAAAUUGAUCAUACCAAGGAAGAUUCUGAUGCAGUCUUUGGCUUCAACCCCAGCAUCUACAAAACGCAAUGAAAAAUAUCGUAUAAAUCACAGCAAAAUGACGAAACAAAUUCAACAAAAAAUGAGUAAAAAUAUAAAGAAAACUCGCCUAUGCCGGAAAAUCCAACACGGCGUUUCUUCUUGGUUUCAUCGUUGGGAUCUGAUUUCAAAGCGUGCUUCUGCUUCUGACCCAUUUCUUUCGGUUCUGUGUUUUCUUCUUCUGUGUCUGAAAAAGGGGUUAGGGUUUUUACAGAGCGGGAAAUGAAAUGCGAGGGAGGGGGAAACUAGAUUAGGGCUUUUAAAUAAGAAAUCGUGUUGGGUUUUUGGGCCAAUGAUGAUGAUGGGCCAAAAGUAAACACUUGAAUCGUAUUUUGAAAAGAUUAUUGCUCUUCUCCCAUCUUUUUUUUCUCAUUCCCGUUAAAUAGCCGAGCGUGAGUUAACGCACAUAGGUAUAUUUGUCGGCGUGACGUAAGGUUGGAAUGAACAAAAAUUGAUGGGAGAAGCAACCUUCCUCCAACUACUCAACAAUUAUGACUCUCUCAAAAUCUCUACCAAAAUCACUCAAUCUCAAAAUCAUCCAAAAAUUUUCAUCAAAAUCACAAGUAAGUAAUCACUAAUGCUAUUAACAUACAUUUUUGUUGGUAUAUUUAUUUUUUUAUUUUUUUUUAUAAUUUUAGUUUUAGUGUUAAUUUAAAUUUUGAUUUCUUUUUUUGGUAAAAAAUUAAUCAAUGUUUACAUCUGAUGAAUACUUGUUGUAAUAGAGUUAUGUUGCUUAAAUAUUUGGAAGUUUAUGUUGUAGUUUUGAGUUUUAGAGUUUAUGUAUAAUUUGUACUACAAAUGUUUGAUGAAAUGUUUGAAUGAGUUUUUCAUUGAUUGUUUAAUUUCUUAUGGUGUAGAUCUGAAAGAAUGGACAAUUUGUUCGGUGCUCAAAUACGUUUCAACGCUGGAAACCCUUAUUUGUUCAAGGUACGAGACGAUGUCACACUAAAGGAUCUGAAUGAUCAACUGAAUGAAAUCAACCCCGGAGACACAAGGAGGGUGGAUAACGUUCAGUAUGCACAUCCCGGUUUAAUUUAAGCUGAUAAGAUAAUGCUCACAAAUGAUGAUUGUGUGAGGAGCAUGUUCUCCGUAUAUCGUCAUCACCGCAUGUUUUCAAGGAUUGAGAUGGAUGUUGCGUUGCUGAGAUCGCCUGAAGAUAUUUUGUUGAAACUUAAGUUUAAUUAUUGUUAGUUUGUUGAAGAUGCAAAGGUUUGCAAGCCUUUUUGAAAAGUCAAAAGAAUUAAGAGAGCACAACUUGUAUUAUACCAAAUCAACUAUAUAGGUUUUCACAACAAAUUCCUUUGUAUAAGAUGAGUGUGACGAAAGGGAAUGCACCUCUAAGAUGUUGUUUUGUGCUUGAUCAUGCUCCUUUGUCAAUUGAAACUUGUCAGUUGGCAAUGCAAGUAUGAUUAAGUUCAAAAUAAUAUAUUGGAAUACAUUACUUUUAUCAUUACUCAUCUUAUAUGAAGGAAUUCGAUGUGAAAACUUAUAUAGUUGAUUUGGUAGAAUACAAAGUGUUGUGCUCUCUUCAUUCUUUUGAGUUUUCAAAGAGGGCUGCAAAUCUUUACACUAAGCAUAAAACACUUCAAUGCUAGUAUUUUCGAUAAACUUUUAAGAAUUUAAUUUAAAUUCAACAUCAUGAUGAUACCACAUAUUUAAGAAGAUUGUAAUGUAAUGUAACAAUUUGUUUAAAGUAAAUAAAUUUGUCCUAUGAAUUGAAUUUAUAUCGUUUAAAAUGUAUUGACAUUGACUAAAUGUGGUUAAGAUGCAAGAUACAUGUUUUAAAAGAAGUUAUCAAUAAUGAUGUGAUCAUGAACUCAUUAAGUAUGUGGAAGGAAACAUAUAAAAAAAAUUCAUGGCAUAAUUUGUUGGGCAGCAAAAUCUAAUUGUUUAUUCUUAUUGGUCCAAUAAAAUGUGUUUCAAUGAAAUCAUUCGUUGACUCACGUGUGGAGUAAUGUGGUCAAUAUUUGUCUUUAAAGUAUCACUAUUUUUUUUGACAAAAUUUGUCUUUAAAGUAUCAUUAUUAUUUAGAUGGCAAAUUGAAAUUGGCAGUUAUGAAAUGAUUGGAGAAAUAUAUGGUACUUGAUGGUAAUUACAUGUUGCAUUGAAGAAUCGUCUAUUGGCAGGGAUAACUCUUGGACGGAAAACGUUGCACGUUAUUUUAAGGGUUUAGCUAACCAGUGCUCUAAAGGUAAUGGUUAUAAAUUUUAUUAGUAAAAAUUUUAUCUUGGGAAUACAAGUAUUUUAUUUUUUUCUUAGCAAUUAUACCACAUUUCGAUGCAAACUUAUUUAUUUUACCAUUUUAACCAAUGUCCCAAAGACAAUGGUUAGCAUUAGCCUAUUUUUAAUUGUCAAUUUUAUUGCUUUAUAAAUGUAAAUGCUAAUCAGCCAUUUAUUUGUUUUCCUUAGAGUAAUAUUAGGUGUCUUUUAAUUUAUUAGGGUCCUUUGAAUUUAGGGGAAAUUACAUUCUCCCUGAGGUCUCCUUAAAUAACAUAAACAUCCUCUCUAGUUUUCAAAAUAGACACCAACCUCCCUCAAAUUCUCAUAAAAUAAAUAAAAACCUCCCUUACCACUUAACACCGUUUAUUUCACCGUUAAUUAAUUAUAUUUCCUCCAAGCUAGUCUCCCUUGUUGCACACUUUGUUCUUAUUAUAUAUAUAUGUUGAAUUGGUACGUUCUACCCUUUUUCGUUCUUCACACAUGUGUAUUUCGUUAUGUUCAAAUCCCUUGUGAUAUAUAUUUUUUUUCCAAUCCCAGGCUUAUGUUUUAAGUUGUGUUUUUUAUUCCAAUUUUAUUGGGGAAAGUUUUGAGUUCGUCUGUAGGCUUGUCAUCACCUGCAAAUCCAGCCUCCCCCCAUGUUAACAAGAUGUUGAAAUCCAUGCGUUUACCACAUCAUAAAAGAUUAAGAUCUUAUUAAAGUUGUAGUUUUUUUUUGUUGUAAUUUAUGUUAAAUUUAUAUCAAGAUGAUCUAAAUAAUCGUAAUUCUUUUAGAGGAAAUAAAAAUAAAGUAACGAGUAGCAAUACUCAAGAUUGAGAAUUUGAGGUUGAUAAUAGUCAUAGACUUACUGAAUUAUGGAGAUCAACGCAGGCUCAACUUGAUCUUCCACUAUUGCAAGCCUGAAUUUGUAAUCCAUUAAUAUAGUCACACAUAGUGCAUAGUGUUUAUGUUUUAGAGAAAAAGGUUCUUACCACAAUCAAGUGAUCCUCACUCUUGUACAUUGCUGCAAGAUAGUGUGAGCUUUAACCAUUUUGUGUUUUUUAUUGUAAUUAACGGUGAAACAAACGCAGUUAAGUGACAGGGGAGGUUUUUAUUUAUUUGAUGAAAACUUAGGGGAGGCUAGUGUUUAUUUUAAAAUUAGAGGGGAUGUUUGUGUUAUUUAAGGAGACCUCAGGGGAGGUCAAUGUAAUUUUCCCUUGAAUUUAUUAGACCAAGAGCUCUAUAAACUCUUGUGGUUCUGGAUUGAACCAUCCUUAUCUUAUCAAGAAAUCCUUUUUUGUAGAGAUCCUCAUCCACCAACUUAUCGUUCUUUCUUGAAUUAGAAAGAGUGUAGUGUUCUUGUCUAUCCAUUCCAUUUCUUCAUUGUUUGAGUCUUUUCACCUUUUCUAGACUAACAUUUCUAAUUUGCUUACGAUGGUUCCCCGACACUCAUCAAAUAACUUUUGUGAUCUAUAUGCAGUGUAGCUGCAUCAUACCACGCAAGAGACAAUAUGGGGAUACAUAGGUUCCUGCACAAGGCCCCCAUGAUUUUUUUAUUCACAAAAUAAUGUGUUUUUUUUAUUCACAUAAGGAUCGAAAUCUGUUUUAAAUUUGUCUCCUCCUAUUUUAAUAUAAUGGGUUAAAUAUGUUUUUGGUCCUUAUAAAUAUAUCAACUUUUCAUUUUAGUUCCUUUAGAAUUUUCCUUCAACUUUUAGUCCCUAAAAAAUUUUCAACCAACACUUUUGGUCCCUAUUUUUAAGUCCCUAAAAAAUUUUCAACCAACACUUUAAAGGAGGGAUCAAAAGUGAAGAUGACAAAUUUUUGGAAGACUAAAAGUUGAAGGAAAAUUUUAAAAAGACUAAAACAAAAAGUUGACAUAUUUAUAGGGACCAAAAAGAUAUUUAACCCUAAUAUAAUUAUAUUAUGUUCAUUUUUUUUCUCUUUCAUAUGCUUACUUCAAAAGCACUCAAAGCACGCUACUUCAAAAACAUAUACUUAUAGAAACACUUAUUUCUAUAGGCACCCAUUUCUCUAAUGACACAAUGAGGGUGAGGACCCUCUCCCCCAUUAUUGAUGGUCUUAGAGAACAGUGUUGAAAAACCCUAGAAGGCAAUGAAGUUAGUCAAACCACUCAUUCUCUCACCCCAUGUCUCUCAAUCUCUAAAAGAUACACGGGUUUUGAUCAUCGCCAAAUAUGAAUAUAUGCUAUAAUUUUAUAUCUAUGGUUUGGCUAAUUUGUUAAAAAUUCAUCAAUUGAAAUCAAAAGGUGAUAGAUACAUGUUUGUUUUGAUAAAUAAACGCUAUAUGAGAUGACUGUAUAAUAUUUUGAUCGUGUUGUUUGCCAUCUGGAGUGUAUAAUCUUUGAAAAGUUUACUGAAAAGAUUCCAAAAUCAGGAUAUACCAUAAUCAGAUAGUUUGAAGUGUAAACACAAAUUACUACAGCAUUUGCAUGUACAAAAGACCCGACAAUUUUCACUUCUUACCCUUUUUUCCUCCCUUGUUUUUCUUGGACUUGUUUUUCUUCCCCUUGUUAUUUUCCUUGGCCUUUCGAUGUCCUGAAUUAACUGCACCUUGAGAAUUAUUGGACAUGUCCUGAAUAUAAAUAAUGAAGAAAAAUUGGCUAACCUCUAUGCAGGGGCGUAGCCAGGACCGUGCGGUAGGAGGUGCGGGAAUUUUUUCUCAUAAAGAAAAUUUAGGAUAAAAGGAUGAUGCUCUAGUAUAAGGUAGAGAAAAUCUUCAAACUCAAAAAAUAUUUAUAGAAAGAUUUACAUUCAUCUCCUUUCAAGAACAUUGACGGGGCUAAAAUCCAAGAAAUUCCCAAUCCAAAACAUGUCUUUAAUCACCAUUAAACUCUUGAAAUAGGUAAAAGCUUUCUAACUUUACUUAAUAAUAAUAAUUAAGCUAAAUUACACCAGAUGUUCUUUUAAGUUAUUUAAUUGUAAUAAAUUAGUUAUUUAAGUAUUUUUCUUAAUGCUUAAGUCCUUUAAGUUGUUUAAUUGUAACUUUUAGGUCCAGAAUAACUUACAUUUUUAAGAUCUAAAAUACCCAAAAAUUGUUACGGUUAAAUAACUUAAAUGACCUAAUUAGUACGAAAAAAAACUUAAAGACCAACUCGUUACAAUUAAUUAACAUAAAAAACCUAAGUGAUAAAAAAAAAGACUUAAAAAACCUACUUAUUACAAUUAAAUAACUUAAAGGACUUUUGAUAUUAUUUAACCUAACAAUUAUUAUAUACACAAACUAAACAUAAAUAUUAAACAUAUAUAUUCUUAUGAUUAUCCAUUUUGAUUAGUUAUAGUAAAUAAUUAAGAAUUAUCAUAUGUUUUAUAUUUUAGAUAUACGAUUACAUUUCAGUAUUUGCAGUUUAGGAUAAUGGCUAGGCCUAUUUAAUUUUAAUUCAAACCCAUAAUAAGGGUUCUACCCAUAGAUUUGCCUUUUAUAAACAAAACAAUAUAUAAAAACAAAGAUAAAAAUCAAUGUAGAACUAAAACAUAAAAUUGAAUUGAACUAUUAUUAUUCUAUGCCUGCAAAAAGAGAACGAAGAAAAGUCAAAAGGUACAAUAAUCAUUAUAUAGAAAACUUGAUUUGAGAGCUAUUGGUUAAUCUCUUGUAUUGGAACUCCAAAGACCGAAAGAAGCAAGCAGGCAAGAGAAUAUUGAAUUGAGGAGGUGCAAAGUUAAAAUCUCAACAGAUUCAGAGUGUAACAAUAUCAUAUAUAUAUAUAUAUAUAUAUAUAUAUAUAUAUAAGUUAGGAUCCGUUGACAUCAGGUGUCAACGAAUUCGUUGACACCAAAUCUCAACCGUUUAUUUUAUUUAAUCCAUAGCUCAUAUUUUUCUAUUCUGUGUGUACUCAUUCCCUCAAUCACAUAGUAUUAUUGUUUUCGAUCAUUGAAAAUCUGAAAUUGGGAACAUCAUCACAUCGUUGUUAUAUGCCACCACUUCCGUUAAUACAAUUUCUUGUUUGCAUCUAUCUUCUCUCUUGGUUAAUUCGAUGUAUGAAUUGCAAUUGGAGAUGAAGAUAUUAAUUAAGGGGUUUUAGGUAUCAAUUGGUAUGGUGUUUAACCAUUAAUGAAUAAUUGAACAUCCUUGCAAAAUACAUGGAUUUCUGCCAUUGCUGCCAAUCUUUGGUGCAUAUACAAAUCUCAAGAGUUAUCUAUGAUGGGGUCUAAUUGAGAUCCGUAAAGGAGAAGAGAUAACUUCAGGUUUUGUUACGUUAGCAUAGCACAGAUCAAUAGGAAAAUAAUAAUGUUGUGCGAUUGAGGGAAAUAAUACACACAGAAUAGAAAACUACAAGCCAUUGAUUAAAUAAAAUAAACGGUUGCGAUUUGGUGUCAACGAAUUCGUUAACACCUGGUGUCAAGGGAUCCUAACUCUCUCUCUCUCUAUAUAUAUAUAUAUAUAUACACACACAUACAUACGUGUAAACUUUAGAAAGCCGGGUGUUCAGGUGCAUCCCCUCAAGCCUUAGUGGCUCUGCCACUGCCUCUAUGGAAUCAGGUGAAACACUAUUACGACAUAAUACAUCCGCUGCAGACUUGAAAUUUUCCAACCAAUUCCAGAAGCACUCACCAUCCACAUCUGAUGCCUGAUCUGAAACAGAAGCAGAGCUUUUAUUUUGAAGGUUUGAAGGAAACUCCUUAGAUUUUGAUUCAGAGGCUUCUGCUGUGGUUUCCCCACCCACACUGUCAACUAUACUAGGAAAUAACAUUUCUAACACGAGUUCUCUUUUUUUGCACGUCGCUAAAUCCACAAACACAGCAUCUGAACACAUGAUUUUGGAAGAACUGUUUUGAAGCCUGACGAUUACCAAGGGGUUUCCAAUUACUUUAAAUGCCUCAGCAAACCCAUGUGUUUAUUUCCUUUUUGAAGAACAUUGCAAAAUUCCAAUGGCAUUUGAGUGGUCAUAUAGCUAUUUUUCAACAAACAGCGAAGUAAUUCUAAAUACUUCCGACUCCCAGUACUGAGGUGAAGCAAGCACAUCGAAACAACCGAUCGCAGGAAAAGCGAUGGAAAAUAAUUAUCCACAUCCAAGUUUGAUUUUUUAAUCCAGGUUUUGAUAUCAUUUUGAUCAUUAACAAAUUUUCGGAGGAAGUUCUCAACGAAAUCAUGGACAUCUCUUGUGUCUACAGGAGCAAAGCUCAAACUUGCAAGGGAAAAUUUAUUUUGACAAAUAAGCCAUUCAGUGAAAGAUGACUUUGUCGCAUAAAUGAGCCUCCCCCUCGAGCAUGAUGUCAACAGAAGUAGCUGUUCAAAAAGAUACAUAAAGCAACUGGGAGAUAUGUAGUCAACUUCCUUUAUCCGAUUCACACUCCAAGUAUAACACAAUGCUUUGUAAAGCUUGCAAGUGGGAUGCAUCUCAAAUUCUGUUUUCUUGUGUGGUAAAAUUCCAUGUGCUGAAUACAACCGUAAGCUAUCAAUGAAAUCUUUCCCGUGUUUGUUAUCUUCAAACCUUGUCAUAACUUGCACAAACGGAUCAUCUUUUACAUUAGCUGUACCAAGAAUCAUAACUACCACCCUUCCAAUUUGACCAAAUAAUUCAAUGCAAACUUUACAUAACUGCUAUGCUGAUGAGGCUCUUGAACUUUGAAAUUUGAAAGGGAUUCUAGCAUAUGAACAAUGUUAUCCUUCCAACAUGUUCAACUAUAAAACAAUGUCUCCACGGAAAAUUGAUUCUUCAUAAUCAUGCCUUCGACAGAAACAUCAAACAAGCUGUCUUGCCAGACAUACUUAGAGGAGUUUAGCCGAAAAUGAGAAUCCAGCAGUUUCCACAAACAUAAUAUUUCCCCUCUGAUACUUCUAUAAAUGCGAGAAGAUUUCAAUUGAUUCAUUAUUUCAAAAAUAUUAUCAUGCUUAUUUGAUAGUCUUUCAACUUCUGUGGAUGCAAGCUCAUAAAAGCUGCUUGACACUACCUUUGCAAAUGUCAACGCUCGUCCCAAAAGAUCUUCCUUCUCUGUAAACUGCUUGAAGGGCCAUGCUUUGCUUCCUCCAGACCAAAGAGAUUUUGCAAGUACAUAGAAAAACAUUAGUUCAUAUACUUCCAUAAAGUUGCCUGAUUCCUCUUCCAAUUCAAGAAGCUCAUCAAGUAAGCUUAAUGAUAGUAAGAACCUGCGCUUUAAAUUCAUCGAGUGAAAAGCUCGAACAAAUUUCAUCAUGGAUUUGAUAUCUUUCUUCUCAAAAUAAUUGUGGGCACAAUUUUCCAUAAAUUUCUGUUCAAUUGCGUUCAGAUCAUGGCUAUUAGCCCAACCAGGGUCAGCACUCUCAUUUUGUUUCCAGCACUCAAUGUAAUGUAAUCCAAUGUCAAACAAUCCACCUUUUGCACAAACAUUCAAACAAUCUGAGAAGAAACUUCCUCUAGCAUACACUUGAGCAGCCAUUUCGUGACAACGUGCUAAGUAAAAGCAAUCCCUUGCCCUUUUCAAAUCAGGCUCUUCACAUUUUUCCAAGUAAAGUUUCCCUGUUAGCAGAAAACGAUUAAUUUUGAAGAGUAAAAGUUCACAAUGCAAAAAAUAGCCUAAGCAUAAAAUCAAUUAAAAUAUGUAAGCUUAAGUGAUCUCAUUAGAGGAUUAAAAAUGAUGUUUACCAAAUUAAAUUUGCUUCUACAACAAAAUGAGUCAAAUGAUUAACUCAAAUCAAACGGAUUCAUCAACAACAAAUAAACUACCAACACUCACAUAAUAUGAAGUCAAUUAACUACAACUAAAGUUAGGUAUAGAUGAAAGUUCUGAAUAGUCAUAUAAAAGCUUUGUCCAAGUGAAAUAUGCAAGUCUUUAUAAAAAAGCUAAAUUUAGAUGAAAGGUGUAAUUUUUAUACGAAUCUGCAUAAACCUUUUAUAUCUUGCAGUACUUAUAAAAACAGUUUUAGUCCAGAGUAUAUUUUUGUUUGAUUGAAUUUCAUCUGCAAACAUAAAAGGAAAAUAAAUUUUAAUCAAAGCAUGCGAUAUAUAAUUCCUUUUUGUAAAUGAUUUUAUGGAUAACUAUGACAACUCAAAUAUCCAAGUAAGUUGGCUUAUGUACUUUCUUGUUAUUGUAAUUGAAAUAUUACUGCUUUAUGGUAAUAUUUAUGAAGUGAACAACACUAAAAAGUUAAACUUAAUGUAAUUUCCUCACCUGAUGGAUUGAAAAAGAAAAAACAUAAAAACAUAAACUGGUCUCAGGCUUCAAACCAUCAAUAGAAUGAGGAAAAAAAUGGAAAAGAAGCUCAAUGAUGCUCUGAGACAAUUUCAACACUCCAGCAUGAGUCCGAAAGUUCUGAUUCAACAAAAAAAAUUCUGAAACUUUCAUUUUAUCCUUUCCUUGGUUAUAGGCACUUCUCUUUGAUUCUAGCACAAACUUCUUGUAAAAAGAGAGAUUUGAUAUCCUGGAACUUAAAAUCAAUUCCCCUUGCGAUGGUCUGUGCAGUAUCCCCGCAAAAAACGAAACCUUCUUCUACAUUUUGACACACAUACUUAAAUAAAGUAAUUUGACUCAUGGUUAGAUCCUGCACUUCGUCAAUCACCCUCAUAUUUUUGAAUUCUGAAUCGGCAGUGAAGGUCAGCAACAAAAUCAGCCAAAUCAAAAUCCCCCUUAUCCAUCUUCAUUUUUUCAUAACUUUGAUAAAUAUCAUAUAUGAUCUCCCUUUUCCGCUUGCUUAAACUUGACGCCCGGUUUUCAUAAAAGAAAAGAUAAUCUUGACGGCUUAACUUCCCUUCACCAGACUCCACAGAUGACAUACUCCCUUUUAUAUGAGACAUGAUUUCAGUGAACACUCUAGAUGAAUCAAACCUGUCAUAAGUCACCUCCUUCUUCCUUAUAAAAGUCUCCAAGACAACAGAUCUUACACCAAGGUUCUCACGUAGAGAAGAUAGAUCACUAAAUCUUUCAAAAAAAGAAUUCCCCACAGUCCCAUCAAGCAUCAUUAGAAACUUCUGAAAUGUUAUCACAAGUGGAUAUGAGUUGGCGGCAAGAUUGACAAAAGAAUCAGGUUUAUUCCUAAAUUGUAUUGAUGUAUCAACAUCAACUAUUUCUUCUUCAAUCGAACAACUUUUGGAGGAAAUAUCAGCACCACAUACGAACCUGUAUGCACAACAUAAAUAAUAUUAGAUCCCAAUUAAAUACUGCAUAUAAAGCACACUUUUAGCUUUUGAAAGUAACAAGUAGGUGAAGAUAUCCUUUGACAAAGUUUAUGAUAAAAACCUGCUGUUUCGCUGAAGUAAAAAUUCCAUACCUUUUCAUUCUAGCAACCUGCUGUUUCACUGCUUGACAAAGUUUAGGACUCACUGUUACAAAUAAUUGGUGUAGGACAGGCCUAUCAUUCAAGGUAGAACUGUCUUUAUACUCUUUCUCAUAACUCAAACAAGGAACUUCAACGAUCUUAAUUCCAUAUGUGUGUUCAAGAGCCACAUGGUGCAAUUCCUCCUUUUUAAAUAGCUUCAUGGUCAAAACAGUGGUUUUCCCGGUACCAGAGCGACCCAAUACAAAUGUACUUUUAGAAAAGAGUAUAAUGUCAUGUUCUUCAUCUGAUACUUCAAAUGGAAGUUCCAGUUCAUUACUAUUACGAUCAGAAAGCAAGUGGCUAACCACAACAGAUGAUAAAGAAUAGAAUUUCAUCAAUAAAAAACUCUCCUCAACCUUUGAGUUCUCAAAAUAAAUCCUUUGAUUGAUUCUGCUUCAUAUCCAUUAUUAACAAGAUUCUUAAUUUUGAUGAUUUCUGUUGAUUUUUCCCAACUCAUUAGAACCUCCAUCUUCCUAGAAAAGAAGCAAAACACAGUUAUUAGUUAGCUAAAGUAACUUAGGUGUAAUAAAAUACAAAUCAAAGUACUUACCCUUCAAAACGUUGCUCACUGAAGCGACUUAUAAAAUCAUCAGUAUAGCUUUCAAAAAUACUAUCUAGACGCUUCAGUACUUUAGGAAUAUCCUCCGGAGGCAGUAUAUCCCAUAUCCUUAAAACUUGAGUGAAAAUCACUUCUUUUACUAUGUCCUUCGAACAAACAACAAAGAGACCUUCAACUUUAUAUUGCUUAAACAUCUGGGAUGAAUUUCCACAAAGCAAAUCCACUUUUAUCCUUUUUGGUCUCCAUCCACUGGAAAGUUUAAGUAAGAGGCUAAUGACCCACAUUUUUGUCCGCUUUGUUGGAAGAUUUUUAAAUGACUUAAGGAAGUUAUCACUAAAAAGAACCUGCACAAUUUUUGGAGGAAUAUAUGAACUAAAGGUCAAGCACAUGAUCACAAUAAGUAAUAUUAGAAUAUCGGAAAUCCUAAUACCUUCCACCUAGAGUUUCUAAAAAUGACACUAUCUGAGUUAAGAAAAUCAUAAAGUUGAUCCAGCUCUUUCUUGGCAUCCCAAAUACCUUUCACUAAGUCCUCGUCCUCAUCCGCAUUAAAGAAGCAUUGACGUUUUUUAGCAUCAAGCACCAAUGCUUUCCAUACAUUAUCCUGACUUACUAGGGUUCUUUCAUUUCCCAAUAUCCAUAGACAAUGCCUGUUGAAUAUAAAAUCAAUAGCAUUCAUGCAAACAUUGUUUUUGGAAAAAAUCAAAUGCAAUUGUAACGGCACAUAGUAGGUUUUACGGUUUUACCUAGCCCUGGUGAGAGCAACAUUAGUCCUCUGAUCAAGUGAAGUACUGCAAUCAGUUCUGACGGUUGAAAAGAUAAUAAUGUCCUGCUCUCCACCCUGGAAACCAUCUAUUGUUUUCACCUUCACAUUGAAAUCUUCGUGUUUAUCAUACUUCUGUCCAAGCAUAUCCUGAAUUGCAACAACUUAAGCAGCAUAAGGAGACACCACGCCUAUACUAAGGUUCUCGUUUGAGCCAUUCCAUGCUGCAACAUUCCAUGUAAAUUUCUCUAUUAGAAAAUAUGUACACACUAAUAAAGUAUUUUUUUUUUAGGCUUAAUUGCACUUUUAAACCCCUAUCUUUCCAAAAGUUGCGGUUGGACCCCUAACUAAUUUAAAUACAAAACAGCCCCCUAUGUUUUGAUUCUUUGGCAGUUUUGGACCCCCAAGGCAAAAAAAAAAAAAAAAUUGACACGUGGCACCUCACUUAGGGUGCCACGUCAGCGUUGACCGAGUCAACAAUGGACUGGGGGUCCAAAACUGCCAAAGAAUCAAAACAUAGGGGGCUGUUUUGUAUUUAAAUUAGCUAGGGGUCCAUAACCGCAACUUUUGAAAAGAUAGGGGUCCAAAAGUGCAAUUAAGCCUUUUUUUUAGGGAAUGUACACUAAUAAAGUAUUAAAAAAACUCAUAAUAUAUAUAUAUAUAUAUAUAUAUAUAUAUAUAUAUAUAUAUAUAUAUAUAUAUAUAUAUAUAUACUCCCUCCGUCCCAAAUUGUAUGACGUUUUGGGCAUUUCACACAUAUUAAGAAAUGUAAUUAAUAUUGUGUGGGAAAGAGAUAUUAUGAGUUGUUUUACAAAAUUAUCCUUAAUAAAAGAUAUGAGAAAGAUAAAUGAAAGAAUUGAAAAAAGAAAGAGUAAUAAAUAGUUAAGGAUAUAAUAGGAAAAGUAACAUUAAUGUUUCAUUGGUAUUCUAAAGUGACAUACAAUUUGGGACAAAUAUUUUUUCUAAAGUGGCAUACAAUUUGGGACGGAGGGAGUAUAUAGAGGACAUAUCAUAUGAGAAUGACAUUCUUAUAUGAGAAUGAUGAGAAUGAAUUACAGCCAUCAAAUUAAAAUAAAGGGAUGAGAUUAAAACAUCACUUAAAUAGCACAUGACUCAUUUAACCAUAGGAAUACUGCAAUAAACUCUAAUAAUAGGUUCUGAUCCAUAUUCUCAACACUCCUCCUUGGAUCAGAACCUAUUAUUAGAGUUUAUUGCUGUAUUCCUAUGGUUAUGACUGUUAUGAUAACUCAGCCAUAAAACACUACAAGAAAUCUUGUGUAUUGCUAGGGAAAAAUGCCAGGAGCAAAAACUCCAGGCAAAUUUGCCAGGGCCAACCCCUCACAAAAGCCGUGGCAAAAUGUAUGGACAUAAAAGAUUCUUAUGUAGUCAGGAAAAAACAGGACGGUACAACACUUUGCCAAGGGUUGUGCCACCAAAAACCCCUGGCAAAUUGCAAAGCCUGCAAAUUGGUCAGCACAUCCUGAAAAGGCUACGUGAGUAGCUGUUUAAUUGAAUUGAUUAAAGAGCCGUUGGGCUCUGUGCGGUUUGCCAGGGGCUAGACCCUCGGAUAACCCGUGGCAAAUUGCAUCUAUACAAUUGCAUCUAUACAACUGCAUCGUUCCCUUUCAUUUAGUUACCGAAAAAAUUUCUCUUCUUAACAACCUCAAAAAACUCCUCUCCAUAAUUUCCCUCAAAAAAAAAAAACUACUCUCCACAAAUUACUCUCUUCUUCAACAACACUAAUUUCUUUUACUUUGGUAAAUUACUACACCUACAUUUUUAUGCUUCUAUUUUAUUUACUUAUAUUGGCAUAUAAUUUUAUAUAUGUUGUUGUAUUUAAUAAUAAAUAUGCAUAUUAUUUUUUGAUGAAGUAUUAAUACAUGUUGAAUAUAUGUUUGUUUUUAUCUAGAUCAUCUCUUGAAUAUAUGUUUUUUUUAUUAGUUCUAUUAGUUUUUUUAUUAGAUCUAUAAUUAGUUUCUUUUUAUUUGAUAUAUAUGUUAAAAAAAAAAAAAACCAGAAUCAAAUUUUUUUUACAAAAAAUGUUUUUAUUAUUUAAAACCGUAUUUUUUUAAAGUUUAAUUAAAAAAAUAUGUUAUUUAUUAAAAUUUUAAAUUUAUUGGUGUAAUAAGUAUUAAAUUGAUGUUAUUAUAAGUAAAUAGAAUUAAAAAAAUAAUUUCAAUGAAUAAGUAUAAAACUGAUUUUAUUAUAAGUAAUUUGAAUUAAAAAAAGUAUAAAAAGUGUUUAUUUAGGAAAAAUUUUAAAAAAAAUAGUUGAAUGUUAUUCACGUAAAAAAAAAUAGUCUUGUCUUACGCAAAGAAAUAGCUGAAGGUUAUUCACGCAAAAUUUGAUUAUUAGUGGUGUAAAAAAAAAAUUAUUCACGUAAAGAAUUUUUGCGCAAUUUAGUUUACUUACGUAAUCGGUUAUUUAGUCUUGUCUAUUGAAAAAAUUUGUGUUACUAGCGAUACUUGGGGAAAAAAAACUAAUUGGUAUAUAUGUGAACGUUAUAGCUGAAGGUGCCAAAGAUGGAAUAUUAUCAGCAUUAUCGUAGUUGGAUGUAUGACAGAACGUUUCCGGGAAGAAGAGGAUUAAAACCCCAUUUUGUGGAAGGAGUUCACGGAUUUAUUUCAUGGGCAUGGGGACAACAAGCUUGUAAAGAUGAGGGAGGGAUAAGAUGUCCGUGUCUGAAAUGUGCGUGUAGAUAUAUAAAGACUAACCCCGAUGAAGUGAAGAAACACUUGGAGAAAGUUGGAUUUAUGCCUGAUUAUUGGGUUUGGAUUUAUAACGGUGAACAAUUUCAGAAUUUUGGGGUGGGAGUCAAUGCACAAGCUUCGAGUAGUGGAAUAAAUGUGGAUGACAACCAACAAUUCAACGAUGAACAAUUCAACAUGAUGAAUGAUAUGGUCGCUGAUGCUUUAGGUGUGGAAUUGUCUUACAAUAAUGACGUUGAAGAUGAACAAGGCGAACAACCCCCAAAUGAGCAAGCCCAGAGAUUUUACGAGUUGUUGAAUGAAUGUAAUGUCCCACUGUUUGAAGGGUGUACGCAAUCAAAGUUAUCAAUGUGUGUGAGACUUUUAGCUCAUAAGGCAAAAUAUGGUGUUGCUGAUAAAGGCGUGGAUGAAAUUACGGAGAUGUUGUUGGAUGUGACUCCUUUUAAAGAUAAUUUGCCAGCAACUUAUUAUGACGCUGAGAGGUUGGUGAUGAGGUUAGGAUUAAAAGUUGAUAAGAUUGAUUGUUGCAUAAACGGCUGCAUGUUGUUUUAUGACAAUGAAUUUGGGAAAAAUGACGGAGCAUUGGUGGAAUGCAAAUUUUGUCAAAGUCCACGGUAUCGUGUUAUACCCCGUUUUUGGACCUAAAAAUACUAGGGCCCAAUUUCAUUUCAAACUUUGUCAAUUAUCAAAUUUCAACUGUACAGUUCAAUUUGUCUCUGCCUCGCAGUAUUUUCAAUCACAAUUUUACCUAUGUUUUUCUUGCAUAAAACCUUUCGAAAUGUCUUUACUUGUCUUGUAAGUCAUUCAAAAGUGUCUCUGAAUCAUUGCAUUGCUUUUUCUACAGUUUAUUUCAAAAUUUGCAAAAAGUCAUACAGAAGGGUAUUUUGGACAUUUCCUGCAGUGGGACCCAUUUUUAUCCUUGUGACUGUCUCUGAGUCUUUUCGGAUUGUUUUUUACAUUUCAUCAGUAAACCUUGUUAAAAUUCAUUUCAAACUUGCGUCUGAGUCAGUGUUGAGUCAAUUUCAAUCUGUUUAGGUCGUUUUUAGCCCUAGGGGCAUUUUGGUCAUUUCACAUAAAAUUUUGGCAUGGGGAGGUUACUUUGAAGUACCUCAUUUAGGCCAUUGGUUCGUUUUAGUCCGUUUUGUCAAUUUUAUUUUUUGUUUCACUUUACGUUUGGUCAAAUUAUGUUUUUUAUUCAAAUUUUAUUUUUAAUUGCAUUUUGGUCCCUCAAUUGAGGUCCCAAAAUUGCAUUUUUGUCCAAACUGUUUUUUGUUUAUUUCAUUUCAAGUUUUUUUUAAUUUUGCAGUUUAGUCCUUAAAAUUCUUAUUUUUGCAAAAAGGUCCAAAGUCCAUUUUAAGUCCAAGGCCGUGCCCCUCCCAUACAAAUCCAGAUGUCACAAUUCCAUUGGCUCAAGUGUACACAUGUCAACUAUAUAAACAGUGAGUCAGAUUCAAAGCCAUUAAUCACACGCCACUUCACCAAAGAAGAAAAACAGAAUCAAUUUUUCUCUCUCUUGUCAGUUAGAUCAAAACCAGAAUCACAGAGAAAUCAUCAAGAACACAGAGAAAAAUCAAAAAACCCUAAAUCACCAGAAUCACAAAAUCAUCAAGAAAUUCAUUGAAUUUUCCACGAUUCUCAGAGAUUCGCCAAGGAAUCAUCAUCAUUGAAUCGUUGCUCUGCAAUUCGAGUGCGAGUCCACCACUGAAAGCGGCGAACUCAAGCACGAUCGCAGAGGCUUUCCCGGAGACGAAGAAGAGGGACGAAAAUCCAUAUACCGAACCUGUGAAGAAGAAGAGCGGAUCAGAACAGCAGGGAACCAAACCAGAAUCAACGGAACAAGACUAAAAUCAAGCUUUCCUUGAAGAUCCGGAUCGGAACCACCAAGAAAACCACAGGUAAAACUCAAACUUCCUUUUUUUCGCAAAAAAUGGAUAAAAAGGAGAAUCAAGUAUAAACAUGUAGGAUUCUAGAAGCACGUAGCCAAAAAGCACAAAGAACAAAGAAAAACUUCAUUCAAAACCGCAACUUCAAACUUAGAUCUACUCCGGUUGAAAAUCUUUUUCAAAAAACCAAGCUCGGAUUCAUGAAUAGCACGAAAAAGGAUGUUUAAAAACGUAAAAAAUUUUUGAAUCGGAGCAAGGAAGUUUUUCCGGUGGCCGGCCACCGCGCCGGAGGAGCUAAGCCAUGCCGGAGAAGACAACCGGAUUUCUAGAGAGAAGUGGGAGCUUCUCUCACUAGGAUGAGAGAAGAGAGAGAAGGAGAGGAGAAAAUGAAAAAAACCGGAGCCUUUGUGUUUAUAUAGCCAGUGAACCGGACCGGUUUAUUUCCGGUCCAGUCCCCCUUGUUCCUGGCCGUUUGAUCUAGGGUUUCAGAAUCCUAGAUCAAUCGUGUGGCUCCUGUGCAGUCUGAGUUUUGAGUGUGGGCUUUGGGUUUGGGCUUAGUUUUCUUUCACGUUUUUUUUGUUUUUUUUGCUAUUUGCACCGUAUUUCUUUGCUACUUGCACCUGUUUCUUGCUCACUUUUUUUAUAAAAAAAAUCCUAAAAAUCCUGGUUAUUUCUUGGUAUAUUUUUGGCAUUUCUAUGGUGUUUCUUGCAUAAAAAAAGAUGUGAAAGUGGCAUGAACUAAUUCCAUGUGUUUUUACACUUUUGGUAUGCAUUUUGCUAUGUUUUGUUCUUGACAUUUUGAUAUUAUGACAUGGAUAAAGGAUGCCUAAUAUGAUGAUGAAUAUGCCUCUGGAAAUGUGUUUUUGUUUGCUGUUUUUGAAUAUGAUUUUAUGAAUUUCUUGUUUUGCAAGCAACAAGUUUAGUUUUAAGGAAUAAAGUGGCAAAUUUCUCUAUGAACUUGGUGUGAUAUUUUGCAUGCAUAUGCCUCCAUUAAUUGCAUGUCAUGGCUUGAAACAAAAUUUCUUUCUAAAUUGCCAUGAUGUGAUGAUUAUGGGCCACUAGCAUCUUUAGGUAUCAUAUCAAAUGUCUUUUAGGUUUAUUACCACUUUAUUACUUUUUCUUUGCCAUCUUUAUGCAUUUCCUUUUAAUUACUUCCUACUAUUGUGUGCUUUAUGAUUACUAACCAUUUCAUCUCAUGUGCCAUACAUUUCAUAGCAUUCCACCACUCUCUCCACUUUCUUUAGCUUAGCAUUUAUUUUUUUUCGCAAGUUUUAAUUCAUUUGGUAAUGUAAUUUGUUAUCAUUGGUUUGUAGCUUGGCAAAGGGGCCAUAGAAUGUAUUUAGGCAAUUUUUGUAAUAUGGACUAUGGACACUAUGACGCACCGACACGCACACACUCACCUUAGAUGUAUGCAUAGGAUUGUAUGGUUAGAUAAGCGUUUAGGUUUGAACACUUAGAUAAAAAUCCAACUUUUUUCCAAAAAGAACAUGCAAAUAACUUCACUUGAAAAUCUUUUUUUUGAAAAUAAAAUGGAGUCAAAACUCCUUAUUUCCCCUUUUAUUUUCUUAAGUAAAACUUUCAAUGAAUCUUAACCCUUCUUAGACUUUAUUUUUGCAAAAUGACUAAAUCCACCUCACACUUUCCAAACCUUAUGCCCUUGAGGCCUCUCAUCUCUAUUCUUCAAAAUCUCUUUUCAAACCUAAAAUCAACCAACAAACACAAAAACUAUUUUUGAGAAUGAACUACGAACGGUUUUGAUCCCUUAAAAGGGUACGUAGGCAAUGAGUCAAAACUCAUCCAAGCCGAAACAAAAAAUCAAAUUCUACUUCUUCUCACCCCCACUCUUAACUAAUCACACCUUCUUUUUUUACAAAUAAGCAAUAAAAUUAAAGCGUAGAAAUAAACUUAGGAGAGCGGUUCUUAUGGAAUACCAUAAUCGCUCCGGGUGCCUAACACCUUCCCGUAGCGAAAUCGACCCCCGAAUCCGGAAACUCAAGGGUUUUUCUCAAUUUUGCCCUUCCCAAGAAAAAAUAGAGAUAUCAACGGUCAAAAGGUUCAAGUCCAAAUUAAUGGCUUGGCACCCAAAAACCAUGAUAACAGAAAUGGCGACUUCACUGGGGAUUCUUUUUAGCGGGUCGCGCCUAGUUUUCCUUAGUUUAUAUUUACGCUUUAUUUUAUUGCUUACAUAUGUGAAUAUUUGUUUAUUUUCAUUUGACGUGUGGGGUGAGAAUAUCAAAAGUCCUAUACCCGGGCUGAGUGAACUUAUGUUUAGGUAGAGAUAUAAUCGACAAUUCGAUCCGGGGGUUGCCUCGUGUAUUGGAUUAUGCGAUCAAUCUCACAUAGCUGAGGCAUUUUGAAGGUGAUAUUGUCGGCGUGUGUUGUCAUGCUUAGGCACUUCACUUUCAAUUGUUCGACGAAGCUAUGAACCGUAGUUACCAAACCCAUCCUAGCCUUUUUAAGACGUAGUGCGGUGGCUAAAUUGAGUGUUGUCUCAAACUUUAGUCGUCACGCGAUACUACACUCAAGCUAGACCUUCUCACAAAUAAUCAUGGAACGGGUGUCGUCCUGUACUACCAUGAUAUAUGUGAGAGAGGUUGCAGUUUGGGAACUGUGUUAGAACCUUGGUUACUAUUAUCUAAAGCCUUAGUUCACCGGACGCCGUGUCCAUCCGUGGCCUUGUUACUUUGGAUCUCAACCCACAUUGUAACUAAACAACACAAUCAUGCAUACAUGCAUAAACAUUUUUUCAUGCAUUCAUCGAAGGGUUUAAACAAAUGGAAAUUUUUGUAAAUAACCACAGGUAUGAAGAAGACUAAGUGCUACAAGUUCAAGGAAGUGGAUUUGGUUAGUUUGAGAGAGUUGGCACUCAAGGUCAAGAGUCAAACAGGGUUCCGACUCCGGUAUGGGGGAUUGCUUACUUUGCUCCGAACCGAUGUGGACGAGAAGUUAGUGCACACUCUAGUGCAAUUUUAUGAUCCGAGCUUCCGCUGCUUCACUUUCCCGGACUUCCAGUUGGUUCCUACUCUCGAGGCUUACUCCAAUCUAGUGGGUUUACCCAUAGCCGAGAAGGCACCUUUCACCGGUCCCGGAACUUCUCUUACUCCUCUGGUUAUUGCUAAGGGUCUCUACCUCAAGACUUCCGACGUCUCCAACCAUCUUAUUACCAAGUCUCACAUCCGGGGGUUCACUUCGAAGUAUCUUCUUGAUCAGGCUAAUCUCGGUACCACUCGCCAGGACACACUCGAGGCUAUUCUUGCUUUGCUUAUCUACGGGCUCAUUCUCUUCCCGAACCUUGACAACUUCGUGGACAUGAAUGCUAUCGAGAUCUUUCAUUCCAAGAACCCGGUUCCUACUUUGCUAGCGGAUACCUACCACGCCAUUCAUGACAGGACUCUCAAGGGCCGUGGGUAUAUUCUUUGCUGCACAUCUCUUUUGUAUAGGUGGUUUAUUUCGCACCUUCCGAGUUCCUUCCAUGAUAACUCGGAAAAUUGGUCCUACUCUCAGCGGAUUAUGGCUCUCACUCCUGACGAGGUCGUCUGGAUCACUCCCGCCUCUCAAGCCAAGGAAAUUAUCAUGGGUUGUGGAGACUUUCUCAAUGUACCUCUUCUUGGUACCCGCGGAGGAAUCAACUACAAUCCCGAGCUUGCUAUGAGACAGUUUGGUUUUCCUAUGAAGUCGAAGCCCAUCAAUCUUGCUACAUCUCCAGAGUUCUUCUUCUACACGAAUGCCCCUACAGGACAAAGGAAAGCUUUCAUGGAUGCUUGGUCCAAGGUUCGAAGGAAGAGUGUGAAGCAUCUAGGUGUGAGAUCCGGUGUUGCUCAUGAGGCUUAUACUCAGUGGGUGAUAGAUCGAGCUGAGGAGAUUGGUAUGCCUUAUCCAGCUAUGAGAUACGUGUCUUCAUCCACUCCAUCUAUGCCUCUACCUCUACUCCCCGCGACUCAGGAUAUGUAUCAGGAGCAUCUAGCCAUGGAGAGUCGUGAGAAGCAAGUGUGGAAAGCUCGGUACAAUCAAGCCGAGAAUUUAAUCAUGACUUUGGAUGGUAGAGAUGAGCAGAAGACUCGUGAGAAUCUAAUGUUGAAGAAAGAACUAGCUAAGGCCCGGAAGGAAUUGGAAGAGAAAGACGAGCUGCUUAUGAGGGAUUCCAAGAGAGCCCGAGGACGACGAGACUUCUUUGCCAGAUACUGUGGUUCAGAUUCCGAGUCCGAUGAUCUUCCGACUACUUCCUAUGCUUGAGGGCUUCAUCUGUUUAUCUUGUUGAAAUUUCAAAGUCUUCCUUUUGAAAAUGCUAUGUAGUUUUGAUUAUUUGCAAGAUUUCUAAUUUGUUUAAAAAUCCUUCGAUGAAAAAAAAAAAAAAAAAGUCUUUCGCAUUUGCAUUUGCAUAUCAUGCAUCAUAUGCAUCAUGCAUUGGUCACAAAGGCUUCCAAGUGCUUACCACCUCCUGGUUUCUCUGCCGCAGUGUGAAAAGUGGCUCGUGCUCAGAGAAUUUACGAACCUGAUAGAAUUGAUCGAACCAGAGAAUACAGAAGAAAGAAAAGGGCUAUGGAAGAAGAGAACACACAGCUUCGUACCGAAUUGGCAUCUCUAAGGGAGGAAUUGGCCAAAGCUCAUGAUGCUAUGACUGCUCUGUUAGCUGCUCAGGAACAACCAGUUCCUGUAGUUUCUACAGCUGCAAAUGUGACUCCUACCGUAACAACUGAUCCCCGCUCUAUCAUGCCAUCCGGGUAUCCUUACGGGCUUCCGCUGUACUAUACUGCUAACACAGGGGCAGGGACCUCUGGUACUACCAACAAUGGCCCAAUCCCAGGGGCAAACUUAACUCCUGUUAGUACCGCCUUGACUCAAGCUGCAACAACUGUUACCGAGCCCAUCGUGAAUGCGGUGCCUCUAUUUGUCCAUGCUAAUGCGCACCACGGGAAUAUUGCCACAACCGGAACUAUGGAAGAGAGAAUAGCAGAACUUGCUAAAGAGCUCCGACGGGAAAUUAAGGCCAACAGGGGAAACGGGGACUCCAUUAAAACCCAGGACCUCUGCUUAGUAUCGAAGGUAGAUGUUCCAAAAAAGUUCAAAGUCCCGGAGUUCGACAAGUAUAACGGGCUGACUUGUCCUCAAAAUCAUAUUGUCAAGUAUGUCCGGAAGAUGGGCAACUACAAGGACAAUGAUUCCUUUAUGAUCCAUUACUUCCAAGACAGUCUGAUGGAAGAUGCUGCAGAGUGGUAUACUAGUCUGAGCAAAGAUGAUGUCCAUACUUUUGAUGAGCUAGCCACUGCUUUCAAGAGCCACUACGGGUUUAACACUCGAUUGAAGCCGAAUAGGGAGUUUCUCAGGUCCCUAUCUCAGAAAAAGGAGGAAAGUUUCCGUGAAUAUGCGCAAAGGUGGAGAGGGGCAGCUGCCCGUAUCACUCCUGCUUUAGAUGAAGAAGAAAUGACCCAGACAUUCUUAAAGACCUUGAAGAAAGAUUAUGUUGAGAGGAUGAUCAUCGCCGCCCCGAACAACUUUUCGGAGAUGGUCACUAUGGGAACCCGUCUUGAGGAAGCCGUCAGGGAUGGAAUCAUUGUGUUUGAGAAAGCUGAAUCCUCUGUGAGUGCAUCGAAGAGAUAUGGUAAUGGACACCACAAGAAGAAAGAAACGGAAGUGGGGAUGGUGUCAGCUGGAGCCGGUCAAGCUAUGGCUACUGUUGCACCUAUCAAUGCAGCCCAAAUGCCUCCGUCAUACCCAUAUAUGCCGUAUUCUCAGCAUCCGUUCUUCCCACCGUUUUAUCAUCAGUACCCUUUGCCACCCGGCUAACCUCAGGUUCCUGUCAAUGCCAUCGCUCAACAGGUACAACAUCAACCGCCAGUUCAACAGCAGCAGCAGCAAUAUGCUAGACCAACUUUUCCUCCUAUACCAAUGUUGUAUGCUGAGUUGCUUCCAACUCUACUCCAGAGAGGACAUUGUACAACUAGACAGGGUAAGCCCCCACCUGAUCCGUUGCCUCCAAGGUUCAGGUCUGAUCUCAAAUGUGACUUUCAUCAAGGUGCCUUAGGUCAUGAUGUCGAGGGGUGUUAUGCUUUGAAGUAUAUCGUGAAGAAACUCAUUGAUCAAGGGAAGCUGACUUUUGAGAAUAAUGUUCCACAUGUCCUCGACAAUCCGCUACCAAAUCAUGCCGCUGUGAAUAUGAUCGAAGUGUGUGAGGAAGUUCCUAGACUUGAUGUCCGCAACGUCGCAACUCCUCUGGUGCCUUUACACAUCAAGCUGUGCAAAGCUUCUCUGUUCAGCCAUGAUCAUGCCAAGUGUCUAGGAUGCCUUUGUAAUCCCUUGGGUUGCCAUACUGUUCAGGACGACAUCCAAAGCUUGAUGAAUGAUAAUCUUCUGACUGUCAGUGAUGUUUGCGUGAUUGUGCCAGUUUUUCACGAUCCGCCUGUCAAGAGUGUACCUUUGAAGAAGUGUGCUGAGCCUUUGGUGAUAAGGUUGCCAGGACCAAUUCCUUAUGUUUCGGACAAGGCAGUGCCAUACAAAUACAAUGCUACUAUGAUAGAAAAUGGAGUAGAGGUGCCUCUAGCCUCCUUUGCCACAGUAAGCAAUAUUGCCGAAGGGACUUCUGCAGCGCUAAGAAGCGGGAAGGUUCGUCCGCCAUUAUUUCAGAAGAAGGUAGCUACGCCAAUCACUCCACCAGUUGAAGAAGCAACUCCAACCGUUGUUUCACCCAUUGCUACAGAUGUGAAUCAGCCAGGCAAAUCUAUAGAGGAUUCGAAUUUAGAUGAGAUUCUGAGAAUAAUAAAGAGGAGCGACUACAAGAUCGUUGAUCAAUUGCUGCAGACUCCUUCGAAGAUAUCUGUAUUGUCAUUACUCUUGAGCUCUGAGGCUCACAGGAAUACCUUGUUGAAAGUGCUGGAGCAGGCUUAUGUUGACCACGAAGUUACGGUAGAUCGGUUCGGUGGCAUAGUGGGAAAUAUUACUGCUUGUAACAACCUCUGGUUUAGUGAAGAAGAGUUGCCGGAAGUGGGAAAGGGUCACAAUCUGGCUUUGCACAUCUCGGUGAAUUGUAAAUCAGACAUGAUAUCAAAUGUGUUGGUGGAUACCGGUUCCUCUCUCAAUGUAAUGCCCAAGACAACUCUAGAUCAGUUGAGCUACCGUGGGACCCCUUUGAGAAGAAGUACUUUCUUGGUCAAAGCUUUUGACGGAUCUCGAAAGAAUGUGCUGGGGGAGAUAGACUUGCCGAUAACCAUUGGCCCUGAGAAUUUCUUGGUUACCUUCCAAGUGAUGGACAUUAAUGCAUCCUACAGUUGCCUGCUGGGAAGACCGUGGAUACACGAUGCAGGUGCGGUUACUUCCACCUUACAUCAGAAGUUGAAAUUUGUGAAGAAUGGAAAACUCGUUACAAUCCAUGGUGAAGAAGCAUACUUAGUCAGCCAGUUGUCUUCCUUUUCUUGUAUUGAAGCAGGGUCUGCUGAAGGGACUGCUUUCCAAGGUUUGACCAUUGAAGGUGCAGAGUCUAAGGAAGCUGGGGCUGCUAUGGCUUCAUUGAAGGAUGCUCAGAGAGCCAUCCAAGAAGGUCAGACUGCCGGCUGGGGCAAGAUGAUACAGCUCUGUGAGAACAAGCGUAAAGAAGGUCUCGGGUUCUCCCCGUCAUCAAGGGUUUCCUCGGGAGUCUUCCACAGUGCAGGGUUUGUUAAUGCUAUCUCUGAAGAAGCCACUGGAUCUGGUCUCAGGCCUACAUUUGUUACACCAGGAGGCAUUGCGAGAGAUUGGGAUGCCAUUGACAUUCCUUCAAUCAUGCAUGUUUCUGAGUAAUGUGUCUUGUUGCUUUAAUGAUUUGUUUUCAAAAUAACAAUCCUCUCGCUCUGCCCAAAGCGAGAGUGAUAUUUUCUGUAAGGGCAUGUUUGUUUCGGCAUUGCCGUUGAUUAAUAAAAUUUUGUCGUUUCUUCCACGACUACUUUUUUUUAAGUGUUUUUCCCUUGGAAACAAUGGUAAUGCCAGAAAAAACCAAAACGUCUGUAUUUUCUUAUUAAUUUCAAAAAUCUGCAUGAAAAAAAAACUCUUUCUAAAAUCAUCCAAUCAUUAUAUGCAGGUUGAACCAUAAUAAACCCGUUGAACACAGUAAUCCUACGGUUCCUCCAAAUUUUGAAUCCCCUGUGUAUGAAGCCAAAGAUGAGGAAAGUAAUGACAUACCAUAUGAGAUUACUCGGUUACUUGAGCAAGAAAAGAAAGCCAUUCAGCCUCACCAGGAAGAGAUUGAGCUUAUCAACAUAGGUACCGAGGAGAACAAGCGAGAAAUCAAGAUUGGUGCUACUCUAGAGGAAGGGGUUAAAAAGAAGAUUGUCCAGCUCCUCCGGGAAUAUCUGGAUAUUUUUGCAUGGUCGUAUGAAGAUAUGCCAGGUCUAGACCCUAUGAUCGUGGAGCAUCGGAUCCCUACCAAGCCUGAAUGUCCUCCCGUCAGGCAGAAAUUGAGAAGGACUCAUCCUGAUAUGGCUCUCAAGAUUAAGAGUGAAGUUCAAAAGCAGAUUGAUGCGGGUUUCCUCAUGACAGUUGAGUAUCCCGAAUGGGUUGCCAAUAUUGUGCCUGUGCCAAAGAAGGAUGGUAAAGUCCGGAUGUGUGUUGACUUCAGGGACCUGAACAAAGCCAGUCCAAAAGACAACUUUCCAUUACCUCAUAUUGAUGUGCUUGUUGAUAAUACUGCUCAAUCUAAGGUGUUUUCCUUCAUGGACGGUUUCUCCGGUUACAAUCAGAUCAAAAUGUCUCCGGAAGAUAGAGAAAAGACAUCUUUUAUCACUCCAUGGGGUACUUUCUGUUACAAAGUGAUGUCGUUCGGCCUAAUCAAUGCUGGUGCUACCUAUCAAAGGGGAAUGACUACUCUGUUUCAUGACAUGAUUCACAAAGAAGUCGAGGUAUAUGUGGACGACAUGAUUGUGAAGUCAACAGAUGAGGAGCAGCAUGUCGAAUAUUUAACAAAGAUGUUUGAAAGGUUGAGAAAAUAUAAGUUGCGAUUGAAUCCCAACAAAUGUACAUUCGGUGUCAGGUCCGGAAAGUUAUUAGGCUUCAUUGUCAGCCAAAAGGGCAUUGAAGUCGAUCCUGAUAAAGUCCGGGCCAUCCGAGAAAUGCCAGCUCCACAGACAGAGAAGCAAGUCAGAGGUUUCCUCGGGCGUUUGAAUUACAUCUCCCGGUUCAUAUCUCACAUGACCGCAACCUGCGGGCCGAUCUUCAAGCUACUCAGAAAGAACCAGCCUGUUGUAUGGAAUGAUGAAUGCCAAGAGGCUUUUGAUAGCAUCAAGAAUUACUUGUUGGAACCACCUAUCCUUGUCCCACCCGUGGAAGGAAGGCCUUUGAUUAUGUAUUUGGCAGUGUUUAAUGAAUCCAUGGGAUGCGUGCUUGGUCAACAAGAUGAAACUGGAAAGAAAGAGCAUGCUAUCUACUAUCUAAGCAAGAAGUUCACCGAUUGUGAAACUCGGUAUACAAUGCUUGAAAAGACUUGUUGUGCUCUAGCUUGGGCUGCCAAACGCCUGCGUCAUUAUUUGGUGAAUCAUACAACUUGGUUGAUAUCCAGAAUGGAUCCGAUAAAGUAUAUCUUUGAGAAAGCGGCCGUUACUGGGAAGAUUGCACGCUGGCAGAUGUUGUUGUCUGAAUAUGAUAUUGUGUUCAAAACUCAAAAGGCAAUCAAAGGUAGCAUUCUUGCAGAUCAUCUUGCUUACCAACCUCUUGAUGAUUAUCAGCCGAUUGAAUUCGAUUUCCCUGAUGAAGAGAUCAUGUAUCUGAAAUCCAAAGACUGCGAAGAACCGUUGAUUAAUGAAGGUCCAGAUCCCAAUAGCAAGUGGGGUUUAGUCUUUGAUGGUGCUGUCAAUGCUUAUGGUAAAGGAAUCGGGGCAGUCAUUGUAUCCCCGCAGGGGCAUCACAUUCCUUUUACCGCCCGAAUUCUGUUCGAAUGUACCAACAAUAUGGCUGAGUAUGAAGCAUGUAUCUUUGGGAUCGAGGAAGCAAUUGACAUGAGAAUCAAACACCUCGACAUCUAUGGAGAUUCUGCGCUCGUCAUCAAUCAGAUAAAGGGUGAAUGGGAGACCCACCAUGCUAAGUUGAUUCCUUAUCGUGAUUAUGCGAGACGUUUGCUGACAUAUUUUACAAAGGUUGAGCUGCACCAUAUUCCUCGUGAUGAGAACCAAAUGGCUGAUGCUCUUGCUACUCUAUCCUCCAUGUUUCGAGUAAACCAUUGGAAUGAUGUGCCAAUAAUCAAAGUGCAACGCCUUGAAAGACCUUCGCAUGUGUUUGCUAUUGGGGAUGUGAUCGAUCAGGCUGGUGAAAAUGUGGUUGACUAUAGACCCUGGUACUAUGACAUCAAGCAGUUCUUGCUGAGCCGUGAGUAUCCGCCAGGUGCUUCCAAACAAGACAAGAAGACCUUGAGAAGAUUGGCCGGUAGAUUCCUGUUAGAUGGAGAUAUUCUGUACAAGAGGAACUAUGACAUGGUAUUGUUAAGGUGUGUUGAUGAACAUGAAGCAGAGCAGUUAAUGCAUGAUGUACAUGACGGUACCUUCGGGACCCAUGCUACAGGGCAUACUAUGUCAAGAAAGUUGCUACGGGCAGGUUACUACUGGAUGACUAUGGAGCAUGAUUGCUACCAGUACGCCAGAAAAUGUCACAAAUGUCAAAUCUAUGCUGAUAAGAUUCAUGUGCCUCCGCACGCCCUCAAUGUUAUGUCAUCCCCAUGGCCGUUCUCAAUGUGGGGCAUCGACAUGAUCGGAAGAAUUGAACCGAAAGCUUCAAAUGGUCAUCGUUUCAUCUUAGUGGCAAUUGACUACUUUACCAAAUGGGUUGAAGCAGCAUCUUAUACCAAUGUGACCAAGCAAGUGGUAGCUAAGUUCAUCAAGAACAACAUCAUCUGUCGAUAUGGUGUUCCCAGCAAGAUUAUUACCGACAAUGGUACCAACCUGAACAACAAUGUGGUGCAAGCUCUUUGUGAAGAAUUCAAAAUUGAGCAUCAUAACUCUUCUCCUUAUAGACCUCAGAUGAAUGGUGCAGUUGAGGCCGCCAAUAAGAAUAUCAAGAGAAUUGUCCAGAAGAUGGUAACCACUUACAAGGACUGGCAUGAGAUGUUACCCUAUGCUCUGCAUGGCUACCGUACUACUGUGCGCAGUUCAACCGGGGCAACCCCUUUCUCUCUUGUAUAUGGUAUGGAAGCAGUUCUUCCUUUGGAAGUGGAGAUCCCAUCUCUCCGUGUGAUUAUGGAAGCAAAGUUAUCUGAGGCUGAUUGGUGCCAAAGCCGGUAUGAUCAGUUGAAUUUGAUUGAGGAAAAACGUAUGGAUGCCAUGGCUCGUGGACAGUCAUAUCGAGCAAGAAUGAAGACUGCCUUUGACAAGAAAGUCCAUCCUCGAGAAUUCAAGGUAGGGGAACUUGUAUUGAAAAGGAGGAUAAGCCAGCAACCCGACCCAAGGGGCAAGUGGACGCCUAACUAUGAAGGUCCUUAUGUUGUCAAGAAGGCUUUCUCCGGUGGUGCUUUAAUCCUUACACACAUGGAUGGUGUAGAGCUUCCAAAUCCAGUGAAUGCCGAUAUAGUCAAGAAAUACUUUGCCUAGAAAUAUGAAAAGAACAGCGUGGUAGGUCGAAAACCCGAAAGGGCGGCCUAGGCAAAAAUGCGCUUCCCGGUGGAUCGAAAACCCGAAAGGGCGGUCCAGGCAAAAAUAAGGGACACAAAAAACAAAUAUGAAAAGCUCGCUGAGAUUGUACACAACUCAGGCAAGAAUGAGCGUCUCGAUGAGCCGAAAACCCGGAAGGGCGGUUCAUGCAAAAAUGAGAUUGAAACAAAAGGCAAGUAACUAUAUCUGGCCAACCACCGUCCCCCUUGGGGCAUCUGCAGCUGUUAAUGACCAUCUUCAUCUAAAGCUCCUACGCUUGCGAAUUCAAAGUUUUCAGGAAAUGUAAUGAUUGCUGUGUUCAAUGUACCACCAACCAAUAAAAAUUACCAUUUUCCAAGUUUUGUGAAUCCGUGGAGUCACGCCUCCGGCUGACCACCACUCUUAUACAUCAAUUUGAGCUUGUGCUUUUGUUUGAAACUCUGCUUUCUUUUUACUUUCAAAGCUAUAUACAAAACAUUUUCUUUCUAUUUUGAUAAUGAUAAUGCUCGAAACAAACAUUUUUGAAAAUUAAAAACUUUUUGUCUGUUUUGAAAAGCAAACCUGAGCAACAGGGUACAUUCAAAUGAAACAUGCAUGAGCGAGAGUAUGUUGAUGUCUAUUUCAAUAUAUGUUACAAGCAGGUUCUUCUCAAGGAUAGUCUGUGGUCAAUGGCAAGAAUGAAAAAACAGAAUGAAAAUGCAUGAAAAUGAAAAGGCUCGCUAAGUUGAAAACCCGGAAGGGCGGCUUAGGCAAAAAAUGAGUACCCCGCUGGAUUGACAACCCGAAAGGGCAGUUCAGGCAAAAAUGGGGCAUUGAAAAGAAUUUAUUUCCCCGGUGGGUCGAAAACCCGAAAGGGCGAUCCAGGCAAAAAUGGGAUGCAAAAAAUGAAAAUGAGAAUAUAACAUGCAAAAAGCAUUGACCACAGAUGCAAUGUCUACAACAUGCCCAGCACAACGGCGUUUUCCCCGGUGGAGUCUCUCAAGAUUCUAUCCCCAGCAAGUUGCAUACCUACCUGCCCCCAGCCUUGGCUCCGAUACGUCUCCCAACGACGUCAUCUCCAAAGAGGAUUUCCAAGAAUGUGUAAUAUAGCACGAGCCACUACGUGCCCAAUACUCUGAUGUCUUGUCUUCCCCGUGAAGUCGUGCCUACAAAAUGCCAACAGUCAUGCAUUACAAGCAUUCAUACAUGCAUAAUCAUGCAUAUUACGUACCCAUGCAUUUAAUGAAUCUGUUAUAUCAUCCAUGCAUAUUGCAUUUCCAAUGUCAACAUCAGUCUCAAUUCAAUACCCAUGUCAGGUUCUCUGUCAAAACCUUGUGAGCCAAUAAUAUCGGUCAAUUUCUACCUUUCAAAUCAAAUCGACGUCAAGUCAAUCUCAAUCUAUAUUUUGUCAAAAAACUAAUCCCCAGUGAAUAUGUUUCUGUUUGGUCAAGUGGCUAGUUCAAGUCCAGGAACAGCUUGUACCUAUCAAUUUGCUUAUAUUAUCGGUCGAGUGCCCAGCUCAAUCCAAGAGCAGCUUGUACCUGUUAAUAUGUUUCCGUUUGGUCAAGUGGCUAGCUCAAUCCAAGAGCAGCUUGUACCCGUCUAUCUGUUUCUGUCCGGUGGAGUAACCAGUUCGCAUCCAAGAACAAGCUCACACCUGUCUAUUUGCCUUGCUUUCAGUCGAGUAACCAGUUCGAAUCCUUAAGAACAACUCGUACCUGCCAAUUUUACAUGUUUUCAGUCGAGUCACCAGUUCGAAUCCGUAAGAACAACUCGUACUUGCCAAGUUUCUCUUUUUCCCAGUCGGGUCACCAGUUCGAAUCCAUAAGAACAACUCGCACUUUCCAAUAUCCCCAAGUGAGUUACCAGUUCGAAUCCAUAAGAACAACUCAUGUUUGUCCAGUAACCUCUAUCCCCUGUGGAGUGACCAGUUCGAAUCCAUAAGAACAACUCGCAGUUUGUCUGUUUGUUUCAUUCCCGGUCAAGUGGCUAGUUUGAAUCCAAAAACAGCUUGUACCUGUCCAACUUGUUUCUAGUUUCCCGUUACUCUGCUAUUCACUAUCUUUGUCAAUGUCUACCAAUCCCGCAAUGGAUACGACAUAUUUUGUUAAUUCCAAUCCCCAUGAGGUCUUGCAUUCAUAAUCCAAAUGAUGCAUGGCAUGCAUAUUAUUUGAAAAUGGGUAGGCAUAUUUUUACGUCCAAACACAGUGCAAAUGCUAAUAUUUAAGUAUCUUCGUCCUGUCAAGCCAAAGACUCCGUCUCUUGACUCUCCAGACAAAGAAACUUAAAUAGGGGCAGCUGUUAUACCCCGUUUUUGGACCUAAAAAUACUAGGGCCCAAUUUCAUUUCAAACUUUGUCAAUUAUCAAAUUUCAACUGUACAGUUCAAUUUGUCUCUGCCUCGCAGUAUUUUCAAUCACAAUUUUACCUAUGUUUUUCUUGCAUAAAACCUUUCGAAAUGUCUUUACUUGUCUUGUAAGUCAUUCAAAAGUGUCUCUGAAUCAUUGCAUUGCUUUUUCUACAGUUUAUUUCAAAAUUUGCAAAAAGUCAUACAGAAGGGUAUUUUGGACAUUUCCUGCAGUGGGACCCAUUUUUAUCCUUGUGACUGUCUCUGAGUCUUUUCGGAUUGUUUUUUACAUUUCAUCAGUAAACCUUGUUAAAAUUCAUUUCAAACUUGCGUCUGAGUCAGUGUUGAGUCAAUUUCAAUCUGUUUAGGUCGUUUUUAGCCCUAGGGGCAUUUUGGUCAUUUCACAUAAAAUUUUGGCAUGGGGAGGUUACUUUGAAGUACCUCAUUUAGGCCAUUGGUUCGUUUUAGUCCGUUUUGUCAAUUUUAUUUUUUGUUUCACUUUACGUUUGGUCAAAUUAUGUUUUUUAUUCAAAUUUUAUUUUUAAUUGCAUUUUGGUCCCUCAAUUGAGGUCCCAAAAUUGCAUUUUUGUCCAAACUGUUUUUUGUUUAUUUCAUUUCAAGUUUUUUUUAAUUUUGCAGUUUAGUCCUUAAAAUUCUUAUUUUUGCAAAAAGGUCCAAAGUCCAUUUUAAGUCCAAGGCCGUGCCCCUCCCAUACAAAUCCAGAUGUCACAAUUCCAUUGGCUCAAGUGUACACAUGUCAACUAUAUAAACAGUGAGUCAGAUUCAAAGCCAUUAAUCACACGCCACUUCACCAAAGAAGAAAAACAGAAUCAAUUUUUCUCUCUCUUGUCAGUUAGAUCAAAACCAGAAUCACAGAGAAAUCAUCAAGAACACAGAGAAAAAUCAAAAAACCCUAAAUCACCAGAAUCACAAAAUCAUCAAGAAAUUCAUUGAAUUUUCCACGAUUCUCAGAGAUUCGCCAAGGAAUCAUCAUCAUUGAAUCGUUGCUCUGCAAUUCGAGUGCGAGUCCACCACUGAAAGCGGCGAACUCAAGCACGAUCGCAGAGGCUUUCCCGGAGACGAAGAAGAGGGACGAAAAUCCAUAUACCGAACCUGUGAAGAAGAAGAGCGGAUCAGAACAGCAGGGAACCAAACCAGAAUCAACGGAACAAGACUAAAAUCAAGCUUUCCUUGAAGAUCCGGAUCGGAACCACCAAGAAAACCACAGGUAAAACUCAAACUUCCUUUUUUUCGCAAAAAAUGGAUAAAAAGGAGAAUCAAGUAUAAACAUGUAGGAUUCUAGAAGCACGUAGCCAAAAAGCACAAAGAACAAAGAAAAACUUCAUUCAAAACCGCAACUUCAAACUUAGAUCUACUCCGGUUGAAAAUCUUUUUCAAAAAACCAAGCUCGGAUUCAUGAAUAGCACGAAAAAGGAUGUUUAAAAACGUAAAAAUUUUUUGAAUCGGAGCAAGGAAGUUUUUCCGGUGGCCGGCCACCGCGCCGGAGGAGCUAAGCCAUGCCGGAGAAGACAACCGGAUUUCUAGAGAGAAGUGGGAGCUUCUCUCACUAGGAUGAGAGAAGAGAGAGAAGGAGAGGAGAAAAUGAAAAAAACCGGAGCCUUUGUGUUUAUAUAGCCAGUGAACCGGACCGGUUUAUUUCCGGUCCAGUCCCCCUUGUUCCUGGCCGUUUGAUCUAGGGUUUCAGAAUCCUAGAUCAAUCGUGUGGCUCCUGUGCAGUCUGAGUUUUGAGUGUGGGCUUUGGGUUUGGGCUUAGUUUUCUUUCACGUUUUUUUUGUUUUUUUUGCUAUUUGCACCGUAUUUCUUUGCUACUUGCACCUGUUUCUUGCUCACUUUUUUUAUAAAAAAAAUCCUAAAAAUCCUGGUUAUUUCUUGGUAUAUUUUUGGCAUUUCUAUGGUGUUUCUUGCAUAAAAAAAGAUGUGAAAGUGGCAUGAACUAAUUCCAUGUGUUUUUACACUUUUGGUAUGCAUUUUGCUAUGUUUUGUUCUUGACAUUUUGAUAUUAUGACAUGGAUAAAGGAUGCCUAAUAUGAUGAUGAAUAUGCCUCUGGAAAUGUGUUUUUGUUUGCUGUUUUUGAAUAUGAUUUUAUGAAUUUCUUGUUUUGCAAGCAACAAGUUUAGUUUUAAGGAAUAAAGUGGCAAAUUUCUCUAUGAACUUGGUGUGAUAUUUUGCAUGCAUAUGCCUCCAUUAAUUGCAUGUCAUGGCUUGAAACAAAAUUUCUUUCUAAAUUGCCAUGAUGUGAUGAUUAUGGGCCACUAGCAUCUUUAGGUAUCAUAUCAAAUGUCUUUUAGGUUUAUUACCACUUUAUUACUUUUUCUUUGCCAUCUUUAUGCAUUUCCUUUUAAUUACUUCCUACUAUUGUGUGCUUUAUGAUUACUAACCAUUUCAUCUCAUGUGCCAUACAUUUCAUAGCAUUCCACCACUCUCUCCACUUUCUUUAGCUUAGCAUUUAUUUUUUUUCGCAAGUUUUAAUUCAUUUGGUAAUGUAAUUUGUUAUCAUUGGUUUGUAGCUUGGCAAAGGGGCCAUAGAAUGUAUUUAGGCAAUUUUUGUAAUAUGGACUAUGGACACUAUGACGCACCGACACGCACACACUCACCUUAGAUGUAUGCAUAGGAUUGUAUGGUUAGAUAAGCGUUUAGGUUUGAACACUUAGAUAAAAAUCCAACUUUUUUCCAAAAAGAACAUGCAAAUAACUUCACUUGAAAAUCUUUUUUUUGAAAAUAAAAUGGAGUCAAAACUCCUUAUUUCCCCUUUUAUUUUCUUAAGUAAAACUUUCAAUGAAUCUUAACCCUUCUUAGACUUUAUUUUUGCAAAAUGACUAAAUCCACCUCACACUUUCCAAACCUUAUGCCCUUGAGGCCUCUCAUCUCUAUUCUUCAAAAUCUCUUUUCAAACCUAAAAUCAACCAACAAACACAAAAACUAUUUUUGAGAAUGAACUACGAACGGUUUUGAUCCCUUAAAAGGGUACGUAGGCAAUGAGUCAAAACUCAUCCAAGCCGAAACAAAAAAUCAAAUUCUACUUCUUCUCACCCCCACUCUUAACUAAUCACACCUUCUUUUUUUACAAAUAAGCAAUAAAAUUAAAGCGUAGAAAUAAACUUAGGAGAGCGGUUCUUAUGGAAUACCAUAAUCGCUCCGGGUGCCUAACACCUUCCCGUAGCGAAAUCGACCCCCGAAUCCGGAAACUCAAGGGUUUUUCUCAAUUUUGCCCUUCCCAAGAAAAAAUAGAGAUAUCAACGGUCAAAAGGUUCAAGUCCAAAUUAAUGGCUUGGCACCCAAAAACCAUGAUAACAUAUCGUCUAACCAGGAGUGGGAGGAUUCCGAAUAAGACAAUGUUUUACUUGCCAAUAAUACCCAGAUUACAAAGAUUGUUUGCAUCGAUGAAAACUGCAAGUCAUAUGACGUGGCAUCAUUCAAACAAAAUUCAUGGAGUCAUGCGACAUCCUUCUGAUGGUGAAGCUUGGAAACACUUUGAUGAAGUAUAUCCUGAUUUUGCAGCAGAUCCGCGUAAUGUAAGACUUGGAUUGUGCUCUGAUGGUUUCACUCCACAUAUUCAGGCAUCAGGGAAACCCUAUUCUUGUUGGUCGAUCAUUGUAACCCCAUACAAUCUCCCUCCUGAGAUGUGCAUGACAAAGCCGUACAUGUAUUUGGUGUGUGUUGUUCCAGGGCCAGAUAACCCUAAAGCAGGCAUAGAUGUGUUUCUAGAACCUUUAAUUGAUGAUUUGAGGAGGUUGUGGAUUGGAGAAUUGACAUACGAUAUUUCAACCAAACAUAAUUUUCUAAUGAGAGCAUCUUUGAUGUGGACAAUUAAUGAUUUUCCAGCGUAUGGCAUGUUGUCUGGUUGGUGCACUCAUGGGAAAAUGGCUUGUCCACAUUGUAUGGAAAAUAGGAAGGCGUUUACUUUGGAAAAUGGAGGGAAGAGUUCGUGGUUUGAUCAUCGUUGUUUCUUGCCUCAUGAUCACCCGUUUAGAAAAAGUAAGAAUGGCUUCCUGAAGGAUCAGAGAGUAGUAGUUGGCCCGCCCCCUAAAAUCACAUCAGAAGAGGUGUGCACAAGAGUUAGUGAUUAUCCUAAAGAUCAUGUAAACUAUAUUCUUUAGACAUAAAUAACUAUUGCAGCCAUAUUGCAUUGUUUAAUUGUGUUAUGAUGAUUUAUUGUAUUGAUAUGAUGUUUUUGUUAUUGAUAAAUAUCUAGAAAUGCCUCCGAAAAAUAAAGGAAAUGGCAAGGGCAACAACAGGAAGCGGUAUAAUACUCACGUUGUGGACGCAGCAACAGAAGCUGGAUUAAACCCCAUGCCCGUCACUUCUGCUGCAUCUUCUAGCCAGGGAUCAGCUGGGUGCUCCCAGGCUAGUGUAGCUGCUCCUCCUACGAGUUCUGCUCUUCCUCCCACUUACAUGUUGCCUCCAGUAUAUCCAGGAUAUUAUGGCACCAUACCUCCUAGGUAUCAUUUCCCACCAUAUUCAGUCCCACCACAAAACCUUCCCUUUCCCCAACAACAACAAAUCCCUCCACAACAAAAUAACCUUCUCUUUCCCCAACAACAACAAAUCCCUCCACAACAAAAUCCACUCUUUCCCCAACAACAAAUCCCUCCACAACAAAACCCACCCUUUCCCCAACAACAACAAAACCCACCACAACCCCAACAAGAAAAUGUGGUCGAAGAGGAUGGUGCAACCCAGAUGAAUGGUGGUAGAGAGCUAGUGCCGUAUCAUGAUGUUUUCCCGGAUUAUCCGAAAGAUUCUCUUGGUCGAUACAUUUUAAGGCCUAGUGGAAGCUCGUAAGUAUUAUAGUAUUAGCUACAUAGUUCAAUUUCAAUUCUUUUAUGUAUAUUUUAAGUUGUAGUAACGUCACCAUAUGAGUUUUUAUUGUUUCAGCUUUUUGCCGUGCAAACCGACUGCUGAAGCUAUCAGAGACAUAAUUCAUAAUUGUUAUCAUCACUUUUGGAAGAAAUAUGGUGACGUGGAUGACAAUGAGAAAGACCGCUGGUUUAGGCUCUUUGAGGUUACUUCAAAUCUAUAUCAUAAUUUUUAUUUUAUUUCAUAUGCACAAUUGUUAUAGUAUACUAAUUUUCUUUAAUAUGUUAUAAUGCAGUGCAAGUGUUCUUGGGACGUCGUUUAUCAAGAUAUAAUGCGGCGUAAUUUUCACAUCAGAGCUUCUGCCCGUUUUUCAGAUUUGCUUAGAAGAGCCCGUAUUCGGUUUGAGGAGACAGGAAAACGGCCACAUUGGAUAGGCCCACCUAUCUUUGCUGACUUGGUUAAGUAUUGGGCGCCUGAUGAGUUCAAGAAAAUAUCACAGAAAGCAAAGACGAACCGGGCCUCAGAAAAGGGAGGAUGCGUUCACACUGGCGGUUGCUUAAGCAACGGCGAGCAUGCUGAUCGAUUGGUAAAAAUAAUAAACUUUUAUUUAUUUUUCCAUAUCAUAUUUAAAUUUGAUUGUUUUAAAUCAAUACUACUAAAUUGAUGCAUUUGACCAUAAAUUUUAAUGUUUAAUUAAUUCAUAAUUUUAUUAUUUCUUGUGACAAAUAGACUCAGAGGUUACGCCGGGAUCCGUUCAUUAACGAGAUUCACGACAAAACACACAAAACUAAGUCCGGCCAAUACUGUGACGACCGUGCUAGGAGAGUGCAGGUAAUCUUUGAUAAUUAUGUCACAUUUUAGGCCUUAAUGUUAUUAUUCUGUACAUGUAAUGUUUAUGUGUCAAAGAGCAAAUUUGCAAUAAUGAAAGAGCAUUUUGAUUACUCUGUUCCUUAUAAUGAGAAUAUUUUGUCACAUUGUGUGUUUUAUUUUCUUGGUAGACCCGGAAGAAUGUGCUUAUGAUAUGUGUGACUCCUGUUCAAUUUUAAGUUUUGUAACUGAAACUUGUGGCUUUCACUAACUCUUACCUUUUGGGUGGGGUCUUAUACUUUGCUAGUUAUUAUUGGAAAUACAUAAAUAGCUCUUCCAAUAUCGUCAUUCAGGGACAUUGAACAUGGUUACACGAAAGAAAGAAUGAAACUAAGCAUCAAAUAUAUGGUGGUUAUUUCAUGCUAACUCCGGUUUUGUGUUUCAUUUUCCACCUUUUUUUUUCAUAGGUUUUGUCCCUCUAAUGCAUCAUAGGUUUUUUCCAUUACAGACCUCUUUGUCUUGCUCUAUUGUUGAUGAUGAUACUUCUAGUUAUUGUUUAAUGUUGAUUUACUGGACUAUAAAGCAUAAACUAGGUGUGAAUGAUGCAUACACAUUGAAUACUCUCCAGUUGUGUCCUUAAUUAUUUUGUUAUUAUUUGAACAGGAUGAGUAUGACCGGCUGCUUGCAGAGGCUAUUUCUGAAGGGUCAACUGUUGAUCACUCUUUGACCUUCCGCACUUGGAAAAAAGUUGUUGGCGACAAGAAGAAGGGUAAGCUCUAUGGUCUUGGUAACUUGGCCGCUAACUAUCGGCCGGGUAGUGUUGAAUCAACGCUCACAUUUACGCUCAAUCAUGGUGAAGGAUCCUCCCGGCAGCCUGAGCUGACGCCAGAGAUGCGGGAGCUUAUAAAUAGAUUGGCACAAGAGCAAUUCGCGCAGCAUAUGGCGACUCAAGCGGCUUUUGUGCAAGAUUUGCUCAACCGCCAAAGAUCUUAUGAGGAGCAGCUCGCUCAAUUUAGGCAAGCACAGGCUCAAGAUCCCUCGCCGAUUUUAAGUCCCAAUGUUGAGCCUUAUCCGGUCGAUACAGAUGAGGAGGAGGAUGGUGUGGAUGAUGAUUGAAGGUGGUGUGUCCUUUAUAUGAUAAAAUUUUUGGGUCUGUAAUGUUUGGGGAAGUUUCUUAUACUUCCCAAUACAAUUUCUACCUAUUUGAUACCUAUGGUGUGUGAUGUUGGUACAAUUUUAAUUUCAAUGAUGCUAGACAAUAUUUUAUGUGUGAUGUUGCUUUAUUUUUCAAUGUUAACUACAUUUAAAUUGUUUGUUAAAAUUAUUUUAAUUUCCAUUAAUUGUUAUUGUUAAAACAAUUUUUAUAAAAAGAAAUAAAAAACAAUUUAAUUAAUUAAUUAAUUUUCGAAAAAUAAAAUUUAAAUUCUUUUUUACAAUUAUUUUAAUUAUUAAAUUUUAAUAUUUUGAUUUUUUUUAACAAAUAAAAACCGUUUUUAAAAGAAAAAUCGUACACAAUUUGCCAGGGGUUAACCCCUCGCACAGUCCCUGGCAUAUGAUCCUGACACAGUCUGCAAAAGUCUGUAUUGACUAGAUUGACCAGAAUACGUCAGAAAAGCCUGCAAUCUUGCAGACACAAUUUGCCAGGGGUUGUGCCAGGGCCUGUGCCAGGAGCGCAUUUGCCAGGAGCUAAA
rnacentral:lncRNA from 1 species